rnacentral:lncRNA from 1 species
CAGGAAGGACAAGGACUCCAAAUUCAGGCUCAUUCUUGUUGAGAGCAGGAUCCACCGUCUUGCCCGUUACUACAAGCGCACCAAGAAGCUCCCGCCCACCUGGAAGUAGUAAGUUACUCUGCACCUUUACCUUUUACCUUAGCCAGGGAUACUGCGAUUGAACGUGAGAACUUGCCAGUGCUAAUCGGUUAUCUUAGUACCUAUUUUGCGUUAUACCAGUUGAUUCAGUCCUCAUGUUUACAAAUUACUAUGUAGAAAGCUUCAGGUUGAUCAGCUGUGCUACUCAAAUGCCAUUUUAUGUGGAAAGCUCCCUGUCCUGUUAUCCGUUAAAGUAACUAAGUAUGCGUAACAUGUGGAUGCUGUGUUCUGAGCUGCUGUAUGCAUAUCUGUAUGCUAUCUUGGUUUUUAUGGGUUUAGGUUUGUAAACGCAUGCCACUCAGUAGCUUAUUUAAUCAAGGAUGACAUCUGUUUGCUUCAAGUUUAGGUGAAAUUGACUAGUGCCAAUAGUAUGUGUAUAGACCUGAAACCAUCUGCCUCUUGUUUGGUUGGUCCAUACAAGAGUACGCAACAUGAAAAGAAGACUUGUUUUAUUUUUAUAAAAUGUAUUGUAGGAUUUAAGUUUUACUUGGUUGUGGUAUUAGUUGUUAGGUUAGGUAUGAUAGGCUGGUGUGUGCAACUUUUUUCUGUUAUUUCAUUAAUGGAGUUUUUGCUGUAAUUUUCAAGCAUUCCAACAAAUUCAUUUCAUCUUGGUGUGAUACUUCCAUACUCUAGUUAGUAGCAGAAGUGGAGAAUGGGCGUGUUUUAGUUUAACAAUCUCUAGCAUCGACUUUGUUGAACUUUAAAACCUGUUGAAGUAAUUCAUUCAUCUGUGCUUGCAUUUUUGCCAAGUCGCUUUGCGCUCUGGAUGGGUUGUGUGCCUUUUCAUACCUGCAGUUGUUACUAGAGUGUAAUCUGACAAUUUAUCCUUGAUUGUCUGCAGCGAGUCUACCACUGCCAGCACUCUGGUGGCUUAGGAGGGCUCUUCAUCUGGUGUGCUCUUACCGGCUUCAGGAUGGUCUUGUUCUACAUAUUAUCAAUUUCAUGUAACGCUUUUGAGUUUGGAGCGAUUUAGAUGAACAAGAGACCAAAUUUUCUAUGUUUACUUGGAGAAUCCCAUAAACCAUUUUUGGUUUUGCAAUUCUGUCUGGUUCUGUUUAGCGUCUAUCUACAAUUCAUCAGUUAAAAUUAGACAUUGUGAUAUUCGUGUUGUCUGAUCUGAGCGAGUGUAAUCGCUGCUUUCAGUGCACUCAAGCUCGGACAGUUUGACUAUAUGGUUAUUGCACAUCCACCCACAUCUUUUAUAUCCUUAUUGGGAUGUAAAAAACUGUCACUAAAAGCUUCCUGUCAGCGGAACCAACGUAUAAUGUGUGCUAUUUUGCAACCAGCCUAAUAUAACAAUUGUUUAUAUAUCAAUAUAGAUGCAAUCUUUUGGUCGCUAGACAAUGUUGUGACGAUUAUGCAGAAACAUACAGAUCUGGCCUUCCAGAUCGAUUGAGAGUAUAACUUAACUUAUGUGCUGGAGACACGUGACGAUCAAGAGGGAUGCCUCGGUUCGAGGAGAGAGGCGUCGGUUGCGGUAGCAACCUCACGAUCGUUCGGGCAAUUACAUAUAGUAAUUAAUUCUAACACUCCCCCUAAUCUACACUUGACCAUAUAGAGUCAUCUUCACGAUUAUCCGGGAAGUUCCCUCAAAAAGGUUUCUCCUCCGAAAGUUCUUCAUAACAUAUUUGAUGAGAUCCUGAAAUAUAAACUCACAAAGGGAUAGCAUAACGUGAUGUCUUUAAACAAGAAUAUCUCAAGAAGAGACUCCCCCUGAUUCUUGCAUAUCUGGAACAUAGAAGUUGGUAGAGACCUGGUGAACAAAUCAGUCGCAUGAUUUGACUUGCAAGAUAUGCAAUAUAGUGAUAUUGCUUAUUAUGUAACCUGUUUUCAUCCGGGCAACACAAGAAACAUUAUCGUUGAGAUAAUGGUUGAUGGAUGUAGUCAUGAGGUCUGUUUCGAAGACUCUUCAUGAGAAGGUUACCACACCUAGUAGGAACACUAAGUUUGUUUACGAUCUGACAUAGUGGGGAUCUGCUCGAUGUAUCCAAUGAUAUCGGAGGUCACAUUUCUGUGAAACUAAAAAACCAGGACAAGAUGUUUGAUGGCUUGGAGAUAUCGAAAGAUAUUCUCGAGUACCAACCAAUCGUGUUUGGUAGAUCCAAUGGUGAAAGUGCUAGUUAUCGACUAGAGGAGGGGGGGGGGGAUGAAUAGGCGAUUUUUAUGAAAGUCUUCAAAACAUGGGAGUUUCGAAGACAAAUAAUAGAAAUGAACCUAUUGACAUGCAGCGGAAGGUGGACUACACUAGACAAGCCAUAGUCAAGUAUUCAAUGAAGUGAAAGCACGAAGACUAUUAGCAGCUAAGUUGUAAGGAUUAGGAUGGAAGAUAGUAUGAAGCCAAACAAUGAUAGUCGUCACACAGUGAAGUCAAUCAGAUCAAGCAAGCAGGCAAUGACUUCAUGAAGACAAACAGUAAGUAAAGAGAGGGAGAAGAUAUAACCACUUGCUUGGUGAGGACAAAGAUUUGUUGGACCAGUUCCAGUUGCUGUGACAACUGUACGUCUGGUUAGGGAGGCUGAGAUUCAACUCAGAAGACCGCGUCUUCACCUUAUUCCCUUUGAGCUAAGGACAUUUAGUCCUCACCCAAUCACUCUGGUAAGUCUUCAAGGUAGACUUCCAAACCUUCACAGACUCCGUUCACCGGCAAUCCACAAUGACUCUUGGAUACUCAGAACGCGACGCCUAACCGGCUGGAGGAUUCACAGUCCUCAAGUGUAACAAGUCUUCAGAUCACGCGGACAGAAAGACUUCAGUGAUGCCAAACACUCUUUGGGCUCUGGGUGUUUUGGGCGUUGUCCUCGCAAGGAUCUCUCUCUCAAAGGCUUCGAGGUGGGUUGCUCUCAAACAAAAAAGCCGUGCACUAACUCUGAGCAGCCACCAAUUUAUGGUGUAGGGGGUGGGCUAUUUAUAGCCAGUAGGCAACCCGACCUGAUUUGUCCGAAAUGACCCUAGGUCACUAAGGAACUGACACAUGUCCAACGGUCAGAUUUCAAACACACGCGACAGCUUGAUUUGGGCUACCAGUAAAGCUGACUCAUCCAGCUCUGGAUAAGAUUUGCUCUCAUUGUCUUCGCUCGAAGACAUAGGAUUUGGUUGAGCAUCACUUCAGUCACUCUAAUUUUGUUCACUUGGACCCCACUUAACAGUACGGUGGUUCCUAUGACUCAACAAAGAAGAAAAGGAAACUACAAAACAACUAUGUCUUUGCACUCCAUAGUCUUCACAUGAAUGUCUUCUCGAGUCAUAAUCUUCGUUGUGAAUAUCUUCACAUACCACCAUUGUCUUCAAUGUCUUCUAACAUUUUUAGGGGUCAUCUCCGGUAGUUAAACCGAAUCAAUGAGGGACUACUACCUGUGUUAUCCUGUAAUUCUCACAAACACAUUAGUCCCUCAACCAGGUUUGUCGUCAAUACUCCAAAACCAACUAGGGGUGGCACUAGAUGCACUUACAAUCUCCCCCUUUUUGGUGAUUGAUGACAAACUAGUUGAAGUUUUCAAUGGGGAUAAAAGUAUUUGAAAUUGUAAGGGUAAAGAUAUUGUCUUCAUAAGUAGCAAAAGGCUCCCCCUAAAGAUGUGCAUAUAAGUAUUUUGCUUUUGAAUGCAAAUGCACAUGGCAGGUUGUACUUGUGGAGAUCCUCUUCAACUUAAGAAGACAAUUCAUCAUGCAUGAAAAGAUAUAACGAAGAUAAUGACAAGCAUAAUGAAAAAUGGACGUCUGCGAAAUGACUUCGUGCGGAAUUUAUCGUCGCACAUGCGGAAUUUAUCAUCGCAUCACAUAGUUGAUAGAAAAGGUAGCAGACGACCAUCAAGUUUAAGUGUUACAACUCAAAGAACCAAAUGUAUCAAAAGCGAGAGUUGUAAGCACUUGGCAAAAGGUAUAGCAACCACCCAUAAGGACCCGCUUGAAUACUAUCAACUCAUAUGCUUCUCCCCCUUUUGUCAGUAAGGACCAAAAAGGUUUGAAGACAUAGAGCUUCUACUUGUUCCCAUGAGGUGCAGGGUCGACGUUGGAGUCCGGUGGUGCAGAAGAACUUGGCGCAGUGUUGAUACGAGGCGAAGUUGUAGUUGGUGAAGUGGCAUCGUCUUCGUCAUCAAUGACUCUGGCAUUGACAGUUGCCGCUGAGGAGGAGUACUCAGAGUCUUCGAGUGAGGGAGUCCUACGCAAGACAGCGUUCCUGGGAGGAGUGGAAUCAAAUUUGAAUCUCUCUGUGAAGCCAUCUUGUUGAAGAUCAUCUUCAGAACUGAGUAAUGUCAGACUCUUCCACGACCGCCGACAGGUUUCAUGAGUGACAAAUGCAUUCUUGGUGGCUAGAUUGCGAAUGCGAUUAACAUCCACCAAGAGACUCUGCAUCUGACGCUUCAGCCAGUAAUGAUGCUUAUCCUGUUUCUGAUGUAGUGCCACAAGAAGCUCUCGGUCAUUGAGAACGCGAGAUCGCUUUCGAGGCCUUUGAGCAAUGGUGCUCUCAGUGGCUUCAGUAUGGGCACGAUGAGGUGCACGUGUAUUUCCAGCCAAAGGAUAAACACGAGUUGCAGCAAGAACUCCUUCAAUAGGUUGAGUGAAACUUUGACGAUCGAUGUUGUGAAGAUAAAUUGGCUCCUUGGCAGGCUCUGGGUUUAACAAUGAAAUCAUGCGCUACCAUACUCUUAUAACCUAAAUAAGCAGUGGGCAGCAAUUUUUCUUCUUUUUCAUAGUGCCUAAUAGGUAUGUUAUAAUGUGUAGCAAGGUGUGAAGCAUAAAUACCUCCAAAGAUGGGGCCCUUUGUACGGUUCAGACUUAACCGUUUAGCAAUAAUUCCGCCCAUACUAACAGUGUUAUCGCGGAAUAAACCAUGGAACAAAAUGAUAAUAUCAGGAACACUAAGGUUUCCACAGUUUCCACGACCAAUUAAGCAACGACUAGCAAAUAUGGCAGUAGCGUAAAACAGGAAAAUGUAUGCUAGUGAUUCUUGCAUCGGAAACCUUCCUGGUUUCCCCCACAAUAAUGGUGUCAAUAAACCCGUCCACAUCUUUACGAUGUGGUUCAUCUAAGGUACCCUCAAAGGGUAUUUUGCAAACCUUGUAAAAUUCAUCUAGUGGCAUCUUCUUAACAACAUCAUAUAAAUGAAACUGUACUGAAGGAGGUGAUUCCUUAGGAUAAUAGUAGAAGUUUUGCACAAAAGUAUUGGUGAGUAAGAGAUACUGUUGACGUUGGUCGCGGAGGAAGUCGGUGAGGCCAGCAUUCUCAGCCAAUGAAUAGAAAUCAUCAUAAAUCCCGGCUUCCCUCAAGAAAUCAUCGGAAGGCCAUUCACAUGGCUGGACCUCCGCGGUGCGAGGCAAAUUAUAUUUGGGCCUAUGUGCUUCUUCAUUUUGCUUUUCCUUCGAGCUUCGGCUCGAUGAGCCCCUCAAAAAUCUCUUCAUUAUUUUCUGAAAAAUUCUGAAAUUUUUAGUAACUUCAAACAAAGGUGAACCAAGCUCAACAAAAUUGAUAGCAACUACUCCUACAAGUGCCUAGAGCCUAUAACAUGCAUUAGAACUACUUGGAACCAUAUAAAUUUGACAUGCAAGCUCAAGAACAUGGUCACCUAGGCAGCACAAAUUUGCAAUGAAUAGAGCACUAGAACAAAAACUAAUUGGACCAAUGGAGGAGUCACAUAGCAAGGAACAAUCUCCCCAAGCAGUUUUGUGAGAGGUGCUUUGAGCAAGGAGAUCGAAAAUCGCAGCAAAAUGAGCUAGAACUCGUGCUUGAGCUGGAUAUUGGUGUUUGUGGGAGGAAGAAGGAGUGUGUGGGUGCAGUAAUAAGUGGAGGGGGGCCACCGUGGGCCCACGAGGCAGGGGGGCGCGCCCUCCACCCUCGUGGCCAGGUGCUUGCCCUCCUGCUGUGUUCUCAGUGCCAGAUAUUCUCAAAUAUUCCAGAAAAAAUCAUAUUCCAUUUUCAGGGCAUUUGGAGAACUUUUAUUUUUGGGGUAUUUUUAUAUUGCACGGAUAAAUCAGAAAACAGACAGAAAAAUACUAUUUUUACUUUAUUUCAACUAAAUAACAGAAAGUAGGAGGGUACAGAAGAUUGUGUCUUCUAGUUUCAUCCAUCUCAUGCUAUCAAACGGAAUCCACUAACAAGGUUGAUCAGGUCUUGUUAACAAACUCAUUCCGAAUAACAUGGAACCGGAGAAAUUUCGAAUAACACUAUGUUUCCUCAACGGGGAUAUGCACAUCCCCAAUAAUAAGAAUAUCAUAUUUCUUCUUGACAGUAGGAAGAGGAAAUUCAAAACCUCCAAAUAUAAUCGAUGGAAUUUUUCCAAUAGAAUUGAUACUAUGAACUUGAGGUUGUUUCCUCGGAAAGUGUACCGUAUGCUCAUUACCAUUAACAUGAAAAGUGACAUUGCCUUUGUUGCAAUCAAUAACAGCCCCUGCAGUAUUCAAAAAGGGUCUUCCAAGAAUAAUAGACAUACUAUCGUCCUCGGGAAUAUCAAGAAUAACAAAGUCCGUUAAAAUAGUAGCGUUUGCAACUACAACAGGCACAUCCUCACAAAUACCGACAGGUAUAGCAGUUGAUUUAUCAGCCGUUUGCAAAGAUAUUUCAGUAGGUGUCAACUUAUUCAAAUCAAGAUUACAUAUAAAGAGAGAGAGGCAUAACACUAACACCGGCUCCAAGAUCACAUAAAGCAGUUUUAACAUAGUUUCUUUUAAUGGAGCAUGGUAUAGUGGAUACUCCUGGAUCUCCAAGUUUCUUUGGUAUUCCACCCUUAAAAGUAUAAUUAGCAAGCAUGGUGGAAAUUUCAGCUUCCGGUAUCUUUCUUUUAUUAGUAACAAUAUCUUUCAUAUACUUAGCAUAAGGAUUCAUUUUGAGCAUAUCAGUCAAUCGCAUAUGCAAGAAGAUAGGUCUAAUCAUUUCAGCAAAGCGCUCAAAAUCCUCAUCAUCCUUUUUCUUGGAUGGUUUGGGAGGAAAAGGCAUGGGUUUUUGAACCCAUGGUUCUCUUUCUUUACCAUGGUUCCUAGCAACAAAGUCUCUCUUAUCAUAACGUUGAUUCUUUGAUUGUGGGUUAUCAAGAUCAACAACACGUUCAAUUUCUACAUCAUUGUCAUUACUAGGUUGAGCAUCAUCAUGAACAUCAUCAUUAGCAUUUUCAUUAGGUUCAUGUUCAUUACCAGAUUGUGUUUCAGCAUCAGAAAUAGAAAUAUCAUUUGGAUUCUCAGGUGGUUCAGCAAUAGGUUCACUAGAAACAUGCAAAGUCCUAUCAUUUUUCUUUUUCUUCUUUUUAGAAGGACUAGGUGCAUCAAUAUUAUUUCUCUGAGAAUCUUGCUCAAUUCUCUUAGGGUGGUCUUCAGGAUACAAAGGUUCCUGAGUCAUUCUACCAGUUCUAGUAGCCACUCUAACAACAUAAUCAUUUUUCUUACUAUUCAUUUCAUUGAGCAAAUCAUUUUGAGCUUUAAGUACUUGUUCUACUUGAGUGGUAACCAUAGAAGCAUGUUUACUAAUGAGUUUAAGUUCACCUUUAACUCUAGACAUAUAAUCACCCAAGUGUACAAGCGUAUCGGAAUUGUAUUUCAAUUGUCUACCAAAAUAAGCAUUGAAGUUUUCUUGUUUGACAAUAAAAUUAUCAAACUCUUCUAAGCAUUGUCUAGCAGACUUAUAGUGAGGAAUAUCACCUUCAUCAAAUCUAUAGAGAGAAUUUACCUUUACUACCUGUGUCGGGUUAUCAAGACCAUGAGGUUCUUCAAUAGGUAAUGGAUUAGGAUCAUAUAUUUCUUCAACAGGCGGUAAAUUAAGACCAUUUAUUUCUUCAAUAGGAGGUAAAUUCUUAACAUCUUCAGCUUUAAUACCCUUUUUCUUUCAUAGAUUUCUUUGCCUCUUGCAUAUCUUCAGGACUGAGAAAUAGAACACCUCUCUUCUUCGGAGUUGGUUUAGGAAUAGGCUCAGGAGCUGGCUCAGGAGCUAGCUCAAGAAGUGUCCAAUUAUUUUCAUUUGUCAACAUAUUAUUCAAUAGAAUUUCAGCUUCAUCCGGUGUUCUUUCCCUGAAAACAGAACCAGCACAACUAUCCAGGUAAUCUCUGGAAGCAUCGGUUAGUCCAUUAUAAAAGCAAGUAUUUCAUUUUUCUUAAGAGGAUGAUCAGGCAAAGCAUUAAGUAACUUGAGAAGCCUCCCCCAAGCUUGUGGGAGACUCUCUUCUUCAAUUUGCACAAAGUUGUAUAUUUCCCUUAAAGCAGCUUGUUUCUUAUGAGCAGGGAAAUAUUUAGCAGAGAAGUAAUAAAUCAUAUCCUGGGGACUACGCACACAAUCAGGAUCAAGAGAAUUAAACCAUAUCUUAGCAUCACCCUUUAAUGAGAACGGAAAUAUUUUAAGGAUAUAAAGAUAGCGAGAUCUCUCAUCAUUAGUGAACAGGGUGGCUAUAUCAUUUAAUUUAGUAAGAUGUGCCACAACAGUUUCAGAUUCAUAGCCAUGAAAAGGAUAAGAUUCAACCAAAGUAAUUAUAUCAGGAUCAACAGAGAAUUCAUAAUCCUUAUCAGUAACACAGAUAGGUGAAGUAGCAAAAGCAGGGUCAGGUUUCAUUCUAGCAUUAAGAGGGUGCUGCCUCCAUUUAGCUAAUAACCUCUUGAGUUCAUAUCUAUCUUUGCAAGCUAAAAUAGCUAAAGCAGCUUCUUUUUCAAAAACAUAACCCUCAGGAAUAACAGGCGAGUCUUCAUCAUCACUUUCAUCAAUAUAAUCAGUUUCAAUAAUUUCUUUCUCUCUAACCCUAGCAAUUUGUUCAUCAAGAAAUUCACUAAGUGGCACAGUAGUAUCACGCAUAGAAGUAGUUUCAUCAUAAGUAUCAUGCAUAGCAGAAGUGGCAUCAUCAAUAACAUGCGACAUAUCAGAACGAAUAGCAGAAGCAGGUUUAGGUGUCGCAAGCUUACUCAAAACAGAAGGUGAAUCAAGUGCAGAGCUAGAUGGCAGUUCCUUACCUCCCCUCGUAGUUGAGGGAUAAAUUGUUGUCUUAGCGUCUUUCAAGUUCUUCAUAGUGACCAGCAGAUAUAAAUCCCAAGUGACUCAAAGAAUAGAGCUAUGCUCCCCGGCAACGGCGCCAGAAAAUAGUCUUGAUAACCCACAAGUAUAGGGGAUCGCAACAGUUUUCGAGGGUAGAGUAUUCAACCCAAAUUUAUUGAUUCGACACAAGGAGAGCCAAAGAAUAUUCUCAAGUAUUAGCAGUUGAGUUGUCAAUUCAACCAGACCUGGAUAACUUAAUAUCUGCAACAAAGUAUUUAGUAGAAAAGUAGUAUGAUAGUAGUGGUAAUGGUAACAAAAGUAACGGUAGCAAAAGUAAUAUUUUUGGUGUUUUGUAGUGAUUGUAACAGUAGCAACGGAAAAGUAAAUAAGCGGAGAACAAUAUAGGAAAAGCUCGUAGGCAUUGGAUCGGUGAUGGAGAAUUAUGCCGGAUGCGGUUCAUCAUGUAACAAUCAUAACAUAGGGUGACACAGAAAUAGCUCCAAUUCAUCAAUGUAAUGUAGGCAUGUAUUCCGAAUAUAGUCAUACAUGCUUAUGGAAAAGAACUUGCAUGACAUCUUUUGUCCUACCCUCCCGUGGCAGCGGGGUCCUAAUGGAAACUAAGGGAUAUUAAGGCCUCCUUUUAAUAGAGUACCGGAACAAAGCAUUAGCACAUAGUGAAUACAUGAACUCCUCAAACUAUGGUCAUCACCGGGAGUGGUCCCGAUUAUUGUCACUUCGGGGUUGCCGGAUCAUAACACAUAGUAGGUGACUAUAGACUUGCAAGAUAGGAUCAAGAACUCACAUAUAUUCAUGAAAACAUAAUAGGUUCAGAUCUGAAAUCAUGGCACUCGGGCCCUAGUGACAAGCAUUAAGCAUAGCAAAGUCAUAGCAACAUCAAUCUUAGAACAUAGUGGAUACUAGGGAUCAAACCCUAACAAAACUAACUCGAUUACAUAAUAGAUCUCAUCCAACCCAUCACCGUCCAGCAAGCCUACGAUGGAAUUACUCACGCACGGCGGUGAGCAUCAUGAAAUUGGUGAUGGAGGAUGGUUGAUGAUGACGAUGGCGACGAAUCCCCCUCUCCGGAGCCCCGAACGGACUCUAGAUCAGCCCUCCCGAGAGGUUUUAGGGCUUGGCGGCUCCGUAUCGUAAAACGCGAUGAAUCCUUCUCUCUGAUUGUUUUCUCCCUGAAAGUGAAUAUAUGGAGUAGGAGUUGAGGUCGGUGGAGCGUCAGGGGGCCCACGAGGUAGGGGGCACGCCCUAGGGGGGUAGGCGCGCCCCCACCCUCGUGGGCAGGGUGUGGGCCCCCUGACGUGGAUUUUUCUUCCAGUAUUUCUCUUAUUUUCCAAAUAGAUGUUCUGUGGAGUUUCAGGUCAUUCCGAGAACUUUUGUUUCUGCACAUAAAUAACACCAUGGAAAGUCUGCUGAAAACAGCGUCAGUGCGGGUUAGUUCCAUUCAAAUCAUGCAAGUUAGAGUCCAAAACAAGGGCAAAAGUGUUUGGAAAAGUAGAUACGACGGAGACGUAUCAGCUGGCAUGGCAGGUUCGUUCAAGACCAUUCUUAACUCAACUAACGACAUCAUUACAAAGAACCCAAGGGUCCAUGAGAGAUUUUAUCUCCCCUAUCUUCUUCGCCACGACCCUGCUCGCUGGCGCGCGGACGACGGAAGCCUAGCCUUGUGCAAGUUGAUGCUGCUUGAUAAUGAUACAUGUGAUGUUAAGAUGCCAUCGCUUAAGGGUAAGGCCUGGGCAGGUGCAAAUGGAGAUUGGGUUGUUUAUAUUGGGUACAACUGCGAGUGGGAACUUGUGAAUGUGUACACUCGUCAGCGGAUUCCACUUCCAAAAAUCUCAGAUUGCCCUGAGGUUGAGCACACAGAUGAUAUACGCAUGUUCAAAUACGAUCAUGGUGAAUGUCGUCUACGGAAGAUAGCAAUCUGUCGAGUUCCCAACCGCUCUUGGAAUUACAGGAACUGUCAUGUUGUUGCUAUCUUCGACAAGCUUGUUGCCAUCCUUACUUCCACGCCUCGAUGGAUAUUGCUCAAAAAUCAAUUUAUGUACAUGGAUGAGUACUGUGAUGCAAUUCAAUACGAGCUUCUUGUGUUUGCUGCCACCACUCAUGGCACUGUUUUUGCAUGGAAUCCUUAUGGUUUAGGUACAUUUGUCUUCCACCGUAAUUAUAAUUGUUUCAUCCACAUGCAUGCGGGUUAGCUAGUUUCCCGUUACUAAUUAACCUUCUUGUGUUUCCAAGGUCCUGUGAACAUUCCACCACCUAUACUUGAAAUUUUUUAUAACCAAGGGGGAGAUGACGAUGGUGAUGAUCACGAGCAUGAGGACGAGUAGGACCUAUCACUACAAAAAAAAGACACAUCCGUGACAUUUUGGGCCGAACGAAUUUUUUCUGUCAUACAUAUGACACUUCUAUGACGAUAAUUGUGACAAAACCCGGUAUCAUCAUAGAUGUGGUGGGCUCCUACUUAUAUGACAAAAAAUCAUGACAGAAAAUGGGCUUUUCGUCCUGGGCGGGCCGGAGACGCAGUUGCAUGACAUUAUUUGGGCCGUCCAUGACGGAAAAAACCGUGGUAGAAGCGAGGGCGAGGAAAAUUUUGGCGAGUUCCCGGUUACGGUGGGAGGUCGGGGGCCGAGCGAUGCGCGUUUCUCUCGUACACGUACGCGCGUGUGUGCGAGGCGUUGGCUCUAACUGAACCCGAGCGAGGCGUUGGGCUCUAACUGAACCCGAGCGAUUGCACUGCAGGCUANNNNNNNNNNNNNNNNNNNNNNNNNNNNNNNNNNNNNNNNNNNNNNNNNNNNNNNNNNNNNNNNNNNNNNNNNNNNNNNNNNNNNNNNNNNNNNNNNNNNNNNNNNNNNNNNNNNNNNNNNNNNNNNNNNNNNNNNNNNNNNNNNNNNNNNNNNNNNNNNNNNNNNNNNNNNNNNNNNNNNNNNNNNNNNNNNNNNNNNNNNNNNNNNNNNNNNNNNNNNNNNNNNNNNNNNNNNNNNNNNNNNNNNNNNNNNNNNNNNNNNNNNNNNNNNNNNNNNNNNNNNNNNNNNNNNNNNNNNNNNNNNNNNNNNNNNNNNNNNNNNNNNNNNNNNNNNNNNNNNNNNNNNNNNNNNNNNNNNNNNNNNNNNNNNNNNNNNNNNNNNNNNNNNNNNNNNNNNNNNNNNNNNNNNNNNNNNNNNNNNNNNNNNNNNNNNNNNNNNNNNNNNNNNNNNNNNNNNNNNNNNNNNNNNNNNNNNNNNNNNNNNNNNNNNNNNNNNNNNNNNNNNNNNNNNNNNNNNNNNNNNNNNNNNNNNNNNNNNNNNNNNNNNNNNNNNNNNNNNNNNNNNNNNNNNNNNNNNNNNNNNNNNNNNNNNNNNNNNNNNNNNNNNNNNNNNNNNNNNNNNNNNNNNNNNNNNNNNNNNNNNNNNNNNNNNNNNNNNNNNNNNNNNNNNNNNNNNNNNNNNNNNNNNNNNNNNNNNNNNNNNNNNNNNNNNNNNNNNNNNNNNNNNNNNNNNNNNNNNNNNNNNNNNNNNNNNNNNNNNNNNNNNNNNNNNNNNNNNNNNNNNNNNNNNNNNNNNNNNNNNNNNNNNNNNNNNNNNNNNNNNNNNNNNNNNNNNNNNNNNNNNNNNNNNNNNNNNNNNNNNNNNNNNNNNNNNNNNNNNNNNNNNNNNNNNNNNNNNNNNNNNNNNNNNNNNNNNNNNNNNNNNNNNNNNNGUUUCCUCCGUUUUGCGGUACUCCACACCCCUCCCGAUCAACAGGACCCCCGUUUCGACCGUAGGAGGUCCGUUUCCUCCGUUUUGCGGUACGCCACUCCUCCCGAUCAACAGGACCCCCAUUUCGACCGUAGGAGGUCAGUUUCCUCCGUUUUGCGGUACGCCACACCCCUCCCCAUGAACACGACGCAUUCCGUUGCCUCCCCAUGAACACGACGACGAUGCUGUUUCUCCGUUCCAACCCAGCCAUGUACACGAGCCCUGGCCGUACGUAUGCGCGAGUAGGCGUUCGAGACCCCGCCCGUAUGUACACAUACGUGGCCGUAUUUUCUUUCUUGCACCCUAGCCGCUGUACGUACGUGUACAUGCUACGUGCGCGCCUCUAUUACGACACGUACGCGCCUUCUACUACGACACGUGUGCGCCUCUACAUCCACCAGUAUAUAUGUACGUACACGUUCGCGACCAGAAUGACAACGCUACGUACGCUUCAACCAGGUGGGUCCCGACUGUCAGGCACUUCCUUGCCUGCGAAGAUGUAGCUGGUGGGUCCCAUCAGUCAGGGGGCGAAUCAUUUUUUUUGCCCGGACGCACUUCCUUGCGUGCGAAGAUGUAGCUGGUGGGUCCCAGCAGUCAGGGGCAAACAUUUUUUUCCCGAAAUACGGUGGCCCGUCCGGUGGGUCCCCGCUGUCAGGUGGAGGAAUAAUUAUUUUGCACGUAAUAAGGAGGCACUUCCUUGCUGCGGCCGUGGACCAAGCUGUCAGCCUCUCCACGUAUAGUCCACGUCCGAUGGAAGCCGUUCCUUGACCACGUUGACCACGCCGCGCCGAGAGCACCAGGGCGGUGGACGACGGCGAGGCCUAGGAAGGGGACGACGCGGAGCCGGGGAAGACGCGGCAGUGGAUGCCCACGCGUAGAGGAGUACGAGGGUUCACUGGUUCGCUGCGGUGUGAGGCUGCCGUCGCCGCAGAAUAACAGGGGGUGUGGGUGAGUAGAGGGAUGGCCUGGCCGGCGGUGGGAGUAGUAGGGGGCGGUGAGGCCUCCGCCGCAUCGCAGCCGGCCACGGGAGGCAGGAGCACGAGGCACGACCGGCACUGGUUUGGGCGGCUGGAGCAAGAAGACCAGAGGUUGAAGAAGCACUACGGCCGUUGGAUGGACAUCGUACGGUCACUGGAGCUAGAAUCAUGCAUAUUGACUAAGUUGACAAAGCCCUCCGUCCCCGUCAACUUAGUAGGCCCACAAGUCAGCCUGCCACUAUACUGGGUCCCAGCUAACAGGGGGAGUAUUCAUUUUUUUUGUGCGUAAUAAGGAGGCACUUCCUUGCGUGCGAAGAUAUAGCUAGUGGGUCCGAGCUGUCAGCGGCGGUAACGUUUUUUUCGCGAAAUACAGAGGCCCUUUCGGUGGGUCCCUGAUGUCAGGUGGAGGAAUCUUUAUUUUGCGCGUAAUAAGGAGGCAUUUCCUUGCGUGCAGCCGUGGACCCAGCUGUCGGCCUCUCCACGUACAGUCCACUUCAGAUGCAUGUCGGUUGUUGACCACGUUGACCAGGCCGCGCCGAGAGCACCAGGGCAGUGGACGACGACGAGGCCUAGGAAGGGAACGACACGGAGGCAGGGAAGACUCGGCAGUUGUUUCCCACGCGGAGGGAAGUACGACUGUACAGGGUUUACUGGUUCGUCUGCCGUCGCCGGAGAAUAACAGCAGGUGUGGGUGAGUAGAGAGGGAUGGCUAGGCCAGCGAUGGGAGUACGGUGGGGCGGUGAGGCCUUCGCGGCAGCACAGCCGGCCGCGGGGAGGAGGGAGCAUGCAGUCCCGCCGGCGCUUGUUUGAGCGGCUGGAGCAGGAAGAGCAGAGAUUGAAGAAGCACGACGGCCGUUCAAUGGACAUCCAACAGUCACUGCUUGUGCGUCAACCUUUUUUAGGAAAGCCUCAAAUCUGUGGAAAACAGCAUACAACCCAUCUGCCAUUAUUUCUAAUAAUUUACAGCCCAUUUGCUAAUUCUUAAGAUUUUUUUGGAGCCCAUAUUCUUUUUGUUAGCAUUACAGCCCAUAUUGUGGCCACGGUUAAAAAAUUAUACGAAAUUUUGCAUAUUUCGGUGCGGUCUGAACUGUUUUUAAUCCCGAAAUUUCGACUCACAUUCAAACUAAUUUUAAAAAUAAAUGUAUAUCAAUAUAAAAUCCAACAAAUUCUCCACGCAUAAAAAUUAAUGUAAUUUAAAAUUUCGAAAUGAAAAAAAGAUAUUUGAAACUAAUUGCCGGUUUGAUGUGUUUUAAAAAUGUACAGCCCAUUUCUCAUUACUGAUAGGCCAUUUUCUCGGCCAGCCGAAUGAAGCUCUCCUCAUCUUGAAAGAUUUGCAGCCCAACAGGCCUGACAAAGCGACUUACUUGGCAAAUCACAAAAAAACUGGGCUGUGUCCGUGGACCCAGCUGUCAGCCUCUCCACGUACAGUACUCUUCCGAUGGAAGUCGGUCGUUGACCACAUUGACCACGCCGUGCCGAGAGCACCAAGGCGGUGGACGACGGCGAGGCCUAGGAAGGGGACGACGCGGAGCCGGGGAAGACGCGGCAGUGGAUGCCCACCCGGAGAGGAGUACGAGCGUUCACUGGUUCGGCUGCGGCGUGAGGCUGCCGUCGCCGCAGAAUAACAGGGGGUGUGGGUGAGUAGAGGGAUACCCUGGGCCAGCGGUGGGAGUAGUAGGGGGUGGUGAGGCCUCCGCGGCAUCACAGCCGGCCACGAGAGGCAGGAGCACGCGGCACGACCGGCGCUGCUUUGGGCGGCUGGAGCAAGAAGACCAGAGAUUGAAGAAGCACUAUGGCCGUUGGAUGGACAUCGUACGGUCACUGGAGCUAGAAUCGUUCAUAUUGACUAAGUUGACAAAGCCCUCCGUCCUCGUCAACUUAGUAGGCCCACAAGUCAGCCACCCACUAUGCUGGGUCCCAGCUAGCAGGGGGUAUUCAUUUUUUGGUGCGUAAUAAGGAGGCACUUCCUUGCGUGCGAAGAUAUAGCUGGUGGGUCCGACCUGUCAGCGUUGGGAACGUUUUUUUCGUGAAAUACAGAAGCCCUUCCCACGUACAGUGCACGUACAGUGCGUAAUAAGGAGGAACUUUCCUUGCGUGCGACCAUGGACCUCGUGGGUCCCAGCCGUCAGGCUCUCCACGUACAGUCCUCUUCCGAUGACUCUCGUAUGUUGACCACGCCGCGCCGAGCGCACCGAGGCGAUGGACGACGGCGAGGCCCCAGACUGGAACGACCCGAAGAUGGGGAAGACGCGGCAGUGGAGUCGCAGACGGAGAGGAGUGGGAAACUUGACUGGUUCGGGUGCGGGGUGGGCCUACACUCGGCAGAGAAUAACAAGAGGUGCGGAGUGGAGGGAUGGCCUGGCCGUCGGCGGGGUAGCGUUUCGCUGAGGAGUGCAAAACAACGCCGCUUGACGCCGAAGGCUGGAGCAGGCGGUUCCGGCAGCGCUGGGGGAAGAAGACGAGAGAUUGAAGAAGAAUGCCGGCCGUUGGAUGUAAAUCCAACGCCUUCUUAGGCUUCGACCUACUGGCCCACAUGUCAGCCAGUCCAUUUGUUUCUUAGUCCAUUUGGUGGGCUGGGUGAAGCAAUGAUGUAGCAUCUAUGCAGCCCGUUUAAAUCCCAUUUGCAUUUUUCUCGAAAUCCGUGGACUUGCUGGGCUGGGUGAAAAUAUCAUGUUGGGCUAGACGGAGAAAUGUUAUAAAAACAUAAACACAUGAUUGCACGUCAGUAAAAUCUUUGCAAGCUUAUGUACGCAAUCACUAGGAGUUAACUUGCCAAGUUAUAUAUAAACAAUUAUUAUUAUUAUUUUGUAAGAAAUUUCAACUUACGAAAUAAAAUAUCAUUUUAAUUUGAUGAGUUAAUAGUACGUGGGGUAUUAUUAUUUUUAGGCUAGACGUGGGACAGUUGAGUUGGUUCUAGGGGAAAGUACUGGGAGAAAACUCAGUUUACAUCAAAAAAGAAAGUGGGAGAAAAUUCAGAGACGUGCUGGGUCCACCUGAGGAGGGGAAUAUGUUGGGAGGAAGGAGAUUCAAAGCACGGCAGCCGAGUGAACUAGUUUUUUUUACGGACAAGUGAACUAGUUUACAUACAUAAGAAAAUAGCCACUAAAAAAAGCAAUCAGGUUAAUGGGUUCUUAAAAGAAAUAUUUCGGACAAAACAGAUAAUUAUGACACAUAGGCUAAUGCAUGAAACACUCAGAUGAUAAAGGUGCUUAUAAACAGAUAAAGUACAACAUCUAGACCUUCCUGGCACGCUUGAUCAUGAUGCUGCGGCUGUCCGUGUACUCGUCGGUUACGGGAAGCACACACACCCUCAUGUCCAAGAUCUGCCUGUACAUGUCGUAGCAUGCGUAUGCGUCCUUGGCCGCGUAGGUUAUGUAGGCUAGAUUCAGAGGUACCUCCCACGUGUUCAAGUCGUCUUCUUUCAUGUUGGCGUAUCAAGGGUCGAUGAUGGUCUCAGCGAGGUCAACCACGGAGUCCUUCUCCUGCCCGUUGCUGAUGAUCUUGUAUUGCUUCUGGAUGUCGACAAGCUUGUUGCACGAGAUGGCAGAAUCGUUGCGUUCUUCCUUCUCUCCACCGUAGCGAAGGUGCAGUCGGCGCUGCCGAUGAAACGGGCGAAUGCUCCAGAACUUGGUGCAGCCAUAGGAUUGAGGCGAGGCAGAGCUUCACCGAGUCCGUAUCGUUGGUGUACAUCACAUUCAACUUGGUGCAGCCAUAGGAUUGAACGGGGAACUCAAAGGGGAACUCCUUGUUGAAGUCCAUAUCCAACAGGCUCACCCCUCGGAUCGCCAUUGGAGUCUCUUCGAGUGAACGAGUGUGUAGGCGGCGGCAGCAGUUCAUUUUUCAGCUCUUGGGGAACUGGAUUCAACAGUAAGUUGAGUGUGUACAUGCGACAAUAGUUACUACCCCUCCCUCGUCCGCUGCACGCCCGGCAGAAGAUGCACCCUCGGCCACACGUCGGUUCACGAGCGGGUCUGUAUUGGUACUGUAAUAACAGGAGUUAGUGGUCACUUUACUUAAAUUUAAUUAGCUUUAAUAGAAAUUUAUACUUAAAACAAGCAAUGCAUUCGCUCGUUCUAUCAGUGCCACAGGAACAACAUGCACAACAAUUAGAAUUGUUAUUCUCAGGACGCACACGAUCAGCACAUUUGUCGCACUUUCACAAAGAUAAUACUACCAAGUUUGAACUGUUUGUUAUGGUUGUUGUCCUCUGCAUCAUCAUGCCGUGUUUCCCAGUUUGCAAGAUUCAGAACCAACAAAUAAGAUCCAAAUAAUAAGUACAACAAAGAUGCCUACACAUCUCAUUGAUUCCCAGCUUGCAAGAUUCAGAACCAACAAAUAAGACUCAAAUAAUAAGUACAACAAAGAUGCCUACACAUCUCACUGAUUCCCAGCUUGCAAGAUUCAGAACCAACCCAUUAGAGCCUUUUGAUAAAGUGAAUAUCGGGAUUAAAUCCAUCUUGGCUAGUUAUGUCAUACAAUCGAAGAACUUGGCAAAUGCUCUUGACCGUCACAACAUCUGUAGUUGAGUAUUCCUGUUUGCACAACACAGAUAAUAAAGAGCAUGAUUACUAUAAUACUGGCACUAUUGGAAGUCAACCUGCAGCUCCACUCGAUGAUUCAAUUCAUGCCACUUUUUCUGCAGUUCACCUAAAAUGAAGUAAAAAUUGUAUCAUUCAGCUAGCAAGAAGUACUUGCUCUUGUGAGCUGGCAGGUUCUUCUUUAGUAGUUGCACAAAAAUUGAGCAACAUUAAGGUUGGCUGUCCGGCUCAUGUAAGGUGCAACUAUAAUUUUCUUAUCCUUUUGUGCAGUUCCACUAAAAUAAAGUGCCAUUGUGGUGACAGUGACGGCUCCAUCUUGCAAAGGCUAAUAAAAUGUUGCACGAGAUUACCAGCAGAACUUGACGGAGAUUUUGGAAACUCCAAUCACCAUUUUGUGUAGUUCCACCAAAAUUGAGAGAUGUUGCCCACGUGACAUUUUAGUUGAACUGCACAGGACACUCAUUCCAAAAAAAGUGUUUUGUGUAGUUCACCAAAAGGUCACAAUAGCAACAAGGUGAAAUGGAUAUCCCUAUCUGCACAAAAAGAUAGAAAGUAAACAGUUGCUGGUCAAUAAUAAUAUACGAAACAUAUACAAAAUGAAAAGAAGCAUCUUAAUUAUGUUCAUGGCAAUCACGCAAGGACAGUAGAAAUUUUAAAACGUCAGCAAUGCUUCAUGUUACCAGAAGCAUUACGAUCAACAAUGAGAUCCCUCAAAUAUGGGAUUACUUUAAUGGUGGCAUUGCUUGUUUACCAGACACAGUAAAUCAACAGCAGCUAAAGAGUUGGUUUAAGGGCAUGGGACCGUGGGGACACCAGGACACUCAGCAGCGUAAAGGAGCAACUUACUUAUCAUACUGGGCAAAACAGCAGGAGUGCCAUUUGUAACACAGUUUAAUUGCAUCUUAUCACUGGAGGCAUUAGAUUAACAAUAACACUGGUUAGACAUGUCCCUAAGAUAACAGUGUGAUCGCUUCAUUUUACAUGCACCCUUACAUUAACAAUAGCAAAAGGUUGGUAUAAGGACAUGCGACAGUGGACGCAUCAGCAUAAUGUACCUACAAAAGGAGGCAUAAAGUGGUGAUGCCGAGUUUGUUCAUGCUAUGUGAGGGCAGCAAACCUAAUCCUAGAGACCUUGUACUAUGUGAGGGCAGCAAAUCUAAUCCUGGGGACCUUUUACUAUGUGAGGGCAGCAAAUCUAAUCCUGGAGACCUUUUACUAUGUGAGGGUAGCAAAUCUAAUCCUGGAGACCUUUUACUAUGUGAGGGCAGCAAAUCUAAUCCUGAGACCUUUUACUAUGUGAGGGCAACAAAUCUAAUCCUGAGACCUUUUACUACGUGAGGGCAGCAAAUCUAAUCCUAGAGACCUUUUACUAUGUGAUGGCAGCAAAUCUAAUCCUGGACAUACUCUGUUGACUUGUCCACCAGCUGCCACUUUCUAUCCUUUUUUCAACCAAUAAUAGAUCUGUUCCUUAUACAGCUUGUACUGCGUUUUCCCAUUAUUUCCCUUUUCAACCAAGAGACCGGUUGGGUAUCCGGUCUCUACUACUUUCACGAUAUUAUUUCCUCUUUGAAUCAAGUCCUAGAUUCAUGCUACAACUUUCCCCCCUUUCUUCGUUGUUUCAACAAAGCCCUAGAUUCGAAUGCAUGAAGUAGCUUUACCUCUAAUAAUACUAAAAGUUUAGGUGGCUUUGGAAGAGCUGAUGGGAGUAGAAAAAGAUGCACAUGCAGACACGUGGGGAGCUGGGGCAGUAUGUAACACCCCGGAUGUAACUUUCCAUAUUUGUAACUCCAACUCUUGCCAUUUUCGGCUAUGUGUUAUGAUAUUCCCUUCGUGGUCGGGUUUUGUCUUUCGUUUUGCAUUUUGUUCAUGUCAUGCAUCUCAUAUCAUGUCAUCAUGUGCAUCUCAUUUGCAUACGUCUUCGUCUCAUGCAUCCGAGCAUUUUCCCCGUUGUCCGUUUUGCAAUCCGACACUCCCACAUGCACCGGCGCACCCCUCUUGUUUCUUUCGUGAGCGGGUGUUAAACGUUCUCGGAAUGGACCGAGGUUUGCCAAGUGGCCUUGGUACACCACCGGUAGACCACCUGUCAAGUUUCGUUCCAUUUGGAGGUCGUUUGAUGCUCCAACGGUUAACCGGGUAACCGCAAAGGCCUUUUGUGUGUUGCAGCCAAACCCCCCUCCAAACAACCCAAUAACCCAUCUAAGCCCCCUCCAUGCUCUCGGUCGUUCGAUCACGAUCGUGUGGACGAAAACCGCACUCCAUUUGGAGUCUCCUAGCUCCCUCUACCUAUAAAUAUGUGCUUCCCCCCAAAAUUUUCGGGCAAAACCCUAGUCUCCCCCUUCCUCCGCGCGCCGGACACGUCCGCCCGGCGCCGGACGCNNNNNNNNNNNNNNNNNNNNNNNNNNNNNNNNNNNNNNNNNNNNNNNNNNNNNNNNNNNNNNNNNNNNNNNNNNNNNNNNNNNNNNNNNNNNNNNNNNNNNNNNNNNNNNNNNNNNNNNNNNNNNNNNNNNNNNNNNNNNNNNNNNNNNNNNNNNNNNNNNNNNNNNNNNNNNNNNNNNNNNNNNNNNNNNNNNNNNNNNNNNNNNNNNNNNNNNNNNNNNNNNNNNNNNNNNNNNNNNNNNNNNNNNNNNNNNNNNNNNNNNNNNNNNNNNNNNNNNNNNNNNNNNNNNNNNNNNNNNNNNNNNNNNNNNNNNNNNNNNNNNNNNNNNNNNNNNNNNNNNNNNNNNNNNNNNNNNNNNNNNNNNNNNNNNNNNNNNNNNNNNNNNNNNNNNNNNNNNNNNNNNNNNNNNNNNNNNNNNNNNNNNNNNNNNNNNNNNNNNNNNNNNNNNNNNNNNNNNNNNNNNNNNNNNNNNNNNNNNNNNNNNNNNNNNNNNNNNNNNNNNNNNNNNNNNNNNNNNNNNNNNNNNNNNNNNNNNNNNNNNNNNNNNNNNNNNNNNNNNNNNNNNNNNNNNNNNNNNNNNNNNNNNNNNNNNNNNNNNNNNNNNNNNNNNNNNNNNNNNNNNNNNNNNNNNNNNNNNNNNNNNNNNNNNNNNNNNNNNNNNNNNNNNNNNNNNNNNNNNNNNNNNNNNNNNNNNNNNNNNNNNNNNNNNNNNNNNNNNNNNNNNNNNNNNNNNNNNNNNNNNNNNNNNNNNNNNNNNNNNNNGCAUCACCGCCGCCCGCAUCACCGCCUACCUCGCCCGUCCCCGCCGCCUCCGCGCGCGAGGCCGCCGCCGCCCGCAUCACCGCCGUCCCCGACCGCCGGCGCCUCCUCCCUCUCCGUCCAAGCUUCGGAUCCGCCCGAUCUCCGGCGAGCCGCCGCUGCCUCGGCAUCCGUGCCUGCGAAACCCUAGAUCGAGGUUGUCCCCGUAUUUUCCUCUUAGUCCCGAAGUUAUCACAAUAUGUUGCUCUGUUCAUCAUGGCAUAUCUCAUUGCAUACUGCUCCGUUUUGCAUGAAUGUUAUAUCGAAAUGUUCAUCACGAGAUGCUUUUCAUUUUGUUCCAUUGUGCCAUGCUCGUUUGAGUCCAUCUUGAUGCCCAAAUCUCUGGUGCAAGAGUGCUAUAUGAUGUUUACUGCUGUUACUUACCAGAACUUGAUGUUUUGUUAUUUUUGUUGCAUUUGAUGUGUGCAUCUUAUGGGCAUGAGCUCUACAGGUGUUUUGAUCUAUGCGAUGCCAUAUUUACAGAGGUGUAUGCCAUGUAUUUUUGUGAUCUAUAUGGUGACUAGCACAAGCAUGUAAACUAGGCUUCGUGAUGUUUCUGUUUUCAGGGACUUAGGAUUUUGCUGUCUUUUACUUGCUGUUAUUUUGUUGCUACGUAUCCAUGUGGCUACAGUGAGAUCCAUGCUUAUUUUGAGUAUGUUCAGUAAGAAUGUUUUGUAGAUAUGGUCAUGCUCUAUCCAUCCAAGCCUCUGUUUGCAAUUAUGGAGUGCCCUAGCAUGUCUCAAGCUUGCUCUACGUUUGCUAUAAAAUGUUCCUGGCAGAAUGUUAGCAUGAUAUUCAAUUUUGCCAAGGUUGUUGUAGUUGAUACUUACAUGCUAUGAACUUGAUCUUGCCAUGGUUAGCUUCAUAAACAUGCCAUCUUGCUGUAGGUAUGCUUGUUUUGUCAUGCAUUGCUUUGUGAUGAGUGAAUCGAGCUCACAAAGAUGCCUUCAUAUUUCUGUUAAUAUCAUGCUCUGUUUCCUGCCGUCUGAAACCUGUUAACGAAACUUGCUAUGUUUACAUGGGUGCCAUCAUACCUUCUGAUCCUUUUUGGCUGAUGGUCAGUAAGGGACUUUUGUUCUAUGAAUUUAGUAUAUUCAUGCCAUGCCUUGUUUUGCUAUGAUAUGUUCUUGUAGCAUGUGUUUUUCUUGCUCUGAACAUUGCUACCCGAUGCUGUUUCAGCCAUGUUUAGUGUUUUCACCAAGUCUGUGAAGCUGAUAUCUUUUGCACUUUUGCCAUGCUUGUUUGAACCUGUUAUUUUGUGAUCUAGCCGUAGCUCAGUGUUCAUCUUUUGUCAAGCAUCUCCUGUAGAUUACUGCCAUAUUUUUUUUUGCUAUGUUGGGGUGCUGUAGCAUAGUUACUUGAUGUAUUUUAAGUGCUAUCCUGCUGUUAAUCGCAGAUUCAUGUCAUUCUUGUUUUGCUUGCCAUUUGCAAACCGUGCAUCCGUUUCCGGUGAUCUUUAUAUUGAUUUCGACCGAAAUCAUCUCAUCUUUCCAGUGGCAUACUUGGUUUGCCAAUUUGCUGCCUUUUUCAUCCUUUUUCUUCCGGAUCACGCAUACGCAUCGCAUAUCAUAUCUCGCAUAUCAUGCAUGUAUUGCAUCAUGUUGCUUGUGCAUUUUCCGUGAUUGAUUGUGGUUCCAUUGCUUGUGUUCUUGCUGUAGGUAGAGCCGGGAGACGAGUUCGUGAACGAGGAACCUGUUGAGUAUGCUUACGAGGAUCAAGCUUUCGACAACUCUGAGAACCUUGCAGGCAAGAUGACCAUACCCUCGAAAUCACUUCUAUCUUUGCUUUGCUAGUUGUUCGUUCUAUUGCUAUGCUGCACUACCUACCACUUGCUAUAUCAUGCCUCCCAUGUUGCCAUGUCAAGCCUCUAACCAUCCUUUCCUAGCAAACCGUUGUUUGGCUAAGUUACCGCUUUUGCUCAGCCCUUCUUAUAGCGUUGCUAGUUGCAGGUGAAGUUGAAGUUGGUUCCAUGUUGGAACAUGGAUAUCUUGGGAUAUCACAAUAUCUCUUAUUUAAUUAAUGCAUCUAUAUAUUUUGGUAAAGGGUGGAAGGCUCGGCCUUAUGCCUGGUGUUUUGUUCCACUCUUGCCGCCCUAGUUUCCGUCAUACCGGUGUUAUGUUCCUUGAUUUUGCGUUCCUUACGCGGUUGGGUGAUUUAUGGGACCCCCUUGACAGUUCGCCUUGAAUAAAACUCCUCCAGCAAGGCCCAACCUUGGUUUUACAUUUUCCUACCUAAGCCUUUUUCCCUUGGGUUUUCGCGAGCCCGAGGGUCAUCUUUAUUUAACCCCCCCGGGCCAGUGCUCCUUCGAGUGUUGGUCCGAACCGAGCCGCCUGCGGGGCCACCUCGGGGAAACUCGAAGUCUGGUUUUACUCGUAGCCUGUCUCAUCCGGUGUGCCCUGAGAACGAGAUAUGUGCAGCUCCUAUCGGGAUUUGUCGGCACAGUCGGGCGGUCUUGCUGGUCUUGUUUUACCAUUGUCGAAAUGUCUUGUAAACCGGGAUUCCGAGACUGAUCGGGUCUUCUCGGGAGAAGGUUUAUCCUUCGUUGACCGUGAGAGCUUAUAAUGGGCUAAGUUGGGACACCCCUGCAGGGUAUUAUCUUUCGAAAGCCGUGCCCGCGGUUAUGAGGCAGAUGGGAAUUUGUUAAUGUCCGGUUGUAGAGAACUUGACACUUGACUUAAUUAAAAUACAUCAACCGUGUGUGUAGCCGUGAUGGUCUCUUCUCGGCGGAGUCCGGGAAGUGAACACAGUUUGAGUUAUGCAUGAACGUAAGUACUUUCAGGAUCACUUCUUGAUCAUUUCUAGCUUCGCGACCGUUGCGUUGCUUCUCUUCCCGCUCUCUUUUGCGUAUGUUAGCCACCAUAUAUGCUUAGUGCUUGCUGCAGCUCCACCUCAUUACCCAUCCUUUCCUAUAAGCUUAAAUAGUCUUGAUCUCGUGGGUGUGAGAUUGCAGAGUCCUCGUGACUCACAGAUUCUACCAAAACAGUUGCAGGUGCCGACGAUACUAGUGCAGAUGACGCAACCGAGCUCAAGUGGGAGUUCGACAAGGAACGUGGUCGUUACUAUGUUUCUUUUCCGGAUGAUCAGUAGUGGAGCCCAGUUGGGACGAUCGGGGAUCUAGCAUUUGGGGUUAUCUUAUUUUCAUUUGGAUUUGACCGUAGUCGGUCUAUGUGUGGAUUUUGGAUGAUGUAUGAAUUAAUUUAUGUAUUGUGUGAAGUGGCGAUGAUAAGCCAACUCUCGUUAUCCCAUUCUUGUUCAUUACAUGGGAUUGUGUGAAGAUAACCCUUCUUGCGACAAUACCACAAUGCGGUUAUGCCUCUAAGUCGUGCCUCGACACGUGGGAGAUAUAGCCGCAUCGUGGGUGUUACACAGUAGAGCAAGGCCGCUUUCGAAGAACUUAUACCUGAGGGUCGCGGGAUGUCGGCGGCGGCAGGUCGGAUCUGCGGACAAUAUGGAAGGGAGGAAGAAGGGUCGGAGGACCUCUAGAGCCGGCGCUGUGUCGGAGAGAACGGCAUGGGCAGAGGAUCGGGCCCCUCCGGCAGCUGUGGGUUUCCUCCCUCGGCGGCGAUGACCGCGUGAACGAUGCACCUUUUAGUCCUCUACACACACUGGCCGAAGGGAUCCGGCCGGAUCUGUGACCAGCGGUGAGCAGAGAGAAAAUGUCGCUACCGCUGUCUUUUUUAUAUCUGGAGAGGAUGAGAGAAUGAAGAGAGCAACCCUAGUAAAGCAAGCGCUCAGGCCCCUGCGUCCAUAUAUAGUGGAGUGAUUAUCUUUUUUCUCUCCACAACAAGCGUUUCAAUUUGUGUACGUGGCAUUAAAGAAAAGAAGCUCUCUAUUUAAGGUGACUACUGUACGACUCCUACUUACUAGUAGUAGUACUACAGUAUUGUUCACUUGUGCUCCCCGCCCCUCCAUUCAUUGAACAACCCCACGGGUGAAUAAACAUACAGUAAGUACUGUAUUUAUAUAGAACGAACAAGCUCGAACUAUUUUCGCGUAGUUAAAAGUUGAGGGCGGGGCUUUUCCCGGGCAAUACGCGCGGCAGUUUUCAGGUAGGCGGUUUGACAGAGAGGCAAGGAGGGUGAGCGAGUGGGGUUGUGCGAUUUGACGACGCGUUACUGCUGGAAUGACUUGUGAUAUGACCACUCACUAUAGUCAUGAAUUACUGGCGCUCCGACCGGGGUGAUGCCCCCCUUCCGUUCCGCACUCUAAUCUGGUGCAUGACACGUCGACCCGGAUGCUGGCUCUCCCACAUGUCGGAGUAGUAAGAAGGAGCAAAGAAUGAUGCGGUAUAUACUAGUACUAUACUACAGUACUACUCAGGUCGGAGUAGUGCGAACCACGGCAGCCCAGUGAACCAGCAGUGCGAACCACGGUAGCCCAAUGAACCAGCAGUAGAAAACAAUGUGGUGAUAUGGCCAUAAAAACAAUGUGCUACGGUCCACACUGUAGCAUGUACAGUAACACUCCUCUUUGUUUGGAUCCCUGAGUUAGAGCUAGUUUGGGUCGAAAUAGCCUCAAAUUAUCGAAACAAGAGGGGUUAGUUUGAGCUAGUUUGCUCUAACCCAGCUAAAAAAACUAGCCUGGUGGAGAGGUUCUAAUUGGGUUAGUUAUCCUCGGGCCCACUAAAAGAGAACUAAAAAAAAUCUCCCCUGCCCGCACCAGAUCGCUCCCCCCUCUCGCACGACUCCUCUCUGUUCCCCAUAGGGCCGCUCGCCCUCUCUCUCCUCCGGCCGCCCUCUCCUUCCGGCCUCCGCCGCCCUACUCCGGCCGUCCUCUCCCUCCGGCCUUCGAAGGUCGCCCCGCUCCCCCUUCACCAGUCGUUUUUCUCCCUGUGUCGUGCGCGGCGGCGACGCAUCUACCAGGGAGGUCGCGAGAGGGGUGAGUUUGUUCGUUCCUUCUCUAUCUCACGGCCAUAUCAUUGAUCUUGCUUGCUCUAGCGCUAAUUCUGAUUUGGAAAAGUAGAUCCUGAUCAAACUUGGUAUAGAUUUGUGGUGCGCGCAUGGAAUUUUUUGAUGCUGCUUGAGGAGGUAAUAAAUCUUUCUAGAGGCCCAAAGAUUCAGGUCACCUUUCUAGGUAUUUCAAUUUCAGACUUGCAUUAUUUCUAGAGGCCCAAAGAUUCAGUUCACCUUUCUAGGUAUUUCAAUUUCAGGCUUGCAUUAUUUCUAGAGGCCCAAAGAUUCAGUUCACCUUUCUAGGUAUUUCAGUUUCAGGCUUGCAUUAUUUCUAGUGGCCCAAAUAUUCAGUUCACCUUUCUAGGUAUUUCACUUUCAGGCUUGCAUUAUUUCUAGAGGCCCAAAGAUUCAGUUCACCUUUCUAGGUAUUUCAGUUUCAGGCUUGCAUUAUUUCUAGAGGCCCAAAGAUUCAAUUCACCUUUUGUCGGGGAUAUACCCCGCGGUAUGACCUGGCCGGAAUUAUGACCCGGCCGGACUUGGCGACUCACCAGAGACCCGACUGGAGCUUGGCGACUCACUGGCGAUCCGCCCGGACAUGGCGGUUUACAUGUAACCCGCCUGGACAUUGUGACUCACUGGAGACCCGAUGGGCGGAUCAGACGGACGACAAGGCCCAAGGCCCAGCAGGCCAGCUUAUACUCUGGUGGGCCGGUUUAAGAGGAAAGACAUAAGGAAUUUUCCCUUAAGGGGGCAGACUAGGAUUACACUUGUAAUAGACUAGUCCUAAUCAUAAUAGGACACCACAUGUAACCCGCCCCUUCAACUUAUAUAAGGAGGGGCAGGGCACCCCAAGAGGGACAGGCAAGAAACAAUCUCUAGGGCUAGACACAAAGAGCCGGCUUACCGGCGACUCUCUCAUGAGCAUAAUGAGACCUAGCCACAAACAACAUGUAGGGCUAUUACCGGAUGAUGUUUCCUGGGGCCCGAAGCUGUCUAAAUCCUUGUCUUGUGUUGCAUCUCUCGAUUUCGCUCAACCCCUCUCAAGCUACCACAUAGAUGCGUUGGCCUCGCGACUAAGUCCUGACACUAAGGACAUCUGCCGUGACAAUUCCACGACAGUUGGCGCCCACCGUGGGGCUGGCGCACGGUGGUGUUGAGUUCUUGAAGGGAUCUUUCAGGGAUCGAGAAGCUCGCUAUUUUCCAGAUGAAGAAGAGUAAUCAUAGAACAAUCACGCAAGAUAACCCGUGACGGAACAGUUGCCACGCCGGCUCAAGGGAACAAUUGCCGAGCUUUUCAGAAAUUUCGCCGCCGGCUGGGUUCCUAAUUUUGCUGGUUAAUUUUGAAAAUUUGGAGGAUGAGAUUGAAGUUCGAAGGGGAUUAGGGUUUCAUCUAUGUGCGUCGCGGCGUCGCCAUCACGUCGUCUCAAUCUGCCAAGUCCGAGACGAGAUCUACACGAGGUGAUUUGUCUGCCAGGUUACUACUCCGAGACCGACGGGAUUGGAUGGAUCUGUUGUCCGUGUCUAGAUCAAGUUCGGAGUGUUACCUGUACACAUGAAGGACUAUAGCUAUACUGCUCAUCGGGAUUAAAUUAGCAAAAUACUACUUGUAUUAGUAGUGGGCGCAUGGACCAAAGUCAAUGGAUCUUCACCUCCUCACGUGAGACUAGUACUACUCCUCACUAGGAUUAAAUAGAAGAAGAAAGGCUUUGGAGUUGUUCAAAGAUUGAAGAUAUGGCUGCUGUUAGUCUGACACGGGCUCGGACACGUACAGGAAAAGGAAAGCCAGGUACCUCGUUACAGUGGAAAAAAAGCCAAGUCAAUGACGACCCAGAGAAGGAUUUUUGGUGCUACUACGGCCUGGUUUCGCUCACCUGGUCGCCUCGGGUCGACCCGCCGAGUCGCCCUGCCGCGCCAAUCUCCUCCCCGCGACCGGUUCCCACGCCGGCUGGCCAACUCGCUGGUCCCGGCCUGCUCUGAGCUCGGAUGCAUGCGUCAUCCUCGUCCAGCGCCCGGCCUCUAAACCGCUGCGAUGACCCGCCCGCGCCUUGCCGGUUUUGCCUCCGCGGUCAAGUCACCCCGCUCCGGCUCACCACUCGUCUGCCACUAUAAGCCGCGCCGUCUCUGAAACCUCCCCGCGCCCUGGGCCGCCGCACCUAGGGCCACCGGGUCAUGGCCAACUCAAGCGCCUGCACCAGCUACCACGAUGUGGCUGACUCGUCCGUCUGCGCCCGCGCGCGCUGGGCUCCAACGCCGCGCCCGCUCUCAUAAGUCGCCCGACGGACGCGCUCAAGCCGCCGCCCCUGUGGUCCACUCUACAUCAACACAAUUCGGCUGACUUACCCGUCCACGCGGUUUACCGCACCUGCGAUUGACCCACCCAUCUGCGCUAGCUUACAACGCCGCGGUCGGCUCACCCGUGAUUAAUUUCAGCUUCACUGCGGUGAUCAUCAACUCCGCGGUGGAUAACUACUGGCCUAACGUAUUAGGUGAAAUCCAUCCAAUAUGUUUUUAUAUUACAUAUUGCUUUCUUUAAAAGAACAAAUACUUUGGCUUGCAAUACUUUUUGAUGCAGGACAAUUGUUCAUUGCGAAUGAGGUGUUAUAUUGCGGGUAUGGAGCGAGCGAUGGCAAUGUUCUGCACCGGGGUUUCGUCCAUGUCAUACUGCCCGGUGAAUGAACGUGCGCAAAGUCACCAUCCUCUGUGGCCCGGUUUACAUUAACUCGCCCGUCCGCGCCGGCUGACAGCGCCGCGGCCGACUCAUCUGUUGUCCGGGCAAAUCAGGUGAUAUUCAUCCAAGUUUGUUUUAUUAACACAUAUUGUUUUUGUUAAAGAACAAGUUUAUCUUUGCCUUGGUCUGCAAUAUUGUUUAUGCAGGGCAAUUAUUUAUGACAAAGUGACAUUGUACCGCGGAGAUGGAGGCACACCAACAUCUUUUGGCACGGGUGGUCGUCGUUACUCAACGGACUCCCGCACCGGCUUACAACGCCGUGGCCGUCUCUCACGACCGCACCGGCUUACAACGCCGUGGCCGUCUCUGCGACCACGCCGGCUUACAACAAGGAGGACGACUUGCCCAUCCGCACCGGCUUACAACGCCACGGCCGGUUCAUCUGUCUGUGCCGCCUCAGAUGUUGCGGUCGUCUUUACCGUCCGUCUCUCGCGGCCUGGCCUACAUCAACACACCGGGCCGCACCUGUCUGCAUGAGCUGUUUAUUGAGUAUGAGCAAGUCACUGCUUGGGUAGCCUGGUUUUCUUCCAACAAAUUGGAGGCAAGUUAUCAUGUCUUAUCAGCCGCCGUCUGCACUGGAUGGCUCAAUGGGUAGGUGCACAAGUCGCCGCCACUACGGGUUUGGUUAACUUCAAACAGCGAGUUGGAAGGAACCGUUGGCCGAGUUGCUGACACGGCUCAUACAGGAUCAUUUAUAACCCGUCGCAGUCACCUCAACCUUCUGUGGAUUCACAUCGCGCUAUCAACACCAAUGAUAUACACCUUAUGCUAUGGUCAAUAUGGAGAAUCUCAAAGCCAACUCCUCGAGUCGUCCUGAGACUCGGGGGCUACAAUGAUAUGACUCGGCAGCAUUGGUCGGUUUCAAUGCAUUCAAGAACUCCGGUCAUUGGAGGGAAAAAUAACCCGGUCCCGGAGGCUACCGCCAUAUUGGUAAAAAGUUUAAAGGCCGUCAGAAAAUUUUCGGCUUAAAAAGAAGGAUUCCGGUUUAGAUCCGGCUCAAGAGACUUGACAUCUCCCACAAAGCACUGAAGCUCUUAAAUAUCCGGUUUAAGGGAAAUUUAUCUGCCACAAAGUUUUGAAGCUCUCAAAUCUGGUUCAAAAUCCGAUUCAAGGUAAAUUUGUUUAUCACAAAGCUUUGAAACUCUCAAUAUCCGGUUUUUCCGGAUCAAAAAGAAUUUAUCUCUCGCAAAAGUUCGAGUUCUCAGGAAAAAUUAAAGGGACCAAAAAGAGUCUGUUACAAAGCACAACCCAAACAUAGGUACCCUGCUUUAAUGACCAUUGGGAGCUGAUCGUAUUCGAAUUUAGCUUAACCCUUUAGGUGUGACCCUGAUCGUAUUCGAAUCAGAGUCGUUAAAUAUUCGCAUGAUCACUAGGGGGCUUCCUGUUCAAACAUAGGUCGUAUUCGAACCAAAGAGAACAUAGCUGUCGGUACCCUCUUGAUCGGCACACUGCCGAGCUCACUAGGGGGCUUCUUGAUCGUAUUUGAAUCAUAGCUCGACCCCUUUUGGGAACCGACGUGGAUCGUAUUCAAAUCAGCGUCGUUAAACAACUCUCAAGGUCAUUUGGGGGCUUCCUGUUCAAACAUAGGUCGUAUUCGAACCAAAGAGAACAUAGCUGUCGGUACCCUCUUGAUCGGCAACGCCAAAGCCACUGGGGGCUAUAUGAUCGUAUUCGAAUCUUAGCUUAACCCCUUUGGGAUGGUUUUCUGAUCGUAUUCGAAUCAGAAGCCUCAAAUUUUUUGAAGUCUCUUUUUGCAAACAAUUUUUGGAUUUUAUUUGAAGCUCUUUUGAUCAUAUCUAAAGUGUAUAUGAGUGGUUGCUAUUUAACCCGGUUUGACUUUGGAUGAUAAGUCGCCAUCAUAUGACAAUCAUAAACAUUUGGAAGUCUUGAUUUCUAAAGAUUGGGUUAUUACCCUUACUGCACAGGUCACAUAAACCGGCAGUGAAAAUUCAAUAUGACAGGUAUGAUAUUAUUAUUAUAGUUAUGUUUCAAAGUUAUGAUUCAUAACAGGCUUAUCUGUGACUCCUUGUUACACAUCAAUGGUUAUAUAUGAGAUAUUAUGACCCGCCCUGCGAUAAACUGCCAAGGGUUCUUGUGAUCUACUUGUGUGCAGGAUAAGACUACAUUUGGAUGGUUACCCACCCUGGCUUUUGACGUUAAGUCGCCAGGGCAUAUGUUGUUUAAGCUCUGCGCAGGAUUUACAGAGCUAUGACUUACAUAAAUGAUUAAGUUAAAGCCCAUCAUCAAAGUUUGAAAUUGGUGUCUCAAAAGGGUUAUCAAUUCUUGAUUUUCUCGAAGGCUAUAAGCCGCCGGGUUAUGAAAUUCCGGCUUACAAUGAAUGCGCAUUAAGUCGCCAUCGGCCAAGAGUCGCCGAGUAUUUGAACUUCGGAUCUACUUGUCAAUCGAUAAGAUUAUAUUAUUCAAAUCUUGAAUAGCCAACAUGGCUGGAUUUUUAUUAUGAUUAUCAAUAUUAUGAUGGAGGUCUUUAAAGUCGCUUCAGCGCAAUGGCUAUUAUUUUAUCAAGGUAUAUGAUUUAUUUUACAAUGGAGGGAAUAGUCCCGAGUCGCUGCAGGCUUACGACCCGGCACUUGGGGGCUAUAUUAUUCAAGUUGAGGUUACAUCAAAUAGGCAAGUCCCAUGUCACUGCCAGCAUGCACCAUGGCACUUGGGGGCUAAUGCAAAGUCAUUUUUUGCUCAACUUAUUGAAGACCCGACUCAUCACAUUGUAAUGAGCCGGCCCUUGGGGGCUACCAAUUGCUCCUGUCAAAAAUUCAAGGUACACAAGCAUUAAUCCAUUAUAUUGGACGGUCCACUACUCAGUUGGUAGAGUAUAAAGCUCUUAACCUUGUGGACGUGGGUUCAAGCCCCAUGGUGGAGAUUAUAUUAUAUGAUGUUAUUAUCAAUAAAUUAUAUACAAAGUCCCCAGCUUAGUAUUAUCUUACUAACCCGGCCCUUGGGGGCUACACGUUGCUGUUCAAGUUUACAUGGUUAUAUCUACAAAGUCCCUGCUCAUUAUUGCAUGAUGACCCGGCCCUUGGGGGCUACACUGGUUGAAGUUUUCAUGAGCAUAAGGCAAUUACAAGUCCCAGGUUGCUGCAAGCAUGACAACCCGACACUUGGGGGCUACAGGUGAUAUGCAUAUAAGGGAGAAAAAAAUCUUCAAAUUCUCAGUUUGGAGCAGACCAGAUUAACCCGGUGUCUGCAACAAUCAUGACCCGGCAUCAUUUAUUUAUAACCCGGCAAUUUUGGCAAUCAUAGAUCGGCAAGAUCUACAUCUUUAAGCUGGCUGAAUAUCAGUUGAAUAUUUCAAGACCAAUAUUUUUGUCAAGUCAGAGCUUUGAAGGCUGACUCAAAUGGAUUAUUUCUUAUAAGUAUCUCUCUCCAAGAGCCAAUGUCAGCAAAUUGAUUAUGAAGCUCGCCUAUUGACCCGAAUUUUUCAAAGGAAGUAUCUGGAUUUUUUGCAUUGACAAAGUUGAAACAUAUCUGUUGAGGAGAUUUGUUAUGAAUUCAUGGGCGUGUAUCAAGAAGGAAAUGACAAGGACUUAAAGAUGAUCAGGGGCCGGCUUACAAGAAUUUUUAACCCAGAGCACAACCUGUCAAAGUUGUUCUGGUGUUUAUUUUGCAGGAUCAGUUUAACAUGGAUAAAUCCAAAUUAAACUAGGGGCUAAUGUCGAGGAUAUACCCCGCGGUAUGACCCGGCCGGACUUGGCGACUCACCAGAGACCCGACUGGAGCUUGGCGACUCACUGGCGAUCCGCCCGGACAUGGCGGUUUACAUGUAACCCGCCUGGACAUUGUGACUCACUGGAGACCCGAUGGGCGGAUCAGACGGACGACAAGGCCCAAGGCCCAGCAGGCCAGCUUAUACUCUGGUGGGCCGGUUUAAGAGGAAAGAGAUAAGGAAUUUUCCCUUAAGGGGGCAGACUAGGAUUACACUUGUAAUAGACUAGUCCUAAUCCUAAUAGGACACCACAUGUAACCCGCCCCUUCAACUUAUAUAAGGAGGGGCAGGGCACCCCAAGAGGGACAGGCAAGAAACAAUCUCUAGGGCUAGACACAAAGAGCCGGCUUACCGGCGACUCUCUCAUGAGCAUAAUGAGACCUAGCCACAAACAACAUGUAGGGCUAUUACCGGAUGAUGUUUCCUAGGGCCCGAAGCUGUCUAAAUCCUUGUCUUGUGUUGCGUCUCUCGAUUCCGCUCAACGCCUCUCAAGCUACCACAUAGAUGCGUUGGCCCCGCGACUAAGUCCUGACACUAAGGACAUCUGCCAUGGCAAUUCCACGACACCUUUCUAGGUAUUUUAGUUACAGGCUUGCAUUAUUUCUAGAGGCCCAAAGAUUUAGUUCCCAGUCGGCGGCAAGCGGCCCUGCUACCCAUGCCGGUGUCGACCUCAACUCGCAAGGGCCGGCGUCGGAGGGGUUCCCAGGGCUUGGGCUCUACAGUGCCUUCCUCCAGAGCGACGAUGGCGAGCUCCUCCCUCGGUGCGUGAGGGGCUCCGGGCUCCCUCCCUAUCGUGAAUGACUUCCGUGAUGAGUUAGCUCAUUCUUUGUUUCAUGAAGUGUUUUUUUUAUUUUGUGAAGCUUGAUUGAUGACUUGUAUGUUUAAGUGGGAUAUCUCAUUUGUAUGGACAAAGUAAAAAUUAUCAUGUUUUGCAUGCUUGAUUUGUAUAGAUGGUUCAUUUAUGUCAAUUGUGAGCGGGAGGAGGCCACAGAAGAGCCGGCCACACCAAGAGGGUGCUUGGAUCCAAGGGACUUAUUUUAGUUUGACUAAAAAUAGUCUCUUUAAGAGGCUAAAGUUCCAAGCACCCCUGACUAAAGAGGGGCUAAAACUAGUCUUGAGACUAAAAAAAUUUAGUCAGGGGUACCCCUACUAAAAUGUGGAUUAGUCCUCUCUCUCCUCAUUUAACUCCUCUCCUUUAACACAGGCGAGUUCUGGAUUGGAGGGUUUGGAGGAUAAUAAAUGCUCAUUAACUUGAUUUUAGUCUCUUUAGUAUUUGGAUCCAAGCAUGGGUGAAGCUAGCAAGUUUUAGUCCCACUACUUUUAGUCAUGGAACUAAAACGUAUCCAAGCACCCUCCAAAUCCGGCAGGAAAUAGGGUCCAAAGUAGUCAAAUGAUUCAGAUAGAGCAUUUAUUGUCAAUCUAACCCUGCCAUCCAUACACCUCUUUGGUUUAGAGUUAGUUCAGGGUUAGAAUCUAACUCUAACCUCUAACUGAGUUAGAGUUCUCCUCGUCUCGGUUCAUCGCCAUCAUACUUUCCCCAUUCCUGUGUUUUCAGUAUCCUGCGAAUCAAAGAGGCCCUUUUUUGCGGGAAAAAUCAAAGAGGCCCUUAGACUGGUUUCGGUCCGGUCAUUUUUUAUAAACAUGUUAUGUCCAAAAUUUAAUGAACAUGCUCCGGUUUCCACGAAAAUAAUCCGGUUUCAUGUAGUAAUUCAUUCAUUUAUUUAUUCUUCUGCGGGGGGUUUGCAUGUAAUUCGUGAGGUCUGAAAUGUAAAGUACCCUGGCAUAUGCUCCGAGUCGUGCAUGCACUACGACCCAGAUGCUCUAUGUCCCACAUGUCGGCGAAUGGGAGCAUGUGGAAAUAGCCUAGGAGUACAUAUAGGAGGAUAAAUGCGUGAAAUAAUAUGUAUUGUGAAGCGUAGCCGCGGUUUGAAAAGGAGACCUAAAGUGAUGACAACUAUAGGUCGCACGCACCCAACUAGUGGUACUAGACAUACGACUAAUUUUUCCCUAAAAAAAAGAGGCACGAGUGCUCAGUACUCCUAUUCUAUAAACACGAGUCCCAUCUGACAACAGUGUCCGUGCUACAGCUAGCUCUCCUCCCUCGUUUCUCACUUCUAGUAAUUCUAAACUCGGCCGACGCCCGGUGGGCGGGGUGGGUUUGCUCAACUGCGGCCCCACCUCACAGUGAAAACGUUACGACUAGAAUAAAAAUGCCAUAUACUCCCUCCGUUCAUAAAUAUAAGCCUUUUUAGAUACUAUUUCAAAUGGAAUACAACAUACAGAUGUAUGUACACAUAGUUUAGAGUGUAGAUUCACUCAUUUUGCUCCGUAUGUAGUAGUCACCUGCUGGAAUCUUUAGAAAGACUUAUAUUUGGGAACGGAGGGAGUACUAUACUAAUAAAACAUUAAGGCCACGAGGCGAUGCAGUGCUGGUUACAGGAGGCAAGAAGAGAUGCAUCCAUCGACGACGUCCACCUCCUCGACUCAGGGCGCCGGCCCACCGAACGGUGCCUAAGUAGCAGCGGCUUUCGUGGCCAGGUCGACGUGCUUCUGAACAAUGGCGUCCAAAGAUUCCAGCCGCUGGAAGAAGGCCAACGUCUUUCUGUCCUCGCUUGCCUUGUAGUGGCCUAUGUAGACGAUUUCCUCGUAGACAUGGAUGUGCAGGUCGACGGUUUCUUGCAUGGCGAGGCGCUGCGCGGCGAGCGCGGCCUCGAGGUGCACAUUCUUCGUCGCGACCUCCGGCACCUGCAGGGCCACCAGGGCUUGAAAGAGUUUGUCACCAUGGAGGCCGAUGAGGGUGGCAGGCAAUGAGGAGCCAUGGCGCGCGGGCUGGAGCAGUACGGCAAGGUCGUCCGCGCGCUUCUUGACGGCGGUGAACUUGCGGAUGGAGUUGACCAUCAUGUCGUCCAUGCGAGAGGCGAAGCCGGCGUCGGUGAGGGCUACGAUGCCUGCGGUCGCCAGCACCGUCUGGAAACGCUGUGCGGUGCGGGGCGCAGGCCGGCGCCUUGGAUGAUUUGGCACAGCCGACUGCCGCUCGCGUCCAUCGCCUCCAUAGGUGCUUGUGGCUUCUAGUCACUUGGUCUUGGAUUGAAGUGAGCAGUGUUGCGCAGAGACUUGGGAGUAGAUGGAUUGGAGUGGUGGGGCGCCUUUAUUAUAUGAGAGUGAGCAGUGUUGCGCAGAGACUUGGUCCAAACUCUGUUGCAUUCAUAUCGUGCUGGCUCUAUUCUGCUUCUCCAAUUAAUUCCCUCUGCAUGUAAUUGAGGAUGCAUCAUUGACCGUUCAACGUCUCGGGAACUGCUACCCUCUCCCUCCUUGGCAUUCAAGCACCUAUGGACCCGUCGACGACGAGGUGCCUAUGGUGACUUUGUAAAUUUCAAGAUGAUAGUGCCGUGCGUGUGUGCGUUCAUAGGGGUGAGUGUAUGCGCGUGUAUAUGAGCGCUUGCGUCUGUACUGUGUAAAAAAAAUGCGUGUCAAAAAGAGGCUAGUCAGUAUACUCAAUAUUGUGCACCUCGGAGAGGAAAACGAUAGAACUAGUACGUAUUUAUUUACGGUGCAGAUUCACUCAUUUUGCUCCAUAUGUACUCCGUCUCGGUGUAGUCUAGUCACUUGUUGAAAUCUCUAGAAGGGCAAAUACUCCUUUCUGGUUUACAGGGCUAUACUAGCAAGUAGUUGUACGUACUAGUACAAUAGUGGGCUCACAUAGCAAUUUUGUCUCAUGCAAGAGCCUGGCUAUAUGCGUGCUCCAAUGUUCGCAACUGCAACGUUCGGUUUGCGCUUGGCUCUUCGCCUCUUCGAGAAGACGAACAAUGAUGUUACUACUGCUGCUUCUACAGUGUCGAAUCCACUGCUGCAUGUCCGUCCACCGCGAGCGGGACGGAUAGCUUGUUGUAGAAGUACUACUAAGCAAAAGCCUGUCCUCGUUUGCGAGCAACCGCGCGCAUGGGUGAGGGAGAAGGCGUGUAGUAAAAUCAAGCUUCUCCUCGUUGUACGAGUUGACGCGACACAUCAUAGCACUGGCCCCACAUGCUUGCCUCUAAACUUGGCUGAAAGGCCCGCAAUGUACAAUAUAUUUGCUGCAACCUCUAACAUUUACCCACCACAAAUUAAAAUAUAUGUGGCCGUAUGCAUCGUUCUGAUGCAAAGGCCGGGGAGUCCCCCCUUUUCGAAAAAAACAAAUUAAAAUAUAUAUUCCUGUCUUAACCAGAUGAGCGUGCAAACUACAAUCACCAGGGUGUCAGGUAGGGUCAGAAGACUAUUUUAAUUUUUUUUAAAAACUUCGAGACGGCCACAUAACAUGGAGCCGACCCCAACGAUUUUAAGCUUACAUGCACGGUACACGCUAUCCUACACUACUCUACACAUGAAACUGCCACACGAGCGUCCGGGCUGCGCUUGGCUCUUCGCCUCUUCGGGAAGUCGAACAAUGAUGGAGUACUACUGCACUGGAGGAGUACUACAGUACGCUUCUGGCCAUCUGACACCGAUUGAACUGCUGCAUGUCCACCGCGUGCGGGAGGGAGAGCGUGUAGCGAAAGCUUCUCCUAGUCUUGCCAGCCACCACGCUCAUGGGCGAGGGAGGGACGCUCCUGCCUUUGCGUGUAUGACAGGUGGGCCCGACAGGUGUGUGGCCAACCUGUCAUACAGCCAAAGGCAGGUGCAGUUAAGUCCGCGAGGGAGAGGAUAAUCAAACUUCUCGUUGAUGUACGAGUUGACGCGAUACAUCAAAGCACUGCACUCGAUAUAUUUCAAUAAUUUGCGUUUACCGAUGCAUUAAUUACAACGCAUGCAUGCAUGCCGUGACUCUCCUUUUGAUACUUGCAUGUGUUGAUUUAAUGCACCUUGAAGUAGUAUAAAAUAUGUGACGGUAAAGCUUUGUAAUAUCCCGGCCCAAGUCGAGAGAUGGUUGUGCACGAGGAGGGCGAGAUCAUGCAGACCGAACAUGACCCGACGAUGGAGCUCUCUAAGGUCUCGAUGGACCUCACCGUGCUCCACUACCCCUUGUGCCUCCGCCCCUUGACGCCUCCAGUGUAUGAGGUUCGAAUACACCUCGUCCGUUCGGCUGAUUGAGCAAGGUGCAGGUUUCUUGAUUGAUGUGCUGUUCGAUUGAUUUCUGCAGUGCAAGGGAGGGCAUCUGGCUUGCGCGGACUGCCGCGUCAAGCGCCCCGGGAACCAGCGGCAGUGCCAGAAGUGCGAGCGCGGCGGUGGCUUCGACGUGCGGAACAUGGCGGUGGACUCUGUCCUUUCGUCGGUGAGGGUGGAGUGCCCGCACGAAGGCUGUGGGCUCUACGUCACUUACCACAAGCUCGCCGAUCACCAGAGCGUGUGUCCGCUCGCGCCCUGCAAAUGCCCCGUGCCCAUCUGCGGCUACGAAGGCCCGCCGUCGGUGCUCUACCACCACAUCAGCACUGCGCAUCCCAUGCCCGUGCACAGGAUCCAGUACGGCAAGGUGCUCCAGCUGCAAGUGCCACUGUCGGAGCCACGACUCUUGCUGUUCGCGGAGGAGGACCGCCGCGCGUUUUUCUUGGUCGGCGGCGUGCUCGACAUCGGCGCGCCUAUCGCCGUGUCGGUCGUCUGCAUCAGAGCGGGGGCGUCCCCACUGCCGCACUACGUGGCCAAGCUGUGGGCGAACGGCUCGCCGGGGGAGCCCAAAGGCACGACCGACGCCGCCAAGGUGGAAAUGGAGGUGACAAGCAGCAAGGAUCCCGGCGACGUCGACGUGCAGGAGCUGACCUUCUUGACAGUUCCGCCCAAGCUGCUGGCCGGGGCUAAGCUUGUGUCCCUCCACAUUCAGAUUGACAAGCUCACAUCCUAAAUGUUUCUACAGUGCCUUCUGUUUAUCUUAGUAAUAUGCUAAUAUAGGGAUUACCUUGGUCUACUUUAGCUUAAUAAAUGGUGGGUUUUGGUGGUGAUGCAGCAAUUACUUCAACAUCAGAUCAAUAAUUUCCAACAGUCGAACGGAUAUUUUGUGUCUGUUGGAUAUAAAGUUCCUUUGGGUAAGAAGUACUACUUGUCAUCAAAAUGGAUAAAAGGAGAUGUAUGUAGACGUAUUUUAGUUCUAGAUACGUCCCUUUUUAUCCAUUUUGAUGACAAGCACUCCCCCAGUUCCACAAUACAUGCCUUCCAUUUGUCAAAAUAUAGAUGUAUCUAGACAUGUUUUAGUAUAUAGGUACAUCCAUGAUAGAGCCAAUCGGAUGGUUGAGAACACUACAAUUCGUAGCUACAGAUGCGCGUGUGACUCCCAGAUGCAAAGGCCGGGGGUCAUCAUCCUCCUUUUCGAGAAAAAACAGACGCGUGUGUGAGAGGACGAGUGUGUGCGUGCACCUCUUCUCUUCCUGUAUAACGUACUACUAAAAUCAGAGUACAAGUUUUUGUGGGUGGCAUGAUGGUGCGUGCGAGAAGUCCCGAGAGAUAGGUUUAAUGCGUCUGAAAAAAAGACUAGCCUAGAGCUCGCCACGCGGCUAUUCCUGUCGAACGCCCCAUUAACCGUAAGAUAUGUAUACAAUGGUGCCAGUUAUUGCACGUACACAACAGUACUCCCUCCUUUCCGGUUUAUAGGGCUUAAUUCAAAAAUCUCACCAACCAAGAUGGUGAGUGGUGGAAUAUUUUUUGUAGUUUGCAAAAGCACCCAAUUAAUGCUCUUGUUUUUCUCAAAAAAUUAUGUUUAUCAAUGCAUUAAUUGCAAUGCAUGCAUGCAUAAAGUACAUGCAUUGGUCAAUUUUCUCUUAAUACUUGCAUGCAAUGAUUUAAUGCACCUUGGAAUCUGAACAUGUGUUGGGGAACAACCAAAUUGAGCCUUAUAAAAUGGAAAAACUAAAAUUUUGAGAUAAGCCCUAUAAAACCGGAAAGGAGGGAGUAGAAAAAGAAGUACUCCAUCCGGGAAUAGUGCCGCACUUCGAAACUAGAACCGUCAAUAAAUUUUGAGCUUGCGUCUCGUCACAUUCCAAAUUACUCCAUGCUAUAUUGAAUUGCAAACCUGUUCACACCAAUCACAACCUAAACAGUUUCCCACUUAGGAGCGUAUUAGUACCAUGCUAUAUUGAAUUGCAAACCUAUUCACGCCGAUCACAACCUAAACGGUUUCCCACUUAGGACCGUAUUAGUACUCGGUUAUAAAUACUAGUAUGCCAAGAUGACUGCACAUUCCUCCUCAACUCCUCAUCCACAAAAACAAACAAGUCAUUCAGCAUCCUACCCUUGCGUCUGCCAUGGCCAGCAUGAGUUCUGGGUUGAGAGAUUGCCACCAGGGAGAGGCGAGCAUGGAAGCGGAAGCACGAGAGAUGUCCCGCCUCACUGCGAGAGCAGCCGACAUGUCCCGCCGCACGGAAGUAGUAGCACAGAGGUCCCGCCGCGCCGCUGAAGCAACACGGAGGUCCCGCCGCGCCGUCGAUGCAGCAGACUGGUCCGGCCGCGCCGCAGAAGCAGCAGAGAUAUCCUGCCGCGCCACGCAUGCAACAGAGAUGUCCCGCUGCGCCGCGGCGGCCUGGGAAAAUUUCUCGCGGGCAGGCGACGACUGUUACAGGCGCAUGCAUGCGAUCGUCCAUAGCCAGAUGGAUCAGAUCUCCGGCUGGGCGAGGUUGCAGGACGACAUGAAAGCCUCGUUUGAACAGGCUACCGGCGUCAUCCGGCAACUAAGGGAGGGCAAUGAGAGGCUCCGGGCCGAGCGCGAACUGCUGAGGGAGAAGAUCGUCCGAAGUGCAGACCAGCAAGAGGAGACCAGUGCCUUGUUGAAGAGGACCGGCGUCAUCGUCAAGAAACUUAUGGACGAGAAUGACAUGCUCCGCAACGAGCGCCAAAGGCUGGUGGAGGAAUCCGUGGAUGUUCUCAAGCAGCGUCUUGAGGACACAAAAGAGCUCAUCGCCGCUCGCCGCGGAGACUAGUUACCGCAGCCUGCAGCAACGCAUCAAGAAAGUAGAGAUCAGCGAGCCAGAUCCUUGUCUUCCUUCUUCUUUUUCCCUUGUGUAUUUCGGGCGUAGCCGCAUGUGGCUUUUUAAUUAUCUUUCUAAUUAUGUUAGACAAUUAAUCGUCCUUAUCUUUCUGUGGAAGAUCAAUGUUGCGAGGCGGGAAUGAAGAAAACUCUUGCUGUGGCGACCCUGGCGUUGCUGUUCUUCUAGUUGCUGCUGGGCUUCCUUCAGUUUCUUGGUUUCUUUUGAUGUAAUAAUCGGUUUAGGAUGUGGAUUGUGUCGUCGGUUGUGAAAUGUUGGGUUCUAGCGUGGAUGUUUGGCCUUUGUUGGCCUCUUGGGAUGUUGCGAUUUCAAUCUGGUAGCUUUUAGUCCUUCGUGUUAGGCUGGAGUUGUGCUGAACUUCUUGUGAAUUGUGGUGGUUUUCAGUAAUGAAAAUCGGAAGGGGCAAGCCCUUCUUUGAUCAAAAAAAUAAAUAAUCAUCCAUAUAUAUUCAUCAGUCUUGCUAUAAGUCGCAGUAGAUGCUAUAUAGGUCCGUCGGAUCUUACAUCAAGAUCCGUGCUUUCAGAUUUUCUUUUUUCUCUCUUAAAUCUCAGUCGAGUGAGACAUAGCCACACCAUUAAACAGAGGCUCGGGCGCCAUUAAUGGAGACCUUGGGAGAGAGGUGGACGGCAGAUGGAGGUCAAAGGGCUCUCCUCCCGAUAAACACGCGCAGGGGUCUGAUCGCACGCCUCUCGUACUCAAAUAGCUACCCUGCACGGCGCCUCCUAGCUAAUAAAAGAUGGGGACGCGUGGCGGCACGUAAAUGGUACUAGUAAGUAGAACGCCCACGGUUUCAAUAAUACUUGUGUUUCCGAUUGUAACGUGACAGCACUUGUUCCAAAAUGACUUUGUUGAUUGUUAAUGUGUGCGCCUUCGCAAAUCGGACUGCAAAUUUACCACAGCAUGUUGGUGCCAUGUCAUGGCACCAAGCCAAGUUUCAUUAUUUUCAUGCGUGUUUUGGAUUUACAGGAAUUAAAAAACUAAGUUUCUCAAUGUUUCCAACCCAGCCACGACGCCCAGAAUUUUGAAUUUCAUUCCCAUUUCUUGCAUGGAACCUAGAAAUUUACCCGAGGACACACAUGUGAUUUUUCAACCAACUUUGGUGCACUGGAACAUGUGCUUGUAUUUCAAAUUUGAAUUAUGCACACAAAGGUGACACGUUCCCUCCCAGAACCACGAGCCUUCUUGAGAGAAGCUCCGAUUUGCAAGAAGCUUAUACCAAAAUGUGUUCCUAUUCGGCCAAUUUUUUUACCACGGCAUGGUACUACCAUGACAUGACACCAUGCCAAGUUUCAUGAUUUUAAAACCAAGUUUCUCAAUAUUCUCGACCGAGCCACGAUGCCCAGAUGUUUGAAUUUUAUUCUCAUUUUUUGCAUGGGACCUACUCCCUCCUUCCAUCUAUAUAGGGCCUAAUGUGUUUUUCAAGACAGCCUUUGACUAUUGACAAGAUUAAUAGCACAUGAGAUGUAUACUAUGAAAAUUAUAUUAUUGGAAGCUCCUUUGACAUACAAAUUUGAAGGUAUGCUUUGUGUAAGUUGCAUGUCAUAUAUUAUUGCUCUAACGUUUGGUCAAAGUUAGCCUCGAAAAACGCAUUAGGACCUAUAUAGAUGGAAGGAGGGAGUAGAAAUUCACCCGAGGACACAAAUGUGAUUUUUCAACCAACUUUGGUGCACGGGAGCAUGUGCUUGUAGUUCAAAUUUGUAUUAUGCACAUUAAAUGACCAAAAACUCAAUUAAUGUGUAAAUAAGGCCAAAUGAAGCCGGAGUAAUUCCAAAAUUUAUCAGGGCACUCAUGUAGUUCUAUGUUGCCUUUGUAAAUAAACUCAAGGGGGACAACGUAUAUCGUUUCGCACUCAAAGGUGGCACGUUCCCUCUCAGAACCACGAGCCUUCUUGAGAGAAGCUUCGGUUUGCAAGAAGCUUAUACCAAAAUCUGUUCCUAUUCGGCCAAUUUUUUACCACAACAUGGUAGUACCAUGACAUGACAUCCAUGCCAAGUUUCAUGAUUUUCAGAUGUGUUUUGGAUUUACAAGAAUUUUAAAACCAAGUUUCUCAAUGUUCUCGGCUGAGCCACGAUGCCCAGAUGUUUUAAUUUUAUUCUCAUUUCUUGCAUGGGACCUAGAAAUUCACCCGAGGACACAAAUGUGAUUUUUCAACCAACUUUGGUGCACGAGAGCAUGUGCUUGUAGUUCAAAUUUGACUUAUGCACAUUAAAUGACCAGAAACUCAAUUAAUGUAUAAAAAAUGACAAACGAACCCGGAAUAAUUCCAAAAUUUAACAAGGCACUAAUGUUGUUCUAUGUUGCCUUUGUUAAGAAACUCAAGGGGGGGGCAGCGUAUAUCAUUUCACACUCAAAGGUGGCACGUUCCCUCUUAGAACCACGAGCUUCCAAAUCGGCCCAAUUUUUUACCACAACAUGUUAGUGCAUGACAUGAUACUAUGCCAAGUUUCAUGAUUUCCAAGCGAGUUUUGGAUUUACAUGAAUUUAAAAUCAAAGUUUCUUGAUGUUCUCGGCCGAGUCAUGACGCCCAGAUGUUUGAAUUUCAUUCUCAUUUCUUCCAUGGGACCUAGAAAUUCAACCAAGGACACACAUGUGAUAUUUCAACCCACUUUGGUGCACCGGAGCAUGUGCGUGCAAUUCAUAUUUGGAUUAUGCACAUUAAAAGUCCAGAAACUCAAUUAAUGUAUAAAAAGGCCAAAUGAACCCGAAAUAAUUCCAAAAUUUAACAGGGCACUCAUAUAGUUCUAUGUUGCCUCUGUAAAUAAAAUCAGGGGGAGGCAGCGUAUAUCGUUUCGCACACAAAGGUGACACGUUCCCUCUCGGAACCACGAGGCUUGUUGAGAGAAUCUCCGGUUUUGCAAGAGGCUUAUACCAAAACUUGUCCCAAUUCAGCCAAAAAUUAUACGUAUGAAAACAGGGUUUAGAUUAUCCCAAACAUCUCGCUACCUAGACCAUGAAUUCAACAUAAAACUGGAUACAAAUAUUUGAAUUGGAGAGCGUAUGGUACAUGUAGUUCAUAGUGAAAUAUGAUUACUGCUAUAUGUAUGUUUUUUGUUAUCAAGAUAAUAUUUAAAUUAUUGUAUAACUUGACAACAAUCGUAUUCAAAUAAGGAAAAUUGAUUCAAAUUUAGUCCAUAUGGUAGACGACAAUAUAUAUGUUCACAUGGUGGAGUAAAAUGUUCAUAUAUGAUGGAAGAUCAAAAUGUAUGACUACAUCAAUUAUAAACCACAAGGUCACGUAACGAUAUAUUUGAAUUCAACAUAACAUGGAUUCAAAAAUUAAAAUUCGAGAUCAUGGCAUCUGUAAUCAUAUAAAAAGGGACAUUACUCUUUCUUUGGUGGGAAUUGAUUUGUUUUUUGUUGUUGUUGAGGAAAGUGCGAAUCGAUUUGGUACUGUGCAGGGUAAUCUUGUUCUCUCGAUUUUUUUACAUUUUUCUUGUAGUUUUAUCAAUGGCAUCUAUAGCAAUAUAGUAAAAGGGGAUAUGAAUCUCUUGUGUCUUGUAUGAAUUUUUUUUACACGUUAAGUUUGUUCUGCCGAACAAGGAAUCCGCACCUUGUUAUCCCGAAAUUUUCAAGCUCGAGUAUCUUUUGUCUCACCUGCUUUGAAACUCCCGCUUCUUCAACCUGCGCCGCGCCUUGUUAUCCCAAAAUUUGGACGCGCGCGAGAACUCCCUCCUCAUCCGAAAUCGCUCCCGCAGCCCAGACACGCGAAAUCCCCCUUCUACCCCUCAGCCGGAAAUGAAGCUCCGCGCCGCGGUGUCAAAACCGGUAGGGGUACGCUGGUAACUUACCCUACAUUUCGGACAAGCGCGUCCCUAAGCUUGGCUCCCCCAUCCCCCUUCGCCCCCCCAUUCGUACAACGAGGCCGCCAAAACCCGCGAAACCCCACGCUCCUCCGUCGGCCUCCCGACCGCCGCCCAGCCGGAGACUCUUCCCCGACUACGUCGUCCACCGCAACAGCUCGCCGUCCCUCAUCCACCGCACCGGAUGAGGAUCCGUUGUCGAUCUCGUCGUCCCGCCGGAUCAGCCGCCCCGUCCUCCACCUCCCAGGAGCUACCCCGACAUUCGCCUCGUCUAUCGCGCCACCUCAAUCCCCACAGCGCCGUCUUGACCUGCCCCACCGGAACCGCAGCACCCUCACCAAUUCCUCCGAUGAAGCCAAGGCCAACUCGGCGCCACCAAGGAGGUUCUGCACUCACUGCUGCAUUUUAUCUUUUAUUCGAUCUCACGGGGCUGCCGGUGCUCGAUACCGAGCAGACAUGGCGUGUCUCCAUCGACGGCACCGUCGCCGGCCACAUCAUCCACGGUGUCUCUCCCCCAUGUCGUUGCUUCCUCGACGGCGACUUCCACAACGGCACUAGCUGCAGCUGCUCCGGCUCUCGCUCGCGCUGCGGCUCUGUUCUUGCUGUCGGUCGUGCUGCUGCACUGCUCCUGCUUUCGUUCAUGCUGCUGCUCUGCUCUUGCUCUAGCUUGCGCUGCUGCUGCUGUUGCACGACCUCCGGCAGCUACAGGAGUUGCUGCUUUAGCACUCGCUCGCGGUGCUACUGCACGACUUGCUCUCUGCUAGUGCGUUCCCUGCUCGAGCGUCUGCUGAUUUAGAUCACUGCUUCUCUGCUACUAGUGCUCGAACGCCCUAAACAUCUAUUGCAAUGCUCUGUUACUAGUUCAAUCAGUUUCGACAGUAAAAUUCAGUUUCGACUGUGAAGUUCAUUUUCUUCAGUUAAGUUCAGAGUGAACAGUACUUACAGCAUCUGUCGGAGCGGCCGUGGCGCGGCUGAUGCGUUUUACAUCUACUCCCUCCGUUCCGAAAUAUUUGUCUUUCUAACAUUUCAAAUGGACUACAACAUACGGAUGCAUGUAGACACAUUUUAGAGUGUAGAUUCACUCACUUUGCUUCGUAUGUAGUCACUUGUUGAAAUAUCUAGAAAGACAAAUAUUUAGGAAUGGAGGGAGUAGCACUUUUUGGUGAUGUAUUUUACAUCAUCUAUUGCAGAUGAUAUUAGGGUCCCACUUCAGAUUAACAUUGUCUGUCUUGUCAUGCUUCAGCCUCGUCGCCGUACACCUUAGCGGAGCUGCUCCAACGACGGAACCGUCCAUCACAGCGGAGCAGUACCCUCGGCGCCGUUUCCAGAGGCCUCGGAUCUUCUUCCCCGCCUUCGACAGUCACACCAGCAUCAUCACCAUCCUCCACGUCCAACCCAAUGAUGCUGAGGUCCACAAGGCUAUGCCAAAGAGGUUGUACACUCGUCACAUCACUUUGUUUCUCCAUUCCUCUGUUCUUCCAAUUCAUGUGAGCCAAACACCUAGGUUGACUGAAAUCCUAUGUUUCCAAAUGCUCUGUUUUGCACGUGCAUUCCUAUCCUAUUCCCGUGUUUUUCCUGUCCCUACGUUUAUAGAAUCCUCCAAUUCUAAGGAGCCCUUACAGAUUUACUUCAUUUUCAGAUAGGCGUCAAAGAAAACUCUGUGUGUUAUGUCCUGCUCCUGCCGUGCCGUCAUCCACCCCACCUGAGGUGCACCAUCGAUAGAAGCGUUCACUGCAGUAGAGAUCCUCCCUGCAGACUUCCUUUCGCCGCCUCAGAUCAUCUUCCCCGUUGCCGGCAGCCACGCCAACUGCAUUACCAUCAUCGACUGAGCAGAUGAACCUGAGGACUACACAGUUCCGGAAGAGAGGUCGCAGUCUUUCGUGUUUGCUUACGUUAUACAUCGGUUAUUACUUGCUACUUUAUCGUUCAAUAUUGAGUUUUAAAUUGCCCAUGGGUCUCAUAUCGAGCCAGCAACAAAUAGUAUCUGUCUACUAUCUGGUUCAUCUGGGGUCUUCUAUGUGGUUCAUGUUGGGUGGGCAACAAACAAUAGAUGAUCCAUUGUCUAUCUUUUUUAACUGAAGCUAUAAUCUACCUGCUAUCAUUAGUUUUGGAUCUAUCCACUCGUUUGCUACCAUCAGUCUUGAUUUUUGCAUGCACCCCUUAGGCCUUACAAAAUCUAACUAUUUUUUUAUUAUGCAUGUCAGAUAUUGUACACAAUCGUACUGAACAUGUAGAGAAAAAGAGAAGACCGUUGCGUGCGAAUAUAAUGUCAUGCAGACGCCGCUCCAUGGUGGGCGAAGUGGCCCCCCUUCCUGCAUUUCCAGAUUGUAUUCUAGAGGAAGAUAACUGUUCAGAUGGAGAUUAAGAAGGAGCCGACCACGCCUGUUUACCACCUGAGGUGUUUGCUCUAACCUGGCAUGCUGAUGUUGGUCAUAUCAUGCAUAUGGCGCCUUGCAUUGCUUACAUUAUACAUCUUAUAUGUCAUCAGCUUAGUUUAUAUUUGCUUUGUGUGAAUGCCACCUAUUUGGUUUCUAUAUCAUACUCCCACCAUUCCUAAAUAUUUGUCUUUUUAGAGAUUUCAACAAGUGACUACAUACGGAACAAAAUGAGUGAAUCUACACUCUAAAAUAUGUCUAUAUACAUCCGUAUGUGGUAGUCCAUUUGAAAUCUCUAAAAAGAGAAAUAUUUAGGAACGGAGGGAGUAUAUGGGAAUUAUGCAAUGCCAUCUUCUUUAGCCAGGCAUCAUAUACGUGAAUCAUGCAAUGCCAUCCUAUUUAGCCAGUCACCGUAUAUGUGAAUUGUAUUGUGCCAUAUUUUUUUCCAUAAUGUAUUCCAUUUGUCAACAAUGUUUACACAUUCAUCUACUCUUCCUGUGCAUCAGCCAUUUGAGUCGGUCAUGGGAAAAUCUGGAGUGAAAACAAGGUCUUCUGAGCAGUCAGUGCUACCUGUGGAUGCAGAUUUCUUGCUGGUUACAGAUAGCUCCUCAGAGGAGGAUUCAGAGAGAGAUGACCAGUCGUAUCCCCCCCCCCCCGAGGUGCAUGCUCUAACUUGGCUGGGUUAUAUUGCUCAUAUCAUGCAUAUGGUGUCUUGCAUUGCCAUGCCAUCUGCUUAGAUUAGACAUGCUUUGUGUGAAUGCCUCCUGUUUGCUUUCUAUAUCAGAUAUGUGAAUUAUGCAAUGCCAUGUUUUUCAGCCAGUUAUCAUAUAUGUGAAUUAUGCACCGCCAUGGAGCCAGGCAUCAUAUAUGUGAAUUAUCUCAUGCCAUCUUUUUUUAUUACAUAUUCCGUUUGUCGACAAUCUGUGUAUAUUGAACUACUCUUCAUGUGUAUCAGCCAUUUGAGCCGGUUAUGGAAAAAUCUGGAGUGAAAACAAGGUCUUCAGAGCAGGCAAUGGUACCUGUUGAAGCAUAUAUCUCGAUGGUUACAGGGAGCUCCUCAGAGGAGGAUUCAGAGACAAAUGACCAGUCCUAUAUCCCACCUGAGGUGUAUGCUCUAAGUUGCAAUGUUUAUAUUUCUCAUAUGAUGCAUAUGGUGUCUUGCAUUGCUUAGUUUAGACAUCAUAUGCAUAAUAUUGAAUUCUAUCUGCUUAGUUUAGAGAUCAUACAUGCGAGUGCCAGCUGCUUAGUAUAUGAAUCAAUUAUGUCAAUUAUAUCAUGCCAUCCUGUAUACUUAGACAACAUGUAUGUGAAUUAUUUCAUCCCAACCUAUUUUAGAAAGACAUCAUAUAGUUUUGUCAUGUCAUUCUGUUUAGGUACUCAUCAUAUGUUGAAUUAUGCCAUUAUAUCCUGUUAAGUUAUCCAUCAUAUAUUUGAAACUGUGUCAUGCUAUCCUGUUUAGUUAGGCAUCAUAUAUGUGAAAUUGUGUCAUGCUGUCCUGUUUGGUUAGACAACAUAUAUGUGAAUUACCACAUCUGUCUAUCAUACAAUGUCUGUACGUUCAAUUUCUUUUCUUGUUUAUCAGCCAUUUGAAUUGGAGGGGGUGAUGGCAGUAUCUAAGGGAGCAAAAACCCGUUCUUCACAAAAGACAGUGCUACCCGUCGAUGCAGAUAGAACCAUGGUUGUACUGGCCCACAAACUAGCCCCACCACACAUAAUCGAGACUCUUCCAGAUUGCACACUUACACCGUUGGGUAGAGAACCAGCUACAACCCAUCUAACCGCAACCCCAGCGGAUAGUAACCCACUUAUAGUUGACAAAGCACCAUGUCCACCACAGAGUACCCCCACACGAGCAGUUUGUAAAGCUACUGCAGUGCCCAAAGCACGAAGACCACCACAGUUAACCCAAACUCCACGUUUAAAGCAGAAGAGCAACUGUUCUCAGGUCAGAUUCCAUAGCUAUGGUCAAUACUCCUUUGCUGUUGCAUCACUAUAUUUACUCAUACCAACUACUUUCGAAUUUGAAGGAUCCGAUUGAAACUCCAAUGGCGCAACAGGUAUGUUUUAAACCUAUUUCUUUAACUGGAUUGCUGUUCUAACUUCUUGCUCUAUGUUGAUUUCAGUUUAAGUUGUAUAAAUAGUUAUGUUCUCAUGUGAUGCACAUUACAAGUGCUGCCAAUGCUGUGUAGUUUCUCACACUUAUAUUCUGUCUAUGCUGCUAUGUCUUAAAAAUAUAUGAGUUGAACUGUGUCUCUAUCUUGAUUAGGGAACAUAAACUAGAAUGAUAUGGACAAUACAGUGACCAUAGUACAUAGAUAUAUGUUUGUUUCAUGCUGUUAUCCUGUCGGUUUACCAAAAUGAGUUUCGUAUACUACAAGCUAAACCUGUGAUGUGUCUGCUUGUUUCUCUUGUAGUAUGCAAACAGAAUAUUGGAGAAGAGCACCCCACUAUGCAAUGGUAGAGAAAGUAAUGCAGAUAAGGUUCAAGAUAGUGAGACAACCCUGUUGGUCUCCAAGAAAGGUGAUAAAAAUGAUCUUGUAGACAGUGAGAAAACCCCACAGUCCUGCGUUGAUGUAGUGUUCGAGUUACUGGCCAGUACCGCUGGCACAAGCUCUUCGAACUCGCUGCCUGAAUCACUUCGGCUUCUUCAGUCUCAGCUACAAGCUGAAAGGCAUCAGUCAGCUGUGCUGCGGCAAGAAGCCCAAGGACUGAGGAAGUCCCUGCAGAAUUCAGAUGCGUACUUUGUUGUGCAACAGCAAGCGCUGGAGGAUUUAAGCGCCAAACAAGAGAAAGUUAAUAAGCUUGCUAAGCAUCUUGCCAGCAUUAUGGGUACCCAGGAUAUUGUUUCUUGAACUCUUCUGCAGUGGUUUCAGUUCUGGACUUGUUUUGCAGUGGAGUUUAUAUGCUGCUUUGUUCCCUAUAUUUGCACUGGUGACAAACUUUGAUGCCCAGUGGAUGUAAUGUGUGUAAUAGCCGUGAUAGCCUAGCAUAAGUUGCUUGCUUAUUUAUUUCCUUGUUGUCUUGUUUAUUUGUUUGCUUGUAGUCAGUGCAGUUCUUUUUCCGCGGUUUGCUAGUGGCUGCAAUAACCUAUUUUUUAAAACUAGGCCACAAUAACCAUGGGCUAAUAUUUAUUGUAGUGACACUAGGCCUCCUACGGGCCGUAGAAACAGUGGGCCUUCUACCGGCCGUAGAAACAGUAGGCCUUCUAUGGGCCGUGGAAACAAUGGGCCUUCUACGGGCCGUAGAAACAAUGGGCCUUCUACGGGCCGUAUCAUCAAUGGGCCUUAUACGGGCCGUAUGAUCGAUUGGCCAAACAUGGGCCAAUAACAGGCCGCAUUAUGGCCGUAAAUGGGCUAGUGUUGGAAUCGUCUGUUCAUGGGCCGACCAUAACGGGCCAUCGUUAAUAGGCCGUAUUUGAUGACGCUAUGAAAACGGCCCAACGUAUUAACGGACCACAAACGGGCCGACUGUAACCACGUGCUGAAUUUGGCCCACAAGCAGAAAAUGAUAGUAACGGGCCGUAAGUAAACGAAUGCUGGAAAUGAGCCCAAGAAUAAAUGGGCUCUGAGAAGGCCGAAAGAUAACAUGGGCUGGAAACGGCCCAACGAAAUAACGGGCCGUUAAUGGGUAUAAAGUGAUACACUGUUCAUUAUGGGCCAGUUUCACCACGGGCCGUUAAUGGGUGUAAAGUGAUACACUGUUCAUUACGGGCCAGUUUCACCACGGGCCGUUAAUAGGCCAAGAGUUACAUAGGGCCUCAUAUGGGCCGAAAGACGUCAUGGGCCAUACAUGGGCCAGAAGUGAAAACGGGCUGGAAUCAUAUUGGAUGGCCCAGAUGACGCUACUGGGCCUAAUUCGGAUAGGGCGUAAUAGGCCUUGGGUUAGCGGGCUGUAAAUGGGCUAUAUGCGAACAGGGCGUUAACAGGCUUUCCAUGGGCCGGCCCACCACCUUUUGACCAAGUCAAACGGGCCGGCCUUUUCACAGGAAUGGGCCUCUGUUGGGCCGUGCCACGUGUCGAUGUAUCAUAGGCGCCUUCUGUCCAAUGAGUGGAUGACAUCUGUCCCAACGAUGAGCCGACACGUGUUUCCCCCAGCCAAUGAUGAUUUUACACGUGGAAAAUCCCCAUUGGUCGGGGCUGUUAACGGGUUAUCGGAUCCAAAACCCGACCCGAUAGCUUAACGGCGUUCCGUUACGGUGGAUGCCACGUGUCGGUUACCCUUGACGAAAGCACUUCUGUGAUGUGCGAUUUAUCAUCAUGGAAGUGCACACUUCCGUUAUGAUAAUUUUGGUAAUGUCAUGGAACACUUCUACGACAGCACAGGUAUGACUAUCUUGAUUCUGUCAUAAAAUCAUCAUGGAUGUACAUGCAUGACAAAAAACGCGACCUACUGUGACAAACACGUAUCAUCACAGAAGUGAUUUUUUUGUAGUGUAUAUACUCAGUGGCGCCUGGCAACUUAUUCUGAUGGAUCACCUCUUCUUGUCUGUAUACAACGCACUACUGAUGUUACUACUAAGGAAGCAGGUGGUGUCUCCCAUGGUCGCACUCUCCGGACCUGUUCCAACAUUCGUUGCAGGGUAUUCGGGAUGGAUACUAGUGUGCUAGCACCAACACCUGCUCCCUGGUUCAGUAUUGAUAGUCUUGGAGAAAACUCGCUCUUCCUUGGACAAAACUAUCCAAUGAUGGUGAAAGGCGAUCCAGCUGCUAUUGACACAACGUUACUACCAUUUAUGAGAAGCAACUGUAUCUAUACCUCGGACAUUGCUAUGGUUCCCUACCCUGGUUAUCACAAUAUGCAUCCUGAUAUAGUCCGCUUCAGCCUGGAUGAUCAGUCCUGCGUUGGUCUCGAUAUUGACAAUAGCUAGCCCUUCCCAAAGGCUUACCUAUGGUUCAAAGCAAGCGUUUCCAACACCGAGGAUUGGUUGAGCUAAAGUUCUUUUCAUUCCUUGUUAUUUGUUGUGUGAUAAAAGCUUUAGUAUUUACUAGAAUGUUUUGUUGGAAAUAAUCUAUAAUCCAACAUGUAUCCUCGUUGUCGUUGUGUGUUGAUGACUUGGUGUAUGUAACGAAUGCUACAUUUGCAUAUGCAUGUCAUAAACUCAAUUUAUGAAUGGUUUCCGAGUCACUUCUUGGAGUGUGAGUACCAUAGUAGUAUAGCCAGCAUCCGGUUAUAUGAAGUUGUCACAUCACAUAGAGCCAACCUAAUAGUGGAGUAUGCUAGCACAAUAGAGCUAGGUGUGGUUAGUUCUAGUUAGUAGUAGUAUACCAUCAACUAGAGCUAGGUGUCGCACGAAGGCCGAGAAAUAUGGUGAUAGCAUGACUGCGUGAGGUGGGCUUGUACGUAGUAUGAUGUAGGCACAGGGCUUGCCGUGUUUCCUACUCCCCCGGUCUAAAUGUGGAGAAGAUUUGGUAGAGUUCAUCCUCCUUUUGCCGACACAAGGGACAUCCAGCAUCCAAGUCGUGUCAUGCAAGAAAAUGGAGUGCUAGUUGAAGCCAUGUGAUGUGCAUCUUGGGUUAAACUGUAAAUAGAAUCUUACUCUUGAGUAACUCCAAAAGCGGCCGCCGAAGAUCUUUAUUGGAUUUGUUUUUCAUCACCAGCACGUCGAGGUUAAAGAUGUGCAGGUUCAGUGGGUCGUCUUGCGUUUUCACUGACAUGUGGGACCGCAUGUGAGCAAACCAACGAUGGGCUCCACACGUCUGCUGGCUGGCUGAGAAGAGAGGGAGAGGAGGGCUGAGCACAGACUCCAGGAAAUUUCAUGACAAUGUGAGUAGUACUAGUGGUGUACCAUACUCCUGGAGAGAUAAUGUGUUCGCUCUACAUAACCAGCACCUCGAUAUAGUGGGGUGGCAUGGGCCAUAACUAGCAUUCACGUCUAGCAGUACGGCACAUGCCACCCACACGAGCCCCAUCUGACACCAAUUUUCUUGGAGUCCAUGCUACAACCAUCUCUUCUUCCUCCUGUUUUCUCUAACUCAGCCAUCGCACGGUGGGCGAGGUGGGGGUUUGCCGAUAGUCGGUUUUCUCGACUGCGGUUCCACUUGUAAGUGAAAAUGCAACACAACACGCAUUCCCCCUUAAGCGGCCUGCCGGACCAACCGUGUGGGGGUGCGAUGCGAACACGGCAGGCUUUUCCUUUUGAACUUGUAACUUGUAAAAUUUGGUUCUGCUCCAUGGCGCGACCGAUAGAUAGAAAUAAAGAUUUUCCCUAGAGUAAUGAGAAGUUUGGUUCUGGUGCAGUUCAUGCAUGGAGUACGUACAAACAUUAUAAAGUUGAUACGAAAGGUAAGAUAAUUACUAGUACAAUAUACUACUACAUGAAAUUGACAAAAAGAUAAAGAUACAUACGGAUCCAUCAACGACAUCCUCACACCCUAGUGCGCCGCGUCACCAACCGACGUGUGAGGAGCAGCGGCGUUGGUGGCGAGCUCAACGUGCUUCUGAACAAUGCCGUCCAAGGUUGCCCUGCGGUCCAAGAAGGCCAACGUCCUAUCGUCCUCCUCUUGCACGUAGUAGUCCUUAUGGACGAUUUGGACGUAGACAUGGGUGAUUAUGUCGAUGGUGUCUUGUUGCGCCAGGCGCUAUGCGGCGAGCGCGGCCUCGAAGUGGACAUUCUCCGGCGCGACGGCAGGCAGUUUGUGAGCUUCUUCACGAUGGUGAACUUGUCGAGGAAGCCGACAAGGACCUCGUCGAACAAGGAGACGAAGCUGUCGUCCAAGAGGCCUCUCGCCUUGGCGGCCUCAAGCACGACCUGGAGAUGUUCCUCGGUGCCGGGCCGCAGACUGGCGUCGUGGACCAUCCGGCACAGCCGGCUAAUGCUCGCGCUCAUUGCCUCCAUGCGUCUAGCUUCUAGUCAACUGAUCUUGCGAUUGGAGUGAUCACUCUUGCCCUUGGUUAGGCUGCGUAGGUGCGUAGGAUUUCGUAGAUUGAACUGGCGGGGAGCCUUUAUAUGAGAAGUGCAGACUGCGUUGCAUUCACGUGUGUGAUGGCCAUCUACUCCUUGGCCCUCCCUCCAUGCCGGUGCAGUCACUACAAAAAAGACACAUCCAUGACAUUUUGGGCCGAACGAUUUUUUUUCUGUCAUGCUUAUGACACUUCUAUGAUGAUAAUUGUGACAAAACCCGGUAUCAUCAUAGAUGUUGUGGGCUCCUACUUCUAUGACAAAAAAUCAUGACAGAAAAUUGGCUUUUCGUCCUGGGCGGGCCGGAGACGCACCUGCAUGACAUUCUUUGGGCCAUCCAUGACGGAAAAAAUGUGGUAGAAGCGAGGGCGAGGAAAAUUUCGGGGAGUUCCCGGUUACGGUGGGUGGUCAGGGCCGAGCGAUGCACGAAGGUUUGCGCAUUUCUCUCUCGUACACGUACGCGCGUGUUUGCGUGGCGUUGCGCUCUAGCUGAACCCGUGUGAGAAGUUGGGCUCUAACUGAACCCGAGCGAUUGCACUAGCUACGUUACUGAACCCCGAUCGAUCCCUUGCUGUUAACUGAACCCGAGUGAUUCCUUCGCUACUACUGCUAACUGAAGCCGAUCGAAGCCGUCUCUUGAUGAAUAGUUCCCGGUGGGGGUUGGAUGAACAGGUCCCGGUGGGGUUGGAUGAAUAGGAUCCCGUGGUAGUAGAGGUCGUUGCCACUGGAUGAACAGGACCCUGAUCGAGGAGGUGGGGGUGGAUGAAUAAUAGCCGGUGGAGGGACCCCGUGGAGGCCUGGUUGAACAGGACCCCGUGGAGGGGCUGGUUGAACAGGACCCCGUGGAGGGUUGUUCUAACUUCUUGCUCUAUGUUGAUUUCAGUUUUAGUUGUAUAAACAGUUAUGUCUCAUGUGAUGCACAUUACAAGUGUUGCUAGUGCUGUGUAGUUUCUCACACUUAUAUUCUAUCUACGCUGUUGUGUCUUAAAAAUAUAUGAUUUGAACUGUGUCUAUCUUGAUUUGGCAACAUAAACUAGAAUGAUAUGGACAAUACAGUGACCAUAGUACAUAGAUAUAUGUUUGUUUCAUGCUGUUAUCCUGUCCACCUUACUACUGAACCGGUUUACCAAAAUGAGUUUCGUAUACUACAUGCUAAACCUGUGAUGUGUCUGCUUGUUUCUCUUCUAGAAUGCAAACAGAAUAUUGGAGAAGAGCACCCCACUAUGCAAUGGUAGAGAAAGUAAUGCAGAUAAGGUUCAAGAUAGUGAGACAACCCUGUUGGUCUCCAAGAAAGGUGAUAAAAACGAUCUUGUAGAUAGUGAGACAACCCCACAGUCCAGCGUUGAUGUAGUGUUCGAGUUACUGGCCAGUACCGCUGGCACAAGCUCUUCGAACUCGCUGCCUGGAUUACUUCGGCUUCUUCAGUCUCAGCUACAAGCUGAAAGGCAUCAGUCAGCUAUGCUGCGGCAAGAAGCCAGAGGACUGAGGAAGUCCCUGCAAAAUUCAGAUGCAUACUUUCUAGUGCAACAACAAACGCUGGAGGAUUUAAGCGCCAAACAAGAGAAAGUUAAUAAGCCUGCUAAGCAUUGUCGGAGUAAUUGGCCACAGGUAGCCUCAUCGCCCCCCAUGGCGCUUCAAGACAUCGGGCCGGCCGUCCCCCUCAAGAUUCAAAGAGCCAAGGGGCGCCCUCUCGCGGCCGGCUGGUCCUGGCGGCCGGCUGCCAGGGGACGGCAAAGCCCAGCAGGCGGCCACGAGGUGGGCCGGCUCCUAGCAGGCGGCCUCCAGUGAGGCCAGCUCCUAGCAGGCGGCCCUAGGCGUCCUUGAAGUCUGCGUCCACAUAAAUGCGACGAGACCGGGCGUGGCUACAACACGCCUUGCCACCCUCGAAUCUAGGGCCAAGCGUGGCCACAGUGUGCCAUACCAAAAGGAGAUCUCCCGUCCGGCGCGUCACUGUUACCACGCUGCCCAUGACAUCACCCCUGUCAGAGGGAGCCAUGUUCCCACGACGGGAUGCUGGUACGGCCCAUUGGCAGCGGGCCCUACCUGUCCACAAGGAGCCAGAAGGCAGCGAGCCCAGACCAGUCGGCUCAUAGGGAGGCCGGCCCCUGACCAAGCGGCGUUCCUCUCCUUGGAGUUUGUGUGCCAUUAACUAGAAGAGACGGGGAGUGGAUACAGUGAACGCCCGCCAGGCGGCGGUACUGUAGCCACGCCUCCCCCAACAAAGCAUGCGUCAUUACCAACAUAGCUACAGUGCUGAGCAGCCAGCAAGACCCGCGAGCGGCGGGUGCGGCCUGUCGGCCAAGUACGAGACAGCCGGCGGGGCCCACCAGGCGGCGGGCCCCAUCUGCCGGCGGAGGAGCCGGCGACCAGAGACACUGACAGCCGGGUCCUACACCCGGCCAGAUUACCUUUGUACCCCUGGGGGGUAGGCCUAUAUAAACCCCCCAGGGCGCCCAUGCAAAGGGUUCAGACUCUAGUUCAUCCACACACCCAUAUAGAGAGAGGAAGCUAGGGCUAGCCUUGUUCUUCUUCCCCCUCUAGAGAAACAGCUCAAGGAGCAAGCUUGUAACCACCAUUGUUGCUUGAGUGAUCAUGCGGAGACCCCGCAGAGCAGGAGUAGGGGUGUUAUCUCCUAGGAGAACCCCGAACCUGGGUAAGAUUCGCCGGCGUGCAUGUCUACGCCUCAUCCCGUUUCCUGGCACCGGCGACGUAUUAUUAGCCCCCUCCAUGAUAAGCCAUCGUUUGGCAUAUGUCGCACGACACCCCGACAUUUGGCGCCCACCAUGGGGCUAGGUGCACCGUCCCCCACCACCAACUCACCGCCGACUCGAGGCGCCGGCGACGCGUCCGGCCGACUGCCUUGAGCUUCGGCAGCCGGCGUCUGCUGGGACACCCCCGUCCUCAGGAUGACAGCGUCGCCUCCCUCCUUCUCCAUGACCGCCUGGUCGUUGCCGGCUACUCCGGUCGGCACCAAGAUCCCUGGCGCCGGCGGCAUGGAGCGCAGCGGGAUGACCAGCUGUGGAGCCUGGCUACCCGCAACUCCUCCUGCUUGUGCCUUGGCGGCCGCGUCCGCCUGGGCCUUGGUCGCCUCCUCCUCCCAGGCCUUGGCCGCGGCGUCGGCCUAAGCCUUGGCCGGCGCGUCCGCCUCCUCCUGCGCCGCCUUGGCCGCGUCCGCCUUCGCCUGCUCCGCCCUGUCCUUCUCCUCGCGUGCCUCCCGCGCGUUCUUCUCCGUCGCCUCCCGGAGGUCGGCGAGCGGGUCUAUGCGGUGGGUGUUGGUGGAGCCAUCCAUUCCCCCAACAAUGGAGGCGGAAGCCGACCGCUCAAGGGAGAGCGGGGCUCUGUUCACACAAGACAAGAAGAAUUCAGAAAGGGUUUGCAAACAAGACCUAGAAAGGACAAAGGAAACACAAAGAAAGAUAUGCUCUUACGCGGACACCGUCGGCGGCUGCUUCGGGGCCCUUUGGAACCGGGCUGCCUUCGCGGCGGCCUCCUCCCACCUGGUCGCUGCGGCUGAGCCCUUGGGAUUCUUCGGCCGACCGCCUUGCAGCUGCGUGCCGGCUCGGCGCUUCGGUGCACCGCCUGGUCCGGGUGGCGCCGCUGAGGAGCUCGCCCCCGCCCUGUUGGCAACCGGCUGGCGGCGAGGCUCGGCCUCCUCCUCGUUGUCAUCUGGCCACGUCUCGAGGCCGCCUCCCCCACCGGAGCCGCCUACCCCGUCGCAACCACCUGUGGCGUCAUCUUCCAAGGCGGCCACCCCCAAGUCGGGGUCGUCCGCAUCGCUCAGCGCUCGGUCCGGCAGGUACUCCUGGCCUUGCGCCAGGGCGUCGGCUGCCGGCUAGGUCGGGAGGAGCUGCGACACGUCUGACUGAUCAGUCGGCAAAGCAGAACUCGGCAGAAGAAGAAAAGACCAAGAAAGAAAGGAUAGUCGGGAGCUUACGGCUGGAGGCGGAUGCGCGCGGGAGUAUGGCCGCUUGCCGAACCGCCACUCCGACUCCGAUAGCUUGCAGUUCGCGAUCUCGUUCACCAUGCGGGCCACCUCCAUGGUCGGCAUCUCCCGGGUAGACAGCCGGCACGGGUCUCAGUGCCUGCUCAUCUGACUGAUCAGAGGAGGCCGGCCCUGGAGAGGGAGAACCCGGCGCACCACGAAGGCGGUCAACAGGUCGGAGGCCGUGAGGCCCUCCGAAUCCGUCAUUUCCUUAAGCCUGGUGACGGCGGCGGCGGAGGAGGUUGACAGAUGCUUCGCCAUGAAGGACCAGUUGGUGCGCAGCUCGGCCAGUGGGCCAGCUUCAUAAGCCGGGAGGUUGACGAAGUCUAGCGCCGAGUUGACGUUCUUGACGUAGAAGUAUGACUUUUGCAAGAGCUUGAUCGACUGUGUCAGGGUGAUGGACGGGAAGCGGUUCCCAGCUCCCGGGCACCUCACCGCGACAAAGGCGCCGCACUGAACCGGUUCGUCUUUGGAGGAGACGCCGAGUUUUGUGUAGAAGAAUUCUCCCCACAACUCAAGAGUGGGGAGAAUGCCGAGGUAGCCCUCGCAUAGCGUGACGAAGGCCGAUAGCAGCACCACCGUGUUUGGUGUGAGCUGGUGCGGCUGGAGGUGGUAAAACUGGAGAAAGGCACGGAGGAAACCACUCGCCGGCAGGCCGAAGCCCCGGAGGAAAUGCGAGCGGAAGAUGACGUGCUCACCUUCCUCUGGUGCCGACGAGAUCUCCUUCGCCGGCGGGACGCGCGUCUGGACGUAGCCCUUGCCGGGCAGCCGCCGCGUGUUGCAGAGAUAGGAGAUGCGGCCUUCGAUGACGUUAGAGCCAUCCCAGUUGCCGGCUCGCUCUCGCGCCAUGGAAGCUCAAGCUCGACGAGGCGAUGCCGCGGCGAAGAGGCUGGGUUUGGUGACGACGGGCCGCGGCAGCACUUCGGCGAGUUGCGGGAAUGCGGUGGCGGCGGAAAGAGAGAAGAGGAAGAGCAAGGCAGAGGGACAGGAGGGCGUGCGUGCUAAUGCCGCCCCUCCUCCCCCUAUUUAUAGCCCUAGGCUGCGAAGCCGAGGGGACGGGGCAUGGGGAUCGUGGAUUAACUGUGCCCACGACCCCACGACCCCGCAUUAACCGCACAGUAACGGCGUGGAGUAAUCACGCCACAAAAUCCCAACCGUUUGGCUUGGCGACAGCGGAUCCGCGCGCGUGCCGAGGCCUGGUAGUGGUGGGCCCCGGCCUGCGGCGAUGUCCCAUCACACGCAUGGGCUGGCAGGCGGCUUGGCCGGCUAGCGACAUGUGGCGUGCAGUUGACAGGCGGCAAGACUGGCGCCAGGCUGGCGCACCACCGAGCUCCCGCCAAGACAUUUCCAAACCACCAGACGGCCUGCCUGGUCAUAUCCGACUCCUAGCAGUUGGUACACCGGAAGACGGACGGAGCAAGGUCAAAUGAAGCACUCGGAGUAGGAAGCUGCCGAGGCUCCUUCCUUUCGUCAGCCGCGGAGCCUCGUCAGCUUCGGGGACUACUGUCGGAGUAAUUGGCCACGGGUAGCCUCAUCGGCCCCCCAUGGCGCUUCAAGACAUCGGGCCGGCUGCCCCCCUCAAGAUUCAAAGAGCCAAGCGCUGCCCCCUCGCGGCCGGCUGGUCCCGGCGGCCGGCUGCCAGGGGAUGGCAAAGCCCAGCAGGCGGCCACGAGGUGGGCCGGCUCCUAGCAGGCGGCCUCCGGAGAGGCCGGCUCCUAGCAGGCGGCCCUAGGUGUCCUCGAAGUCUGCAUCCACAUAAAUGCGACGAGACCGGGCGUGGCUAUAGCACGCCUUACCACCCUCGAAUCUAUGGCCAAGCGUGGCCACAGUGCACCGUACGAGACGGAGAUCUCCUGUCCGGUGCGGCACUGUUACCACGCUGCCCAUGACAUCACCCCUGUCAGAGGGAGCCAUGCUCCCACGACGGGAUGCUGGUACGGCCCGCAGGCAGGGGGCCCUACCUGUCCACAAGGAGCCAGAAGGCGGCGAGCCCAGACCAGUCGGCUCAUAGGGAGGCUGGCCCUGACCAUGCGGCCUUCCUCUCCUUGGAGUUUGUGCGCCAUUAACCAGAAGAGACAGGGAGUGGCUACAGUGAACGCCCGCCAGGCGGCGGUACUGUAGCCACGCCUCCCCCGACAAAGCAUGCAUCAUUACCAGCACAGCUACAGUGCUGACCAGCCAGCAAGACCCGCGAGCGGCGGGCGCGGCUUGUCGGCCAAGUAUGAGACAGCCGGCGGGGCCCACCAAGCGGCGGGCCCCAUCUACCGGCGGAGGAGCCGGCGACCAGAGACACUGACAGUCGGGUCCUACACCCGGCCGGAUUACCUUUGUACCCCUGGGGGGUAGGCACCCAUGCAAAGGGUUCAGACUCUAGUUCAUCCACACACCCAUAUAGAGAGAGGAAGCUAGGGCUAGCCUUGUUCUUCUUCCCCCUCUAGAGAAACAGCUCAAGGAGCAAGCUUGUAACCACCAUUGUUGCUUGAGUGAUCAUGCGAAGACCCCGCAGACCAGGAGUAGGGGUUGUUAUCUCCUAGGAGAGCCCCGAACCUGGGUAAGAUUCGCCGGCGUGCAUGUCUACGCCUCAUCCCGUUUCCUUGCACCGGCGACAUAUUAUUAGCCCCCUCCAUGAUAAGCCAUCCUUUGGCAUAUGUCGCAUGACACCCCCGACAAGCAUCUUGCCAGCAUUAUGGGUACCCAGGAUAUUGUUUCUUGAGCUCUCCUGAAGUGGUUUCAGUUCUGGACUUGUUUUGCUACGGCGUUUAUUUGCACUGGUCGCCAACUUUGACAACUAGUGUAUGUGAUAUGCUUCUUUGUUCCCUAUAUUUGCAAUGGUGGCAAACUUUGAUGCCUAGUGGAUGUAAUAUGUGUAAUAGCCGUGAUAGCCUAGCAUAAAUUGCUUGCUUAUUUAUUUCCUUGUUGUCUUGUUUAUUUGUUUGCUUGUAGUCAGUAUAGUUCUUUUUUUGCGGUUUGCUAGUGGCCGCAAUAACCUAUUUUUUAAAACUAGGCCACAAUGACCAUGGGCUACAUAUUUACUGUAGUGACCAUGGGCCUCCUACGGGCCGUAGAAACAAUGGCCUUCUACGGGCCAUAGAAACAAUGGGCCUUCUACGGGGCAUAUCAUCAAUGGGCCUUCUAUGGGCCGUAUGAUCGAUUGUCCAAACAUGGGCCAAUAACGGACCGCAUUAUGGGCCGUAAACGAGCUAGAGUAGGAAUCGUCCGUUCAUGGGCCGACCAUAACGGGCCGUUGUUAAUCGGACGUAUUUGAUGAUGCUAUGAAAACGGCCCAACGGAUUAACAGGCCACAAAGGGGCCGACUGUAACCACGGGAUGAAUUUGGCCCACAAGCAGAAAAGGCCUGUAACGGGCCGUAAGUAACCAAAUGCUGGAAAUGAGCCCAAGAAUAAAUGGGCCCCGAGAAGGCCGAAAGAUAACACGGGAUGGAAAUGGCCCAAUAGAAUAAUGGGUUGUUAAUGGGUAUAAAGCGACACACUGUUCAUUACGGGCCAGUUUCACCACGGGCCGUUAAUGGGCCAAGAGUUACAAAGGGCCUCAUAUGGGCCGAAAGAGGUCAUGGGCCAUACAUGGGCUGGAAGUUACAACGGGCUGGAAUCAUAUUGGACAGCCCAAAUGACGCUACUGGGCCUAAUUAGGAUAGGCCAUAACGGGCCAUGAGUUAGCGGGCUGUAAAUGGGCUAUAUGCGAACAGGCUUUAAGUGGGCCGGCCCGCUACCUUUUGACCAAGUCAAAUGGGCAGCCUUUUCACAGGAAUGUGCCUCUGUUGGGUCGUGCCAUGUGUCGACGUAUCAUAGGCGCCUUCGGUCCAAUGAGUGGAUGACAUCUGUCCCAACGGUGAGCCGACACGUGGUUCCUCUGGCCAUUGAGAAUUUUACACAUGGAAUAUCCCCAUUGGUCCGGGCUGUUAACGGGUUAUCGGAUCCAAACCGGAACCCGAUAGCUUAACGGUGACCCGUUGCGGUGGAUGCCAUGUGUCGGUUACCCUUGACGAAAGCAAUUCUAUGAUGCUUGAUUUAUCGUCAUGGAAGUGGACACUUCCGUGAUGAUAAUUUUGGUAAUUUCAUGGAACACUUCUACGACAGCACAUGUAUGACUAUCUUGAUUCUUUCAUAAAAUCGUUAUGCAUGUACAUUCAUGAUAGAAAACGUGACCUACUGUGACAAACACGUAUCAUAACGGAAGUGUAUUUUUUUGUAGUGAGUAUAGUCAUCUCACCGAGACCAAGUAGGGGCAAAAUGUGAGAAAUUUGAUGUUUACUGGUUUAUUGGUCCCCUUUGUAUUUUGCGCCAAGUUUUGACCUUUGAUUUAAGUAAUAAAAUGUUAAUGCAUGUAACCAAAAAUAAUAUCAUUGGAAACUAUGUUCAAAUACGAAUCCAAUGAUACAAUUUUUGGUGACAUGCAUUAUUAUUAUUUUAGUUAAAUAUAUGGUCAAAAUUUGACACAAAAUACUAAGGGGACCAAUAAACCAGGAUGGAGGUAGGAGUAGUAUUUUGUAAUUAAUGUCAUUGCAUAAAGAGAAUUGAGCACUGCAUGUUGCGCUAAGUAGUCUCAAGUCAUUGAAUGGAUACGCACCCCACGUCUCCUAUUGGGUGAUUUCUUUUUUCAUGGAAAAAAAACAAGGAACGAGGUGGGUAGUUAAUGCACCGCGCCUAAAAGUUUUGGGAUUAUUUUGUUUUCGUAACGUGACUAUUGCACUAGUGCGGAGGGAGUACAAUAGUAGUCUUUGAUUGCAAUUUUUUGUUGGUAGCUUACCAAGCUGAGCGCUCGAUGAGUACAAUAGUAAUCUGAUUGAUGAGACUUCAGAUUUGAGCCAUCUACCGGAAGGGAGAGUGUAUAAUAUCAUCGGGAACUACGUUCAAAACCGAAUAAAACAAUACUCCAUGUAUUUAUUUACAGAGGGAGUAGUAUAUUUUUUGUGACAUGCAUUACUAGAUAUUGCUAGUCAAAUACUAAAUCCAGACGGACGUGGUAGUACUACUAAAUCCAGACGGUGGUGCUAGUACUAGUAGUAGUACUACCAAUGUAGUAGUACUGUACUACCCAUUGGUCAAAUUAUUACGUGCUGCUCCUCACAGUGAAGUGACAAGACCCUGCACCGGAGAUGACUCCUGAGUGUAGGCACCGUGUUCGGCAUACCAAAGUCAGCCUCACCGUGUGCAGUCACUAUCAUCAUGGCUGUAGAGCUAGCCUGCUUACAACUAGCCGUGUUUGGCAUAAUUUCCCGUGCGUUGCCACGAGUAUCUCUACUCUUUUCUUAUACGAGUAAGAUGCCCGUGCAUUCACUACAAAAAAAGACACAUCCGUGACAUUUUGGGCCGAACGAAAUUUUUUUCUGUCAUACUUAUGACACUUCAAUGACAAUAAUUGUGACAAAACCCGGUAUCAUCAUAGAUGUGGUGGGGUCCUACUUCUAUGACAAAAAAUCUUGACAGAAAAUGGGCUUUUCGUCCUGGGCGGGCCGGAGACGCAACUGCAUGACAUUCUCUGGGCCGUCCAUGACAGAAAAAACCGUGAUAGAAGCGAGGGCGAGGAAAAUAUUGGGGAGUUCCCGGUUACGGUGGGUGGUCGGGGGCCGAGCGAUGCGCGUUUCUCUAGUACGUACGCGCGUGUGUGCGAGGCGUUGCGCUCUAACUGAACCCGAGCGAGGCGUUGGGCUCUAACUGAACUCGAGCGAUUGCACUGCAGGCUACCCGUUACUGAACCCGAGCGAUUGAUCAAUCCCUUGCUGUUAACUAAAGCCGAGUGAUUCCUUCGCUACUACUACUAACUGAAGCCAAUCGAUGUUGCCUCUGGAUGAACAGUGAGCGUUGUUGGGGGGUUUGGAUGAAUAGUUCCUAGUGGGGGGUUCGAUGAACAUGACCCCGUGGUAGUAGAGGCCAUUGCCGCUGGAUGAACAGUACCCCGAUCUAUCAAGCCAGUGGAUGAACAGGACCCCGUGGAGGGCUGGAUGAACAGGACCCCGUGGAGGGCUGGUUGAACAGUAGCCGGUGGAGGGCUGGAUGAACAGUAGCCCGUGGAGGGGUGGUUGAACAGGACCCCGUGGAGAGGGCUGGUUGAACAGUAGCCGGUGGAGGAGCGCGCGGUGGAGGCUGGAUGAACAGGAGCCCGUGGAUGAACAGUCGCAGGUGGAGGCUGGAGGAGGUCGACGGUGGAUGAACAGUAGCCCGUGGAGGCUGGAGGAUGUCGACGGUGGAGAUGAACAGUAUCCCGUGGAGUCCCGUUUUGCGGUACGCCACACCCCUCCCGAUGAACAGGACCCCCGUUUCGACCAUAGCGCUCCAACACAAGUCCGUUUCCUCCGUUUUGCGGUACAUCACACCCCUCCCGAUCAACAGGACCUAGUUUCGACCGUAGGAGGUCCGUUUCCUCCGUUUUGCGGUACGCCAGACCCUCCCGAUGAACAGGAUCCCAUUUUGACCGUAGACGGUCGAACACAAGGCCGUUUCCUCCAUUUUGUGGUACGCCAGGCCUCGUUUCCAUCGGCUAUUCCGUCCAAGCCGGUUGGCUCCCGAUGAACACGACGACGCAUUCCGUUCCAACCCAGCCGGUUGCCUCCCCAUGAUCACGGUGACGGCGCAGCUUCUCCGUUCCGACCCAGCCAUGUACACGAGCCCUGGCCGUACGUAUGCGCAAGUAGGCGUUUGAGACCCUGCCCGUAUGUACGUACGUGGCCGUAUUUACUUUCUUGCACCCUGGCCGUUGUACGUACGUGUACAUGCUAUGUGCGCGCCUCUACUACGACACGUGCGCGCCUCUACUACGAUACGUGUGAGCCUCUACAUCGACCAGUACGUACGUACACGUUCGUGACCAGAAUGACAACGUUACGUACGCUUCGACCAGGUGGGUCCCGACUGUCAGGCACUUCCUUGCGUGCGAAGAUGUAGCUGGUGGGUCCCAGCAGUCAGGGGGGAAACAUUUUUUUUUACGAAAUACGGUGGCCCGUCCGGUGGGUCCCUGCUGUCAGGUGGAGGAAUCAUUAUUUUCCGCGUAAUAAGGAGGCACUUCCUUGCUGCGGCCGUGGACCCAGCUGUCAGCCUCUCCACGUACAGUACUCUUCCGAUGGAAGUUGUUCCUUGACCACGUUGACCACACCGCGCCGAGAGCACCAGGGCGGUGGACGACGGCGAGGACGGGGAAGACGCGACAGUGGUUGCCCACGCGGAGAGGAGUAUGAGGGUUCACUGGUUUGGCUGCGGUGUGAGGCUGCCAUCACCGCAGAAUAACAGGGGGUGUGGGUGAGUAGAGGGAUGGCCAGGCCAGCGGUGGGAGUAGUAGGGGGCGGUGAGGCCUCCGCGGCAUCACAGCCGGCCACAGAAGGCAGGAGCACGCGGCAUGACCGGCGUUGGUUUGGGCGGCUGCAGCAAGAAGACCAGAGGUUGAAGAAGCACUAGGGCCGUUGGAUGGACAUCGUACGGUCAUUGGAGCUAGAAUCGUUCAUAUUGACUAAGUUGACAAAGCCCUCCGUCCCCGUCAACUUAGUAGGCCCACAAAUCAGCCUCCCACUAUGGUAGGUCCCAGCUAGCAGGGGGUAUUCAUUUUUUGUGCGUAAUAAGGAGGCACUUCCUUGUGUGCGAAGAUAUAGCUGGUGGGUCCGACCUGUCAGUGGGGGGAACGUUUUUUCGUGAAAUACAGAGGCCCUUCCAAUGGGUCCCAGCUGUCAGGUGGAGGAAUCAUUAUUUUGCACGUAAUAAGGAGGCAUUUCCUUGCGUGCGGCCGUGAACCCAGCUGUCAGCCUCUCCAUGCACAGUCUACUUCCGAUGGAUGUCGUUCAUUGACCACGUUGACCACUCUGCGCCGAGCGCAUCCAAGGUGGUGGACGACGGCGAGGCCCCGUGAAAGGAUCGAGAAGAGGUGUCUAGAGGGGGUGAAUAGACUCUUAACAAGAAAAAGUUGCAGUUUUUAUUUUCUUCAAGUUAAGGUAGAGUUUUAGCACAAGUUUAAACAUUCACAAUACAUUUAAGCAAGCAUGUCAAGAGUAUAUGAGCAGCGGAAAGUAAAGCAUGCAAUUUGCGAGAAUGUAAAGGGAUGGGAUUGGAGUGUGCAAACGCAAUUGGAGACACGGAGAUUUUUGGCAUGGUUCCGAUAGGUGGUGCUAUCGUACAUCCACGUUGAUGGAGACUUCAACCCACGAAGGGAAACGGUUGCGCGAGUCCAUGGAGGGCUCCACCCAUGAAGGGUCCAUGAAGAAGCAACCUUGUCUAUCCCACCACGGCCAUCACCCACGAAGUACUUUCCUCACUAGGGUAGAUCUUCACGAAGUAGGCGAUCUCUUUGCCCGUACAAACUCCUUGGUUCAACUCCACAAUCUUGACGGAGGCUCCCAAGUGACACCUAACCAAUCUAGGAGACACAACUCUCCAAAAGGUAAUAGAUGGUGUGUUGAUGAUGAACUCCUUGCUCUUGUGCUUCAAAUGAUAGUCUCCCCAACACUCAACUCUCUCUCACGGAUUUGGAUUUGGUGGAAAGAUGAUUUGAGUGGAAAGCAACUGGGAGAAGGCUAGAGAUCAAGAUUCAUAUGGUUGGAAUGGAAUAUCUUGGUCUCAACACAUGAGUAGGUGGUUCUCUCUCAGAAAAUGUAUGCUGGAAGUGUAGGCAUGUUUUGAUGGCUCUCUCCACGAAUGAAGAGUGGUGGAGGGGUAUAUAUAGCCUCCACACAAAAUCUAACCGUUACACACAAUUCACCAAACUCGGUAGGACCGAAUCAGAAAACUCGGUCAGACCGAUUUAGUUCAAAAUGUGAACGUUAGGAUAUUCGGUGGGACCAACAUGUCAACUCAGUGGGACUGAUUUCAUUAGGGUUAGGGCAUAACGUAAUCUCGGUGAGACCGAUUACACAAACUUGGUGGGACCGAUUUUGGUAAUAAGCUAACAAGAGAGUUGGUCAGGCAAACUCAGUGGGACCAAUUCGCUCAUCUUGGUGAGACCGAAACAUUACGAAAGGGAAACAGAGAGUUUGCAUUGCAAACUCGGUGGGACCGAUCGCUCAUCUCGGUUGGACCGAAACGUUACGAAGGGAGAAAGAGAGUUUGCAAUCCCAUCUCGAUGAGACCGAGAUCCCUAUCGGUGAGACCGAAUUGAUUAGGGUUUCUGGCAGUGGCUAUGUCAAGUGAUCUCGGUGGCGCCGGAUAAAGUUUCGGUGGGGCCGAGUUUGACUUUUGGUUUGGGACAUAUAGAUAUGAGAAAGUGGUUGAGGGCUUUGGAGCAUAUCACUAAGCACUUUGAGCAAGCAAGCCAUUAAGCAACACCUCAUUCCCUUUUAAUAGUAUUGGCUUUCCUAUGGACUCAAUGUGAUCUUGGAUCACUAAAAUUAAGAUGUAGAGUCUUGAGCUUUAGAGCUUGAGACAAUCCUUUGACCUUAGCAUCUUGAAGGGGUUCCACAUCCUCUUGUCCACGCCACUCCAUCUGUUGAACUUGUCUAAAAUAUACUGGAUGAAAACAUUAGUCCAACAAGAGAUACGUUGACAUUAAUUACCAAAACCACCCAGGGAGCACUUGUGCUUUCAAUCUCCCCUUUUUGGUAAUUGAUGACAACAUACAUCAAAGCUUUAGGUAAAGAUAAAGAGAAUAACAAGUAAAGCUUUGGAAGGACAUGCAACAUGCAUAGGCUCCCCCUACAUGUAUGCAGUCAUGUAAAUAAGGAAUGUAAGAGCAUGUGAAUGCAUAGACAUGACAGAGCAAGCAAUGUGUUACAUGUAUCUUGGCUAUAUGCAUCAGAGCAAAUGAUAUGAAUAUGUGAAGUGUAACUUCAUGUUCAUGAUUCCUUCUUGCAAAUAAUAUGUACAUUAGCAAAAGAUCUUCAUGCACAUGAGUGUGAUGCAUAUACUUACCUUGUGGUCUUGAGCUGACUUAGGAAGAGAUGAACCUGGGUAAACAAGGUUAGAUAACACAGAUAGAACUGCUAGACAGAGCAAACAAAAGAGCCACAAGAGUACCUAGACUGGGAUGACAUGUAGAGAGUGAGUACUAGGUACUCUAGUUUGAUAUAGACAUGUCCCCAAGGGUAAAGAUGUGCAAUGAAUUUAAAGAUUUCCUUCCCUAGAAGUUUUUCUCCCCCUGAAUCUUCUAUGGGAUAAUGGGAGAAAAUAGGGAAACAAAAUUAGAGCAAACAGACCAGAUCAACAUAAACUAGCAUGUCUUUCCCCUCUUAAAGACAUGUGACUUAUCUCCUCUUGAACACCAAGCAUCUGGGGCCUUUGAUGUUAUUCCUCUCUCCCCCUUGUUGAAGUGAUUAAGCUUUGAUGUGAUCUCUUUCUCCCCCUCUGACAUCAAUUUCCAAGAAGGGAUCUUCUGGAGUGUGAGUCAAAUAGGUUUGGUCCUUGAGUCACAGAGCAAAGCAGCAUAUAGAAUGUGAUGCUGGUGGAGGACAAGAAUCAUUGAGUGGAGCUGGAACAAAUGUGCAGGAAUAAGUGGCAAAUUGUCUUCUCUGUAGUGAAAUUGGUAACACUGAGUUGUUUUACUUCGGUAGCACCGAAUUGGUUCGGUUUGACCGAAAGCAACAGACCGGUGUGACCGAGUUCUACACAGAGAGAACAUUUGUCACCUCAGCUCACUAGGCAAAUAAGAUCUCACAAAGAUUUGCAAUGAAUUAGAUGCAGGGAAUGCAGAAUAAAACAGAGAAAAUAAAAUCUAGAUGAAGUUUUUUUUGAAUGAAGAAAGGGGAACGAAUAUGCAAGGAACAAACGCAAGAACUCAGAGAAACACUAGAGAACUUCAUCUAGAAUUGGGUGGCGACAAAGUCACCUAUGUUAGAGUAUAUUGACUGAGGAGUCAAGUGAGAACACUUGAUCAUAAGUCAUACUCAUCGUUAAAGCUCAAAAUGGGGUUACCAUUUUUCGUUUAAGCCUUUGAUGUAUUCGCAUCUUGUUGAGCUGCUUUGACCCAUGACUUGGAGUCAAGCUUCUCUAAGAUGGAAUAACAUACCUUGGGUGGUGGUGUUGAACUUGAUCAUGUAGUUGAACUUGUGUGGAGUGCUCAAGGUUGAUGUAGCGCAUCAAUGGUUGGGAGCACCACUUGUAGUUUGAGUUCAUCUACCUACAUGGGUUAGUCUUGCAAGGAAGAGCACUUGUGUAUCCAAAAUGACAAUCAUGAAACUUGAUACCAAAUGAAAUUUGAUAUAUAGAAUUUGUAAGGAUAUGUUGAAGGGUUUCAUGCUUCCUUGUCUUCAACCACCAUGUUGUAGAGACUUGGUGAUGUAGAGAUUACUCAAGAUGUGAGUGAGUUGCAAUCCCAUGGAUUUAGAUUCAACCAAGUACCUACAAGGGUUAGAUAGCAUGCAAGGGUACAAAUAUAUCCGAGACACAUGAUUAUCAUCAUAAGAGAAGAAUCAAGGAUUAGUCAUAGGCUCAUGCCUUGCAUGUAUCCAAAUGGAGUUCCUACUCCAAGUUUGAAGCAUCAAUGAUGUUCAAUUCACCUCUCAAAUGGCAAAAUACUUUCUCAUCAAGUGGUUUGGUGAAUAUAUCCGCCAAUUGCUUAUUGGUACGAACAUGCUUAAGAUCAAUGUCCCCUUUAGCAACAUGAUCUCGAAUGAAAUGAUGACGAACUUCAAUAUGCUUAGUUCGAGAAUGUUGCACGGGAUUGUGAGCAAUCUUAAUAGCACUCUCAUUGUCACAUAGCAAUGGAACAUGUUUCACAUUAAUCCCAUAAUCUUUAAGAGUUUGGGUCAUCCAAAGUAAUUGAGCACAACAUGAACCGGCGGCAAUGUAUUCCACUUCGGCGGUGGAUAAGGAUACCGAGUUUUGUUUCUUGGAGGACCAAGACACAAGAGAUCUACCAAGAAAUUGACAAGUACCCGAAGUGGACUUUCUAUCAACCUUGUCACCGGCAUAGUCCGAGUUGGAGUAGCCAACAAGAUCAAAAGAAGACCUCUUAGGAUACCAAAUGCCAAAGUUUGGUGUAUGUAUUAAGUAUCUCACUAUCCUUUUCACAGCCUUAAGAUGACAUUCUUUGGGGGCUGCUUGAUAUCGUGCACACAUGAACACACUUAGCAUAAUAUCGGGAUGGGAGGCACAUAGAUAUAAUAAUGAACCAAUCAUAGAGCGGUAAACCUUUUGGUCAACCGAUUUGCCAUCCUUGAUCAAGUCAAGAUGUCCACUAGUAGGCAUGGUGUUUUCAUACGUUUGCUUUCUUGCAUGUUGAACUUCUUGAAUAAGUCCUUGGUGUACUUUGUUUGAGAAACAAAGGUGCCUUCCUUAGUUUUCUUGAUUUGCAAACCAAGAAAGAACUUGAGUUUACUCAUCAUAGACAUCUCAAACUUCUUCGACAUUAGCUUCCCAAACUUUUCACUAAAAUGAGGGUUAGUCGAACCAAAUAUGAUAUCAUCAACAUAAAUUUGGCACACAAAUAAUUCACCAUUAACCCUUUUAGUAAAAAAGUAGAAUCUAUUUUUCCAAUCUCAAAGCCUUUUUCAAUAAGGAACUUGGUCAAGCAUUUAUACCACGCUCUGGGAGCUUGUUUAAGACCAUAAAGAGCUCUGUGAAGUUUGUAAACAUGGUCGGGUUUCUUAGGAUUGAAAAAGCCGGGAGGUUACUUAACAUAAACUUCCUCCUCAAUUUCACCAUUUAGAAAAGUACUUUAAUGUCCAUUUGGUACAAGGUGAUAUCAUGGUGAUUAGCAUAGGCAAGUAACACUACAAAAAAAUACACUUCCGUGAUGAUACGUGUUUGUCACAGUAGGUCACAUUUUCUGUCAUGCAUGUACAUCCAUGACGAUUUUAUGACAGAAUCAAGAUAGUCAUACCUGUGCUGUCGUAGAAGUGUUCCAUGACAUUACCAAAAUUAUCAUCACGGAAGUGUCCACUUCCAUGACGAUAAAUCCCGCGUCUCAGAAGUGCUUUCGUCAAGGGUGACCGACACGUGGCAUCCACCGUAACGGAACGCCGUUAAGCUAUCGGGUCGGGUUUUGGAUCCGAUAACCCGUUAACAGCCCUGACCAAUGGGGAUUUUCCACGUGUAAAAUCAUCAUUGGCUGGAGGAAACACGUGUCGGCUCAUCGUUGGGACAGAUGUCAUCCACUCAUUGGACAGAAGGCGCCUAUGAUACGUCGACACAUGGCACGGCCCAACAGAGGCCCAUUCCUGUGAAGAGGCCGGCCCGUUUGACUUGGUCAAAAGGUGGCGGGCCGACCCAUGUAAAGCCUGUUAACGGCAUGUUCGCAUAUAGCCCAUUUACAGCCCGCUAAACCAAGGCUCGUUACGCCCUAUCCAAAUUAGGCCCAGUAGCGUCAUGUGGGCCACCCAAUAUGAUUCCAGCCCGUUUUCACUUCUGGCCCAUGUAUGGCCCAUGACGUCUUUCGGCCCAUAUGAGGCCCUAUGUAACUCUUGGCCUAUUAACGGCCCGUGGUGAAACUGGCCCGUAAUGAAUAGUGUAUCACUUUACACCCAUUAACGGCCCGUGGUGAAACUAGCCCGUAGUGAACAGUGUAUCACUUUAUACCCAUUAACGGCUCGUUAUUCCGUUGGGCCGUUUCCAGCCCAUGUUAUCUUUCGGCCUUCUCAGAGCCCAUUUAUUCUUGGGCUCAUUUCCAGCAUUCGUUUACUUACGGCCCGUUACUGUCAUUUUGUGCUUGUGGGCCAAAUUCAGCCCGUGGUUACAGUCGGCCUGUUUGUGGUCCGUUAAUACGUUGGGCCGUUUUCAUAGUGUCAUCAAAUAUGGCCUAUUAACGAUGGACCGUUAUGGUCGGCCCAUGAACGGACGAUUCCAACUCUAGCCCGUUUAUGGCCAUAAUGCGGCCUGUUAUUGGCCCAUGUAUGGCCAAUCGAUCAUACUGCCCGUAUAAGGCCCAUUGAUGAUACGACCCGUAGAAGGCCCAUUGUUUCUACGGCCCGUAGAAGGCCCACUGUUUCUACGGCCCGUAGAAGGCGCACUGUUUCUACGGCCCGUAGGAGGCCCAGUGUCACUACAGUAAAUAUUAGCCCAUGGUUAUUGUGGCCUAGUUUUAAAAAAUAGGUUAUUGCAGCCACUAGCAAACCGCGGAAAAAGAACUGUAAUGACUACAAGCAAACAAAUAAACAAGACAACAAGGAAAUAAAUAAUCAAGCAACUUACACUAGGCUAUCACGGCUAUCACACAUAUUACAUCCACUGGGCAUCAAAGUUCGCACCAGUGCAAAUAAACGCGCCGACAAAAGAAUAUACAAAAUUGAGAGCACUUCAGAAGGCACUAGGCCUGGCCACGUCGGGCCCCCAAACAGCUGAAGAAGCUGAGUAGACCUCAGUUGUGUCAACGAUAGAUGCAUCAACACUAGAUUUAAGGCAUGAUGGUGCACACGGCAGUCCUCUGACAUCUUCAUUGCAUCUUUGACUUCAAGUCAGAGCUGAGCUGAAGCAAGCCUUUCCGCUUUAAGUUGAGACUGAAGAAGUCGAACUGAUUGAGGCAGCGACUGCACAGAGGUUGUCUCACACCUGCUGGUGAGUAGCUUCAACUCACUGUCUUCAUCAAGACAGGACCUUGGGGUCAUCUCGCUGUCCUCAAGAUGGUUUGGCUCACUAUCUUCCCUAAAGUUCUGCCUGGCGUAAGAGAUACGAGUCUGAAAGAGAAACAAGGAGACACGUAACAGGUUUCACAAUUAUAUAAGCAAAUAAAUGGAUCUGUUCUGCAUAAGGAACAUGUUUUUACAACUACAAUUUGAAACUGGUAGUUGUUGCAAACAUCCAAUCAGAUGUAAACAGCAAAGCAAACAGCAGUGGAGGAAAUGAUGCCUAUCCAAAUCUAUACUAGAACAAAGUUUGAAGGCUUGAGAAGGAUGAACUUACAUUACAUGUUAACACGGGCUGGACAAAGCCCUUCUCCAUGUUGAUGGAAGGAUAAUUCAGUAAAUUCCCCAAAGAAAAUUCUUUAUAAGCGUUGCCAUUAUUCUACAUUUUGCAAACAGUAAAUAUAGAUCAAAUAAUAUUGGAAGAAACAAAGGAUAAUGAAGCUCAGGUGCAGACUGAUGAUACAUAAUCAAAUAGCAAUUAAUUAAGUACAGCGUUACAAGGCAAAAGGGAGAGAGGUACUGACAAGAGCAAUGCAGAGCCCAUUAUUGUUUUGAGAUCGUAUGAUCCUUUGAGCAAGGAGAUUCAUCUGAAAUUAGUUUUAAUACAAGAGAGAAGCUAAGGCACAAGCAGAAAUUUAGGAGUUCAAAUUUUGAAUUGAUAUCAUAGACAGUACCUGACGCUGGGCUCCUAGCAGUUCUAAUAGGGAUUUGGCCACUGGAGUAGGGGUAAAGUGUGGUACAGUUGGGCCUGUGUUUUCUGUGGCUGCUGAUCUAUCUGAUUUAACAUGUAUCACUACCUUUUCUAAAUACCUAGUUUGUACUCCUUGAGGAUCUGCACUCACCCUCUUCCUUUUGGACAUCUAUUGCGAAAGAACAACAUUUGAAUGGAAAAACAUAGUGUGACGACACAUGGAAUAGGUACAUAAGAUGGAUAGGUAUGGCAUAUACUCAUAUAUGAUGCUUAAACUAAGCAGAUGGUGUAACAAAGUAGAAGUAAUGCAAGAGGUCAGAUGCAAAAUAUGUGCGACCAAUACAACUUUGCAAAGUUAGAGCAAGCACCUUGAUGGGUGAAUAAGAUAGGCCAUCCUCCACCAUGCCAAGUUUGUUAGCCAGUGGGUCGUUCCGCAAUAUUCCUCUCGUGCACCCAUUCUCAUAUUCAUUUUGAUAAUGUUCAAUAUCUGACAUGCAUGAAAACAUAAAAACAAGUGAGAUUUUCUUUGUAAUGCAGAAGUGAUUCUAAUCCAAUACUGCCUCCCUGUAAACCCCUUUGUGCUAUCUCUGCAAUUCUUUUAAAAGAUGCCAUGCAUGCUGUAAUUUGUUGUGUGCAUUAAUAUAAUGUGGCCUACUACUCAAAAUAUGAGAGCUCCAGAAGUGAUGACACUUCGCAGAUGAUAGCUUCAACAUCUAGUAAAGAAGAACAAGUCAACCUGACCUGACAGAUUCAAAAUAUACUAAGGGAGAACAAUUCGACCUGACCAGUCGACCGCAAGAGAAGAGUAUCAUCUUAAAGAAGAGCAGAAGAGCAAGCAGAUUGAAGAUAUUACAAGUCUUUCAAUACAAUGUCGGUUGGCCACCCAUGAUGAACCAGAGCGCACAGAGAAAUACUAUUCUUUCAGGUCUCUCCAUAUGUGGCUCACAUGCAUUUCGAAACUAAAGUAGGAACAUUUAGCUAACCAAUUAAACAUCUCUCAGUUUUACUAAUAUCAGCAAUAAUAUCAGAUAUGAAUUUGUACAACUAAGCUUGUUUAGCUCGAUGGGUGGAGCAGUGCUAUUACGACACGAACCACGUAGGCUGAUUGUGGUCAUCAUAAAAUGGGGAAAACAUAAGCAUGAUGAGUACAGUGUUGACCGUGGCAGUGGGAUGGCAGAUCUGAAGCUGCAAACCGCGCAAAGGGUAGUUAGCAACCGAUGUUUUCUUUGAAAUAACAACUAAGAUUUGGUAUGGACAACAAAGUACGGUCAACAAGUGACAAAGAAAUGCAAUUAUGCCUUCUCUCUAUAUGUCGCGACAUGCAUUUGGAAACUCAAGUGGGACAUUUAGCUAACCAAUUAAAUGUGUCAGUUAACUAAUAUCAGUAUCAUAUCACAAUCAUAUUUGAACAACUAAGCUUUCGAAUUCUGAGUGUUGUGUUGUUUAGCUUGAAGGGUGGAGUAAUGCUAGUAUGACAGAAAGCACCUACGCAGAUCAUAGUAGAGUAGAUAAAAGGGGAAAACCCUAAGCAUCAAGAGAAAAAUCAGGAAAGUGGAACUAGCUGGACCAGUGGGUGGCGCACAUGCUUUUCGAAACGAAUAUAGGAACAUUAGGUGACCAAUUAGACGUUCUCUGUUUUAGUGAUAUGAACAUCAUAUCAGAUUCGUAUUUCAACACGUAAGCUUUGGGUUGAGGUCUUGAGGAGCAGUGCUAGCACGACACGAAGCACCUACGAUGAUGGUAGUGAAUAUAAAUGGGGAAACCAUAAGCUUUAUGACUAUAGUGCCCAUGCCAUGGCGGAUCUGAAGGUGCAAACCGGACAAAGCUACUUCGCAACCAAUGUUUGCUUUCAACUAGCCACUACAAUUUGGUACGGACAAGAAAAGUACAGUAAACAAAUUACGAUCUAUUUUCCGGGUGAGAUCAAUAACUUAAGCACAUAUGGAAGAGUACCACCUCUCUUGCGACGCCGUGUAGGCCUAUGCUGAUACGUUGAGGGUGUUGCGCGUGCGAUGGCUGUCGGCAGCGGGGAAGAAGACUUUAGACGGCAGACGGCCGGGUCGGGGGAUAUAUCCUGUUGCCGUGGACGAGGCGGUCGUAGGAGCGGCAACGGCAAGGUGGACGACGACACCGAUGAAGUGAGAGGAGGCGAUGAAAGGAUCCUGGUCCAGCGCCGUGGAUGAGAGACGUCCAUCUCUUGCAGUGGACGACGGGGUAGGGGUAGCGCCUCCGGCAAGGUGGAGGAUGGGGUGGCGGACGGAGGAGGCUGGCCGCAGUGCGGAGGUUGUCGUGCCGCCGACGGUGUAUGAAUGGGGAAAUGGAGGGGAGGGGGGGAUCUCAAACUUUGGGACGCGCUUCUCUGAAAUGGGGGAAAGUUACGAACUUAUCCCCCGUUUAAAAUUUUGGACAUCACGUCGGUUGGGGAUAGGACGGUAAUCUCGCAUCUCCCAAAUAUUUGCCGGUAACUAUUUCGGGCGAGGAGAGGGUGUUUUGCCGCCCACGGUUGGUGCCCACGGUGUAUGAACGGGGCUAACAGGUAGGGCGGUUGUGUCACGUCUGAUGGAAGUUACACAUCUGCCCCUAUUUAAAAUAUUAGCCUACAUCGAUUUCGGACGAGGAGAGUUUGUUUUGCCGCCCACCGUGUAUGAAUGGGGAAAUGGAGGAAGAGACACAUGUCUUUCAGACGAGCUUGAAUCAAAUGUGUUUUGCCGCCCACGUUUGGCGCCCACCAUGUCUGAAUGGGCUCAGAGGCCGUCGUGUCACGUCUGAUUGAAGUUACUAGUCUACCCCUAUCGACAGCAGUGUAAAUCCGGUCGAUAAGGAUGACAAGUGUGAGGGGUAGAAAGUAAUUUCCAUCUCGCAAACACUUGCUUCGGGCAGCCCACAAAUUAUAGUGGGUGUUUAGCCGCUUCGUUCAAAACUUGGGAGAAUUAGCAUUCACAUUUGCCCUGGGACCUGGCAAACUAAAUUCAAAUCCAAUUUGUAUUCGAUUACGAAUAUCCACAGAUAAUUAUACGUUUUGUUAUUUAUUUCUUCGAAACCACAACAAAGAUUUAUUCCACCUUUAUAUAUGAUUAUGAUUUAGAAAUGCCGUGAUCUUCGAAUUCAGUAGGUUGGAUACACUCUGAGUCAAACAUUUAUUUCAUCCAAUACAAUAUGCUCACACGAAAAACAGUUCACCUUAUGUCAAUCAUACAAGUACUGAGGAUUACCUCGCCUAAAAAAUUCGGAUCAUUACAACACAUGGACAACAUAGGGGGUCUUGCAACAUAAUCCAUUCAGAGACAUGACACAACAUGCAAGUACAAUAAUCUAAUGACAAUUUCAACUGGUAUCUAAAGAAGAACCGGGAUUACCUUGGGCUUCAGAUAGCAGAAACAGCAGGACCUCCUCCGUCUUCAAAUGCAACAUUCUUACUUCCUCCAAUUCUUGGGUUGCUUGCAUAAUGCGUGCCUCUAAUUCCGUAAUUUCCAGCCUCAAGAUAAAGAUUACCUCAUUCAUGGCAGCCACACCAUCUCUUUCUGCCUCUAGUAGAGCCUCAAGCACUAUAAUAUCUGUGCUCAGACUGCUCUCCGGCGGUGUUGCCUCUGAACUGCUACCAUCUGGUAAUAUGGAUGGCGCACUGCUUCCACAAAUAGAUUCUGGGGUUGUACAUUGUGUCCUAGUGUGAACGGCAUCCUGAAAGGUUUCCGCUGGACAUCAGUAAGAGAUAGUUAUCGUAUGAUCCAGGCAGUAAGCUUACAUGGUAAACGACGGACGAAUUAUUGCCGAGCAUGGCAAACUAUAUUUAAAUGGUUCGAAGCAGCAUCAGCCGAAAAGAAAUUAAAAUGGUAAGAUGAAACUAGGGAUGUAAGUGGCAAAUAAACGACAUUCGCCAGUCCCAUCUAGUUAGUUUUUGCUACCUCCCUAGUUCAUUUUCCUCAAAAAAAACAAAAACUCUUUUGAACUAUCAUACCACUAGUGAACUUUAAUCGGGAUUAAACAGGACCCAGUUGACAUCCCUAGUUGAAAGGGAGUGUACAACCGCUAUAUUUAAGUUGCCAAGGCAUCUAAGCAGUUGAAAUAAUCUGAGAAAGCACUUAACAGUGUGGCCUCAUAUAAACUACGAAGACAGUCUUGUGAUGAAGUUGAGAGGAAAAGUUAAGGACUCAAAUGAAAUAGGCAUGCAUUUCUUUACGAUAGUACAGCAGGCACUGCUGACAUAUUGGCCAACUCAGGUAUAGCGUAACAACAAAUAAGCAUUCGAAUCAAGCAAUACAGCAAAGCAGACAACUGAACUAUUUGUAAUUCGGUAGGAUUACACGUUGAGGGCACAAGCCAAGAAAGCAGCCCACUCGCAUUACAUUUCACAUGUACUAAAACACACUGGCUUACCAUAUGUUGCUGUGAAGCCUAGCUGCUGUUGCAAUGUUCUUUGAAGAUAUCAUCAGCAUCCCGUGGUUGCAAAUCUAGUUGUUGUAGUUUAUUCUGCACCAUCUAUUUAGGUGAAAUUAAUUUUAAUCGCAUGCACUUGUCCGAAUUGAUCAUCAAUGGUUCAUCUAAACUAAUGAAAGAAGGGUGUGUGCAUACACGACAAUAUAUCUGCUUCCCUCUAUUUUUAUGCUUGUUCGAGGUGCCAGCCCCAAAAGAACAAAUAUUUUGCUUGAUGGGGUUGGCAGCUCCAUAAUUAAUAGAAGCAUAAAAUUAGUCAUGCAACUUGGGAAGAUCAAGAACACACAAACAAGUAAUGAACAGAGGCUCGGAGCAGUGAUGUAAUAGCUAGCAUCAGAAAAUGUAGGGUAAAACGAACAAAAAGCAGCAGAACCACAUGCUAGUUUGCUGAUGAGUAAUUAAGCAUAGAGAACAUUAAGCAGUCUGAUGGAACCAACAGGUGGCAUUAGAACAAAACUAAAGCAUAUUAACGUGCACUGGUAUGUAAUUUAGCACAUGUAACAUGUUCACUGCCAGAAGUAUGGCCCUACAGGUGCAAGCAGAAUAACGCGUCUCAUGGAAAACUGAAUGAUGCCCUGAAGAAAUUCAAAGGUGCGGUGCUUAUGCUAGGAAAGUGAAUGUAGGCGCCGGCCGUUGGAUAAUAGUACCUGAUUCUCGGCAGCGUAUGGGUAUCGUUGUCAUACUUGAUAGCUAAGGAUCGUCGAUGGUGCUCGUGUUGCGGUUGAGUUUGGGCCGGCUGUCACCGUCGCUGAAGCGGCUCCGGUGCUACGGUUGUGGCGCCUGUCGACAUACAAGAAAGCUCAUCUGUGGUAAGUGAACAGUUGCACGAUAAAGAGAAAAACCGAAGGAGUACAAAUCGAAAUAACCUGAUGAGGCUGUAGUGUCGGUAAAGCAGGGCCGGUGGAGUUCAAUAUGGCAUCCGUGGAGCGGGUCCGGUGCAGUGGAUGAAGGCUUCGGCGGGCGCGUUGUAUAGUGCUUUCGGUGAGGCGGAUCUGUUGCGGCGGACGAGGGCUUGUAUGAAGGGCCAGCGAAGGGGCGGAUGAGGGAGUCAGUGAAGGGCCUACGCUGUGGUGGACGAGGGCGCCGGUUAAGCAGAUCCGGUGCGAUGGACCAUGAUGGCGGUCAAGGAGAUCUGGAGCGGUGGACAAGCCAGUCGCUGAAGCGGCUCCGGUGAAGUGGUGAGUUGGCAGUUGGGGGUUCCAAGGUGCGGAAGGUAGAUCCGGCGGGGUGUGAGGUCCACUGCUGCGGCGGAGGACUAGAUUCGGCGGCUUGCCAUGGUUGGGGGGGUCGGGGAGGGGAAGGGGAUGGGCUCUCGGGAAGAAUGUUGGGGGCAAAGAGGGGAAAACAAUGGAGUUACCAAAGCAGCCCUUUUUCGUUCAUGUGGCAGGGGUAAAACAGGAAUAUCGCAGGGCUAAACUUUCGGGCGCGUGAUAUUUCGAUGUGAGCGGGAAGUUUGAAAGCUUUUGGCGCCUAAAAUUAUAAGUAUUCUGCUCUCGUACGACCGACCAUGAUAUCAUGGCUGACAAUUUGUUUGUUUUGCACGCAAAAAAAUGUGCAAGUUUUGAAAAUCAAUGUCUCCAACUCGAAACUUAGAUUGUCCAUUCAAUUCAAAUAUGGAUCAUUGAGCUACUACAAGCAAAUACCAUCAUACGGUCCAAUUCAAAUGAAAUUCCAAAUGUGUUUAUCCUAAAUAUGAUGACAAAAGCAAAAAUGUGUAUGUGUAUGAAUAAAGUGGAUGAUUAUAAAGUUUGACAUGCUCGUAUGUGUAUAUCUCUAGGUUUGAUAUAUGAAUUUGAAAUCACGAAAUCCUGGCUUAAAAAAUGUACCUCCAUUUAAAUGAAUUACAAAAGCUAAUGAUGGAGUCGAAUUCCAAAAUUCCAAUCUUAGGUUUGUAAUUCUGGUACAUCAAGGUAUAUCACGCAUGUUCAAAAGUAUCGCUAUCUCAUAGUACAAACUGUGAAACAAAUUGAUCAACCAUGAGUGCACAAUAUCUCAAUUACGCUAAAGUCCCUCAAAUAUAGACACCUCACUAUUUAUCUCAAGUCAACCCCCCCACCACCACCACACACACACACACAGAGAAGUCAUUCUCUCCCCCAAACACCAACACACGAGCACAUUAACACCCCUCUCUCUUGUAAAGUCCGGACCCCAACAUAGGUCUCUAUCACUUUGUCUCUCGGAGUCUCGGGCAUGCACACAUCUCUUCCCUCACUCUCUAGGUCUCCCGCUAUCUCUCUUACCCAAGCACACGCACUACGUAGAGUGUAUAUUUCCCAUACACACAAAACGUCGCCCCCAAACGUCUAUCUCCCUAGUUAUGUGGUUCUCGCGCACUCACCUCACACACCACCCCCACUACAAACAAGCACACUUUGUCUCCUUGUGCACCACUCUCCUCUUUCUAUCUCUCCCACAUGCGGACCCGCCCCAGCUCCUUCCCUGUAUACAUAUAUGUCGUGACUCUUUGCAUAGCUCCCUAAUGUAUAAUCGUUCUCGAUUUCGCACAUUGUUCUCUACACCAUCUAUUCUAGAUAUCUCAUGAAGUCCCUAUCACACACACGAUGACUCGCUUACCUUGCGUCUUCGUUCAUAGGCCAAUUUCGGACAACAUCAACAUUGUCUCCCUAUCUAUACGCCAUUUAUGGACACAAAUGACCCCUCUCGCNNNNNNNNNNNNNNNNNNNNNNNNNNNNNNNNNNNNNNNNNNNNNNNNNNNNNNNNNNNNNNNNNNNNNNNNNNNNNNNNNNNNNNNNNNNNNNNNNNNNNNNNNNNNNNNNNNNNNNNNNNNNNNNNNNNNNNNNNNNNNNNNNNNNNNNNNNNNNNNNNNNNNNNNNNNNNNNNNNNNNNNNNNNNNNNNNNNNNNNNNNNNNNNNNNNNNNNNNNNNNNNNNNNNNNNNNNNNNNNNNNNNNNNNNNNNNNNNNNNNNNNNNNNNNNNNNNNNNNNNNNNNNNNNNNNNNNNNNNNNNNNNNNNNNNNNNNNNNNNNNNNNNCACACACACUUGAUGUCUCUUCCAAAUAGUCUGCUCCCCCCGCCCGCACCCGUGCUAUCUCACUACUACACAUGUCACACCAUUCCCCCUUCCCUUGUACUAGGUUUACAUCAUCAGUGGUCUCUCUACUCCACAUACACUCUCUCCCUCUCACACACAAAUGCGUGCACAAACACACACAGACACGCACAAACACCCAUUUAUCUGGAUCCUCAUCUCUCCUCAUGUCCGCAUGUGUAUCUCACACACUCACUCUCUAAUUAUGUACAUGUGUCUCCACGUUACACAAGACAAAGCCCCAUGUACAUGUCUCUCUCUCUAUCCUCCACACACAUAGACACAAAGAAUCUGUUAUCAUUGCCUUAGUCUCUAACAUAUCACACAUGCACACUGUCUCUCUCUCUCGCAAACAUGCUCAACAAGGGUUUCCCCGUGAAUAACUUACCGUCUAUUCAUCAACAGUCGUGGCAGUACGGCGAACACGAGACGUGAAAAAGAAUAAAUCUACACGUGCUUAGACCACCUAGUAUGACUACUAGGACUAGAGCAAGCCAAAAAGCGCGCCGCCGUCACCCCCUCCUUGUCGGCGAUGGGAAAAUCUUUGUUUUACACAGUCGAGAAGUCAUUGUGCUAAGGCCCCACAUGCCGAGGCGUUGAAUAAAAUGUAGAUGCUAGUUUACGGAAGCAAGUAUCGAUAAUACGUUUGUAUCUCCAUACUUAUAUUUCUUCUCUUAUAAAAAACCGAGUUGGUGAUGAUGGUACGUGUGCCAUCUUGCAAUAUAGACCGUCCGAUCUAUAUCUGACGGAUGGAAAUUAAACUAAAAGAUACCCGCACCCCUCUCCACAUUUGCAGACAAGGCCUUCCCUCGUUCAUCCUUAUCUCCAACAAACCUCAUUGUUGAGCAAUUAAGAAAGGAAGCCUCCGGAACAAACUGGCCUGGUGGCCGCUGCCGGCGUCGUCAAUCCCCAUGCCUCCGCUCAGUCUGACCACCAACCACCACCACACCCCACUCCUGUUCACCUUAUCUCAUAUUUCUCAAGAUAUCAUUAGUUUUAACACAUGGGAUUACUCCCGCAAGGGUCAAUCACAACAAGUGUUUUAUAAAAAUAUGCAUCUUGAUGUUCCGUGCAAUGCACGGAUCUUGCUAGUACUCCUACACAAGACUAAGUUGGUGAUGCUGGUGUGUCUGCCAUCCGUCGUUUCUGACCAUUAGAUCUACAUCUAACGAUUGUGAGGUAAGUUGUUGCUUUUUUUCACCAACAUCCCACUUGUCUACCAAUUUGCAGAAAAACCCAUAAUUAGUAUCUUAAAACCAACCACAUCCCUCCCUGACCUCACCAAAACAGCCCAAGGAAUAUAUUCUAAUUGAAACAUAAUAUAUCUCUAGUGACAUAUGUAUAUCAAAAUUAGAGUGUUUUGUACCAAGUUUGUGAAUGAGUAUUAUUCUAAUUAUGAUUUGUUGCAACGGACAUGAACAUUGCUAGUAUUUCCAACCAUGCAUUUUUUUCCUAGUAUUCCAUAGUUUCGAGUUUUCAUCAAGAUAUUAGUCACUCAUGGUUGAUAUUUACUUUCAAUCAUGUACACAUAUGCACUAUGUAACUAGCCUUGCUUAUUGGCUUCCAAAGCUUAACUUUCACUCCUACUUACAAUAUGUAGAGUAUUUAACAAAAAACUACCAAUUUCAACCAGCCCUAGGAAGAAUCUAUUGUACAAAAAAUAGCAAAAACAUACCCAAAAUUUCUUAAUCCACGCCAAAAACUACCUAGUACUCCUACCGAUUAGGUUCGUUUAAACCCAUUUAUGACAGGGUUGGCCCACACGUCCGUGCUGACGAGGCAGCUUAAACCAACACAUUUUGUUUGACCGUUGACACGAGGGACCCACAUCUGACCUUCUAUCCUGUUAUUCCCCCUCAAAUCAUUAUUUUUCCUGAACAUUACUUCAAACAGUAUUGAUGCAUGUUCGUUGGUGGCGCCGGUGAUGAGCGAGUUGGCCGCCGCUCCGCCGGACGGGCCGGACGCCGCGCUGGCCUCCGCACGGGUUGGCAGGCUGGCCCGAGCGAGAAAGCCGCCGUGCUGGCCUUCGCUCAAGCCAGAUGGCUGGCCUUAGCGCGGCACGCGCGAGCAAGCCGCCGCGCUGCCGUGCCAAUCUAGCUAGCAAACCUUGCAGACAAGCAGCUGGACGGAGCUAUCUUAGCUAGCUAGCGGCCGCGAGCGCCGGACGGAGCUGGCAUCCGGGCUGCCGCAACAUGGGCUUCGCACCGCCAGCGGUUUUGACCUAGCCUUCUGCCGGCGGCGGUAGCUGCGUCCCAUGGCCGAGGAUGACUAGGUGGACGGGCCGGAGGUAGGAGGUCACUCGAGGAUUUCUGUUGGUAAGAGCAUGUACAAUGGUUGAUAAGGUAGUCUUAUCUUAAGUCUGCCACAUAUGCAAGUGGUAGUAGUUUCUUGGCAUUUUAGUGGUUUCUUGCAUUAUUAGAGCAAGUACAAUAGAGCUGAGUCAGCAGGCUAUAAGAAAUAAACUAGUAUAUUUCUGCUUAGUUGGAUGAAAGAGAAGAGGAGAGAGAAGGUAAGCGGGCUCUUCGUGAAGAGCCAGCUCUAGCACGUGCUCCUAGGCACUUUGUGAGAAUGAGAAGUGGGCCACAUAAUAAAAAAGUAGUACACUCUUUUGAUCUAUUAUUGUACAUGUUGGCUAUAAGAGGGGCUGUAGAUGACAUGGCACUGGCUUAUAGCUAGCAGCUGGCUAUACUAUUAACCAUGCUCUUAGGGGUUUCUUGUAAGGAACAAUGUACAUACUACUAGCGACAAAAGGCGAUUCUAGGUUGCGUUGUACUCCAACGAGUACUACUAGUGGUCGCGGGAGUGUAUACCUCGUUUUGUGGGUUCGAUCCCGGCCGAACACACAGCGGCCUUUAAAAAAAAAUAGUACUACUACACUUUGCUGCGAGCCAAUAUUUUACACGGGUAGUUUGAGUUUUGAAGUCAAAUAGACGUGCGGCCCCACAAUCUGGGUGCACUGGACAGCCUAGCCACGUGAACGGGUUUUCCUUCCCAGCAUCCCGUGGCUCGCGUGCUCGCCCUAGCCGCACCUUGCUUGCAGCUUCUAGCUAGUAGCAUAUUUAAACUAGCGCCUCCCAAUUAAGCCCGAGGAGCCGGAAAAGCCUGGCGGGGCAUUGGGAACUGUGCAAUAUGGCUCUGUACGUAAAGUGCUCUACUACUACUCUGUAGCUUGUGGUGUUGCACGCAUGGACUUCACUCCAUUAUCGGCUCUACUAUAAAAGAAAUUCCUCUUGACGUGUUUUUUUUGAAAUGGAGGCAAAAGCUUUGCUUCAUCUCAUUCAUAAAGAAGGAACUACUAACAAAGUUCGACGAGAUCCAUUACACCUCCACAAAUGGAAGCGAAAAGCCUAGUCUCGUUGUAUCAAAUAACUCAAAUGUUCUGCCCCCGCAGUAACCGUCGCUGAUAAACAGGCUGCUAGUGUGUGCGUGAGAGGAGCGGCUGAGUAGGCCAGCUAUGUGAGAGGAGCGGCUGAAUAGAGCACCGAGAGUACCCACUAGGCCACUACGCAGGUGUACUUCCCCUGCAUUGAUAGUACAGCGAUGGUUCUAGAGAACAGUAGUACCCUCCGCUUCCAACUGUAGCUCCUUGGCCCUGAGAUUCAAGAGUUCAAAACUGGUGCACUAUACUAGACUAGACUAGAACUACAGUACAUCGCACUACUAGUUGAGAAAAUUAGUACUAGUACUGCUACAGUACGAGUACGUACUCCUCCGUCACAUAAUGUAAGACGUUUUUUGACACUAGUUGGCGUGUACAAAAAAUGGCAAAAACAUACCCAAAAUUUCUUAAUCCACGCCAAAAACUACUACCUAAUGCCAAAAAUUUCUUACUAGUGCUAUUAUUUACAGUAUAAUGCAAUCCCAUAACAUUCCAUAAUGCUAGUACUAGUAGUAAAUAAUAGCCUCACCCCUUUGCUGAGGAACGAUCUACAAUUGGAAGGGACGAGGCCCUGCGGUUACUACGCUCUUAUCUCCUCCUCGCCAGUUCCCCUCCCCCCGAAGAGAAGGCAGUUCGUCGCUGCUCCCAUGGAUUCGCCAGGCGGUUCUCCUCCUCGUCGGGGCUGGGAGACGUUGGACGAUGAUCCUCUGGGAGAAAUCGCACGCCGCUUCGACGUCCUCACUGCCGCAAGACUCGGUGCUUCCUGCACCAACUUUUUCAAGACGCUGCUUAAACAGGCUUGGGAAAAGGCCAUGCUUGUUGGUCUUCCAUGCGUCCUCGAGGAGAAGGUUCUUCUAUGGGACAAUCCUUCGAACAGUCCACCGCUCCCUGGCCAUGGUUGCACGUUGACUCCGCUAGAGUUGCCGACAUUGAGAGGUAGUCGGAUUUUGUCCGAUGAGCAGGUCAGUAAUGGAGUUUGAUCAUGUAGUACUUAGUUAUUCCAUUUCCAUCCCGUAAUGUCUCCCCUGCCCACCGUCUUAUAUAUAGGUCUGGGUCGGUGCCAACGAAGAUUGGCUUGCAUACCUCCGGCCGGAUACCACCAUCAUUUUGCACAACAUCCACAGCAGUGCGGCCGUUCCGGUAGACCCCUUCUCCACCAUUGGGAUCGGCCUUCCGGACUGGCUGGGCUUGAAUACGUAUGAUGAUGCCUACAUGAGAUUGAAGAAGAUAGCAAUUGCGGACCCGCCAACAAAGCGACGCGGCUACGAUGAUUACUAUCUCAUCGCGGUGUUCGACAUAAGGAUUGCCAUCAAUGCAAGAGGCAGUAACGGCAGAGGCUGGCGCAUGUUGGCGGCGGUAGAUUUGUACCCCUACACGUUCGAAGACGCCGUGCGCCAUCUAGGCCGCAUCUUCGCGGUGACAAGCCAGGGGACUUGUUUCAUCUGGUUGCCAUCCUACGGUACGGGAGAUUACAAACGGAAUGCACAAACCAUCAUUUGCAUCCCUAACGGUACUCCAUUAAUUUGCAGGGACCAGUCAUCCCUCGAUCAAAAUAAGAUCGCCGAUCCUGGAUGUGCAUUUGCAUCCGCGAUUCGGUCUAACCUGGAACCUUGUAGCUGACUUUGGCAUAUUGGGAUCUACUAUCUUAGCAGUCGUUACCCAUGGUACCACUGAUGUGCAACAUGGUCACACAAUCUACCAUGAUCGGACCGUCACCAUCUACCCAGGUAUUCCAUUUUUUAACCCUCUCGCCUUCUCUUUCAUUGUUGUACUAGUAGUAUACUUUGUAGUACUAGUAGGAGUACUUUUUACCUUGGAGGACGCGUAUAGCUAGCUAGGCCCUUGAAGACUUGAACCCACUAGCUGCCACCAUUUUUGUUUUUCCAUGUCUUACUAUCUCAUCCAUGUAGCCAAGAGUGGCUAUAUAUAAUAAGCCGGUUAUUUUACUUCCUCUAUACCGGAGUAGUACUAUUUGCUGCACAGUAUUACUGACCGCCAUAUUUGAGCACAACAUUAUUAUGCAUGGACCUUGACUAUGUACGUCACCAUGUGUCCAGAUCUGGGAUGCCGCGUGUACCAGAUGAACGGCGCCGAGUUCGACCCCCGUGAUGCUACGUGGGUGCCGAGGAACACUCUUGGAGAGUACUCGCUUUUCAUCGGGGACAGCUACCCCAUUGUGAAGCGGAUGCCACCUUUCGUGCACGACACGGAAGGCCUGCCGUUCAUGAAGCAUGGUUGUGUCUUCAGUGCGCACCGCCGGAUGAACGACAUGCUGGGACACGCUAUCCCUGAUUUAUGCCACUUCAGCUUGGAUGAGUCUCCAUCGUGUGGAACCGGACUAGAAAGCUGCGACAAUGAUUCCUGUUGCCCACCGCUAUGGAUCGUGCCAUCCAUGAAGAACACCUGGGACUGGAACCUGGAGGAGGACAUGUAGCCCAUCUAUAACGUGUAAGUGGAGUACGGUAAUUGUGAACGGUAGCGCUGUGAAUAUAUGUAGACUAGUCGGGCACAAAUUUAUCACAUGAAUUGGAGAUGAACUUGUGUGGCAUACUGGCAUUUGUCCUUUAGAAUUUAUUACUAGUAAAUGUGUUAUGUGUGCGUGCAACUUGUGUGGUUGUUGCACGGGCUCCAACACGCUCUUUGAGAAAAAAAGGUGGCACAGCUUUGGAUAUACGUGACGUGCCGGCAUCAUACAGUAGCAUCGUUCGCUAUAGUUGUAGUACACUCCUACUAGGACGACAACUCCUAUAAAACCUUGCGCUUGGCUCUUUGCCUCUUCGGGAGGUUCAACAGUUCGUACUCGUGUGAACCUUGCACUUGGCUCUUCGCCUCUUCGGAAGGUCCAACAAUGAUGAUACUACAGUACAAUAUGCUUCUGGCAAUCUGACACCGAUUGAACUGCUGCACAUCCACCGCGAGGGCGAGGGAGAGGGAGAGGGAGAGGGAGAGGGAGACGGCGCUGUAGUCAAAACCCUCUCCUCGUCCUGCGAACCACCGCGCGCGUGGGCGAGGGAGAGGUGUAGUAAGCAAGCUUCUCCUCGUUCGGCAAGUUGACGGGACACAUCAAAGCAGUACUAGUACUAGUAGUAGUAGUCCAUACUGCGUCCUUUCCGAUUAAUAUGGCUUAAUUUGAAACGAGAAAAAUACACUGGCGGUCAACGUAUGUAACAAUACGCUCUUUACGGUCACUAUAUAUAGUUUUGCGGCGAUUAUACGAUCACUAGCUCAUCGUAGAGCACCGUAUUGCACCCUACUAACCGGCCACAUAGUCGACGUGGCAUUUUGUUGACUGGUUAAAUUGUCACCUGGUUUCUGGGUCCCACCUGUCAGUUGGCAGAGCAAAGAAAUCAGUUAAACAAAACUUUACGCAGGAGCGACACGAGUCCAACCCUUGCGCGCGAACCGCCCUGGCUAUGUAUGUGAGUGCAUGCACGUGUCCUCCCUCGGUCUUCCAACAAAGAGCGUACAUCGGCUAUAAAACAAAGAGUGUAGUACAUGAUGUACAUCUACACUUCCAAUGCAUUUAGCCUUUAAUCUAAAUCGAUAUUGAUUGACUAAUGCACCAACUUGUGCUGUAGGUAUAGGCUACAUGUCUAUCCUUAAUUACAGCAUGCAACGUCCUUCAUUUAAUCUUCUUAUCUCAAUGGUCGCAUGCACACAUAAGUCUGCUACUUUUGGGCGUUAAUUAUGCCCUGGUCAAUGUGUAAAUGUCUAAAUGUACAGUCUUUCACGGACAUAGGGAGUAGGUUGAGCACUUGAGCGUGAGCGUGUGUGUUGCGUCAUGUGCUGUGUGCCGCAUGGGUGCGUGAGUGUUGCGUGCGUCCAUGUGUACGUGUGAGUGUUGCAUGUUGCAUGCAUGCAUGCAUGGGGCUUACUCCCUCCCAUUGACAUGUUCAUAUUUCAAGCUUCCUCUGUUCCCUCCAUAUGGUGAUACUCCCUCUGUUCCCAAAUAGUACGGAGUAAAAGCCUCCCUCUGUUCCCAAAUACGGAGUAUUUGUCUUUCUACAGAUUUCAACAAGUGACUAGGUACGGAGCAAAAUGAGUGAAGUGAGCGUAGAGGCAUAGGGAUACUGUAGAAAGGAAGUCCUCGCGAUCCAUUAUUCCCCAUCUCGGUCAGAGAGAACUAUUCAACUAGUCUUCGCAGUGAAGUGACAAUACACGCUACAGCACAUGGGACACAUAAUUAAUAAGCUGAACCAGCGUGUUGGUGUUACUAAAUCAGCCUUACCCAGUACUGCCAUCAUGUUUGCCAGUAGAGCACGCUUCCGCAAAUACGCCUACGCACCUCUGUCCUCCAUUAACUGACAUAUGGGCCCUGUUGUGGUAGACCCACAUGUCAUUGGUGUAACUAUUUACACUCCGAAGGACGGUAUAUCCUGGUAGUAGUACUAGUAGAAUUGAGAUUGAAUGCACUUUCUUCCCCGUCUUCCACUCUUCUUCCUCCUCUCUUCCCCAUCAUCGGCCGCACACCAUUUACCCCCGCUCACUGCUCGCCCGCCCGCGCCAUCUUCCUUGGUAGCUCGCGCGUACCAUAUCCCCCCGCUCACUGCUCGGCCACACAAGGAGAAGCUUCUUCACUCGCCCGCCCGAAUCCACUUCCCCGCUGGCUCGCAGGCACCGAAAACCCCAAUGGCAGAACCGACUGACACGCAGAGCCGCGAUUGGAAUUCCCUCCCCGAUGUUCUCUUGGAGCAGAUCUGUAGUCGUAUGGACCUACUCAGCACCGUCCGUCUGGCCGCAUGCUCGGUGUCUUUGUACCAUCUACUCGUCUGCAACCGGCCGGCUCUUUUCAAGACACCCUGCUUGUUGAUGCCCGAUCCUCGCAGGUGGCCCAGACACCGACUUGACGAUCCUACAGAGGUUGCCGUGGUGCCCCUAGACAUGCUACCACUACCCCUCCACCUGUCCUUCAUGCGCGACCACUACUGGGCGGGCAUGAAGGCCAACUGGAUCGUCCUCAUCCACCACACCGGUAGUCCGUGGCGUCUCGUGGAUAUCUACACCCAGUGAGAGAUCACCCUUCCAUCGUUGGAUACCGCCGCCAUCGAGCCUCGUGGCCCGCCAGACACUCCUGCCUACUACGCACGAGACGCGUCAAGCUUUUGGCUCGACCUCUGUUUGCAGAAAGUUGUAAUCUGCGAAGUGCCCACACCAUCAGAAGACUACAUGGAUUACAAGCUCAUUGCCUUGUUCAACAUGGGAUUAGUCUAUCUGGAAUCCGGUCGCCAUACAUGGUUAUGGCUCAUCAUCAAUCCUGUUGAGGCAACAUUUCUGUCUGAUGCUAUAGUGCACGAUGGCAUCGUUUACGCGGUCGACGCACAGAUUGGCUGCCUAUACUGGUGGAAUCUAUCGUCGUGUAAUUGUUCUAUCUCAUCUCAUCUUUACCUUAUGAAUACGACUGCUUGUUCAUUUGUUACAAAUUUAGAAUGCAUAGCAUGUCUAUAACCACAUCGUUGCUAUAUGUUCCUCUCAUUUCUAGAUUUUUAUGACCACACAUGUUAUUGUUAGAGUUGAUAUGAGAACAAUUGGCAUCUAAUGAUUGUUAGAAUACAUAUUAUGAGCAUAACAUCAUGAUUGCUAUAUGUUACUCUCGUUUACAAGAUUUGUAUAACAACGCAUGUUAUUGCUUAGAGUUGAUAUGAGAACAGUACUAGUAAGUGCUAUGGUAGAAUAUGAGUAGGCGCUGUCAUAGUUGUUUUCCUCUCAUUGUUACAUGAUGUUUGAACCACGACAUAUUGCUAGAAUAUGAAAGCCAUUGGCUUAUUUUUUUUACUUGGGGUAUGAUUAUGACCACGACAUUGCAAUUCUCUGUCUAUGAUAUGUGUCACUGUUAUAAUAAUCUUAAUUCCACACAUACUUUGAACAUGAUUGUUUAUUUUUGUCCUUUUGCUCUCCAAUUUGAAUUGUUGCAGCAGACACAAAUGCGCCGGCCUUCAUGAUUCGAGGACCUGGAAUCAUACCAGCCGAUGGGUGGUGGUUUAUCGCUCGUUCAGCUGACGGCGGUCAUUUGAUGCUCAUUCGCACGUACCAAAUUAACCAAACCAUUACAUCAAACCACAUGCAGUACAAUGCAUGGGGCGUUCGUGACAUUGAUGGCUAUGGCUGCUUCGUGUUCGAGAAAGAUCCCAGCUCCGUUGGGCCAGGCGUAUUCAACUGGAGGCGGGUUUACAGCCUCGACAACCACUCCUUGUUCCUCAGGCUCAAUUAUCCGAUCAUCCAACCAAUCAUCGAUCAUAUCAGCGGCGAUGAUUACUGUGCUAUACAACUUCCAUUCGCGAGGGGGGGGGGGGCUGUGUUUACACAUCAUACCAUGGGUUUCAUGAAUCACCAUAUCCAGAGAUUCGUCGACACAACUUCCAGGUAAGACACCGAUCGGCCGUCUACUUGCACAAACAUAUUCCUUUGUUUAUAGCCCUAUUUUUCUUUUUAGACGCAGACCUGGUGAAGCAAUUACAAUUUGACAGUUAAUAAAAAGUGAAACAAGUGACUGCAACAUGCCAAAGAUGUUAUGAAAAUGCCAACUAGGUACACUAAAACCUGUAUUCCACAAUACUGCAGGUAUCACACUGAGUGGCCUAAGGAAGCAUCUUCCAGUGGAAUUCCAGGGCGUUCAAAAGGGGCACGUGGACGCGUCGCAAGAUACAGUCGGAGUGCGGCAUGCACGCGAUGUGGCACAAGACCGGCAAUACCUUGCCAGUGAUGGUCAACGGCCGGCAGACGGGCAGCAAAAAAGGUUCUGGUGCUGCACACCAACAAGAAGUUCGACCAGCAGAGGACCAACUGGGUGAUGCACCAGUACCACCUCGGGGACCUGGAGCAAGAGAAGGAGCGGGAGCUGGUCCUCUGCAAGAUUUUCUACCAGACGAACACUAGGGCCAGGAGUAAAAAGAUUAUAAGUUAGUUUGGUAUUGGUAGUUGUACUACCUUGUCGUCCGCAAGUUGAUAUUGUUGUUAACGAUCUUUUGGUAUGAACUUGCAUUUGCUUCCAACCAUCAUGCCGAGGGUCGACGUGGAUAUAAAGCUGAAUCAUUUGUUUCGAAACGAAUUUUCAGGCACCUGAUUUUUAUUUGAUGGGUAGCAUAAGCACCCGCCGUUCGAAUUCCCAGUUCUCCAAUUUUUUCGAAACAAGUGCAUGAACUUAUUAUCAUGAUAAAAAAACAAUAUCCGUGUUGCAUCCCAGUUAUCAGUCUGUACUUGCAGAAUUCUCUCGUUUAUUGAGCACGUAUAUUGUUUUUUCAGGUCGAGCAAGUUUCAACUGGGUUGUAGACUGCCCAGGGUUGGUUUUGUUUUUAACAGGCCCAGCCCAUGAUGACAACGGGGCACAAAGAUCCAGCAGGUAUCUACUGGCCUCUGGCCCGCCAGCGUUAGUUAUAUUUUGUCUUACAACAUCCGCAGGCAGUUUUUUUACUGAAUCAAACACACAGCCCAGUUCUAUUUUCCUCUUGAAACGCAUGUCCUACAUCCGUUUUCUAAUCUCUACCUAUAGUUUUACUAGUUCAUAUACACGUAUCAUUAUAUUGAAAACACAUAAAAUUCCCUUUUCAUAUUUACAUCCUUAUUUUUGUUGUUUUUUCCCACCCAACGCUGAUUUUUUUACCACUGGUUUUCCCUUAAACCAACUCAAUUGUCCCACGUCUUAUUUGCUUACAAAAACAAAACGAUUUUUUGGCAAACCAAUAAGUUCUUAAAAAUGUUUAUCAUUUCGGGAUUACAACAGUUCGGACUCCACCGAAAUAUGCAAAAUAAGGUUGAACUUUUUGACCGUGGUCCUGGGCAGAAAAUGGGCUGUAAUAAAUUACUUAAGAAUUAUCAAAUGGGCUGCAAAUUAUAAAAAAUAGCAAAUGGGCCUACUAAGUUAAUGCGUACACAAGGUUUGGAGGCUGACUCCCACCGCUGGCCCAGGGUAUCCCUCUACUCACCCACACCCCCUGUUAUUCUGCGGCGACGGCAGCCUCACGCCGCAGCCGAACCAGUGAACCCUCGUACUCCUCUCCGCGUGGGCAUCCACUGCCGCAUCUUCCCCGGCUCCACGUCGUCCCCUUCCUAGGCCUCGCCGUCGUCCACCGCCCUGGUGCUCUCGGCGUGGCGUGGUCAACAAUGUCCAUCCAACGGCCGUAGUGCUUCUUCAACCUCUGGCCUUCUUGCCCCAGCCGCCCAAAGCAGCGCCGGUCGUGCCGCAUGCUCCUGCCUCCCGUGGCCGGCUGUGCUGCCGCGGAGGCCUCACCGUCCCCAUACUACUCCCACCGUUGGCCAGGCCAUCCCUCCACUCACCCACUCCCCCUGUUAUUCAGCGGCGACGGCGGCCUCACACCGCAGCCGAACCAGUGAACCCUCGUACUCCUCUCCGCGUGGGCAUCCACUGCCGCGUCUUCCCCGGCUCCGCGUCGUCCCCUUCCUAGGCCUCACCGUCGUCCACCGCCGUGGUGCUCUCGGCGCGGCGUGGUCAAUAUGGUCAACGACCGACUUAUAUCAGAAGAGUACUGUACGUGGAGAGGCUGACAGCUGGGUCCACGGCUGCCGCAAGGAAGUGCCUCCUUAUUACGCACAAAAUAAUUAUUCCUCCACCUGACAGCAGGGACCCACCAGACGGGCCACCAGUAUUUCGCGGAAAAAACAUUUCCCCCCUGACUGCUGGGACCCACCGGACGGGCCACCAUAUUUCGCAAAAAAAACGUUUGCCCCUGACUCCUGGGACCCACCGGACGGACCACCGUAUUUCACGAAAAAAACGUUCCCCCCGCUGUCAGCUCGGACCCACCGGAAGUGCCUCCUUAUUACGCACAGAAAAAUGAAUACUCCCCGUGCUAGCUGGGACCCACCAUGGUGGGAGGCUGACUUGUGGGCCUACUAAGUUGACGGGGACGGAGGGCUUUGUCAACUUAGUCAACAUGAACGAUUCUAACUCCAGUGACCGUACGAUGUCCAUCCAACGGCCGUCGUGCUUCUUCAAUCUCUGCUCUUCCUGCUCCAGCCGCUCAAACAAGCGCCGGCGGGACUGCCUGCUCCCUCCUCCCCGCGGCCGGCUCUGCUGCCACGCAGGCCUCACCGCCCCACCGUACUCCCAUCGCUGGCCUAGCCAUCCCUCUACUCACCCACACAUGCUGUUAUUCUCCGGCGACGGCAGACGAACCAGUAAACCCUCGUACAGUCGUACUCCCCUCCGCGUGGGAAACAACUGCCGAGUCUUCCCUGGCUCCGUGUCGUUCCCUUCCUAGGCCUCGCUGUCGUCCACCGCCCUGGUGCUCUUGGCGCAGCCUGGUCAACGUGGUCAACGACCGACAUGCAUCUGAAGUGGACUAUACGUGGAGAGGCCGAUAGCUGGGUCCACGGCCGCACGCAAGGAAAUGCCUCCUUAUUACGCGCAAAAUAAUGAUUCCGCCACCUGACAUCAGGGACCCACCGAAAGGGCCUCUGUAUUUUGCGAAAAAAACGUUACCAUCGCUAACAGCUCGAACCCACCAGCUAUAUCUUCGCACGCAAGGAAGUGCCUCCUUAUUACGCACACAAAAAUGAAUACUCCCCCUGUUAGCUAGGACCCAGUAUAGUGGCAGGCUGACUUGUGGGCCUACUAAGUUGACGGGGACGGAGGGCUUUGUCAACUUAGUCAAUAUGCACGAUUCUAGCUCCAGUGAUUGUACGAUGUCCAUCCAACGGCCGUAGUGCUUCUUCAACCUCUGGUCUUCUUCCUCCAGCCGCCCAAACUAGCGCCGGUCGUGCCUCGUGCUCCUGCCUCCCGUGGCCGGCUGUGAUGCGGCGGAGGCCUCACCGCCCCUACUACUCCCACCGCUGGCCAGGCCAUCCCUCUAUUCACCCACACCCCCUGUUAUUCUACGGCGACAACAGCCUCCCACCGCAGCGAACCAGUGAACCCUCGUACUCCUCUACGCGUGGGCAUCCACUGCCGUGUCUUCCCCGGCUCCGCGUCGUCCCCUUCCUAGGCCUUGCCGUCGUCCACCGCCCUGGUGCUCUCGGCGCGGCGUGGUCAACGUGGUCAAGGAACGGCUUCCAUCGGACGUGGACUGUACGUGGAGAGGCUGACAGCUGGGUCCACGGCCGCAGCAAGGAAGUGCCUCCUUAUUACAUGCAAAAUAAUUAUUCCUCCACCUGACAGCGGGGACCCACCGGACGGGCCAUCGUAUUUCGUGAAAAAAACGUUUCCCCCCCCCCUGACUGCUGGGACCCACCAGCUAUACCUUCGCACGCAAGGAAGUGCGUCCGGGCGAAAACAAAAACAAAACGAUUCGCUCCCCUGACUGCUGGGACCCACCAGCUACAUCUUCGCAUGCAAGGAAGUGCCUGACAGUCGGGACCCACCUGGUCGAAGCGUACGUAGCGUUGUCAUUCUGGUCGCGAACGUGUACGUACAUAUAUACUGGUGGAUGUAGAGGCGCGCACAUGUCGUAGUAGAGGCGCGUACGUGUCGUAGUAGAGGUGUGCACGUAGCUUGUACACAUACGUACAGCGGCCAGGGUGCAAGAAAUAAAAUACGGCCACGUAUGUGUAAAUACGGGCGGGGUCUCGAACGCCUACUCGCGCAUACAUACGGCCAGUGCUCGUGUAAAUGGUUGGGUCGGAACGGAGAAACAGCGUCGUCGUCGUGUUCAUGGGGAGGCAACGGAAUGUGUCGUGUUCAUGGGGAGGCAACGGAAUGCGUCGUGUUCAUGGGGAGGCAACGGAAUGCGUCGUGUUCAUCGGGAGGCAACGGAACGCGUGGGAGCCAACCGGCUGGGUCGGAACGGAAUGCGUGGUCGUGUUCAUCGGGAGGGCUUGGACGGAACAGGCGAUGGAAACGAGGCCUGGCGUACCGCNNNNNNNNNNNNNNNNNNNNNNNNNNNNNNNNNNNNNNNNNNNNNNNNNNNNNNNNNNNNNNNNNNNNNNNNNNNNNNNNNNNNNNNNNNNNNNNNNNNNNNNNNNNNNNNNNNNNNNNNNNNNNNNNNNNNNNNNNNNNNNNNNNNNNNNNNNNNNNNNNNNNNNNNNNNNNNNNNNNNNNNNNNNNNNNNNNNNNNNNNNNNNNNNNNNNNNNNNNNNNNNNNNNNNNNNNNNNNNNNNNNNNNNNNNNNNNNNNNNNNNNNNNNNNNNNNNNNNNNNNNNNNNNNNNNNNNNNNNNNNNNNNNNNNNNNNNNNNNNNNNNNNNNNNNNNNNNNNNNNNNNNNNNNNNNNNNNNNNNNNNNNNNNNNNNNNNNNNNNNNNNNNNNNNNNNNNNNNNNNNNNNNNNNNNNNNNNNNNNNNNNNNNNNNNNNNNNNNNNNNNNNNNNNNNNNNNNNNNNNNNNNNNNNNNNNNNNNNNNNNNNNNNNNNNNNNNNNNNNNNNNNNNNNNNNNNNNNNNNNNNNNNNNCUGUUCAUCCCAGAGGCACCAUCGAUCGGCUUCAGUUAGCAGCAGUAGCGAAGGAAUUGCUUGAUCGGGUUCAGUUAACAGCCAUCGAUCGAUCGCUCGGGUUCAGUAACGCAUAGCCUGCAGUGCAAUCGCUCGGGUUCAGUUAGAGCCCAACGCCUCGCUCGGGUUCAGUUAGAGCCAACGCCUCGCACACACGCGCGUACGUGUACGAGAGAAACGUGCAUCUCUCGGCCCCCGACCUCCCACCGUAACCGGGAACUCCCCGAAAUUUUCCUCGCCCUCGCUUCUACCACGGUUUUUUCCGUCAUGGACGGCCCAAAGAAUGUCAUGCAGCUACGUCUCCGGCCCGCCCAGAACGAAAAGCCCAUUUUCUGUCUUGAUUUUUUGUCAUAGAAGUAAAAGCCCACCACAUCUAUGAUGAUACCGGGUUUUGUCACAAUUAUCGUCAUAGAAGUGUCAUAUGUAUGACAGAAAAAAAUUCGUUCGGCCCAAAAUGUCACGGAUGUGUCUUUUUUUGUAGUGUAAGAUGCGGAUGGACUCAAGUCUAGCAACGGGGGCAUAUGUCUCACCGUAGUCCAUACCUUUGACUUGAGUGUAUCCUUGGGCGACGAGACGUGCUUUGUUGCGGACGACUUGACCAUCUUCGUCUUGCUUGUUGCGAAACACCCAUUUGGUACCAAUGAUGUUGUGGUUGUUGUCGGGCUUCUCGACCAAUGUCCACACUUGAUUUCUCUCAAAGUUGUGUAGCUCUUCGUGCAUGGCAUUUAUCCAAUCCGGAUCUUCCAAUGCUUCUUCAACCUUCAUAGGCUCAAUGCUAUAGAUGAAUGAAUAAUGUUCACAAAAGUUAGCCAAUCGAGUUUUAGAGCAAGUGAUUCUCCCGGUUUGAAUAUCAUUGAAGAUUUGUUCGAUGGGAUGGUCUCUUGAGACUCUUGCUCGAACUCGUGAGAGCUUUUGCUUGUGUCGGGGUGGAACAUAUUCUUCAUCAUAUUGUCCUUCUUUUUAGCCUUCUUCAUUGCUGACAUUGUCGUUCUCUCGUCGUGGUGGAGAAGGAGGUUGAUGGGGUUCAUCUUGAUGCAUUUCCUCGUUUUCUCCAUCUUGAUGUGUCCCGCUUGUAGAUGCUUCCAUGUAAACUCUUGGUUCACCUUGUCGUGAGGUAGAAGCUUCCACUUGGACGGGUGAAGUACUCUCCUUCACCUCUGUUGGACGAAUCUUGCCAAUAGACAAGUCUUGGAUUGCUUCCGAAGGGUCUUUGUCUCCUACAUCAAUUGGCAAUUGCUCUACUUGCGAGCCGUUAGAUUCAUCAAACUUCACAUCUACCGUCUCUUCAACCUUUUGGGUGAAAUUAUUGUAGACAUGGUAAGUGUGAGAGUUUGAGCCAUAACCAAGUAGGAAACCCUCAUGAGAUUUAGGAGCAAAUUUAGAACAACAAUGCUUAUCAAGAAUGUAGCACUUUGAGCCAAAUACUCGAAAGUACCAACUUGGGGUUUGUUACCGGUGAGGAGCUCGUAUGUCUUCUUGCCGAGUAGCUUGUGAAGAUACAAGCGAUUUGUUGCAUGACACACCGUCUCAACCGCUUCCGGCCUAAAGUGUUUUGGAGUCUUGUACUCAUCAAGCAUCGUUCUCGCCAUCUCAAUAAGAGUUCGGUUCUUCCUCUCAACAACUCCAUUUUGUUGAGGUGUGUACGUAGUCAAGAACUCGUGUGAAAUCCCUUCUUCGUCAAGAAAGGUAUCCACAUUUGUGUUCUUGAACUCCGUUCCAUUGUCGCUGCGAACCUUCUUGAUCUUCACUUCAAAUUGAUUUUGGGCCUUCCUAGCAAAAUUCCUGAAGAUCUUUUGGACCUGCGAUUUAUCAUCAAGAAAGAACACCCACGUAAAUCUUGAAAAAUCAACGACUAUAACUAGACCAAAUGAGUUUCCACCGAGACUCUUGUAGGCAUUGGGACCAAAGAGAUCCAUAUGAAGUAGCUCGAGCGGUCUUCUUGUGGUCAUGAUGUUCUUCACGGGGUGACUUCCUCCAACUUGUUUUCCUGCUUGACAAGCACUGCACAAUUUAUCCUUGUCAAAUAUAACAUCGUUAACUCCAAGGAUAUGAUCACCUUUAAUAAGCUUAUCAAGAUUUCGCAUGCCCACAUGACCUAACCUUCUAUGCCACAACGAGCCUUUCGAAGAUUUAGCAAUUAAGCAAGUUCUAGGUUGAGCCUUUUUAGUGAAGUCAACAUUGUAAAGAUCACCUCUACGUAUACCGGUAAAGACCAUUUUAUGAUUAUCUCUAUGAAACACUUGGCAAUCUACUUCCGGAAAUAGGACAUUGAAACCAAAGUCAGCAAGUCUAAAUACAGAAAGUAAAUUGUAGCCAAGAGAUACAACAAGAAUAACAUUUCGUAUGGAGCUAUCAUGUGAGAUGGCCACCUUACCAAGGCCAACCACCUUACCCUUUGAGUUAUCACCAAAAGUGACAUACUUCCGAGGGCCGUCGUUUUCAGCAAGCUCACCAAAUAUAUCCUUGUCUCCGGUCAUAUGAUCAGUACAUCCACUAUCAAGGACCCAUUCCUUUCCUCCAGCCAUGUAGCCGCGAAGAUUAGCCAUGAGACCAAAGUGUCUCAUAGACUCAUCGAGAUUGAAGUCACUAUCAUCAUCCUCAUAAUAGUAUCCAUGUUCAACAUCAUCUUGUAAUUGAUCAUUUCCUAGAGAAGGUGAUUCAUUAGAAGUAUGACCGUAAUAAUGUUCAUCUCUAUGGAUUCUAAUGACUUCGGAAAUGAUAUUGCUAAUAAUUCCAACAUCUCCUUUAGCACGCAUGAGAUCACGAAGCUCAAACAGGCAAUCAUCAAACUUAGGAUCACUAGUACUCAUCCUAUUCAAGGCAAUAGACUUAUGGAGAAUCUCAUCUGGGUUUUUCAAGGAAUAAUUUGGGAAUCAUUCCUCAAGAAAUCUCCAUAUGGUGUAAGCACAAUCAAGAGCAGGUAAGCUAGCAAUCAAAUUUUUAGGCAAUCCUCUAAUGAUAAGAUUGAUAGUUCUAAGAUUGAGAAUCAUGUCAAGAUCCUCAUCGGGAGUGGGAUGCAAAGGAUCACUAGGGGGAAUGCAAGGACUAGUAAUGUACUUGUUCAAGUGAUAUUCAUUGAAAAUCUCAAGCAUCUCAUUUUUUCACUCAUGAAAGUACUCUCCAUCAAGUAUAGGCACUCUACGUCUAAGACUCCCCAACGUAGACUCAUCCAUCUUCCUCCAAAGGUGUUUAAACCAAAGCAAUGGAGACCAAAGCUCUGAUACCAAUUGAAAGGAUUGAGAAGAGGUGUCUAGAGGGGGGUGAAUAGAAUCUUAACAAGAAAAAGUUGCAGUUUUUAUUUUCUUCAAGUUAAGGUAGAGUUUUAGCACAAGUUUAAACAUUCACAAUACAUUCAAGCAAGCAUGUCAAGAGUAUAUGAGCAGCGGAAAGUAAAGCAUGCAAUUUGCGAGAAUGUAAAGGGAUGGGAUUAGAGUGUGCAAACGCAAUUGGAGACACGGAGAUUUUUGGCGUGGUUCCGAUAGGUGGUGCUAUCGUACAUCCACGUUGAUGGAGACUUCAACCCACGAAGGGCAACGGUUGCGCGAGUCCACAGAGGGCUCCACCCACGAAGGGUCCAUGAAGAAGCAACCUUGUCUAUCCCACCAUGGCCAUCGCCCACAAAGGACUUGCCUCACUAGGGUAGAUCUUCACGAAGUAGGCGAUCUCUUUGCCCGUACAAACUCCUUGGUUCAACUCCACAAUCCUGAUGGAUGCUCCCAAGUGACACCUAACCAAUCUAGGAGACACCACUCUCCAAAAGGUAAUAGAUGGUGUGUUGAUGAUGAACUCCUUGCUCUUAUGCUUCAAAUGAUAGUCUCCCCAACACUCAACUCUCUCACACAGAUUUGGAUUUGGUGGAAAGAUGAUUUGAGUGGAAAGCAACUUCGAGAAGGCUAGAGAUCAAGAUUCAUAUGGUUGGAAUGGAAUAUCUUGGUCUCAACACAUGAGUAGGUGGUUCUCUCUCAGAAAAUGUAUGCUGGAAGUGUAGGCAUGUUCUGAUGGCUCUAUCCAUGAAUGAAGAGUGGGUGGAGGGGUAUAUAUAGCCUCCACACAAAAUCUAACCGUUACACACAAUUCACCAAACUCGGUAGGACCGAAUUAGAAAACCCAAUCAGACCGAUUUAGUUCAAAAUGUGAACGUUAGGAUAUUCGGUGGGUCCAACAUGUCACCUCGGUGGGACCGAUUUCAUUAGGGUUAGGGCAUAACGUAAUCUCGGUGAGACCGAUUACACAAACUCGGUGGGACCGAUUUUGGUAAUAAGCUAACCAGAGAGUUGGUCAGGCAAACUCAGUGGGACCGAUUCGCUCAUCUUGGUGAGACCGAAACAUUACGAAAGGGGAAUAGAGAGUUUGCAUUGCGAACUCGGUGGGACCGAUCGCUCAUCUCGGUUGGACCAAAACGUUACGAAGGGAGGCAAAGAGUUUGCAAUCCCAUCUCGGUGAGACCGAGAUCCCUAUCGGUGAGACCGAAUUGAUUAGGGUUUCUAGCAGUGCCUAUGUCAAGUGAACUCGGUGGCGCCGGAUAGAAAGUUUCGGUGGGGCCGAGUUUGACUUUUGGUUUGGGACAUAUGUGGAUAUGAGAAAGUGGUUGAGGGCUUUGGAGCAUAUCACUAAGCACUUUGAGCAAGCAAGCCAUUAAGCAACACCUCAUCCCCUUUUAAUAGUAUUGGCUUUCCUAUGGACUCAAUGUGAUCUUGGAUCACUAAAAGUAAGAUGUAGAGUCUUGAGCUUUAGAGCUUGAGCCAAUCCUUUGUCCUUAGCAUCUUGAAGAGGUUCCACAUCCUCUUGUCCACGCCACUCCAUCUGUUGAACUUGUCUGAAAUAUACUGGAUGAAAACAUUAGUCCAACAAGAGACAUGUUGACAUUAAUUACCAAAACCACCUAGGGAGCACUUGUGCUUUCACCCCGGACAGCAACGAGCCAGAGAUGGGAAGACGCGGGAGUAGAGUCGCAGAUGGAGAGGUGUACGAGGGCUAACUGGUUCUGGUGCGGUGUGGUUCGGCAGUCGGUGCAGAAGAAUAGGAGGGGUGGAGGGGUGGAGGGAUGGCAUGGCCAACGGUGGGGUAGCGCUUCAUAGCGAAGCGUGCUAAGCAGAGCUGCUAGCAGGAGGAGGCGGGAGCAGGUGGUCCCGGCGGCGCUGGAGGAAGAAGACGAGAGAUUGAAGAUGGAUGCCGGUCGUUGGAUGUAAAUCCAACGGCUCACGAUGUCAGAAUCAUUUGUUGACUAAGUUGACAACGACUUGCGUUGGCUUCGACCCAUUGGCCCACAUUUCAGCCUCCAAAAAUGUGGCACGUAUUCAACCCAUUUUUUAAGAAUUUACAGUCAAUUUGAUCUUUUUUUAGAAUUACAGUCCAUUUGCUGGGCUGGGUGAACAAAUAAUGUAGCUUCCAUGCGGCCCAUUUAUUUAUUUCCUAAAAAAUUACAUGUCAUUUGCACUUUCUCAAAAUACACGAUUUUGCUGGGCUGAUUCUAAUUAUAAUGUUGGGUUGGGCGCAGCAAUGUUAUCAAAAAAUAAACAAGGGCUGAGCAUUUUUUUAUAAAUAUAUUUAAAUAAUAAGUGAUUUAUUAUUACAUUGGUCCUUAAAUCUUACCAAGCUUUUGUACACAAUCACCAGGAUUUUCGUUGCCAAAAAAAUCCAGGAUUUUAUUGUUAAGAAAUUAUUUUUAUAAGUUAAUAAGAUGUGGGAUAUUGUUUCUUACAUAUGUAAGUUUCUGUUAAAUAUAUGAUGACAAUAACAAUAAUAUAUAAUAACAUAUAAAAUAAUUUAAAUAUAUAUAAUAUAGUUAGUAGGGAAACAUAAGUUGGACCAGGCAUUCAUAUUCUUAUAUGGAAAAAUAGAACAGACCUCUGCGUUUUCUUCAAGAAAAUACAUAAAUUGGGCUGCCGAUGUUUCAGGAAAAAUGAAACCUCGGAUGGGAGGUCCAUAGGCCAGUCGAUACAUGACGGCCCUCAAAAAAAUACAAACCGGCAUGUCGUGGGCUGCGCAUGUUAAAAAAGAAAGCCUAGACGGGGCAGCCCAAAACCCAGCUGAUACUUGUUGCCCCAGUGAUAAUAAAUGAUACUUGCCAGCUCCCCGGUUUCGUUGUGAAUUUAUCUCCUAUAGUAACUACGUUGAAGCACCUAAAAAAUGUAACUAUGUUGACAAACCCGUGGGCCCCAACGUCAGUAUAGCAUUAGGAGGAAGUAUUUUUUCGAUGAGGCACUUGCUUGCGUACGGCCAUAGACCUGGUGGGUCCCGACUGUCCGCCUCUCCACGUACAGUCCUCUCCAGAUUCCUCUCGUUUGUUCAGCAUGUUCACAACGGCAGACAGCGGCGCUGCAGCGAGCGCACAAAGGCGCAGGAGGAGAUCGGACCACCUGAGGCAGUGCCUUAUUUGUAACAGAAGUACUGAACUAGCCCAGUGGCCAAGUGACACUGCCCGACAGCUGUUCUGCCCGAGUUCGAUUCCACCUGAUGCAGGGAAAAUAUCUCCAAAUUUUUCCUCUGCCAUUAUUGUCAUGUGGGUCCCCAUUGUCAUCUAGACACACCACAUCCAACACUUGCCAAAACUUCGUCCCUCAUUUUCUCUAUUUUUCGCACACUCGACAUUGUGUGGGCAUUUUGAAAAUAGCAUACCUUUUUGACUAUGCAUCAUAUGAAGAUGUGCUAUGCAUGAAUGUUGACCAGCAUGAUGUUAACUGGCUGGUAGUUCCAUUUUUGACCAUGAAUAAAACUUCCAACAUGAUGUUAACCCUGUUUGAAAAGGCCGUGUUAGUAUAAAUGCUCUGCCUCUAAAAGUUGCAGUUUCUUAUCUGAAACUGAACUUGCAGUUUCUCAUCUGAAACUGAAACUUGCAGUUUCUUCUCUGAGAAUCACAUUGUCUGCACUAUUAUACUCCUAUGAAACUACAUUUUUUUAAGUGCUAAAAAUAGAUCUCUAGAAUUCAUAAAAUACUUCAUAUGCUCAAUACUGCAAAUCUAAAAUUCAAAAGACAUUCAUAUCUGAAAGUACUCUCAAAAUACACAACACAAAACACAAUUCACAACCUGCAAAUACUGACAACCGUAAGCUCCUCCUGACAAUUCACAACCUACCCGACUAUUGGGCUGGGGGGCGGUCCCCUCCUAUUCCUCGGCGGCAGACAGCCGCCCCGUGACACGAUGUGAACGGCGAGGGAGAGGAUGGCGGGGAAGCGUCGUCGGGCCAAUUGUUUUUCUCCUCUUCAGUUGGGUUCAGUCGACGAAGACUCCACCGGCUCGCUCUAGCACGACACCCUCACAAAUGGCACCCUGUAGAUGCUCGAUCCUUCAAUCUCUGGUGGAUGCUCCAUCUGGGAUCGAUACUCCCACCACCGCUUCCUCACGAUCGGAUUCGGUGAAUCUGUUUGCUCCAUGGCCCAGAGGAGCAGCUCUAUGUACUCCCACGCGACUCCCUUCGGGAGUAUCGCCGCCUUUUCGCUCUGUUGCAGAUAUUUGGCCAUGGAUGUCGCCGUCGCCGCUAGUUGGUCCUUGUUGUCAAACCAAGACUGUAUCUCCAACAUCCUAGCUAGCUUCACAGGGUCGCCGUCUGUGAUCCACACGUAUCGGUUUUACUCCUCCAUCGAUCUACUUAUCCACAGCACCUUCACUCGUCGGCAGGGGUUUUUGAAUGGAAGAGGAGAGGAGCAUCGCUGGUUUUGGAUCAGAACGGGAGAGGAGCGACGCUGGUUUUGGAUUGGAACAGGAGAGGAGGGGCGGUGGUUUUGAAAUGGAAGAGGAGAGGAGCGGCGGUGGAUUUAGAUUGGAACAGGAGAGGAGUGGCGCUGGUUUAAGAGGAGAGGAGCGGCGCUGGUCUUGGAAGUAUUUUUUUGUUUUGCGUAUUUUGGGUCAAAGUUUGACCAUGUACUGUAUUUGACAAGCAAAAUGUGAAUGCAUGUCACCAAAAAUUGUAUCGUUUGGUUCAUAUCUGAAUCUUUUAAAUUAUAUUAUUUUUGCAACGUAUAACAUAUAUUUUAUUUGUGAAAGUCAUGGUCAAUUAUGACCCAAAAUAAAAGGGACACUAGUUAAUGUGGGGUCGCUUUCUUAAUUGAAGGGUAAAUUGAUUUUGAUUUUGAUCCAGUCACAGCGUGCCGGCCCUCUCGUCCAAUCCUAAAUCGCUGCCGCACGCUCCUCUCCCUCUUCUCCAUUGCAAAACCACCUCCUCUCCAUCAUCUCCAUUCCAAAACCACCGCCUCGCCUCUCCCUCUUCUCCAUUGCAAAACCACCUCCUCUCUCCUUAGACGAGGAUCCCCUGACGUAGCCCAUCCUGCCAUUGAGACACUGACACAUGGGUCCCACCAAGUGCGGGGCCCACCUGUCAGCGACCGAAAGGCAGGGAAACCUCUCCUCUCCAUCAUCUCCAUUCCAAAACCACCGUCUCGCCUCUCCCUCUUCUCCAUUGCAAAACCACCCCCUCUCCUCUCCAUCAUCUCCAUUCCAAAACCACUGUCUCGACUCUCCCUCUUCUCUAUUGCAAGACCACCGUCUCUCCUCCCAUCUUCCAAAGCUAGCACCGGACCACUCAGAAGGACAUCUAUGGAGAGGAUGCAGCAGCGAAUCAGGCAGAUCGCCGGUGGCGACCAGGCAAAGUUAGCCAGGUUGAAGGAGAUCCUUACUUGGUUUGACAAUGAGUGGGAGAUUUCAAGGACGAUGAGGGCCAUGUGGCAAUUUAUGCAAAAGAGCGAGACGGCGGCGAUGAGGGCGGCGAUGUACUCCUCGGCGGCAGUCACGCCGUAGUCCUUUGAGUUCACCGAGUAUCUCCUCUGGGCGAUGGAGCAGACAGAUUCGCCUGAGGCGUAAGUCAGGCGGAGGUGGUGGGCGUACAGGUCGAAAGUCGAGCACCCAGAGGAUAACGAAUCGAUCGAGUACGGUGUGCCGUUUGUGAGGGUGCAGAGCCAGCCGGAGCCACAUGAGUAUUCGUUCUACCACCGCAAGAGGAGGCCGGAUGGCGCGACGUUGCUUCCCCGCCGUUCUCCACGGUUCCCUCGACGCUCGCCUCGUUUCAACGGCGUCGGUAGGGUUUAAGGUAAGCUUCGCACUAACCUAAUCUUCCAUCUGCUCAUGCUUACAAUCAGUGUGACAGCUAAUAAAAAUCAUGCUUACAAUCAGUCUCCGAGUACUACGCCAAUCACCCUAAAAUAGCUCUGGACCUUUGGGUCAGAGUUGUGACACUGUGUACAAAUAAAGAAAAAUAGAUUGAUGGUUCUUUCAGAAAUGAGUACUCCCUGGAAAACUGCCAAUAUAAGCUACUAGUAUUUUUUUUGAAGUCUAAGCUACUAGUAUUUGGUUAGAGGAUUUGCCGCCGAGAAAGAUCCGUCCACAGUGAGCGCCACACAUGCCACUGGUGGUGGUGGAUGCCAAUGCUUAGAUGGAGCAGGGUUGGUGUCGGUAAUUUUUACUUGGCACCUCGCACUCUACAUAUAUGCCGGUUCCAUCCGUACAUUUGUGCAGUUCCACCAAAAUGCAGCUGAAUAACCCUGUUUGCACAGAUAAUGAAAAAUUGUGAUUACAUUAUAGUGGCACUAGUUGAUGAAACAUACACUAAUAAAUAGAAGAAAAUAUUGCGAUAGUAUCAUAGUAUGCCAUGCUGCGAGGGCGAGAUGGGCCCUGCGACGCCUCAUACGGUACGCCUCAUACUGGAAAUCGACCCAAGUCUCCCCGAUACACCUUCUGCCAGUGAUGAACAUCAAUGUACAGCGGUAGUACAAGGAGGGGCCUUGAGACAUUCCAAUCUCUAUUUUUGUGCAGAUCGACUAAAAUUAAGCACCACAGUUUGCAAAAACGCUUAAACAUUAACAAUGGGACUAGUUGAUGAAACAUAUACUAACAAAGAGAAGCACAUUCUUUAUCUACAUUGGAAAUGAAAUGAUAGAGAGGACACUCGCUCUAUUUUAACUGUAUUAUUACUUCAUUUUACUAGUGGCGCUAGGGUCGAGCAGGUGGCAAACGAGGUGUACCGUGCGUCGCAAGGAUGGAGGCCGAGGGUGCAUAGACUGGGAUGCUGAAGCUGGCUCUAUCUUCCCCCUGAUGUUUCUGUGGUAGCAUUUGGGUUGUAAUCCAAACUUGGUCGAGCUGGUGCUACGUCCCCUACCUGCCUAGCUUAUGUGGCGAACUUGUCUCCUGCUAGUACUCAGUCCGGUCUAGUAGUAGUUGUAUAACUGCCCGUUUACACUAAGAUGUUGUCGGAUAAUGGUUCUCUAUGGUAGGGUUUCUUUAAUGAAAUUGGAGGAACCCCCCUCUUUCGAUAUAUAAAAAAUCUGUGGCACUAGCGGUGCCAAAACAUUGCCUCAAAUUAAUAGUGCCACUAGAUUAAGGUGCAAAAUAAUAACAUUACUACUUUAUCAUGGCAGUGCCAAAACAGUAGCACAAGAGCAGACUCAACAUGCAGGAUCUUUGGCAAACGGUCGGACCAAAAAUCCACAUACCUCGUGAUGGGAACCAUAUCUGCAGUCAAUGCCAUCAUAGAAGGGAUGACACCAGUCACCAACAUGGAUGAUUCAAUUCAUGGGACCUUUUGGUGCAGUUCACCUAAAAUGAAGCAAUGUCCCAUGAGCUAGCAGCUUCUUCUUCAUUUUUUAAGAAAAGGGCUUUAGCCCCGGUUCCAUUUCCAUCAGAAAACAAAACCCACAGAGCUUCUUCUUCAUUAGUUGCAAUAAAAUUGAGCAACGUCAAGGUUGGUUGUGAAGCUCCUGGAACGUUCAACUAUAAUUUGGAUAUCAUUUGUGCACUUCAACUAAGAUCAAGCGUGAAAUGUAUGUCUCUAUUUGCACAAAAAAAGGUGGAAAGGAGGGUGACAAACAAGUGAUGAAACAUACAUCAAAUGAAAAGAAGCAUGUUCCUUAUCUGAAUGGCAAUCCUACAAGGACAGUAGCAAUUUCUAAAGCAGCAGCAUUGCUAGAUAUUAGUGUGAGCAUUAGGAUUAACUAUGACAACCAUUAAAUACAACAUUACUUUAAUGGUGUCAUUGUUUCAUUUUACCAGCAACAUUACAUUAACAACUGCUACAGAGUCGGUAUUUGGGCACGGGAGAGUAGGCGGACCAAGACAGUUGCAUUUCUAACGAAAAGAAGCAACUUAUCUUAAUGGGAAAUUUAGCAGGACAUGAAAAAAAGUGCCAUUGAUUCAUAUUACUGGAGGCAUUACAUUGAAAACAACAUUGGUUUAAUGUGUCCUUACUUUUAACAGUGUGACUGCUACAUUUUACCAGUGGCAUUACAUAAGAGUUGCUCAGGGCAACAAACAUCAGAAUAGGAUAUCUGGGUUGGUCCCAUUUUUGUUCGGUAUAGCCACCUUAUACUGUGUGAGGGCUAGCAAAUCUAGUGCUGGACUUACUCUGUUGAAUUGUCCCCUAGUCCCCACUUUCUUUCCUUUUUCAACCAAUAGAUCAGGUUUAUAUUGAGUUUGUACUGCGUUUCCCUUUAUUUCCCUAUUAGACCAAGAGACCAGUUGGAUAGCCAGUCUGCUACUUUUCGCCCCCAUUAUUUCCUCUUUUGACCAAGUCCUAGAUUCAGGUAACAGAUCUUCCCCCACCCCCACCCCGUUUCUUCCUUGUUUGAACCAAGUAGUACUAGAUUCGAGUGCAUGAACUACUUUUACCUCUUAACAGUCAAAAUUUAGGUGGCUUUCGAACAACCGUUCGAUCCUAUCUACGAGGGGGCCUGGGAAAUAGUAAAAGAUACAAAUGCAGCGACAUCAGGAGCUCGGGAAGUAGAGCAAGGCCGGUUUCGAAGGAAGUUAUACCUGAGGGUCGCCGGGAUGUUGCUAGGUGGGCGGCGAGAGGCCGGAUCUGCCCACACUACGGCAGCGAGGAAUAAGGAGUCGAAGGCCCUCCCUAGCCAGCAGUGCUUGGGAGAGAACGGCAAGGCAUGCUGAUCGGGACGCGCCGGCAGUGGGUAAGAGCCGUCGCCGAGGACGACCGUGUGAACGUUGCACCUUCUCACCUUCCCCGGCGGAGAGGAUCCGACUGGAUCUGUGACCAGCUAGCGGUGAGCAGAGAGAGAGAGUGUGGCCACCGCUGUCGUGUUUAGAUCUGGAGAGGACGAGAUAGUGUGAAGAGAGCAACACUAGCAAGCAAGCGCGGAGGCUCCUGCCUAUAUAGUCGAGUACUAGUUUUCUUUUGUCUACCGGAGCCGGCUUGACCUCGUCAAUGACUGUCGAGAAGUCUUCAUGCACGUGCCCCGGAGGCGCAGUUGUCGUCAUUUUGAUCUAAAGCACCGGAUUAUAACAUAUAACACAAAAAAAUGCCACAUGACAAGAAACCAUAACCUCAUUGCCCAAAGGAGACAACAUGAAUCCCGAUGGACAAACUAGACGAGUAUCAAAGCUCAAAUUAAAGAUAAACUCGUAGAAAAGGGGUCCGUCGAUAGAUGUCCUAAUUAACAUAGCCGGCUUGACCUAGAUGGCAGCCGAGUAGUCUUCGUGCAUAUGCCCCCAAUGACCAGCGCCUUGGAGGAACUCAGUUGUCGCUGUUUAACCCUCGCAGUGAUCCGAAGCACAUGACACCUAAUAUUGCGAGAUGACAAGAAACCUUUUUUUUAGAAUUCUCAUCAGAACUACAGCCCUGUACAACACAGCCUGCACAAUAUGUAGACGAUAGCCAAUCUAGGCGUGUCUGCUAGAGUCUGGUCACAUGCAUGGACGAACUGAUCUUCCGUGUCAUGCAGGGAUCGUCCAGGCACCAACGUCUGUACAACACUUCUCUAGUACUACUAUCGCUCGUCUCUCUCUUCUAUUAACUCACCCGACUUGCGGGGCCAGGGAGUGUGCCUAUGGUCGGUUCUCGAUUGCGGUCCCACAUGUGUGUGCAAACGCAAUAUGAUGCGCGUUCCAUUCGGAGAGCGGAGUGCCAGACCGACCGACCGUCUGGGGUGCCACGCAAACGUGACGGGCGUGCUAUAUACUCUGUACAUGUGUACCGCCGUUUUCUUGAGGCUUUGCUCCAUGGCGCAAUCCAUGGAUAAAAUAUUAGUAUACUAUACUAUUUAAAAGUCAAGGGCGGGGCUUUUUCCGCAUGGUAGGCGGGGCAGUUCCGCCUAGUCGGUUCGACAGAGACGCGAGAAGAUGAGGGAGUAGGCGUCUGCAAACAUAGGGCUAUGUGAUUUGACAACGAGUUACUGCUGGACAGGUGGGGCCCCGUUAUUUGACUUGCCAUUUUAUCAUUUUAACUGCGGCGCUACAACCGGCGUGAGUCUCCCGAUUCCUGACCACCUCCAUGGUAUACAGGUGCCUCUCCCAAUGCUCCACCAUGUAGAGGCUGGCUCUUGCAUGAGAGCCCACUCCUCCACUUUUUUCUUGCCUCUUUCCUCCACAUAUGCAAAAAUGCCAUGUAAGCGGGAUCAUAGCCCACUAUUGCACUUGCUCGUACAGGUGCUAAGCCUGCCACAUAGGCAUAAAGUUUGAUGUGGCAAGUUAAUUACUCCCUCCGUCUAGGUGUGCAAGUCAUCUUACGAAAACGAAAUAAUCCCAAAACACUUAGGCGCAGUGCAUACAUCGUUUCUUGUUUCUUGACAUAUCAACCAAUAAGAUAUGUGGGGUGUGCAUGCUUUUAAUGACUUGAGACUACCAUUUCAUUGGAAGAGGUCACUCCUUGGCAAAUGCAAUAAAUACAACGAAGAAAGAGAUAGAGAGAAGUAAAAAAAUACUCUUAUAGCCAACCUUAUAGCUAACCUUGUUGUAUGAGUGACUAAGUGAUGAUUAUGUAUGACAUGCCAACAUCUGAUAGCCUAAUGCACCGUGUUAGAUCUCCAAGGGCACGACCGCACGAGCGAGGCAACGGUUGUGGAAGGCGCAACCAUGAUACGGGCUGCUGGCAGCCCUUGGAUCUGAGAUCGAACGGUCGCAUGCUAAGUUGCUGAAAAUUUGCAGAAUAACCCUCCAGGAUAGGAUAUUCACCCAUAGGUCUAUAAUCACGCCAUGCAACUGUUCGAUCUCAGAUCCAAGGGCUCUCGGAAGCCCAUAUCAUGGGAGAAUGGAAAGCUUCGUAUCACCUGUAAUUUUCCCGACGCUUAACAUGACAUCGAAAGCCAUUUAAUUGGGCGUCGAGUAGACAUGACAUCUAAUUGGGCCCCCAUAGCACUGUGCAUGAAUCCAUUUAUCCACCAGGCAAUCCACUACCCUGUCGUUCGCAUGCCCCACUCAGCAUUUUUACAAAAACCGUUGGCAGUUCGCUCCUACUCAUCCCCGGACGUCCUUUAAUAUUACGGCAGUUCGCUCCUAGUCGUCCCGUCCUUUCACAUUACGGCAGUUCCACUAAUCCUAACCUUCCUCCCAAAUCCAUGGCGUCCCAAAUCUCCAUGAUCGGCGGUGAGUACAAGGUUAGAACCAUCACCGGCGAUGAGUUCGACGUCAUCUACACCCGUUCUUCCGCGACGGUGAAAGGAUAACUUGCUCGCUUCAGACGCAUGUUCGAAAACUCAAAGGAUGAGUGGGUCGCUGGGCUAGAUGUUGAGUACACCACGGUCCUGCAAAGCAAGAAGACUCUAAAGGAGGCAGAGAAGAAGAAGCCCGCUGUGAUCCAGGUUUGCGUGCAUGACUUAUGCUUGGUCUAUCACAUAUGCCAUGCCGACGUUGAGUGCCAGGAUUUUAAGAACUUCCUCAAGGGCGGCCGAGUGAAAUUCGUUACUGUAGACUUUAGGAACGACAAGGAUGUCCUGCAUCGGAUAGGCCUCGUUGUUGGCAACCCCUUCGACCUCCAGAAGAAAGGGCCGGUGCCCUCCCGUGAUCAGCCUUCAAUGCUGACCCUGGCAGGAGCCAUGGUUCAUCCUUCGUACGGUACACUGAAUAAACCUCCAUUCAAGUUUCAUCAUGCAUGGGAGUGGAAUGUACUAGAUAUAGACCACAUCCACUACACUACAAUGGAUGGCUACCUUUGUUUCAAUAUCUACAAGGGUUGGAUGAAGAGCAAGAGCCAAGUGUGCGGUUCAAGCAAAGAAGUAUCGCCCAAGAGGAAGAGGGACAAGGACGAAGUCGAGCAUGUGGACGAGGAGUCUGAGUAAGGUGGCAGUGUCGUUGCUCAUGGUGGUUCUAAUGCAGUGUCCACCGGAUUAGUUGCUUAGUUUAAUUUCAGGUGUGCUUAGUUUUAUUUGAGGGGUGUGUUGUGCUGAGCCCCCAGCUGAACUAUCUUAUGUUCCUUCUCGUUACUUUAACUCUUCAGUACGUACAUACUAGUAUUUCUUACAGUUCAUCUUUUAGUUGGGAUAGUACUACCACUCGUUUCUUCACAUUAUAUACGUAUAAUAUAUAUGGCCAAUAUCAUAUAGCCAGCAGUUUAGUUGUCAAAGAAUUUCAGGGUGCUUAGUUUUAUUUGAGGGGUGUGUUGUGCUAGACACCAUUAUUGUGACUCAAAUCUCUUUGGCCAUUUUAUAAUGACAUAACUACCAAUGGACCAACAUGCCAGCUCUCCCUCUAUCUCACUACAGUAAAAUAAAGUGUGGGGCCUACUUGAUCCCAACAACAUUCUUAUUUUCCUGUAAAAUUAUUCGCUUGGUUAGUCCUGACAAGCGGGGCCACACUUAUCAUUGUGAGAAUCGGCUUAUUUUUGUCAUAUAACAUGGUUAACGGGUUUGACGUGAAAAUAACAAUGUCUAAUGCCAUUUUGAGUAAACAUCUAACUUAACGAUGGCAUUUUUGAGAUACUAAUUGCAUUUUUGAGCAGGCAUCUCACGGAUCGAUGGCAUUUUUGAGUUGUUAUAACUUCUAAUGGCAAAACUGAGUAGUGAUACACAACUAGUGGCAUAAAUAAUAAGAACCCAAGAAUUAAAUAGGUAUGCUAAUUUCUUUAAUAUAAUUUAGCACCCCAUUUAAGCACGUACUAGCUUUUUUAAUAGUACUAUAUGCAUAAUUUGGCGACGAGCGCUCUCUAUAUGUACCACCUUUUUUCUUUAAUUUCAUCUUGUUAGUUUUGCUCCAUGGCGCAAUCCAUCAAUACUACUACUGUACAAAAGUAUACAUUUUUUAAAAGGCUAGAGGGCGGGGCAGUCUAGCUUGGUCGGUUUCAAGAGAGGCGAGGGCCUUCGUGAUUUGACGGCUCAUUACUGCUAGAAGGCGGGGCCUUGUGAUUUGACUGCUUGUAUAAAUGUGCCGACGACCUGAGGAGGAGCAAAGAACCGUGCGGUAUACUUAAGUUUUCCACUGGAGUAGUACGACGGAGGAGCACGAAACACAGUAGCCUAGUGCCAUAUAGCAAUAAAAAUGAUCUAAUUUGCUAGUCAUCUCAUUGUUAGCAUUGUUCUAUUCAUGCCUCGCAGAGAACGUGACACGUGCGGCGAAACACCCGAAGCAAAAGAAGAAACACAGGAGCAAAAGAAGAACGAAGAUUACCACCCCAAAAAUAGAAGGAAGACGCACACACAAGUCUGGGGCGCUGCUCUCUACUACAUGAAGGGUUGCUGGCCACGGAGUCAUAACUGCUUCUUCAUCGCCUCCACGACCUCCAUCUCCUUCCGCGUCUCCUCCGCCAUCUUCUUCAUUCUGUCCAUGACGCAGGAUUCUCGAUGCGAUCCUUCAUCAUCUGUUCCACGGCCACAUUACAUACCUUGACAGCAGUCGGGUGCUCGAUGCGGAGCUUCGCCAACUCCUCCUUAUGUUCCAUGACGAGGGCCCGCAUCAUCUUCAUCGAGGAACUACUAUUCUCAUGCAGCUUCUUCCAGCCGGCGUUCUCCUCCUUCAGCAGGUCGAGCUCGUGGCAGAGCUUCGCCUUGUCCUCCUGAAGUUGCAGGAUUUCACCGGUCACCUUCUUCUCCGAGGCAAUGCUCUUCUUCAACAGCAUCACCAAGCCGGCGGUCAACUCCCCUGCUCAUUGAGCUCAGCGGGCAUGUCGUCGAGGCUCUCCUUCAGCAGCUCACCAAGCCGUGGAUGAACUCCUUCUGUUUAUUGAGGUGCUUAUUGAGCUGAUCGAGCAUGCCGUCGAGGGACAACGACUCCAGCGCCGCCAGCUCGGCAUGUUUGCCUCCGCGGCUAGGGACGCUCCUGGGAGCCAUCGCCUACCCGUGAGAGAUCUUUUGAGGUCUCUGCGUGGCGGCGAGCCUUCUCUUUUUUUCUGCAGCCUUGGUUGCCGCUCCCUUGUUACGAGUAGUUCUCGACCUAGAGCUCUGCAUACCGGCCAUGGCAAGGACAGAUGAAGAAGAAGGACUUAUGAGGAGGAAGGUGGAGUAAUUUUCGGUUAGGUAGUUCCCCUUUCUAUAACCUAAGUACUAGUACUAAAACCUGCAUAGUGGGAACACAUUCAGGUUUGGUACGUACUAGUAGGUGUGAGCAGGCUUGCACUUAAUUGUAGCACUAGUACUUUGGAAUGUGAUGGGAACAAGGUAAAAUUAAUUGAUGGUUUUGGUUUCGAGGCUCGAAACGGCUCCCAAUAAGUUUAGUGGAACAUAAAUUUCAAGUACUCCCUCCAUCUCAGUUUACAAGGCUUGCACGUGUAUCUAGGUCGUCAAUGUAACUUAUAUAAAAUAAAUUGUUUAACAUAAAAAAUAUAUCAUUAAAAAAAUAAUAUUUGAAGUUUGUAAUGAUAUAUUUUUCGUAAUGUAUGCCUCUUAUUAAGUUGGUCAAAUUAACGACCUAGGUACACGUGCAAGACUUGUAAACUGAGAUAGAGGGAGUACUACACUGCUCAAAUGCGGUCGCACAAGUCAGUGAUGUAACUGGUCGUACAUGUCAGACCAAGCCGAUGCGUGUCCCUUUGGUGAGACGCGGGUCCGACCGACAGUCUGUUGGUGCGACCGACCGUAAAGUAUUACGCGAUGGAGACUUUUGGUUGUGGCUUCGGUUGAUUGUCACGACCAAGCAUUCUAAAACUAGUGAUAAAUCAAUUACCAUCUUUUUCCAAACGACCAAGUAUUUUCACAGGAAUACAAUACAUAUAGAUGGAGUGAUUGUCAAGAUUGCAAACCGACAUGCCGUUGCAAGUUCACUGUAGCAGCAACCGACUAGGUCACUGCAUCGCUGGCGGGGAAGGAGGGCAGCUCACCUCGCCUACGAUGCAUGCCCAGCGGCGCCGCCGCAACUGGUCCCGGGAUUUGGCUUGUCCUACCGCCCAUUUGAACAGUUGCACCGGCUGCUCAUGCCAUUGCGCAGGCAUGCGCGUUCUUUCCUCCACAGUCGACUUCGUGAAUAUGAUCUCUGCCAUUAGCCCUAGCUCGAAAUCAAUGCGACGCUGCCAGAUGCUGACAUCCCUCAGCAUCUCUCCCCUGAGAUCGACUUGCACCUCCACCUUGUGCUGCGCCAGGCGCAGCUCCUUGGAACUUCUCUCCAAUCGAUGCGACGCUUCCUCGAUCCGAUUUGCCCUUGCUACCCACCACCUGAAAUGCAGCCCUGGCAUGUCCUCCGGUGCCACCGAUCUGUGAUUCCAGAGCAACGGAUCCCCUCUAAAACACAUGUGGGUUUCGCCCAAAGGCGGCAGUGCUGCGGGCCGCAGCGAGAGGGCAGCUCGCGGGAUCUUGGGAUCUAAGGGAUCCUCCAUGGCAGGAUCCGGUCGGCGAGGCGGGGAGGCGAGCCUAGGCGCUGGGAGAGCCCUACGAGGCUAAGAUAAAGAUAGUACUACUCCACUCCGUCCAUAUUAAAAUACAAAGGCCACCAACAGUAGCCUUGGCAAAAAUUGAUCAUGCUGCCUGCGUCCUGGUUUAUUGGCCCCCUUUUUUUGUGUCACUUUUUAUGACAUGCAUAAAUAUUACUACUCCAUUUUUAUAUACAAGUCCACAAACUCAAGUUACAUGUACCAAGGUAAAAUUUAAUGCAUAGUUUACAGGUCAAACUUUUCUUUUCGUUUACUGGGAUCAUUAAUACGCAACAUGCAUGCAAGAAAACUGAGUGGAGGAAGUAGCUAGUGUUAUUAUGAUAGCAUGCAUGCAAGUAUUAAACAGGUUACUACUAAGAGAAAAUAUCAUUAAUUUUUUCCUCGAUUACUAUUGGUGGCCUUGUAUUGAUGUAAAACGUAUAUUCCAUAGUGGCCUUCUAUAAGUAAAUGGAGGGAGUAUGUUACUUACAAAUAUGGUCCAAAAUUGGCACAAAAUACGACGGAGACCAAUGGAAGUACUAGCAACCCAUGAUUUAACUACUCGCAUGCGCUCAGUGGAGUAGUAAUGUCUUUCUUCCGCCCUCACAUCCACUCAAUUUGCAUGUGCUGUAUUAAUUGACCAUCAAUGAAGUGAAGGACUUUACACGCGUCAAAUUAUCACAUGGGGUAGAUCUUCGUACAAAAAUGUGUCCCCCCCGUGUGCGUGCGAGGGAAUGAGUGUGUGCGUGCACAUCUUCGCUUCAUGCAUGUACCGCCAGUGUGGCUCAGAGAGGACGAGUACAUUCUUCUGGAACAAGGAGCAUGUCACUGUGAUCAAUCCACACAAGAAGGCCGCGACAACGCCUCCAGAUGUGCCACGUGGCUUCAUGAAUUGUAAGAGAGACACUGUGUAGCGUGCCAUUGGAAUUCUAAUUUACGUGUUUUGCACAUACUCGAAGUACUAGUAAGGUACACGUGCAUUGCACGCAUCAGAUUUGGCAACCAAAUUAUGAAUAAAUACCACACUAUAGCAUGUAAGCUCUAAGUCAUAUAUGCCUGAUGUAGACCUUCAUUUAAUUCUUAUAGUUCAUCUCAUUCAAAAUAAAUUAGUUUUUAUAAAAAAAAAGCUAGGGCCUCUUUGAUUCGUAGGAUUUCCAAAACGCGGGAAUAGGAAAAACAUGGGAUUAGAGUGUAAUGUCGUCUUGAAUCCUACAGGAUUGUACGAGUGUUUGAUUGUGCAUAGAAAAAACACAGGAUUCUUUCAAAGAGGUUUGAGUGGAUGAUAUGUUUCCUAUGAAAUCUAGUGCAAAUGAAUCCUAUGGAAAAUUCCUAUGGUUUACAAUCCUACGAAUCAAACAACCAAGAUAGGAAAAAUUCCUAAGGAUUAGAAUCCUCCAAAAUUCCUUUGAGAAUCCUUUGAAUCAAAGAAGCCCUUAAUCUAUUUUAUGAUUCGUGGAAUUGUGCGUUGUAAAGCAUAAAGUAAAAACAAAUAAUGGCAAUUCAAGUAGAAAAAAAGUUUGGGCAGUUAUGAUACGGAACAUUCUAGAACAAAGGAGAAACACUUGUGUUUUGAGGUUUGUGCAUUAUGCUUAAGUUCAACCAUGGAGUGUGCUAGAUUGUACUUGUGGCAAAAUCCGGUGGGGGGUAGUAGAUGGUGCGAGGGGCCAAGUGGAGGGAGACUAUGAAGGAGUGCAGAAGUGCGAGAUCGAUAUUUAAAGAGAGGGGGCGAGAACGUGCGCCGUUGCGCGCAGUGGUGGAGCCAUGAAAAAUAAAUGAGCUAGGGGGCCAAGCAUUGCUAAUCCUUUACGAGGAGGGCCAAUUCAUCAACUUAAACCAUUUUACCAGCAAUUGUCUAAUGAUCACAUUCAUAUUAGCCUCGAUAUAUAGUGAUGUUGGGGGGGCAGGGCCCUUGCUACCCCCUAUCUUCGCCACUAUGCGCGCGUCUGAGAGAUGAAGCGGAAGACAUGGAUGAUGAGAGGGGGAUGUUGGAUAUAUAAUUAAUGUGUGUGUAUUAGCUAUGUAAUCCUAUAUAGAGAGGUAUAGAUUGAUCGAUGUGGACGUGGGAAAGAGGGUGAGACCUCACUAGAUAUAUAGAUUGAUCGAUUUGUGUGGGAAACUGUGAAAGACCUAGCUAUAUAUAUACACACAUAGAGGAACAUCGAUCGUUGCGCAUGCACGUGAGAGAUCAAGAAUGCUCGAUAUGAUGGAGAGGGGGAGGUGUGUGUGUGUGUGUGUGCAUCCAUGGGAGACCGACCUGAAGAAAAAGAUUGCAUGUGUGCGAUGGAUAAUGCUGACUGGUACUGUGUGUGCACGCAUGCACGGGAGAAAGUUAGUGGUAAAUUUAUAAAAGAGAAGACGACUGUGUGGGUGUAAAAGACUAGGUGAGGUCAUAAUCAAUGUAAAGUUGAAUUCAAAUAUUUGAAUAAGAGAUCAUGAUGUUUGAAACCCAUGCAUGCAUGAAUAUAACUGAGAUAUGUGCGGUGUGGUUUGGAAACAAGCAUGUUGUACUGUAUACACAUUGAACAAGGUCAGACUGAUUUGAAUUUGAGAUAUCGAUGGCAGACAUCUUUUGGCCACAUUGCAUCUGUGCAUGGACACACUAUUCUAAUUGGAGAUGAUGGGUGGCUUUCGCAUCACAUAUCUAUAUCUAUACCCCUAUAUAUAUUAUAUUUUUUAUUUUUUAUGGUGUGUGUGGAUAACUUUAACUUUGAAAGAUGGUCGUUGGAUGAGGCCAAUCCGAUGGUGCAGAGAUGGCAAAUUUGAGCACUACUGGCCGUUGGAUAUAAUCUAGAUUCCACCAGAUUUUGCCACAUGUACAAUCUAGAAGACUCCAUGGUUGAACUUAAGCAUAAUGCACAAACCUCAAAACAUAAGCACUUCUUCUUUGUUCUAGAAUCUUCCGUAUCAGAAUUGCCCAAAUGUUUUUCUACAUGAGUUGCCAUUAUUUGUUUUUACUUUAUGCCUUACAACACACAAUUCCAUGAAUCUUAAAAUAGAUUAGCUUUCUUAUAAAAACUAGAUGAUUUUGAAUGAAAUGAACUAUAAGAAUUAAACGAACAUCUACAUCAUGCAUAUAUGACUCAAAGCUUACAUGCUAUAAUGUGGUAUUUAUUCAUAAUUUGGUUUCCAUAUCUCAUGCGUGCAAUGCACGUGUACCUUACUAGUCUAAAUUGUGUUUGUGUGUGUGUUGUGCUUGUUAAACACAUUGUACGUAGUAUAUCAUACAUGGUUUAGAUUCCGAACAUCUAGCUAGAGCAUACAUGUACUAUGAUUUGAAUUCAACAUAAAAUGGAUACAUAUAUUUGAAUUUGAGAUCGUAUGUACAUGUAGUUCGUAUUUAUAUAGGAAUUUACUUCUCCUAUAUUCAUGUCAUGUGUUGUAAAGAUAAUAUUUAGAUGGUUGUAUAACUAACCCGAGUACAAUCCCAUUCAAACAGGGAAAAUGUACUCAAAUUUAGUCCAUAUGCUAGAUAACACACAUUUUUUUUAUUGUUGAGGGAAGUGCAAAUUGUUUUGGUACUGUACACGUUAUGUUUGUUGUCCUGAUUUUUUAAGUUUUUUUUGUUGCAUUUGAAUGCAUUUCUAGUAAUAUAGUAAAACGGGACAUGGCUCUCUCUAGUGAUGAGGUGCGAUUUGUCUUUCUUUUGGGUACACGUUAAGCUUGUUCUCCCGAAAUUUCAAGCCGCGCCGUGUUAUGCCGAAAUUUCAAGCUAGCGUCUCUGUCUAUCGUGCUGCGCGCCUUGUUACCCCGAAAUAUUUAAGAUAUAUCUUUGUCCCGUUGUGCUCCGACAACUCCCUCCAUCUCAACCCGCGCCUUGCUAUUCCAAAAUUACAACGCGUGCGAAAACUCCCACCUCCUGUGAAAUCCCGACACGCGAAAUGCCCGUGAUACCCCUGAACCGAAAGAACAGCCUAGGUCAAAUCGGUGGGGGUACUUUCAUAACUUACCCCACAUUUCGGACAAGCGCGUCCCUAAGCCAUGGUUCCCCACUCCCAUCCCAUCCGCCCACCCAUUCGUACACCGAGGCCGCGAAAACCCGCGAAGCCCCACACCCUCCUCCGUCCGCCACCCAGCCGGAGCCUCUUCCCCGAUGACGUCGUCCACAGCAACACCUUGACGUCCCUCAUCCACCGUACCGGAUGAGGAUCCGUCGUCGAUCUCGUCAUCUUGCCGGUUCAGCCACCCCGUCCUCCACCUCCAAGGAGCUGCCCCGACGUUCCCCUCGUCUUUCGCGCCACCUCCAUUCCCACACCGCCGUCUUCACCUGCACCACCAAAAGAGCAUCAUCAUCACCAUUUCCUCGAAUGAAGCUGAGGCCUAAUCUGCGCCACCAAAGAGGUUGUACACUAAUUGCCGCAUUUUCUUCUUGAUUCGAUCUCACGGUGCUGCCGGCGCUCGGUCCCAAGCCGACACGGCGCGGCUCCAUCCACGACGGCGUCGCCGGCCACUUCCUCCACGGCGUCGCUCCCUCGGCGGCGACGUCCACAUCCGUAGGAGCUACUGCUGCUUUAGCUCUCGCUCGCGCUGCUGCUCUGCUCUUGCUCUCGGUCCCCUGCUUGGUCUGCUCUUGCUAUUGCUCUUGCUCUUGCCCGCGCUGCUGCUCUCGCUCUUGCUCUUGCUUGCGAUGCUGCUCCGAUUUAGCUACACUUUAGUCGACUGAAUCGGCUUUGGGGUUAGUCAAUUUUCAGGGGGUGGGGGGCUCGCCGGACUUAAGGAAGAACCAGCCGCAGCGGGAGGGGGCUCGCCGAAGAGGUACCCCACUAUCUAUCUUAGGGUUCAGGGUGGGGGCGAUGGUCGGCGGUGGUGGUGGGGCGGUGGCGUGGCGAUCGCCGGAGAAAAAGCUCGACACGGGGGGCCUAGAGGGAUGGCUGGGGCGGCGGCGGACCGGCAGUGGGGAGUGGUUUCGGGGCGGGCGGGGUGGCGCACCGCCGGCCACGGGCGGCGGGGGCGGCUCUUUGGCCGGUGGUGGCUAGCUGCUCAGGGGGGUCGAGGUUGAAGAUGAACUGCAGGCCCUUGAUUUCGUAUCCAACGGCUAGAAAAUCGACUGACCAGAGAUGAAAAAGUCAGUCGACUGACGUGUAGCCUCACCUGAUGCUGCUACAUGACCAGCUGCCCCGGCUCUCGCACGCGCUGCUACUGCUACUGCUUUUCUGCUACUAGUGCGUUCAGUUUCGACAGUAAAAUUCAAUUUCGACAGCAAAAUUCAGUUUCAACAGUUAAGUUCAGUUUUGACAGUUAAAUUCAGUUUUGACAGUUAAGUUCAGAGAUGAGCGGCUGAUGUAUUUUACAUCUAGCACUUUGUGGUUAUGUAUUUUACGUCAUCUAUUGGAGAUGCUAUUAGAAUUACACUCAGGUUAACGUUGUCUCUCUUGUCCUGCUUCAGCCUCGGCGUCGUACAACUCACCGGAGCUGCUCCAAUGAUGAAACCCUCCAUCACAGCGGAGCAGUACCCCGGGUUCCAUCUCCAGACGCCUAAGAUCUUCUUCCCCUCCUUCGAUAGCCAAGUCAGCCGGAGCAUCCUCACCGACCAACCCAAUCACGUUGAGAUCGACAUGGCUUCGCCAAAGAGGUUGUACACUUGUGGUUUGACUUAAUCUCACCAUGCUUCUUUGCAUCCUGUGAUCUUCCAAUUCUUGUGAAUCAAACACCCAGAUUGGCAGAAAUCCUGUGUUUUUAAAUUCUCUGUUUUGCACGUGCAUUCCUAUCCUAUUCCUAUCUAUUUCCUAUCCAUGCAUUGUUAGAAUCCUCAAAUUCAAACAAGCCCUUACACAAUUACUUCUGUUACAGAUAUGUGUCAAAGAAAACCUUGUGUGGUUUGUCCUGCUCCUGCUGCGACGUGUUCCACCCCAGCUCAGCUGCUCCAACGAUGGAAGGGUUCACCACAGCAAGGAUCCGCUCUCCAGACUUUCUUUCGCCGCCUCAGAUCUUCUUCCCCACUGCCGGCAGCCACGACAACUGCAUUACCAUCAUCAACUGAGCAGAUGACCUUGAGGACUACACGGGUCCACAAGAGAGGUCGCACUCUUUCGUGUCUGCUUACGUUAUGCAUCGCUUAAUAUGAUGACAUGCUACUUUAUCGUCGUGUUCACCUAUUGGACUCCGAGUCAGGUCCAAACUAAUGCUGAAACUUGAGUUUUUAAAUGGUUGUGGGGUACAUAUCGGGGCAGCAAUCAGUAUUAUUUGUCUACUAUCUGGUUAAUCUCGGGUGUCUAGUAUGAGUUUCAUGUUGGGUGCAAACAAACAUUAAAGGAGCCAUUAUCUGUAUUUUUUAACUAAAGCUAUUAUCUGCCUGCUAUCAUUGGUUUUGGGUCUAUCCACAGUUUGCUACCAUCACUCUGGAUUUGUGCAUGCACUCCUUACAUAAUCUCACUACGUUUUAUUCCUAUGCAUGUCAGUUAUUGUACACAAUGGAACUGAACAUGUAGAGCAAAAGGGACGAGCCUUGCGUGGCAAUAAAAUUUCAUGCAGACAUCACUCCAUGGUGGGCGCAAAGGCAGCCCCCCCUCCACCCAUUUCGGAUCGUAAUUAAGAGGAAGAUAACUAUUCUGAGGGGGAUUCAGAAGGAGAAGACCACUCCUAUUUACCCCCUGUGGUCUUCGCUCUAACUUGGCAUGCUGAUGUUGGUAAUAUCAUGCAUAUGGUGCCUUGCAUUGCUUACUGUAUACAUCAAAUAUGUCAUCUGCUUAGUUUAGACAUGCUUUGUGUCAAUGCCAUCUGUUUAGUUUCUUUAUCAUAUAUGUGAAUCAUGCAAUGCCAUCUUGUUUAGCCAGGCAUCAUAUAUGUGAAUUUUGCAAUGCCACCCUGGUUAGCCAGUCAUCUUAUAUGUGAAUUAUAUCAUGCCAUCAUUUUUUAUUACGUGUUAAAUUUGUCAACAAUUUUAGUACAUUCAAUUACUCUUCCUGUGCAUCAGCCAUUUGGUGCGGUCAUGGAAAAUCUGAAGUGGAAACAAGGUCUUUAGAGUAGACAUUGCUAUCUGACGAAGCGCAUGUCUUGCUGGUUACGAAUUGCUCCUCGGAGGAGGAUUCAGAGACAGAUGACCAGUCCUAUCCCCCCCCCCGAGGUGCAUGCUCUAACUUGGUAGGGUUGUGUUGCUCAUAUCGUGCGUAUGGUAUCUUGCAUUGCUAUGUCAUUUGCUUAGUUUAGACAUGCUUUGUGUGAAUGAGACCUAUUUAGUGUCUAAUUACCAUAUAUUUGAAUUAUGCGAUGCCAUCUUGUUGCAAGACAUUAUAUAUGUGAAUUAUGCAAUGCUAUCUUGUUGCAAGGCAUUAUAUAUGUGAAUUAUGCAAUGCCAUGUUGUUUAGCCAAGCGUCAUAUAUGUGAAUUAUAUCAUGCCGUCCUUUUUUUGUAUUUCUCGUUGCAUUUGUCGACAAUGUUUGUAUAUUCAACUGCUCUUCCUGUGCAUCAGCCAUUUGAAUUGGUGACAGAGAAAUCUGGAGUGACAACAAGGUCUUCAGAGCAGACAAUGCUACCUGCUGAAGCAGAUAUCUUGCUGGUUACAGAUAGCUCUUCAAAGGAGGAUUCAGAGGCAGAUGACCAGUCCUAUUAUCCCCCUGAGGUGUAUGCUCAAACUUGGCAGGGUUAUAUUGUGUAUAUGCACAUGUUGUAUUGCAAUGCUUAGUUUUUACAUCAUAUACACAAUAUUGAAUGCCAUCUCCUUAGUUGACACAUCAUAUAUGCGAUUGCCCUCUGAUCACUUGCUUAGUAUAUAAAUCAUAUAUUUGAAUUAUAUCAUGCCAAGAUGUUUACAUAGACAGCAUGUAUCUGAAUUAUGGCAUGCCAACCCAUUUUCUAAAGACAUAAUAUAGUUAUAUCAUCUCAUCCUGUUUACAUAGUCAUCAUAUUUUGAAUUAUGUCAUUCUAUCCGUGAAUUAUAUCAUGCCAUCAUGUUUCCAUCGACGACAUGUUUGUGAUUUAUGGCAUGCCAACCACUUUAAUAGACACAUCGUAUAGUUAUAUCAUGUCAUCAUGUUUACAUAGUCAUCAUAUUUUGAAGUAUGUCAUUCUAUCCUAUUUAGUUAGCCAUCAUACAUGUGAAAUUGUGUCAUGCUAUCCUGUUUAAUUAGCCAUCAUAUAUGUGAAAUUAUGUCCUGCUAUUCUGUUUGGUUAGACAACAUAAAUGUGAAUUAUUUCAUGCCCUGUUUUCUUCCCUACUAUCCAUUGCACCUGUCUAUCUUACAAUGUCUGUACAUUCAAUUACUUUUCUUGUUUAUCAGCCAUUUCAAUUGGAGGGGGUGAUGGCAGUAUCUGUGGGAGUAAAAACACGGUCUUCAGAAAAGGUCGUGCUACCUGUCGAUGCAGAUAGAACUACGGUUGUACUUGCCCAAGAACCAGCCCCACCACACAUAACCCAGACUCACGCAGAUUGUACCCCUACCCAGUUGGAUAGAGAACCAGCUACACCCCUUCUAACCCCAACCCCAGCAGAUAGUAACCCAGUUCCAGUUGACACAGCACCGUCUCCACCACAGAGCACCCGAACACGAGCAGUUAGUAAGGCAACUGCAGUGCCCAAAGCACGAGGACCACCACUCCGAACCCCAAGUCAACACUUAAAGCAGAAGAAGAAUUGUUCUCAGGUCAGGUUCCGUAGCUAUGGUUCAUACUACUUUGCUCUUGCAUCACUGUAUUUACUCAUACCAACUAAUUUCAAAUUUGAAGGAUGCAAUUGAAACUCCAAUGGCGCAACACGUAUGUUUUAAACCUGUUUCUUUAACGUGUUUGCUGUUGUAACUUGCUCGAUGUUGAUUUCAGUUUCAAUUGAAUAAAUAGUUAUGUUCUCAUGCCAUGCACAUUACAGGUGUUGUUAUUGUUGUGUAGUUUCCCACACUUAUAUUCUGUCUAUGCUGCUUUGUCGUAAAUAUAUAUGAUUCGAACUGUAUCUAUCUUGAUUUGGCAACAUAAACUAGAAUGAUAUAGACCAUACAGUGACCAUACUACAUAGAUAUAUGUUUGUUUUAUGCUGUUAUCCUAUCCACCUUACUACUGAACUGGUUUACCAAAAUGAGUUUCAUAUACUACAUUGUAAACCUGUGAUGUGUUUGUUUGUUUCUCUUUUAGAACGCGGAUAAAAUAUUGGAGAAGAGUACCCCCGUUAUGCAAUGGUAAAGGAAGUAAUUUAGAUAAGGUUCAAGAUAGUGAGACAUCCCUGUUGGUCUCCAAGAAAGUCGAUAAGAACUAUAUUGAAGACACUGAGACAACCCCAAAGUCCUGUCUUGAUGUAGUGUUCGAGUUACUGGCUACUACUGCUGGCACCAGCUCUUCGAACUCGCUGCCUGAAUCAAUUCGGCUUCUUGAUCUCAACUUCAAGUUGAAAGACAUCGAUCAGAUGUUAUGCGACAGGAAGUCGAAGGACUGAGGAAGUCCCUGCAGAAUUCAGAUGCAUACUUUCUGGUGCAACAGCAAGUGCUGGAGGAUUUAAGCGCCAAACAAGAGAAAGUUAAUAAGCUUGCUAAGCAUCUUGCCAGCAUUAUGGGUACCCAGGAUAUUGUUUCUUGAGCUCUUCUGAAGUGGUUUCAGUUCUGGACUUGUUUUGCUGCGGCGUUUAUUUGCACUGGUCGCCAACUUUGACAACCAGUGUAUAUGAUAUGCUGCUUUGUUCCCUAUAUUUGCACUGGUGGAGAACUUUGAUGCCCAGUGGAUGUAAUAUGUGUAAUAGUCGUGAUACCCUAGCAUAAGUUGCUUGCUUAUUUAUUUCCUUGUUGUCUUCUUUAUUUGUUUGCUUGUAGUCAGUGCAGUUCUUUUUCCGCGGUUUGCUAGUGGCUGCAAUAACCUAUUUUUUAAAACCAGGCCACAAUAACCAUGGGCUACAUAUUUAUUGUAGUUACCAUGGGCCUCCUACGGGACGUAGAAACAAUGGGCCUUCUAUGGGCCGUAGCAUCAAUGGGCCUUCUACGUGCCGUAUGAUCGAUAGGCCAAACAUGGGCCAAUAACAGACCGCAUUAUAGGUCGUAAAUGGGCUAGAUUUGGAAUCAUCCGUUCAUGGGCUGACAAUUACGGGUCGUCGUUAAUCGGCCGUAUUUGAUGACGCUAUGAAAAUGGCCUAACGGAUUAACAGGCCGCAAACGAGCCGAUUGUAACCGCGGGCUGAAUUUGGCCCACAAGCAGAAAAGGCCAAUAACGGGCCGUAAGUAAUCGAAUGCUGGAAAUGAGCCCAAGAAUAAAUGGGCCCUGAGAAGGCCGAAAGAUAACACGGGUUGGAAACGGCCCAAUGGAAUAAUGGGCCGUUAAUGGGUAUAAAGGGGUACACUGUUCAUUGCGGGCCAUAUUCACCAUGGGUCGUUAAUGGGCCAAGAGUUACAAAUGGCCUCGUAUGGGCCGAAAGACAUCAUGGGCCAUACAUGGGCCAAAAGUUACAACGGGCUGGAAUCAUAUUGGACGGCCCAGAUGAAGCUACUGGGCUUAAUUUCGAUAGGCCGUAACGGGCCGUGAGUUAGCGGGCCGUAAAUGGGCUAUAUACUAACAGGCCGUUAACAGGCUUUCCGUGGGCCGGCCCGUUACCUUUUGACCAAGUCAAAUGGGCCGGCCUUUUCACCGGAAUGGGCCUAUGUUGGGCCAUGCCACGUGUCGACGUAUCAUAGGUGCCUCCUGUCCAAUGAAUGGAUGACAUCUGUCCCAACUGUGAGCCAACACGUGUUUCCUCCGGCCAAUGAGAAUUUUACACGUGGAAAAUCCUCAUUGGUCUGGGCUGUUAGCGGGUUAUCAUAUCCAAAACCAGACCCGAUAGCUUAACGGCGACCCGUUACGGUGGAUGCCAUGUGUCAGUCACCCUUGACGAAAGCACUUCCAUGACGCGUGAUUUAUCAUCAUGGAAGUGGACACUUCCGUGAUGAUAAUUUUGGUAAUGUCAUGGAACACUUCUACGACAGCACAGGUAUGACUAUCUUGAUUCUGUCAUAAAAUCGUCAUGGAUGUACAUGCAUGACAGAAAACGUGAACUACUAUGACAAACACGUAUCAUCACGGAAGUGUCUUUUUUUGUAGUGAUUGCACGGAACACCAAGAUUGGGGGUGGACGGCGCCGGCAGCGGCCAUCACGCCAGAUUGUUCCAUGGCCUUCUAGAUGUGGUGGGGAAGAGAUAAGGCUGAUUGUGAGGGACACGGGGUUGUUUGUAAAUAGGGAACAACUGCAGGCAUCUUUUUGCAAAACUGCAGCAAUUUGCUUUGUAUGCGUCAGAUCUAGAUCCGACGGCUAUUGGUGAAAGAUGGCAGGCACACCAUCAUCACCAACUCAAAGGUUUUUAUAGGAGUAGUAUAGAGAAAUAGAGAAACUCUUAUUAAAAACCGAGUUGGUGAUGAUGGUGUGCCUGCCAUCCUGCAAUAUAGACCGUCCGAUCUAUAUCUGACGGAUAGAAAGCAAACUAUGGCAAUUUUGCAAAAAGAUACCCGCACCCCUCUCCACAUUUGCAGAUAAGGCCUUCCCUCGUUCAUCUUUGUCUCCCACAAGAUAAACAGCUCAUAUAAAUGCAUCUUGAUGUUCUGUGCAACGCAUGGGCCUCUUGCUGGUAAUAAUAAAUAUUGUACUCGAGUAAUGGGUAUAUCGUUGCCGCACCUAUCCACGCGAACAUUUAUCGUAACAUAGUACCUCGUGCUGGAUAGUCGUACUAUUACAAGUUUCAAACUGAUAUUACAAAUGCUAGGAGUAAUGCUGCACCUACGAAGAGGGAAUUAUUAGGAAGUUUACGUAAGAACUUUUGUUACUUUAGGUGGAUGCAACAUUAUCAUACAAACUAAAAUCCACUGCCCUGACAAGUCACUAAUGGGCAAAUAAAUUUUUUAGUCUCUGGCGACUUGAUGUUUAAAAAACAAAUUUAGCUUCUAGAGAGACUUUGUCAUUUAGGCUUAGACACUUGCGGUGAUCAGCACACCAUUCAUUGUUGCACCAGAGAACGCCAAACCUCAUUACCUUGAGCACACUUGCCUCCAGAACAAAGAACCUAGCCAAUUUAAUCUCAGAUGUGCUACCUCGGUAGUCGAUCAAAUCAAUUUCUGUAAGAUGGAGAUCAAGGUAUUCGAUGAGAUUGUUAUAGUGCAGCACAUUUUUCACUUUCGCGUCUUUUUUAUCUGCAAAAGAAGAGAACAUAUUAGAGCACCUGGUUGUAUAAGAUUGUUGUGUCAUCAAGAGGUACCAAUAUCAUUCGCUCAUACGAUAGGUUGGCUAUAGGGUUGGCUCUAAGGCUAGUGAUAUUUUUCACUCUCUCUCUCUCUCUUUCUCUUUCCUCUCAUUUACCUAGGAGCACGUGAAGAGCUUGGGCAUUUGUUGCCUUCCACUAUGUGGCCAAUGGCAUAUUUCUCAAAAGUAUGCCACAUAAUACGCAUCGAUGUCAAAUCAAAAGAUUUUGGCACCACUCUAGCGAUGUGAGAGAGUUGGCACCGCUGUGCACACAGACCCACAUGUAUAAACAAAUCAAUCAAACCAACUACACCAGCCUCUCCCUCUCCCAAACAAGUGUUUUUUAUUGCCUCAGUCCUCUCCCUCUCCCACGCAGGUGUUUUUUCAUUGCGUGAGUUAAUUUGGCACCGGAGAAAAGUAGGUGAUCCAGAUUGGGGCACCAGGUGAGCAAUGGAGGGGCAUCGAUGCCAAAUGCAUCAGAAGUGAAUUUGGCACGUGUUUUGGCCCACUUUUGUACUACCUUGUAUUUAGUGUAAAAUUUUGACCAUAGAUUUACCUAAGAAAAUGCCAAUGCAUGUCACCAAAAAUUAUACCAUUUGAAAUUAUGUUCAAAUACGAAUCCAACGAUAUAAUUUUUAGUGACAUGCAUUAACAUUUUGUCAGUUAAAUCUAUGGUCAAAUUUUGAUACUACAAAAUACGAAGAGUAAACCAGGACGGAGGUACUACUUGCUCUUAUGCUAAACAUGGAGUUACUAGUCUAAGUUACUUGCCACUAUGCCUAGCCUAGACUACUAGUAGUACAACAACAACAACAACAACAACAACAACAACAACAACAACAACAACAACAACAACAACAACAACAAAAGCCAUGCGGGUGAUCAUGUGAGAAAAAAUACUAAAAACAUUUCUUUCGGUGCAGUGCGUAGAUGCAGUUUUGAACACUACACUUGUCAUCGUAAUAUGGAAAAAUUGCGAAAGAAUUGAGCUACGUUGUGAUUACCGUUUACUAAUAGGAAAGAAGUUUCACCUCGAUGAGUAGCUUCCCCGUGCAUGGAAAGCAUGUAAGGAAUCGAACAACUUGAUCUAGAUUGGGCCGAUAGAUUUUAUUGCCAAGAUCUUCACUGUGUGCACAGACUGGGUCAAGCUUGUGGGAAUCAUUUUCUGGAUGACAGUCGUAAAUACAUCAAGAAGAAAUUAAAAAAUGUGAAUUUCAAGAAGACGGAGAAGAAGAUGAGUGUUGUACCUGAACGAUUACGGAUCCAAUAAAGAGUUCAGAGAAUUUGGUAGACGAAUACACCAACACUGUCAAUUUUGGCGCGUCAAUGACCCUGAUUUUUGUUGGACCUUCUAGAUUAGAUACAAGCAAUCUCUCAAGUCGCAUUCUCAAUGACCAUAACAUGGAACAGCUGGAGUGAUCUCUUCCCAGUUGAUGUCCUGUUGCGGGGCCAGCAAGACACACAAAUACAUCGGAGAUUCGUCGAGGCGAUGUGGAGGCUAAUGAACCCGUGGAUCUACUGAAGACGAAGGUACUCGAGCGCAGUACAGCUGCAUGAUACGUCUCCAACGUAUCUAUAAUUUUUUAUUGUUCCAUGCUAUAUUAUCUUCUGUUUUGGACAUUAUUUGGCUUUAUUAUACACUUUUAUAUUAUUUUUGGGACUAACCUAUUAACCGGAGGCCCAGCCCAGAAUUGUUGUUUUUUGCCUAUUUCAGAGUUUCGCAGAAAAAGAAUAUCAAAUGGAGUCCAAACGGAAUGAAACCUUCGGGAACGUGAUUUUCGGAACGAACGUGAUCCAGAGGACUUGGACCCUACGUCAAGACAUCAACCAGGAGGGCACGAGGUAGGGGGCGCGCCUACCCCCACCCCCCAGGCGCGCCCUCCACCCUCGUGGGCCCCCUGUUGCUCCACCGACGUACUCCUUCCUCCUAUAUAUACCUACGUACCCCCAAACUACCAGAUACAUAGCCAAAAACCUAAUUCCACCGCCGCAACCUUCUGUACCCAUGAGAUUCCAUCUUGGGGCCUGUUCCGGACCUCCGCCGGUGGGGGCAUCGAUCACGGAGGGCUUCUACAUCAACACCGUAGCCUCUCCGAUGAUGUGUGAGUAGUUUACCUCAGACCUUCGGGUCCAUAGUUAUUAGCUAGAUGGCUUCUUCUCUCUUUUUGGAUCUCAAUACAAUGUUCUCCCCCUCUCUCGAGGAGAUCUAUUUGAUGUAAUCUUCUUUUGCGGUGUGUUUGUUGAGACCGAUGAAUUGUGGGUCUAUGAUCAAGUUUAUCUAUGAACAAUAUUUGAAUCUUCUGAAAUCUUUUAUGUAUGAUUGGUUAUCUUUACAAGUCUCUUCGAAUUAUCAGUUUGGUUUGGCCUACUAGAUUGAUCUUUCUUGCAAUAGGAGAAGUGCUUAGCUUUGGGUUCAAUCUUGCGGUGUCCUUUCCCAGUGACAGUAGGGGCAGCAAGGCACGUAUUGUAUUGUUGCCAUCGAGGAUAACAAGAUGGGGUUUAUAUCAUGUUGCAUGAGUUUAUCCCUCUACAUCAUGUCAUCUUGCUUAAAGCAUUACUCUGUUCUUAUGAACUUAAUACUCUAGAUGCAUGCUGGAUAACGGUCGAUGUGUGGAGUAAUAGUAGUAGAUGCAGGCAGGAGUCGGUCUACUUGUCUCGGACGUGAUGCCUAUAUACAUGAUCAUACCUAGAUAUUCUCAUAACUAUGCUCAAUUCUGUCAAUUGCUCAACAGUAAUUUGUUCACCCACCGUAAAUACUUAUGCUCUUGAGAGAAGCCACUAGUGAAACCUAUGGCCCCCGGGUCUAUUUUCCAUCAUAUUAAUCUCCCGACAACAAGCUAUUUCUGGCGCCGUUUUUAUUUUACUUUCUUUACUUUGCAUCUUUAUCAUAAAAAUACCAAAAAUAUUAUAUUAUCAUAUCUAUCAGAUCUCACUCUCGUAAGUGACCGUGUAGGGAUUGACAACCCCUUAUCGUGUUGGUUGCGAGGAUUUAUUUGUUUGUGUAGGUGCGAGGGACUCGUGCAUGGCCUCCUACUGGAUUGAUACCUUGGUUCUCAAAAACUAAGGGAAAUACUUACGCUACUUUGCUGCAUCACCCUUUCCUCUUCAAGGGAAAACCAACGCAGUGCUCAAGAGGUAGCAAGAAGGAUUUCUGGCGCCGUUUCCGGGGAGUCUACGCAAAAGUCAACAUACCAAGUACCCAUCACAAACCCUUAUCUCCCGCAUUACAUUAUUUGCCAUUUGCCUCUCGUUUUCCUCUCCCCCACUUCACCCUUGCCGUUUUAUUCGCCCUCCUUUUUCCGUUCGCCUCUUUUUCCGCUUGCUUCUUGUUUGCUCGUGUGUUGGAUUGCUUGCUUGUCACGAUGGCUCAAGAUAAUACCAAAUUAUGUGACUUUACCAAUACCAACAACAAUGAUUUCCUUAGCACUCCGAUUGCUCCUCUUACCGAUACUGAGUCUUGUGAAAUUAAUACAGCUUUAUUGAAUCUUGUCAUGAAAGAUCAAUUCGCCGGCCUUCCUAGUGAAGAUGCCGCUACUCAUCUAAAUAGCUUCAUUGAUUUGUGUGAUAUGCAAAAGAAGAAAGAUGUAGACAAUGAUAUUGUUAAAUUGAAGCUAUUUCCUUUUUCGCUUAGAGAUCGUGCUAAAGCUUGGUUUUCAUCUUUGCCUAAAAAUAGUAUUGAUUCUUGGAAUAAGUGCAAAGAUGCUUUUAUCUCUAAGUAUUUUCCUCCCGCUAAGAUUAUCUCUCUUAGAAACGAUAUUAUGAAUUUUAAGCAACUUGAUCAUGAACAUGUUGCACAAGCUUGGGAGAGGAUGAAAUUAAUGAUACGUAAUUGCCCUACGCAUGGUUUGAAUUUGUGGAUGAUUAUACAAAAAAAUUAUGCUGGAUUGAAUUUUGCUUCUAGAAAUCUUUUAGAAUCGGCCGCGGGAGGCACUUUUAUGGAAAUCACUUUAGGAGAAGCUACUAAACUCCUAGAUAAUAUUAUGGUUAAUUAUUCUCAAUGGCACACAGAAAGAUCUACUAAUAAAAAGGUGCAUGCGAUAGAAGAAAUUAAUGUUUUGAGUGGAAAGAUGGAUGAACUUAUGAAAUUAUUUUCUACUAAGAGUGUUUCUUCUGAUCCUAAUGAUAUGCCUUUGUCUACUUUGAUGAGAAUAAUAAUGAACCUAUGGAUGUGAAUGUUGUUGGUAGGAAUAAUUUUGGUAACAAUGCGUAUAGAGGAAAUUUUAAUCCUAGGCCUUAUCCUAGUAAUUCCUCUAAUAAUUAUGGUAACUCCUACAACAAUUAUUAUGGAAAUUUUAAUAAGAUGCCCUCUGAAUUUGAGACUAGUGUUAAGGAAUUUAUGAAUUCGCAAAAGAAUUUCAAUGCUUUGCUUGAAGAGAAAUUGCUUAAAGUUGAUGAAUUGGCUAGGAACGUUGAUAGAAUUUCUCUUGAUGUUGAUUUUUUAAAACUUAGAUCUAUUCCUCCUAAGCAUGAUAUCAAUGAGUCUCUCAAAGCCAUGAGAAUUUCCAUUGAUGAGUGCAAAGAAAGAACCGCUAGGAUGCGUGCUAAGAAAGAUUGCUUUAUGAAAGCGUCUUCUUCUAGUUUCUAUGAAAAUAGAGAUGAAGAUCUAAAGGUUAUUGAUGUGUCCCCUAUUAAAUCUUUGUUUUGCAAUAUGAAUCUUGAUAAUGAUGGGACUGAAUAUGAUCCACCUUUACCUAGAAGGUGUUCCAGAAAUUCGGAGUUUUUAGAUCUUGAUGCUAAAAUUGAUAAAAGUGGGAUUGAAGAGAUCAAAACUAUAGAUAUUAAUGAACCCGCUAUUUUGGAUUUCAAGGAAUUUAAUUAUGAUAAUUGCUCUUUGAUAGAUUGUAUUUCCUUGUUGCAAUCCUUCAUGUCCUAUUAUUCUUGGUAGACCUUUCCUUAGAACGAUUGGUGCAAUUAUUGAUAUGAAGGAAGGGAACAUUAGAUUCCAAUUUCCAUUAAAGAAAGGCAUGGAACACUUCCCUAGAAAGAAAGUAAAAUUAUGAAUCUAUUAUGAGAGCCACUUAUGGAUUGCCUACCAAAGAUGGCAAUACCUAGAUCUAUCCUUGCUCUUAUGCCUAGCUAGGGGCGUUAAACGAUAGCGCUUGUUGGGAGGCAACCCAAUUUUAUUUUUAGUUUUUUGCUUUUUGCUUCUGUUUAGGAAUAAAUCUUUGUUAUAUCCUCUGCUAAGAUGUGUUUUUAUGUUUUAAUUAGUGUUUAUGCCAAGUUAAACCUAUAGGAUCUUUUUGGAUGAUAGUUAUUUGAUCUUGCUGUAAAUUCCAGAAACUUUCUGUUCACGAAAAUAAUUGUUAAAAUCACCAGAACGUGAUAAAAUAUUGAUUCCAAUUGCUGCUGAUCAAUAAACAAAUUUUCUAGGUCUUCCUAUUUUGGCUGAUUUUUUGGAGUUCCAGAAGUUUGCGUUAGUUACAGAUUACUACAGACUAUUCUGUUUUUGACAAAUUCUGUUUUUCGUGUGUUGUUUGCUUAUUUUGAUGAAUCUAUGGCUAGUAAAAUAGUUUAUAAACCAUAGAGAAGUUGGAAUAAAUUAGGUUUAACACCCAUAUAAAUAAAGAAUGAGUUCAUUACAGUACCUUGAAGUGGUGUUUUGUUUUCUUUCGCUAACGGAGCUCACAAGAUUUUCUAUUAAGUUUUGUGUUGUGAAGUUUUCAAGUUUUGGGUGAAAGAUUUGAUGGAUUAUGGAACAAGGAGUGGCAAGAGCCUAAGCUUGGGGAUGCCCAUGGCACCCCAAAGAUAAUCUAAGGACACCCAAAAGCCAAAGCUUGGGGAUGCCCCGGAAGGCAUCCCCUCUUUUGUCUACUUCCAUCGGUAACUUUACUUGGAGCUAUAUUUUUAUUCACCACGUGAUAUGUGUUUUGCUUGGAGCGUCUUGUAUGAUUUGAGUCUUUAUUUUUUAGUUUACCACAAUCAUCUUUGCUGUACACACCUUUUGAGAGAGACACACAUGAUUCGGAAAUUAUUAGAAUACUCUAUGUGCUUCACUUAUAUCUUUUGAGUUAUAUAAUUUUUGCUCUAGUACUUCACUUAUAUCUUUUAGAGCACGGUGGUAAAUUUUGUUUUAUAGAAACUAUUAUUCUCUCAUGCUUCACUUAGAUUAUUUUGAGAGUCUUAAAUAGUUUGGUAAUUUGCUUAAAUAAUCCUAAUAUGCUAGGUAUUCAAGAUUAGUAAAAACUUUCUUAUGAGUGUGUUGAAUACUAAGAGAAGUUUGAUGCUUGAUGAUUGUUUUGAGACAUGGAGGUAGUGAUAUCAAAGUUGUGCUAGUUCAGUAGUUGUGAAUUUGAGAAAUACUUGUGUUGAAGUUUGCAAGUCCCGUAGCAUGCACGUAUGGUAAACGUUAUGUAACAAAUUUGAAACAUGAGGUGUUCUUUGAGUGUCCUCCUUAUGAGUGGCGGUCGGGGACGAGCGAUGGUCUUUUCCUACCAAUCUAUCCCCCUAGGAGCAUGCGCGUAGUGCUUGGUUUUUGAUGACUUCUAGAUUUUUGCAAUAAGUAUGUGAGUUCUUUAUGACUAAUGUUGAGUCCAUGGAUUAUACGCACUCUCACCUUUCCAUCAUUGCUAGCCUCUUCGGUACCGUGCAUUGCCCUUUCUCACAUUGAGAGUUGGUGCAAACUUCGCCGGUGCAUCCAAACCCCGUGAUAUGAUACGCUCUUUCACACAUAAACCUCCUUAUAUCUUCCUCAAAACAGCCACCAUACCUACCUAUUAUGGCAUUUCCAUAGCCAUUCCGAGAUAUACUGCCAUACAACUUUCCACUGUUCCGUUUAUCAUGACAUGUUCAUCAUUGUCAUAUUGCUUUGCAUGAUCAUGUAGUUGACAUAGUAUUUGUGGCAAAGCCACCAUUCAUAAUUCUUUCAUACAUGUCACUCUUGGUUCAUUGCAUAUCCCGGUACACCACCGGAGGCAUUCAUAUAGAGUCAUACUUUGUUCUAGUAUCGAGUUGUAAUCAUUGAGUUGUAAAUAAAUAGAAGUGUGAUGAUCAUCAUUUUCUAGAGCAUUGUCCCAAGUGAGGUAAAAAAAGAGAAAGGCCAUAAAAAAGAGAAGGCCCAAAAAAAUGAGAGAAAAAGAGAGAAGGGACAAUGUUACUAUCCUUUUUUCCACACUUGUGAUUCAAAGUAGCACCAUAAUUUUCAUGAUAGAGAGCCUCUUGUUUUGUCACUUUCAUAUGCUAGUGGGAACUUUUCAUUAUAGAACUUGGCUUGUAUAUUCCAACAAUGGGCUUCCUCAAAUGCCCCAGAUCUUCGUGAGCAAGCAAGUUGGAUGCACACCCACUUAGUUUCUUUUGUUGAGCUUUCAUAUAUUUAUAGCUCUAGUGCAUCCAUUGCAUGGCAAUCCCUACUCCUUGCAUUAACAUCAAUCGAUGGGCAUCUCCAUAGCUCAUUGAUUAGCCUUGUUGAUGUGAGACUUUCUCUUUUUUGUCUUCACCACAUAACCCCCAUCAUUAUACUCUAUUCCACCCAUAGUGCUAUAUCCAUGGCUCACGCACAUGUAUUACGUGAAGGUUGAAAAAGUUUGAGAUUACUGAAGUAUGAAACAAUUGCUUGGCUUGUCAUCGGGGUUGUGCAUGAUGAGAGCAUUCUUGUGUGACGAAAAUGGAGCAUGACUAAACUAUAUGAUUUUGUAGGGAUGAACAUUCUUUGGCCAUGUUAUUUUGAGAAAACAUAAUUGCUUAGUUAGUAUGUUUGAAGUAUUAUUAUUUUAUGUCAAUAUUGAACUUUUAUCUUGAAUCUUUCGGAUCUGAAUAUUCAUACCACAAUUAAGAAGAAUUACAUUGAAAUUAUGCCAAGUAGCAUUCCACAUCAAAUAUUCUAUUUUUAUCAUUUACCUACUCGAGGACGAGCAAAAAUUAAGCUUGGGGAUGCUUGAUACGUCUCCAACGUAUCUAUAAUUUUUGAUUGUUCCAUGCUAUAUUAUCUUCUGUUUUGGACAUUAUUGGGCUUUAUUAUACAGUUUUAUAUUAUUUUUGGGACUAACCUAUUAACCGGAGGCCCAGCCCAGAAUUGCUGUUUUUUGCCUAUUUCAGAGUUUCGCAGAAAAAGAAUAUCAAACGGUGUCCAAACGGAAUGAAAUCUUCGGGAACGUGAUUUUCGGAAUGAACGUGAUCCAGAGGACUUGGACCCUACGUCAAGACAUCAACCAGGAGGGCACGNNNNNNNNNNNNNNNNNNNNNNNNNNNNNNNNNNNNNNNNNNNNNNNNNNNNNNNNNNNNNNNNNNNNNNNNNNNNNNNNNNNNNNNNNNNNNNNNNNNNNNNNNNNNNNNNNNNNNNNNNNNNNNNNNNNNNNNNNNNNNNNNNNNNNNNNNNNNNNNNNNNNNNNNNNNNNNNNNNNNNNNNNNNNNNNNNNNNNNNNNNNNNNNNNNGUUGCUCCACUAACGUACUCCUUCCUCCUAUAUAUACCUACGUACCCCCAAACUACCAGAUACGGAGCCAAAAACCUAAUUCCACUGCCGCAACCUUCUGUACCCGUGAGAUCCCAUCUUCGGGCCUAUUCCGGAGCUCCGCCGAAGGGGCAUCGAUCACGGAGGGCUUCUACAUCAACACCAUCGCUUCUCCGAUGAUGUGUGAGUAGUUUACCUCAGACCUUCGGGUCCAUAGUUAUUAGCUAGAUGGAUUCUUCUCUCUUUUUGGAUCUCAAUACAAUGUUCUCCCCCUCUCUCGUGGAUAUCUAUUCGAUAUAAUCUUCUUUUGCGGUGUGUUUGUUGAGACCGAUGAAUUGUGGGUUUAUGAUCAAGUUUAUCUAUGAACAAUAUUUGAAUCUUCUGAAUUCUUUUAUGUAUGAUUGGUUAUCUUUGCAAGUCUCUUCAAAUUAUCAGUUUGGUUUGGCCUACUAGAUUGAUCUUUCUUGCAAUAGGAGAAGUGCUUAGCUUUGGGUUCAAUCUUGCGGUGUCCUUUCCCAGUGACAGUAGGGGCAGCAAGGCACGUAUUGUAUUGUUGCCAUCGAGGAUAACAAGAUGGGGUUUAUAUCAUGUAACAUGAGUUUAUCCCUCUACAUCAUGUCAUCUUGCUUAAAGCAUUACUCUGUUCUUAUGAACUUAAUACUCUAGAUGCAUGCUGGAUAGUGGUCGAUGUGUGGAGUAAUAGUAGUAGAUGCAGGCAGGAGUCGGUCUACUUGUCUCGGACGUGAUGCCUAUAUACAUGAUCAUACCUAGAUAUUCUCAUAACUAUGCUCAAUUCUGUCAAUUGCUCAACAGUAAUUUGUUCACCCACCGUAAAUACUUAUGCUCUUGAGAGAAGCCACUAGUGAAACCUAUGGCCCCGGGGUCUAUUUUCCAUCAUAUUAAUCUCCCUACAACAAGCUAUUUCUGGCGCCGUUUUUAUUUUACUUUCUUUACUUUGCAUCUUUAUCAUAAAAAUACCAAAAAUAUUAUAUUAUCAUAUCUAUCAGAUCUCACUCUCGUAAGUGGCGUGUAGGGAUUGACAACCCCUUAUCGCAUUGGUUGUGAGGAUUUAUUUGUUUGUGUAGGUGCGAGGGACUCGUGCGUGGCCUCCUACUGGAUUGAUACCUUGGUUCUCAAAAACUGAGGGAAAUACUUACGCUACUUUGCUGCAUCACCCUUUCCUCUUCAAGGGAAACCCAACGCGGUGCUCAAGAGGUAGCACUGCAGAGCAGGUGCUCCAUAGCCUUCUUUGAGAUGCCAACGUCGACGAGGUCGAGCUGUUUGAUUUGAGGGAGAAGAAGGGCGGGCGCGACAUUAAUCUGGGGGAAAAUAUCAGGAGCUGAAGCUGGCGCGGCACGGUGUUGGCGUGAGGCGGAGCGCGAACGACGGCAGAGAGCGACAUCGUCCAGCUUCAAACCUGAGCUCCUCGAGCUGAUCUAGGGCGGGGGAUAAGAACCACUCGUCAAACUUGGCUUGGACCUUGCAUUUGGUACUAAACAUGCGGAUGUCAAGGCGUCUGGCUGGCCCAGGGUGCGAUGAAAGGAUCUUGGAGACUGCGGCCAUGCGUUUGGAAUCCCCGUCGCAGAGGCAGCUGUCGAUGGUGAGGUUGAGGGGGACGCGGUGCUAGAGGGGGCGCCACCACCGGGAGAGCAGGGUGGUCCGCACAGCAGAUUUGGUGGGGAGGAGGCCGAUGAUGACGAGCAACAUGUCAUCGGGGAGGCUGCUGAUGAAGUCCAGGCUCGCCGGAUGCGGUUUUGGCUCGAGCCGCCUAUGCUUGUUGGCUGCCUUGUCGUCCAUCUCAGCCGGCGGCAACGCCGGCGUACACGUGUGCUUGGUGUGUAUUGUGUGCUGGGUGUGUGCGAGUGCGUCCUUGUGUGCAUGCCGCCGCGCAGUGGUGAAGUGUGCGUGAGUGCGUCCUUCACGUGGAAAAAGUGUGCCCUCAAUUUACUAGCGUGCGGGGUGCUACCGCGAGUGUUUUCAACUUUUGUUACUUCACCGCGUGUCAGAUGGGCCUCUAGUUUACUUAUUUUCACCCACUUCCACAUGGGCCAGCACACGAAUAUAGAGAACACGAGCUGACAAGGUAGCAUGUGGAAUGGUUGACCGGUCAACUAAACAAUAUACGGAGCUAUAUGCUGACACAGUGACCAUAUAAUCCCUCGGUAUAGAGAGAUCGAGUGAGAGGGGAGGCCCGUGAGAGAUAGUAGAGAGAGAGAAAAGAGCUACUUCCUCUGUUCGAUAAUGUAGUGCAUGUAUUUUUUUAAGUCAAACUUUUGAAACUUUGACCAAGUCUAUAAAGAAAUUACUUAUAUCUACAAUACCAAAGAUAAAUGAUAGUAUGAAGUAAGUACAUGUUGUGAUGAAUCUAAUGAUCAUUCCAGAUGUAAAUGUUUUUCUCCACAUAUACCUGGUCAAACUUUUCUGAGGUUUGACUUUUCAAAACAUCCAUAUGUUUAUGGACGUGAGAGAGUACCUAACUAGAGAUAGAGAGAGUGAAAUAGAAAGAGUGAGUGAAAAAUGUGUGUGUGUGUGUGUGUGUGAAAGAGACAUGGAAAACACACGAUAAAGUAUAGAAAAAGUGUGUGUGUCUUAUGCAAACAUAUCACACAUGCAUCUUCGACAGCGGAAGCGAGGUGAGGAGAUAGUGUGUGGUUGUUUGCAACCGAGAGAAAAGGACCCCUAGCACGUGGCCAAGAGAGGUAUGACAAACAAGGGAGAGAGGUCGAGAGAGAUGUGUGGAGAAAAUGCAGACAUGGGGAGGAGAGAGAGUGUAUGUUUGUGACAGAGAGAUCCCCUGGAGAUCGUGAUGGGACUACAUGGGUGGGAGAUCGAGUGACAGGGUGUGUGCACGAUAGAAGAUACCCCGAGAGAUAUCGAGGUAGAGUUAUGGAUGGAAGGAGACAAUACAUGUGUUCCUGAUGGCUAGUGAGAGAUAGUUAUACUUAGGGGGGAGUGCGUGUACCUAUGAUGGAGUGAGGGAUUAUGGUACUUAAGGGGGGUGUCACAUAGAGAGAACAAGGGCGGGGAGUGAGGGAGUCCUGGAUUAGGGGGUCCUCGGGCAGCCGGACUAUAUCCUUUGGCCGGACUGUUGGACUAUGAAGAUACAAGAUUGAAGACUUCGUCUCAUGUCCGGGUGGGACUCUCCUUUGCGUGGAAGGCAAGCUUGGCAAUUCGGAUAUGUAGAUCUCCUCCCUUGUAACCGACUCUGUGUAACCCUAGCCCCCUCCGGUGUCUAUAUAAACCGGAGGGUUUAGUCCGUAGGACGAGAACAAUCAUAAUCAUAGGCUAGCUUUUAGGGUUUAGCCUCAACGAUCUCGUGGUAGAUCAACUCUUGUAAUACUCAUAUCAUCAAGAUCAAUCAAGCAGGAAGUAGGGUAUUACCUCCAUCGAGAGGGCCCGAACCUGGGUAAACAUUGUGUCCCCCGUCUCCUGUUACCAUCCGCCUUAGACGCACAGUUCGGGACCCCCUACCCGAGAUCCGCCAGUUUUGACACCGACAUUGGUGCUUUCAUUGAGAGUUCCACUGUGCCGUCACCAUAAGGCUUGAUGGCUCCUUCGAUCAUCGGCAACGAUGCGAUCCAGGGUGAGGUUUUUUCCUCCGGACAGAUCUUUGUAUUUGGCGGCUUCGCACUGCGGGCCAACUCGCUUGGCCAUCUGGAGCAGAUCGAGAGCUACGCCCCUGGCCGUCAGGUCAGGUUUGGAAACUUAAAUUAUACCGCCGACAUCCGCGGAGACUUGGUCUUUGACGGAUUCGAGCUCAUGUCAGGUGCGCCGCACAGUCACGACGAGCAUGACUUAGCUCUGCCGUCGGACGGUGUUCGGGAGAUCACACUUGUGGCUACUCCGGCCCUCAAUCUAGAGCAGAUUGCGCCGCCCGUGGACGGGUGGAUGGACCCCGCCAGGAGGCCGCACGCCCGGCGGCGAUAGAGCCGAAUGCUGACUUUACCUCAUACGAGACCUGUGUUGCUGGAUCCUUGGAUUCGUCCCCGGCCACGGGCUCCGAACCGCCUGCGUCCGUGCCUAUCGAAUCUGAUUGGGCACCGAUCAUGGAGUUUUCAUCCGCGGAUAUCUUUCAGCACUCGCCCUUGGGCGAUGUGCUAAAUUCAUUAAGGUCUCUCUCCUUGUCAGGAGGCCCUUGGCCGAACUAUGUCCGGCUCGAGUGGGAAGCGGACGACGAAGAAAUUCGUUCCCCAUCCACUACCCACUUAAUAGCCACUAUCGACGACUUAACCGACAUGCUCGAUUUCGACUCCGAAGACAUCGACGGUAUGGACGACGAUGCAGGAGAAGAACAGGAACCACCGCCCACAGGGCGCUGGACAGCCACUUCAUCGCACGAUAUAUAUAUAUAUAUGGUGGAUACACCCAAAGAAAACAAUGACGAGGAACGGAAGGAUGCAGCAAAGGAUAGUUCCCUCGAGAAGCAACCAAAGCGACGGCGUAGGCGCCGCUCCAAACCCCGCCUCGGUAAAAACAGCGAUAACAACGCAAGAAAGAAUAAUACCCCGGUCGACUCCAAAGGAAACGACGACCACAUGGACCCAGCGACAGAGCAGGAUGAACCAGCGGACGGCGAACAUAGUACGGAGCCACUAUCCGAUCACGGCAACAUCGAGGGUAAAGCUAAUCAACCUAUCUCUAGAGAGGAGAACAGUCCGGACGACGAUGCACACAUCAUCCCGGAAAGGCACUUGGAGCAAGAGAACCUCCAUAGAAGGCUUAUUGCCACUGCGAGGAGUCUAAAGAAGCAGAAGCUAAGGCUUAAGGCCGCGCAAAAUACACUCAACAGCAGAUGGAACAAAGUGCUCGACACUGAAGAAAAGUACGGUGGCAGUCGCCACACAAAGAGCUAUCCAAAGCGCAAGCUGCUGCCUGAAUUCGAUGACGAGGCUUUAGAGCCUAUACAGCCAAAAAAUAAAAUGACCGAUCAGCCGGAUCGACCACCCCGUGGCCGCGAUAGGGCGGCUAACGAUGUCGCACAUAAGUCAGCACACGAGGACUUGCACCACAAAGCCGGUAUGACCAGGUCCAUCUAUGGAUGUAGGAAGCACGCUCCGGCACAGAAUCAAAACCGAACACUACAACCGUCAGAACACCAUGACACAUCCAAAUACAGGGGUGCCGCGCACCCCCUAUGCUUCACCGAUGAGGUGCUGGAUCACGAAUUUCCCGAGGGAUUCAAACCCGUGAACAUAGAGGCAUACGACGGAACGACAGACCCUGGGGUCUGGAUUGAGGACUUUAUCCUUCAUAUCCACAUGGCUCAUGGAGAUGACCUCCACGCCAUCAAAUACUUGCCCCUCAAGUUGAAAGGACCAGCUCGGCACUGGCUGAAGAGCCUCCCCGAAAACUCAAUUGGAAGUUAGGAAGAGCUAGAGGAUACUUUUCGGGCUAAUUUUCAAGGGACCUAUGUCCGACCUCCGGAUGCAGACGAUUUAAGUCAUAUAAUUCAACAGCCCGGAGAGUCAGCCCGAAAGCUUUGGAAUAGAUUCCUCACUAAGAAGAAUCAAAUUGUCGAAUGCCCGGACGCCGAAGCCUUAGCGGCUUUCAAACACAGUAUCCGGGAUGAAUGGCUCGCCAGACACCUCGGCCAGGAAAAACCGAGGACAAUGGCAGCCCUAACAAGCCUUAUGACCCGCUUUUGCGCGGGCGAAGAUAGUUGGCUGGCCCAUAGUGGCACCAGCGACCCAGGCACAUUCGAAGUCAGGGAUGGCAAUAGAAAACCACGACGCAAUAAAAGUAAGCAUCGAAACAAUCAAGAUAGCCCAGACAACACGGCGGUAAACGCCGGAUUCAGGGGCUCUCGACCCGGUCAACGGAAAAAGCCAUUUAAAGGCAGCAGAGAUGGACCAUCCAGCCUAAACAAGAUUCUAGACAGAUUAUGUCAGAUUCAUGGCACCUCCAACAAACCUGCAAAUCACACCAACAGAGAAUGCUGGGUCUUCAAGCAGGCCGUCAAGCUAAACGCCGAACAUAAGGGGAGGGAGACACCAAGUGAGGACGAAGAUGAGCCUCGCCAGCAAAACACUGGGGGACAGAAAAAAUUCCCACCAGAGGUCAAAAUAGUGAACAUGAUUCACGUAACGAAGAGGAGGAGCAAAUGCGCACUCCGAGACGUAUGCGCCAUGGAGCCCGUCACCCCCAAGUUCAACCCUUGGUCGGCCUGCCCGAUCACUUUUGAUCGCAUGGAUCACCCGACUAGUAUCCGAGACGGAGGAUCGGCUGUCUUGGUACUAGACCCAAUAAUUAACGGAUACCAUCUCACCCGAGUCCUUAUGGACGGCGGCAGUAGUCUUAAUCUGAUAUAUCAGGACACAGCCCGCAAAAUGGGGAUAGACCCAGCAAGAAUCAGCCAAAUCAAUACUACCUUUAAAGGAGUAAUACCAGGCCCAGAGGCCCGCUGCACGGGCUCUCUAGUACUAGAGGUUGUAUUCGGUUCUCCCGACAACUUCCGAAGUGAAAAGUUAACCUUCGGCAUCGCUCCAUUCCGAAGCGGCUAUCAAGCACUACUCGGAACAACGGCCUUCGCUCGUUUUAAUGCAGUACCGCAUUACGCUUAUCCUAAGCUUAAGAUGCCCGGUCCACGUGGCAUCAUCAUAGUUAGCGGAAACACAGAGCGUUCCUUACGUGCGGAAGAACGUGUGGCGGCUUUAGCAGCCGAACACUGAACGGCCUCUCCAACCAGAAUAAACGAUCGGUCGUCAAGACCGCGGACACGGCUAGACGAGUCCGGCGCACCACUAGCUAUAACAGCUCAGAUAAAACCUGAGAUUGGGUCGAUGGAUAUACCCCCAUAGGUGGUGCUAGGGGCUUCCCGCGUGUAAAAAGGGCUACAGUUCGGCUUGACCUUAUUUAGAUUGAAUUUUAAUGGUUUAUUAAGAACAACCAAUUUUUCGCACGAAGACUUUCACCUGGGUUUUUCUCUUUACAGAUGAUAAUCGUGCUACACCCUUCCAGGAUACGGCAUAACGGAGACACAGGCGCAGACGUGCAGCAGGGCCCCGCUCAAAGGUUUCUUUUUAGAUUAAGACCAUGUGUAAACCUUUUUUACUGUCUCUUGUUGCUUCACACCCUUCGGAUACUCAACAUAACCAAAGAGGGAUGCUGGCGUUAGUGGCAUUUCGUCACGUCAGACUAAUGCAUGUACCUGGAAAUUCAGGGCUUAUUAUCGAGGGCGUAACUCAGCCCAGUAUACGUUGUAAAGACCGAAUACCUUAGGGAGUGUUCGGCGUUGCGAGUUUGGCCUUAUAUGCAUCAGCUCCGAAUCAUGUCUUUGGUCAAUAGUUGGGUUUGCCCGGCUCCCGUGUUUUGCUACCUUACGUUCCGCUCUAUCGGCUAAGGUGGCACCAGGAGAACUACUGCGAUUGUGCCCUGGUUCAUCUGGACGAGCACCUCAGUAGAGAAAGCCGAAAACUGACUGUCAUGAUAAAGCGCGAGACUGGUCAACCACUCGAUGACUCAGCGGAAUCCUCGCGAUUCCUCCACAUUAACGAAGGGCUGGUUUUCCGGUCAUGUAUGCACGUGCCCCGUAUUUGGAUGAGCGCGGAAGUACCAGGGGCUAUAUAGUAGCCCCACCGUCAAACUCCAAUGGCUAAGUGAAAGUGUUAAAGCUAUAUAGUCUGAUUGCCUUGUUCGCCGCGCCAUCACCUCCUUAAUGGACCAAGACGUUGGAUCAAGUGUGAACACGCGCUUUUCUGAACACCCCUGCAUUAUAUGCGUGGGGGCUGAAGCCGACGACUGCAAACUUUCAGGUUAUAUACAUACAUAAACGGCCGCACAGGAGUCAUCAUAAUACUUUCAGGCAAAAGUAUAAACAUAGCCUUUAUAAUCCAAAUAGCAUUGUUUUUACAAUUGGGAUACAUGUCACUCGAACAUGAUACUCUUCGAGCACUGAGCCUCUAUCAAACGAGCACCUCUAGGACUUCUUCAAAAUAGUGCUCGGCCGAGACCUGUCCUACGGCCGGACCCCGGGUUGCAAUAGUGGUGGCCUCCAUCUCGGCCCAGUAUGUCUUAACACAGGCAAGAGCCAUCCGCGCACCCUCUAUGCACGUCGACCUCUUUACAACGUCGAUAUGCGGCACAGCACCAAGGAAUCGUUGCACUAAACCAAAAUAACUAUUCGGCCUUGGUCCUUCCGGCCAAAGAUGAUCCACGACAGACCUCAUGGCAAGCCCGGACAACAUGUGGAGCUCAGCCCACUCAGCCAUUUGCUCAUUUAACAGCAGCGGGCGCGUUGGAGCACUGAACUGCGACCAGAACAACUUUUCCACUUCGUGAUCUUUUUGAUCUUUGAAAAACUCCGUCGCAUCAGCAGCACUCGCUGCUAAGUCCAAGUACGCGUCUGCAGCACUCCAUAAUUGAUCCAGAGGGGUAUACUUCGAAUCUCUGAAUUUCGUCCGCAACAAAAAGGGCUUCCCAGCCGUGAUAUCUCCGGCUUGACGAAGCUCCUCCUUCACCGCUCUGAUUUUAGAGCGGGUUUCCUUGGCUGCUACCAUGGCUUUCUUCAGGUCCGCCGCUUUCGCUUGGCUUUCCUUUUCAAGAAGCUCAUACCGGUCGGCGGCAUCCUUCAGGUCAACAGCCAUCUUGGCUAUUUUAUCUUCGCUCUGGCGAUGAGCAGACUGUUCGUCCCUUAACUCUUCGGCCGCCUUUAGGGCGUCCGCACCGCUUCUCCUGGCUUGUUCCUUGGCUCGGGCAAGCUCCGCCCGAAGGGUCUCCACGGCGGCAGCUCCAUCUGCAGUCACAGCAUAAUACAAAUACUAGCAUCAUGCUCCUCUUAUCUGUUGACCACCGGAGAAUACAUACCCUGUGCCUCGUCAAGCCGCUUGUUUACAAGCACGAUGUCGGCAUCUGCCGCAUCAAGUUGCCGCCUCAGUUCGGCAAACUCACCAGUCCGGCCAGCCACCGGACCCUCAGCCGCCUGCACAUGAUAGCAGCAUGAUCAUUACCUGGGACUAUGAUCCUCUGUUUGCCGCCUUUGGACAGCAACCAGAGUCUCAGGGGCUACUAUCUGCAUAGGGCUCACCUAGUGUGUGCGGUACCGUCAAAAAAUAUAUAUAUUACUUUACGUACCUCAAAGCCUCUUAGCAUGCUUAUAAAAGCUUCAUGCAACCCGCUUUCAGCGGACGAAAUCCUCUCAACCACCGCACCCAUUAAAGUAUGAUGCGCCUCUGAGAUGGCCGCUUGCUCUAGAAGACCCAUCAGUGCGUCCGGUCGUGCACCGGACAGUCCCGGACUCUUUCUGUUGCUCUCCUUAGGAGCCGAAUACUUCGGACUUCGGGUGGCCGAAGGGUUACCUUCCGGCCUUGGCAGAUCAGGAGAAAUUCUCCGUGACGACACCUCAGGGUCGCCCGCCUCAUGAGGUGGGGAGACAGGGGGAGGCGUUUCGCUCUCCAUCAUCUCCGGAAGAAGAUCCCCCGAAGACGAACUCUGUCGAGAAGGGCUACGAUCCGAACUGCAAGACAUACGUCUCGGUUAUUGUCCUCGGAGAUGAAGCAGGAUAUAUUAAUCAAAAGUACUCUUGUUCACUUACAGCUCAGUGGAGGGCUGACCCCCUUGCGGGCACUGUGCGGUAAGAAUGCCCUCCGGGGCAGGGCCCCCUGGUGAAGUUUUCUUCCCUCGUUUGGAAACCCUUGUUUCCAAGUCUUCAGAGGCGGUCCUUUUCCUUCCUUGGGGAGAGGGGAUUUCAGAUUCUUCUCCCCGAUUAUCCUCCUUCGCGGAGACGCUAAUUUCCCCGGUUUGGGUGAGUAAUGCGUGGGGCCCGCUUUCGGCUUCUUUAUUCCUCCCUUUAUCUUCCCCUGAUGGCGCUUGAUAAGGUGCGAGCUCAAGCAUCCUGGCUAGUAGAGGAUCCGGUGAGCCCUCGGGAAGGGGGGCCGAACACCUGAUCAUCUUCGCCUUUUUUAUCCAGUCCUGGCCAAGAGCAAUUUUUCCAGAAUGAUGUUAGGACAAAUGAAAAGACAGCAUGUUCGGCCGCAAAAUUACUUACGUGGGUAUCUGGACGAUUGCAGUAUAGACCCGCAUCCUCGUGGUGUCCGGACACUUUAUUCGUGAUCCGAAGAACAAUCCAUACAUCCCUUUGAGUGUCACGCCGAAGAAUUGCUGAAUAGUUCGCGGUCCUUCCGGGUUGAACUCCCACAUACGGAGAGGUCGACGCUGACAUGGCAGGACCCGACGAACCAGCAUGACUUGCAUUACCUUGACAAGACUGACAUCUCUCUUGAGGAGAUCUCGGAUGCGACUCUGCAAUGUCGGCAUGUCGUUAACCGGCCCCCAGUCCAGCCCCUUGUUGACCCAUGAUGCCAGUUGUGGCGGGGGGCCCGAACGAAAGGCGGGGGCAGCUACCCACUUGGUACUUCAGGGAGUUGUGAUAUAAAACCACUCCCACUGCUAUAAGUCGGACAUCUCUAGGAAGGAACCCUUUGGCCAUGGAGCAUCGGCGCCUUUGCUUAUUAUGGCACCUCCGCAUUCUGCGUGUCGCCCAUCGAUCAUCUUCGACUUCACAUUGAAGGUCUUGAGCCAUAAGCCGAAGUGUGGGGUGAUGUGGAGGAAGGCCUCACACACGACGAUGAACGACGAGAUGUGAAGGAUGGAAUCCGGAGCCAGAUCAUGGAAAUCGAUCCCGUAGUAGAACAUAAGCCCUCUAACAAAGGGAUCAAGGCUCAAGACUAGCCCUCGGAGGAAGUGGGAAACGAAUACCACACUCUCGUUGGGUUCGGGAGUGGGGAUGACCUGCCCUUGAGCAGGCAGCCUGUGCGAGAUUUCGGCGGUUAGAUACCUGGCUUCUCUUAGCUUCUUGAUGUCCUCCUCUGUGACAGAGGAGGCCAUCCAUCGGCCUUGAAGGUUGGAUCCGGACAUGAUUGAAGGUCCUGAGCCUUGGGUGUUGGAAUUCGAGGGGGGGGGGAGGAUCGAGCGCGAGAAGAAAAGGACAGGCCUUGGCCCCUUUAUAAAGAGGGUGAAUAUCAAGCGUCCUCCGCGUGGCCGUUUGGAACUCGCCUAAAAUCGAGGAGUCAUACCAGCAUGCACAAUUGGAUUACCCAUACCCGUAUUGAUGAGAAUCCCGUGAUAAGGGGAACACGAUCUCUGCUUCGACGAGACAUGCCAAUAAAACCGCCUCGCAACACGUGAAGUGGCAGGCUGGGAAAAACGGUUCAUAAUGACCGGACCACGGCAGGACGUCACGUUAUGAAAAGUUGUCAGUAGAUUAGAUUUGUGGAAAUGUUAUACUCUCUACGGUGGUAUGUGGAAUUUGUUUUGCAGAGCUGGACACUAUCCUUGUGUUCGAAAUCUUCUAUGGAGUAUUCGGAGGAAGAACCCGCCUUGGAAUGCCGAAGACAAUCUGCGCGCCGGACUCAUCGUCAUUGAAGCCUGGUUUAGGGGCUACUGAGGGAGUCCUGGAUUAGGGGGUCCUCGGAUAGCCGGACUAUAUCCUUUGGCCGGACUGUUGGACUAUGAAGAUACAAGAUUGAAGACUUCAUCCCGUGUCCGGGUGGGACUCUCCUUUGCGUGGAAGACAAGCUUGGCAAUUCGGAUAUGUAGAUCUCCUCCCUUGUAACCGACUCUGUGUAACCUAGCCCCCUGCGGUGUCUAUAUAAACCAGAGGGUUUAGUCCGUAGGACGAGAACAAUCAUAAUCAUAGGCUAGCUUUUAGGGUUUAGCCUCAACGAUCUUGUGGUAGAUCAACUCUUGUAAUACUCAUAUCAUCAAGAUCAAUCAAGCAGGAAGUAGGGUAUUACCUCACACGAGAGGGCCCGAACUUGGGUAAACAUUGUGUCCCCCGCCUCCUGUUACCAUCUGCCUUAGACGCACAGUUCGGGACCCCCUACCCGAGAUCCCCCUGUUUUGACACCGACAGGGAGUGUUAGACGGGUCUAUGUAGCGCGAGCGAGAUAUGUGUAUGUGUGAACCAGGGAGAUAUAAAGUUUAAGAGAUAUAGAGGAGCCCCAAUACGGUUGAGUGGUGCGUCAGACAGCUGAGAGGGGCAAAGAUAUACUCCAUCUGUUCGAUAAUGCAGUGCAUAUAAAUUUUUUAGAAGUCAAACUUUCGAAACUUUGACCAGGUUUACGCAAAUAUUAUUUAUAUCUACAAUACCAAAGAUACAUCAUACGAAACUACAUCUCAUGAUGAAUCUAAUGAUAUAUGUUUGCUGUUAUAGAUGUAAAUGUUUUUCUCCACGUACAUGGUCAAACUUUGUGAUGUUUGACUUUUAAUUAAAUCUAUAUGCUAUGGACCAAAGAGAGUGCCUAAGUCGAGAGAGAUCAAGUGCGUGUGAAGGAGAAUGAGUGAGUGUGCAAAAAGAGAGAGAGAGAGAGAGAGAGAGAGAGAGUGUGUGUGUGUGUGUGAAAGAGAGAGGGACAACAAACGAUAAAAUAGAGAGUGUGUGUGUUCGUUUCUUAUGCAAACAUAUCACACAUGCAUCUCCGAGACAGAAAAGCGAGGUGAGGAGAUACACUAAGAUAGCUAGCGCGUGAUUGUUUGCAAUGGAGAGAGACAACCCUAUAGCACAUGUCCAAUAGAGGUCUGGCCAACAAGGGACAAAGGUCGAGAGGGAUGCAUGGAGAAGAUGGACACAUGGGGAGGGAGAGAGGGUGUGUUUGUGAUAGAGAGAUCCCCUCGAGAUUGUGAGGGGACUAUAUGGGUGGGAGAUCGAGGGAGAGGUGUGUGUGCGAUAGAAAGAUGCCCCGAGAGAAAUCGAGAUAGACCAAGUGAGGGAAACAGAUAAUGCACAUGUUUGUGAUGCAGACUAAGUAUUAAACAUGUUUGUGAAUGGGAGAACAUGUUGUCUGCAAUCCACACAUGAACGGAGAUAUGUGUAUCAAACAAGUUCAUUAAUUUGACUUUUAACAUGUUCAUGGAGUACUAUAAUACAGUACAACAUGCUACUCAAUUGAGGUGUUCAAUUUUGGAUUUAGUUCACUAUUUUGACCUGGUGCAUGAGCUAUUUCAUUGAAUCAAGAUAUUUCAUUUUGGGUUUGAUUCCCGUUUUUGAGUGGUCAACUAUUUGUCAUAUAGUAAAUCGUUAGCUGUCGGCGUUCUGGGAACGGGGGUCCCCACACUUGCCUGCCUGCGGCCCACGGCAUGGCUCCACUAGCGGCCCCGUACGGCCCAUCUUCGCCAGCAAACCCUCAAGACCCUCGCGAGGGGCCAAGCCUCGCGAGGCGGACAACGCAAGACCUCCUUGGGGGCAGCCUCGUCAGGCUGGCUCGCGAGGGGCAGAGAGAUCAAGUCAAGGGGAACCUCGCGAGGUUCCUAUGACGUAAGCCAUGACGACCAAGCCAGGCGGGCACCAGCGCGCACAGUGUCCUUGUUUCCUCUUUGGUGCUAAAGAGGCAAGCGCGGGCGAGGAGUCCCGAGGCACCAAGCAAAGGUUUCCAUAUCGGUGCAACGAGUCCAAGACCAGCAGGACGGCAGGAUGGAGGUCACCGUGGAGCCCAAGGCGGUAUCACCACCACAGCCUUUGGCAGGCGAAGACCACCUUUAGUCAGGAUAGCUUGUACUAGCUGUCCCCCUUCAAACUGGCCGUUGUGGCAUCCCUUCCCGCUCAAUAUUUGGGAAGAGGACCAAGGCCUCUAUAAAUAGGACUAGCCACCACCGUAGCAAGGGACGGAUCAUUGAGACCAUCCUCAUCCACAGAAACUCACCAAGCACAAGAACACCUCUCCUCAGGAGGCUGUUCUUCCCUUGUACUGUUCAUCCUCAGCCUAAGAGGCAAUCCACCACACCACACUGGAGUAGGGAAUUACACCACAACGGUGGCCCGAACAAGUAUAAAUCUUGUGUCCCCUUGUUCUUUGGGUCCACCGAGCUAGGCCAUGAGAUCAUGAUGCGCGCGAGCUAGAGGGAGGAGAGAUCUUCGUGCGCACCCCAGUGUUCUAACCUCAAGGGUUUUGCCGGAACCCGAAAUCCGACAUUUGGCGCGCCAGGUAGGGGUGUGCUGAAGCUUUCCUCUCGUCGAUCCGCGUUUCGCCACUCCACCAAGUUCAUGGCCGACGCUCGUUGGGCCCGCGCUGAGCGCCGGGCCGCUCUCGCCACCCGUGUCGCUCAGACAGCCCCUGUCGGCGGGCCUCCCCAUCGUUCUCCGUCACCCGCCGCCAACGCCGCUACUAGUCCGGCGGAAAACGAGCAGCAAGCGUCCUCUCUGCACCCCUCCGUCCGACGGGAUGGCCGCACCGCCACUCCGUCAUUGACCCCAGCCGGCUCGUCGUCUCACGCUUGUUGCGCUCCCACGGACGCAUAGGCCACGCUGCUCAUGGCACGCGAGCUCCUGCGCUACCACCCAGUCGACGACCUCUACGAGGACUGGUUGGACCGCAUCGCUGAGCACAUCAGCGCUGAUGGGGGCUCCCCCGCACCGUCCCUCUCGCUGCCUCGCCCUCUCCAGCUGCAGGCGACAUAGCUCACGGAGCACCUCCGCCGCCUCUGCCCCAAGACGACGCUCUGGCACCAAGACGCGCGGCCCCUCGGCACGACCCGCCGCGCCGGGCGCCCGCGCGGGAAGAAGGAAGCUGCCAAGAAGUUUCCCAACCGCAAGAAAAUGUUCCACCGCUCCCAGCACCUCCACGUCAGGAUCGCUUGCCGCGGCAGGGCCAUGCGCCACUUGCCGUGGCGGCGCGGGGACGCCAAGAUCAAGCUCCGCCUCCACGACGGGCCCCGGUGGCCAUGGCCGGCUGCCGCGCCUUCACUCCUGAGCUGCGUGGCUGCUACCUCUUGAGCACUGGGUUGGUUUUCCCUUGAAGAGGAAAGGGUGAUGCAGCAAAGUAGCGUAAGUACUUCCCUCAGUUUUUGAGAACCAAGGUAUCAAUCCAGUAGGAGGCCACGCACGAGUCCCUCGCACCUACACAAACAAAUAAAUCCUCGCAACCAACGCGAUAAGGGGUUGUCAAUCCCUACACGGUCACUUACGAGAGUGAGAUCUGAUAGAUAUGAUAGGAUAAUAUUUUUGGUAUUUUAUGAUAAAGAUGCAAAGUAAAAUAAAAGGCAAUGAAAAUAACUAAGUGUUGGAGGAUUAAUAUGAUGGAAAAUAGACCCGGGGGCCAUAGGUUUCACUAGUAGCUUCUCUCAAGAGCAUAAGUAUUACGAUGGGUGAACAAAUUACUGUUGAGCAAUUGACAGAAUUGAGCAUAGUUAUGAGAAUAGGACGACCUAGACAAUUUGUUUAUUGAUCAGCAACAAUUGGAAUAAAUAUUUUAUCACGUUCUGGUGAUUUUUAACAAUUAUUUUCGUGAACAGAAAGUUUCUAGAAUUUUCUGCAAGAUCAAAUAACUAUCAUCCAAGAAGAUCCUAUAGGUUUAACUUGGCACAAACACUAAUUAAAACAUAAAAACACAUCUAACCAGAGGCUAGAUCAAAGAUUUAUUCCUAAACAGAAGCAAAAAGCAAAAAACUAAAAAUAAAAUUGGGUUGCCUCCCAACAAGCGCUAUCGUUUAACGCCCCAAGCUAGGCAUAAAAGCAAGGAUAGAUCUAGGUAUUGCCAUCUUUGGUUUUCAAUUUUUUAGCGGAAUCAAGCUCGAAUCCGGGAGGUUCUUUACGUUUCCCUUCAUAUUCGGAAAUUUUUAGAUCUAAAGAAUCCAACCGCUUAUUGGAAAGGGUAAUCAACAUAUUCAUGCGGUGAAUAUUUCCGCUAACGCUCUUAAGAGGUUCAAGAGACUUUUGUAAAAUCUUAGUUACUUCGCAAUUUUUUUCAAAAACUUGUGUUUCUUCCUGGGUAUGUUGUGGCCCCUUUUGUUGAGGUAGUGUUCCCACUACCCCCUCUAUGAUUUCAUGCGCAACACUGGGAUCAAUUUCAAUAAAAAUUCCUUUGGCAACACAAUCCAAGAGUUGUCUAUGGGACAUAUUUAGUCCAACGUAAAAACUGCGAAGCAAAAUUCUGAAAGUCACCUCUAAGGUGCAAUUACGAUAAGAUUCCAUCAUCCUAUACCAAGCAUCUUUUAAAUUUUCUCCUUGUCUUUGUUUGAAGUGAAGAACUUCAAACUCAGGGGACAAAGGAACAGAUAGGCGACUAGCCAUAACGACCAAGCAAGAGAAAAAGAGGCGAACGGAAAAGAGAGGGCGAAUAAAACGGCAAGGGUGAAGUGGGGGAGAGGAAAACGAGAGGCGAAUGGCAAAUAAUGUAAUGCGGGAGAUAAGGGUUUGUGAUGGGUACUUGGUAUGUUGACUUUUGCGUAGACUCCCCCGCAACGGCGCCAGAGAUCCUUCUUGCUACCUCUUGAGCACUGCGUUGGUUUUCCCUUGAAGAGGAAAGGGUGAUGCAGCAAAGUAGCGUAAGUAUUUCCCCUCAGUUUUUGAGAACCAAGGUAUCAAUCCAGUAGGAGGCCACGCACGAGUCCCUCGCACCUACACAAACAAAUAAAUCCUUGCAACCAACGCGAUAAGGGGUUGUCAAUCCCUACACGGUCACUUACGAGAGUGAGAUCUGAUAGAUAUGAUAGGAUAAUAUUUUUGGUAUUUUAUGAUAAAGAUGCAAAGUAAAAUAAAAGGCAAUGAAAAUAACUAAGUGUUGGAGGAUUAAUAUGAUGGAAAAUAGACCCGGGGGCCAUAGGUUUCACUAGUGGCUUCUCUUAAGAGCAUAAGUAUUACGGUGGGUGAACAAAUUACUGUUGAGCAAUUGACAAAAUUGAGCAUAGUUAUGAGAAUAUCUAGGUAUGAUCAUGUAUAUAGGCAUCACGUCCGAGACAAGUAGACCGACUCCUGCCUGCAUCUACUACUAUUACUCCACACAUCGACCGCUAUCCAGCAUGCAUCUAGAGUAUUAAUUUCAUAAGAACAGAGUAACGCUUUAAGCAAGAUGACAUGAUGUAGAGGGAUAAAUUCAUGCAAUAUGAUAUAAACCCCAUCUUGUUAUCCUUGAUGGCAACAAUACAAUAUGUGCCUUGCUGCCCCUACUGUCACUAGGAAAGGACACCGCAAGAUUGAACCCAAAGCUAAGAACUUCUCCUAUUGCAAGAAAGAUCAAUCUAGUAGGCCAAACCAAACUGAUAAUUCGAAGAGACUUGCAAAGAUAACCAAUCACACAUAAAAGAAUUCAGAGAAGAUUCAAAUAUUGUUCAUAGAUAAACGUGAUCAUAAACCCACAAUUCAUCGGUCUCAACAAACACACCGCAAAAGAAGAUUACAUCGAAUAGAUCUCCACGAGAGAGGGGGGACAUUGUAUUGAGAUCCAAAAAGAGAGAAGAAGCCAUCUAGCUAAUAACUAUGGACCCGAAGGUCUGAGGUAAACUACUCACACAUCAUCGGAGAGGCUAUGGUGUUGAUGUAGAAGCCCUCCAUGAUCGAUGCCCCCUCCGGCGUAGCUCCAAAACAGGCCCCAAGAUGGGAUCUCACGGGUACAGAAGGUUGCGGCGGUGGAAUUAGGUUUUUGGCUCCGUAUCUGGUAGUUUGGGGGUACGUAGGUAUAUAUAGGAGGAAGAAGUACGUCGAUGGAGCAACGUGGGGCCCACGAGGGUUGAGGGCGCGCCCGGGGGGGUAGGCACGCCCCCCUACCUCAUGGCUUCCUGGUUGAUGUCUUGACGUAGGGUCCAAGUCCUCUGGAUCACGUUCGUUUCGAAAAUCACGUUCCCGAAGGUUUAUUCCGUUUGGACUCCGUUUGAUAUUCUUUUUCUGCGAAACUCUGAAAUAGGCAAAAAAACAACAAUUCUGGGCUGGGCCUCCGGUUAAUAGGUUAGUCCCAAAAAUAAUAUAAAAGUGUAUAAUAAAGCCCAUUAAUGUCCAAAACAGAAUAUAAGAUGGAGCAAUAAAAAAUUAUAGAUACGUUGGAGAUGUAUCAAGCAUCCCCAAGCUUAAUUCCUGCUCGUCCUCGAGUAGGUAAAUGAUAAAAACAGAAUUUUUGAUGUGGAAUGCUACUUGGCAUAAUUUCAAUGUAAUUCUUCUUAAUUGUGGUAUGAAUAUUCAGAUCCGAAAGAUUCAAGAUAAAACUUCAAUAUUGACAUAAAAAUAAUAAUACGUCAAGCAUACUAACUAAGCAAUUAUGUCCUCUCAAAAUAACAUGGCCAAAGAAAGUUCAUCCCUACAAAAUCAUAUAGUUUAGUCAUGCUCCAUUUUCGUCACACAAGAAUGCCCUCAUCAUGCACAACCCCGAUGACAAGCCAAGCAAUUGUUUCAUACUUUAGUAAUCUCAAACUUUUUCAACCUUCACGCAAUACAUGAGCGUGAGCCAUGGAUAUAGCACUAUGGGUGGAAUAGAAUAUAAUGAUGGGGGUUAUGUGGAGAAGACAAAAAGAGAGAAAGUCUCACAUCAACAAGGCUAAUCAAUGAGCUAUGGAGAUGCCCAUCGAUUGAUGUUAAUGCAAGGAGUAGGGAUUUCCAUGCAACGGAUGCACUAGGGCUAUAAAUAUAUGAAAGCUCAACAAAAGAAACUAAGUGGGUGUGCAUCCAACUUGCUUGCUCACGAAGACCUAGGGCAUUUGAGGAAGCCCAUUGUUGGAAUAUACAAGCCAAGUUCUAUAAUGAAAAGUUCCCACUAGUAUAUGAAAGUGACAAAACAAAAGACUCUCUAUCAUGAAGAUUAUGGUGCUAUUUUGAAGCACAAGUGUGGUAAAAAGGAUAGUAACAUUGUCCCUUCUCUCUUUUUUCUCUCAUUUUUUUUGGGCCUUCUCUUUUUUAUGGCCUUUCUCUUUUUUUGACCUCACUUGGGACAAUGCUCUAGAAAAUGAUGAUCAUCACAUUUCUAUUUAUUUACAACUCAAUGAUAACAACUCGAUACCAGAACAAAGUAUGACUCUAUAUGAGUGCCUCCGGCGGUGUACCGGGGUAUGCAAUGAACCAAGAGUGACAUGUAUGAAAGAAUUAUGAAUGGUGGCUUUGCCACAAAUACUAUGUCAACUACAUGAUCAUGCAAAGAAUUAUGACAAUGAUGAACGUGUCAUGAUAAACGGAACGGUGGAAAGUUGCAUGGCAAUAUAUCUCGGAAUGGCUAUGGAAAUGCCAUAAUAGGUAGGUAUGGUGGCUGUUUUGAGGAAGAUAUAAAGAGGUUUAUGUGUGAAAGAGCGUAACAUAUCACGGGGUUUGGAUGCACCGGCGAAGUUUGCACCAACUCUCAAUGUGAGAAAGGGCAAUGCACGGUACCGAAGAGGCUAGCAAUGAUGGAAAGGUGAGAGUGCGUAUAAUCCAUGGACUCAACAUUAGUCAUAAAGAACUCACAUACUUAUUGCAAAAAUCUACAAGUCAUCAAAAACCAAGCACUACGCGCAUGCUCCUAGGGGGAUAGAUUGGUAGGAAAAGACCAUCGCUCGUCCCCGACCGCCACUCAUAAGGAGGACAAUCAAAGAACACCUCAUGUUUCAAAUUUGUUACAUAACGUUUACCAACGUGCAUGCUACGGGACUUGCAAACUUCAACACAAGUAUUUCUCAAAUUCACAACUACUCAACUAGCACAACUUUAAUAUCACUACCUCCAUAUCUCAAAACAAUCAUCAAGCAUCAAACUUCUCUUAGUAUUCAACACACUCAUAAGAAAGUUUUUACUAGUCUUGAAUACCUAGCAUAUUAGGAUUAUUUAAGCAAAUUACCAUGCUAUUUAAGACUCUCGAAAUAAUCUAAGUGAAGCAUGAGAGAAUAAUAGUUUCUAUAAAACAAAAGUUACCACCGUGCUCUAAAAUAUAUUAGUGAAGUACUAGAGCAAAAACUAUAUAGCUCAAAAGAUAUAAGUGAAGCACAUAGAGUAUUCUAAUAAUUUCCAAAUCAUGUGUGUCUCUCUCAAAAGGUGUGUACAGCAAGGAUGAUUGUGGUAAACUAAAAAGCAAAGACUCAAAUCAUACAAGACACUGCAAGCAAAACACAUAUCAUGUGGUGAAUAAAAAUAUAGCUCCAAGUAAAGUUACCGAUGGAAGUAGACGAAAGAGGGGAUGCCUUCCGGGGCAUCCCCAAGCUUUGGGUUUUUGGUGUCCUUAGAUUAUCUUGGGGUGCCAUGGGCAUCCCCAAGCUUAGGCUCUUGCCACUCCUUGUUCUAUAAUCCAUCAAAUCUUUCACCCAAAACUUGAAAACUUCACAACACAAAACUUAAUAGAAAAUCUCGUGAGCUCCGUUAGCGAAGGAAAACAAAACACCACUUCAAGGUACUGUAAUGAACUCAUUCUUUAUUUAUAUUGGUGUUAAACCUACUGUAUUCCAACUUCUCUAUGGUUUAUAAACUAUUUUACUAGCCAUAGAUUCAUCAAAAUAAGCAAACAACACACGGAAAACAGAAUCUGUCAAAAACAGAACAGUCUGUAGUAAUCUGUAACUAACGCAAACUUCUGGAACUCCAAAAAUUCAGAAAAAAUAGGACGACCUAGACAAUUUGUUUAUUGAUCAGAAGCAAUUGGAAUAAAUAUUUUAUCACGUUCUGGUGAUUUUUAACAAUUAUUUUCGUGAACAGAAAGUUUCUGGAAUUUUCUGCAAGAUCAAAUAACUAUCAUCCAAGAAGAUCCUGUAGGUUUAACUUGGCACAAACACUAAUUAAAACAUAAAAACACAUCUAACCAGAGGCUAGAUCAAAGAUUUAUUCCUAAACAGAAGCAAAAAGCAAAAAAAAUAAAAAUAAAAUUGGGUUGCCUCCCAACAAGCGCUAUCGUUUAACGCCCCUAGCUAGGCAUAAAAGCAAGGAUAGAUCUAGGUAUUGCCAUCUUUGGUUUUCAAUUUUUUAGCGGAAUCAAGCUCAAAUCCGGGAGGUUCUUUACGUUUCCUUUCAUAUUCGGAAAUUUUUAGAUCUAAAGAAUCCAACCGCUUAUUGGAAAGGGUAAUCAACAUAUUCAUGCGGUGAAUAUUUCCGCUAACGCUCUUAAGAGGUUCAAGAGACUUUUGUAAAAUCUUAGUUACUUCGCAAAUUUUUUCAAAUACUUGUGUUUCUUCCUGGGUAUGUUGUGGCCCCUUUUGUUGAGGUAGUGUUCCCACUACCCCCUCUAUGAUUUCAUGCGCAACACUGGGAUCAAUUUCAAUAAAAAAUCCUUUGGCAACACAAUCCAAGAGUUGUCUAUGGGACAUAUUUAGUCCAACGUAAAAACUGCGAAGCAAAAUUCUGAAACUCACCUCUAAGGUGCAAUUACGAUAAGAUUCCAGCAUCCUAUACCAAGCAUCUUUUAAAUUUUCUCCUUGUCUUUGUUUGAAGUGAAGAACUUCAAACUUAGGGGACAAAGGAACAGAUAGGGGACUAGCCAUAACGACCAAGCAAGCGAAAAAGAGGCGAACAAAAAAGAGAGGGCGAAUAAAACGGCAAGGGUGAAGUGGGGGAGAGGAAAACGAGAGGCGAAUGGCAAAUAAUGUAAUGCGGGAGAUAAGGGUUUGUGAUGGGUACUUGGUAUGUUGACUUUUGCGUAGACUCCCCGGCAACGGCGCCAGAGAUCCUUCUUGCUACCUCUUGAGCACUGCGUUGGUUUUCCCUUGAAGAGGAAAGGGUGAUGUAGCAAAGUAGUGUAAGUAUUUCCCUCAGUUUUUGAGAACCAAGGUAUCAAUCCAGUAGGAGGCCACGCACGAGUCCCUCGCACCUACACAAACAAAUAAAUCCUCGCAACCAACGCGAUAAGGGGUUGUCAAUCCCUACACGGUCACUUACGAGAGUGAGAUCUGAUAGAUAUGAUAGGAUAAUAUUUUUGGUAUUUUAUGAUAAAGAUGCAAAGUAAAAUAAAAGGCAAUGAAAAUAACUAAGUGUUGGAGGAUUAAUAUGAUGGAAAAUAGACCUGGGGGCCAUAGGUUUCACUAGUGGCUUCUCUCAAGAGCAUAAGUAUUACGGUGGGUGAACAAAUUACUGUUGAGCAAUUGACAAAAUUGAGCAUAGUUAUGAGAAUAUCUAGGUAUGAUCAUGUAUAUAGGCAUCACGUCCGAGACAAGUAGACCGACUCAUGCCUGCAUCUACUACUAUUACUCCACACAUCGACCGCUAUCCAACAUGCAUCUAGAGUAUUAAGUUCAUAAGAACAGAGUAACGCUUUAAGCAAGAUGACAUGAUGUAGAGGGAUAAAUUCAUGCAAUAUGAUAUAAACCCCAUCUUGUUAUCCUUGAUGGCAAAUAUACAAUACGUGCCUUGUUGCCCCUACUGUCACUAGGAAAGAACACCGCAAGAUUGAACCCAAAGCUAAGAACUUCUCCCAUUGCAAGAAAGAUCAAUCUAGUAGGCCAAACCAAACUGAUAAUUCGAAGAGACUUGCAAAGAUAACCAAUCAUACAUAAAAGAAUUCAGAGAAGAUUCAAAUAUUGUUCAUAGAUAAACUUGAUCAUAAACCCACAAUUCAUCGGUCUCAACAAACACACCGCAAAAGAAGAUUACAUCGAAUAGAUCUCCACGAGAGAGGGGGAGAACAUUGUAUUGAGAUCCAAAAAGAGAGAAGAAGCCAUCUAGCUAAUAACUAUGGACCCGAAGGUCUGAGGUAAACUACUCACACAUCAUCGGAGAGGCUAUGGUGUUGAUGUAGAAGCCCUCCGUGAUCGAUGCCCCCUCCGGCGGAGCUCCGGAACAGACCCCAAGAUGGGAUCUCACGGGUACAGAAGGUUGCGGCGAUGGAAUUAGGUUUUUGGCUCCGUAUCUGGUAGUUUGGGGUACGUAGGUAUAUAUAGGAGGAAGAAGUACGUCGGUGGAGCAACAUGGGGCCCACGAGGGUGGAGGGUGCGCCCAGGGGGUAGGCGUGCCCCCUACCUCGUGGCUUUCUAGUUGAUGUCUUGACGUAGGGUCCAAGUCCUCUGGAUCACGUUCGUUCCGAAAAUCACGUUCCCGAAGGUUUCAUUCCGUUUGGACUCCGUUUGAUAUUCUUUUUCUGCGAAACUCUAAAAUAGGCAAAAAAACAGCAAUUAUGGGCUGGGCGUCCGGUUAAUAGGUUAGUCCCAAAAAUAAUAUAAAAGUGUAUAAUAAAGCCCAUUAAUGUCCAAAACAGAAUAUAAUAUAGCAUGGAGCAAUAAAAAAUUAUAGAUACGUUGGAGACGUAUCAGUGGCGUCGCCUGGCCGGCAAGUUCAAGCCGGAUCUGCCUCCUCACUACGACGGCACCCCCGGCCCUGCGGAGUUCUUGCAGCUCUACGAGCUGAGCAUCAAGGCGGCCAACGGCGACGAAAAGGUCAUGGCGAACUAGUUCCCCAUGGCUCUCAAGGACGGCGCCCGCUCAUGGCUCCUGAACCUCCCCGGGCUCGAUCUCCUCCUGGGAUGAGAUGCGCGACCGCUUCGUCGCCAACUUCCAGGGCACUCGCGACCGCCCUCCAGCCGCGGGUGACCUGUGCCAUAUCAAGCAAUAGCCAGGAGAGACCUUGCAGAAGUACAUUCAGCGCUUCAACAACGUUCGUCUCAAGAUCCCCAAGGUGACGGAUGAGGCCAUCAUUUCGGCGUUUUCUGAUGGCGUCCGUGACAUCAAGGUGAAGGAGGAGCUCGCCAUCCACGAGGAGCUAUGCACGGCUUUGGAGCUGUUCAACCUGGCGACCAAGUGCGCAAGAGCUGAGGAAGGGUGCCUUUCCCUCCUCGAGCUCCCUGCUACCGACCCAGAGGAGAAGAAAGCCAAGGCCAAAGACGUGAAGCGCAAGGGAGUGGCCGUACUCGCGGCGGAGCCUGACACGAAGCGCGGACUGGACCAUCCCGAGUCAUCCAAGAGCAGCCGACCGUUCUGCGCCUUCCACAACGUACACAACCACAACACCAACGACUAUCAGGAGCUCAGGGCCAUUCGAGAUGGACGCUUCGGUCGACGCCCCGAGCGCAACGACCGGGGCUACGGCCGAGGCGGAGGUCGCUGGGACGAUCGCGGCCCAUGCCAGGAGUGGCGCGACCGGCCUCGCGAGGACCGCUGGCAUGAUCAGCCUCGUGAGGAAGCCUGGAGGGAUCAGCCUCGCGAGGACCGCCCUCAGGGAAAUGCUGGUCUCCCUCCGCUGCCGCCACCACCCAGAAGGAACGACGACCACCAUCGGGACGAAGGAGCUGGGGGCUUCCAGGAACCGCGCGCUAUCGCCUGCAUCUUGGGCGGAGCUCAGGCCCCAGUGUCUCAGCGUAUCUUCAAGUAGUUUGUUCGCGAGGUGAACGUGGCUCUUCCCAAGCUCGAGGCCGCACGCCCGCUCAGGUGAUCCAAGUACGCCAUCACUUUCAGCUCGGCGGACCAGCUCAAGUGCGCCGCAGCCACCGGUGCUCUCCCAAUGCUCUACUUUCCAGUCAUCAGCAACGUCCAAGUCACCAAGACCCUCAUCGAUGGCGGUGCGGGGCUUAACGUCCUGCCCGUCGACACGUUCGGUUGCCUUCAAGUACCCUAUGAUCAACUGCAGCCGACCAAGCCCUUCUCAGGAAUGACCGAUGGUUCCACCACCCCAAUCGGGCAGGUCCGCCUCCCUGUCACCUUCGGUGGGCGCGACAACUACCACACCGAGCUCAUCGACUUCGACGUCGCCCACAUUCGUCUGCCAUACAACGCAAUCCUCAGGUACCCAGCGUUGGCCAAGUUCAUGGCAGUGACCCACCACGGCUACAACGUCCUCAAGAUGCCAGGGACUGGUGGUGUCAUCACAGUCGCCUGUGAGGAGAAAGAUGCAGUGUGCUCCCUUGAGCGCACCUUCCAGGCCGCAGCAAUAGAAGACCCCGACAACGAAGGAAUCCUACACCCUCCUGAGGCUAUCCCCAAGAAGAAGAAGCAGCUGCACCGUACAGGGCCUCAGGAGAGCGGCAUCACCAGCAGCACCACCUCAAGAAUUGCGCCCUCAGAUGGGGCGCCUCCCUCCCGCGCAUAGGAAGGCGCGCCCAGUGCCCUCCUUGGGCAGGGCUCGGGGGCUCUCUUCUGGAGGGCCUCAGACCUAGCCAACAUCAUGAGGGAGGCACUCGGGCACCACAUGGAGGCGUGCUUUGCGGCACGUUUCCCUCGGGAGGGCACCAGGCGAGGAGCGCCUGGCGCUCAAGAGUUCAUCACCCAGACUACCCAAGAGCUUCAAGAAGCAAGAGCCAUGCGCGGCGACCGACACCCACCUGGCGCAGCUCCCCAUCCAGGCGAGGAUGGCGGGCUGCACGUCUGCAUCGACAUCCCAGGGCUCAACUGGGCCGCAUCUUAGGGGCUCUUCUGACCUUCACGCGUGGGAUGUUGCGAGGGCCCACCUCACAACUAUGUUCGCAUGCCCUUCGGCCUGCCGAGCAUGGUGGCUGCCUAUCAGCGCAACCUGCGGAGCGUCCUGGCGGCUCAGGAGGCCAGGCAUCACGCAGUCCUGGAGGAGAUGGAGACGGUCCUCAAGGAACCGCCAGGGCCCCCAGAGCCUCCCGAGGCUCAAGGCCCCGGUGGCUCGUGAGGAGCAACUCCAUCGCCAUGUGUCUUCAGCCACCCCAACACCCCUUCGACAAUGGAACCAGGUGACAUUUUCCAAGUUUAUUAGCUGGGAGCGCCCUCUAGUCCGGAUCAUUCCCAGGCCGCAUGGGUCCGUCCCUGUGGCAUGUAUCCCUUUUUAUGUCUUUAGCUUACUCUGCUGGGGGCGCCCCUCGAGCUGCAUCAUUGCCGAGCCGCUCGGGUCUGACCCAGUGGCAUGUAUCGUUCUUGCAUUUACCUAAGCUAGUUUGCUUUCCAUGCGCAAUUUAUCUAUGGUUAUCACCUGCUUGAUUGUCACCCACCUCGGGCGCUACUCACGAUGGCACGGCGCUUGUGCUCGGGUCCGUCCCUGCAAUGCCGACAAAUCUGAGAGGUCGAGCUCUGACUCGCGGCAUGCCCGCCGCACGUCACCUCACCAGGCCCUCAGUGUCUUCAUCCUCUUGCGGAGCAACUUGUGGCAGGCCGGCAAUCAUAGUGGCAAUCAAUGUCCCUCCUCGCGCUAACCUGCAGGGACCUCCUGAGGACAACAGCAGGUGGUACCAUGGCUCCCUCUUCUCCCAUGUGAUCCGCUUGCGUGUUAAAAGGGGGGCUCCUGAGCAUCGUGACUCAGGAGCUCUUACUGGCUCUCCAGCCCUCACCCCUGGCCUUGCCACAGCACCGCGACCUGGCAUACCAGUGGCGGCUGAGCUAGCUCGAGGGUCGGGACCUGAGGACGCAGAGCACAUAGGAGAGCAUGGAGAAGAGGGGGAGGCUCGCACAUGCCUGACCUGGCUGCACUACGACCACCGAUGAACGAGUCUGGCGCAUCACAAGGAACCGACUCUGGACUGCCAAGAUAAGUUUCGCGCCCGGUCAACCUAUCGCUACGACGUAGGAUUCUCACUCGCUGCAGCCCUGUUGCGGCAACGUCGCCUCCCUUUCUUACCUCUCGGUGGCCGCUUGCGCACUAAAGGGGACCUCCUGAGCAUCGCGCCUCAGGAGCUCUUACUGGACCUCGGGCCGCUCACCUCCUGGCCUUGACCACAGCAUCGCGACCUGGCAUACCAGCGACGGCCAUAGCCUGCCUGGGCACCGGGACCUGUCAGCGUAGAGCACCAAGCCGUUGCGGGAAAGGGGGGACUGAGCCGAAACAGGACAUGCGCUCGCAAAUUUUCAUAAUGAGGACAAUAUCAACAAAAGACAUUACAAACCUUUUACACGCCUCGCGGGGUUCGUCUCGAUUCCUCGCAGGGAACAAAAGGAGGGAGCUUCUAGGGGUCCUAUCUACACGCACUGGCGCGGCCGACGCCAUCAUCAAAAGUGGGCCUCAGGAGGCCGGUGCCAACCCCAUCCAGAUCAGCGACGGCGGCAGCCGGAUGCUGCGGCCUUGCUCCGGGCACGGCGAGAGCUCGGGGGCACAUAGCUGUCGUCGCUCGUCUCCGGAGUCUCGUAGGGCUCGGGAGAGUCGCUGGACUCCCAAGUGACACCACUGCUGCUGGAUGAGCCGCUGGCGAGGCAGGCGGCAGGCCCGGCUCCUGCCGCGGCGCCAUCCAGGCGGCCCUCUCCGGGGCAGCACUCCAAGCGACGGCCUUCCGCGUCGAAGACCUUGAAGAACAUCAUGGAGGCGCCGUCAUACUCUAAGUGGAUCGCGAGGGCACCCCCACCCUAGCCGUGGGUCAUGAAGAUCUUGCCCGGGGAGACAACUUCAACCUCCGCUCCAGUCGCCGGCGCGUCACAUUCGGCGUGCUGCAGCCAAAGCUCGAGGGGCCCCCUCGGCGGCAUUCGGCGGAGAAGAAUUGCGGGAAGCGGAUCCAGGUGCGCGGAGGCAUCGCCGCCCACAUCACGAGUUCGCGUGAGGAGUCUGCGGCAUGGGCUCCUGGGGCGACGGCAUGUGUCCCCAUGACGCAUCGACCAUGGCUGCGGCAUGGGCGGCGCCGACCACCGCCUCUUCCUCCAGAGCCCUCGGCUUGGGCGUAUAGAGGCAGCGGAUACCCGAGAGGUGGCCGCUCGCACCAAGGCCUUGUCACCUCCAGCCCCCCGACUGCGUCACAGCGGUGGACCGGCCUCUUCUUUGGUGGAAGUGGCUUGGGCUCAUCGCGAGGGGUUUUUCCCUUCUCCGCAGCCGAGAACCUUCGAAUCGGCGCCAUGGGAGUCACUACUAGCAAUGGAGCAAGGGAGAAGGAGCAAGCGGAACGGGAAGAGAUGGGCGACGGGGGCUCCGCCCCCCUCCUCAUUUGUAGCAGGAGAAGACCAACCAGCGAUCCCCAUGAUCAAAGGUAAUGAUGGUUUUUCCUUGCAUGCAGCAGGGACUCGUUAAGUCAGACAGUUGCCGAGGCAGCGUGGGGAAGCGGAGGCGCCCACGUCCAAUCAAUCGCCACGCGUCGACCAAGGCCAUAGGCUGUUGGGGCCCGCGGCGCUCCGCACUUGCCCUUUGGCUUCACCUCGAAGCCAAGUCCGAGCGCGCCUUGGGCCCGGGGCUACUGUCGGUGUUCUGGGAACGGGGGUCCCCAGACUUGCCUGCCUGCGGCCCACGGCGUGGCUCCACUAGCGGCCCCGUAUGGCCCAUCUUCACCAGCAAACCCUCAAGACCCUCGCGAGGGGCCAAGCCUCGCGAGGCAGACAACGCAAGACCUCCUCGGGGGCAGCCUCGUCGGGCUGGCUCGCGAGGGGCGGAGAGAUUAAGGCAAGGGGAACCUCGCGAGGUUCUUAUGACGUAAGCCAUGAUGACCAAGGCUAGGCGGGCGCCACCGCGAGCAGUGUCCUUGUUUCCUCUUUGGUGCUAAAGAGGCAAGCGCAAGCGAGGAGUCCCGAGGCAUCAGGCAAAGGUUUCCAUAUCAGUGCAACGAGACCAAGACCAGUAGGACGGCAGGACGGAGGUCACCGUGGAGCCGAAGGCGGCAUCACCACCAAAGCCUUUGGCAGGCGAAGACCACCUUUCGUCAGGAUAGCUUGUACUAGUUGUCCCCCUUCAAACUGGCCGUUGUGGCAUCCCUUCCCGCUCAAUAUUUGGGAAGAGGACCAAGGCCUCUAUAAAUAGGACUAGCCACCACCAUAGCAAGGGACGGAUCAUUGAGACCAUCCUCACCCACACAAACUCACCAAGCACAAGAACACCUCUCCUCAGGAGGCUGUUCUUCCCUUGUACUGUUCAUCCUCGGCCUAAGAGGCAAUCCACCACACCACACUGGAGUAGGGUAUUACACCACAACGGUGGCCCGAACCAGUAUAAAUCUUGUGUCCCCUUGUUCUUUGGGUCCGCCGAGCUAGGCCGUGAGAUCAUGAUGCGCGCGAGCUAGAGGGAGGAGAGAUCUUCGUGCGCACCCCAGUGUUCGAACCUCAAGGUUUUUGCCGGAACCCAAAAUCCGACAUUAGCAAUGAGCAUGUAAAAACACAUUAGUCCCGAGCAUCAUCUCACCAUCUAAAAAAGAAGUGGCAAGCUAAUAUUUCAAAAUUUGAUUCGAAUCGACUUGGUAAGGUAGACGUGGAUUCUCGUUCUCCCAAAAUUUGAAUGAACCGCUAAACACACUCUGCUCGGUGGAAUUCGCCCGAGCAAACAAAUGGGAGGCACAAAAUUACCAGCCUAUGUGGGACACACAUCAAUUGGCCCGUUGUACAUCGAGGGUAGGUUCGUAACUUCAUCUAAGCGCGCCUUCUCCUCGGCCGAAAUGACAAGUGCCGAAUAAUUCAUAAACCAUGGGCGGCAAAACACCCUCUCCUCGUCCGAAAUCGCUUGCGCGGACUAUUUCAAAACACGCCUUCCUAGCCCGAAAUCGCUCGCGCCCACUAUUUGGGAGAAGCAAAGUUACUCUACUAUCCCCGACCCUUAGUACACAGACCCAAGCCCAGAAGCCUAANNNNNNNNNNNNNNNNNNNNNNNNNNNNNNNNNNNNNNNNNNNNNNNNNNNNNNNNNNNNNNNNNNNNNNNNNNNNNNNNNNNNNNNNNNNNNNNNNNNNNNNNNNNNNNNNNNNNNNNNNNNNNNNNNNNNNNNNNNNNNNNNNNNNNNNNNNNNNNNNNNNNNNNNNNNNNNNNNNNNNNNNNNNNNNNNNNNNNNNNNNNNNNNNNNNNNNNNNNNNNNNNNNNNNNNNNNNNNNNNNNNNNNNNNNNNNNNNNNNNNNNNNNNNNNNNNNNNNNNNNNNNNNNNNNNNNNNNNNNNNNNNNNNNNNNNNNNNNNNNNNNNNNNNNNNNNNNNNNNNNNNNNNNNNNNNNNNNNNNNNNNNNNNNNNNNNNNNNNNNNNNNNNNNNNNNNNNNNNNNNNNNNNNNNNNNCGUCCGUAAGAUAUGGUUCCCCCUCCCAAUUCCUCAUACAUACAUUGUGGGCGCCAAAUCACCUUCUCCCUGAAAGCUCCCUUCUCCCCAGCUGUGAAACCUCAGCCCCUCCUCCAUGGCGCCCCCCACCGCACAAAAUUCAUCGUUGCCCUCCUCCGCAAUGCCGGAGACGUUGUCCGUUUGUCGUCGUGCACUGGGCCAUGUGCCUCUUACUUUGUGCUGCCGGAGCUGCCUCGACGACGGCCACGUGAACCGUCCCGGAGCCGAUUCACUCCCGCCGUUGUGCACGGUGCAGGAGCGGCUCCAACUUCAGAAGCGUCCAGGGCCCCGGCGCUGCUUCCCCGUAGCCGUCGACCGUCCCGACAUCUCUGCUCUCCUGCCACCGGUAGCCACUCCAAUCGCGCCGGCCUCACUGACUCGGCAGCUGGAGUUGCCCACUUCACCGGGCCGCAAGAUAGGUCGUACACUCAUCUUAAAUCACUUUAUUUAGGCGUCAGUUUGAAUUUUUAUUCUGGGCCAAUCAAUUCCCGAUGGGAAGCAGCACCCCUCGAGGCGACGGAGCUCCUAGGCUGCUGGUUGGCUGGUGUCUAAUGUAAGGGUGCGGGGGCGCAAGUUCACCACGAAAGCAGCGCUUAGGUGGCUAUCUUAGAGUUGUGUGGGUUGAAGGUACUGUCACCGCCGGAUCUGGAUGACGGCGAGUCUUUGUGGAUUAGCUGGGGGCGGCGCAACCACGGCAGUGCGGUGGGGCGGGGAGUGGGGAUUUGGUCGGAGCUCUCGCGGCCAGGGACGGCGGAGGCAGGCUGCUCUGCUAGUGGUCACUAGCUCUUCUGGGAAGAUUCUGAACAGUGUCAGCCGAGAGGCACAAGACGGCCAUCAAGCCAUCCGGCGUAGAUCGGACAGUACCAAAAUAAAAUAAAAUUGUGUGACCCCAAUUUAGUUUUCAGUCAACAGACGUGUGACCACUCUCGUACCUUAUUGUUGAUCUCUUAGGGUAUUUCUUCAGAUCAGAGAUGUGCGUCGUUCUUAACAUUUUGCGUUUUCUGCAUCUUCAGCCACACUGUCUUCCUUCUCACCACAGCUGCUCCAACAAGGGAAGAAUACACCAGAAGGGAGCUAUAGUCCCCACUCAACAGUUCCCUGCAUCGAAUGUGCAUGCCCGACAUGGAUCGCCACAACAAUUGUAGGGCCAUCGACAAGUCAGCACAUGAUGCUCACACCUAUGGAUGGCGGCCAGAUAGGUUGUACCCUCAUCUUACUUGUGUGCAACAUUUAUGGCUUUGUUAUUCAUCUAAGCAUGAAAAAUAGAUUAUCACAUUUCACUGUAUAUUCAUGCUGAUCUCUUAAGAGUCUUGUUCAAGAGUUAACCGUGUUCCAUAGUUCAUAUAAGAGACUUGUUCUUUAGGUAACGUUGUUCCAUAGUUAUCAUCCAUCAGCCAAUGUUAUCCCACAGGCUGGUGAUUAUACCACUUCUAGUAUUACCUAUGUUGUUCUUUAAUACUUUUUUGUGCCAUCUAGUUAAUCUCAAGUACAAACGAUACAUAUUCUGUAGCUUUCAUCUGUGUUCUCCCUUUAGUUUUUGAGACAUGUUGCUGAUAGUUAAGCCUAGUCCUACUAUUUAUGUCGUCUCCUACAGGCACUCAUUACAUAAAUCUAACUACUAUUUGUCUUCCAUGCAUGUCAGAUAUAAUUGCACACACUAAUAUAUCCAGAAGAACCUCACGGAGCAAUGUAACGGCCAACAAACUUGAUGUCGAUGAUACCCACUAUGAUGGAACAUGUAAAGGCAGUUCUUCAGAAGACUUGCAGAAAGAUGCCGAAUCCUAUUCACCCCAACAAACUGUAUGUAUUCCGCUAUCAUACGGUUUUAUAUUCAACUAGUGUUUUUUUACUCUGUUGUCCUGUCGUAUCCCUAGCUCUUACAUCAUACUCCCUCCGGCCGGAUUACAUGUCGCAAAUGGAUAAAAAUGGAUGUAUCUAGAACUGAAAUACGCCUAGACACAUCCAUUUAUUUCCAGAUGGAGGGAAUACAUGUCAAUAUGUCAUGCCUUUCUAUUCUUCAGUACCUAUUCCAUCUCUCUGUCGUAGCAUGUUUUAUAACUGAAGCACCAUUCUUCUAUAUAAGGCAUGCAAGGGGAAGACGGCUAUGUUAGAAUCUGAAGGGUUACAAACAAGGUCUUUGCAAAAGAUCAAAAUGCCAGGAGAUAGUAAACCAACUCCAGUGUUCAUAGAUACUUCUCCAGCACAAAGAAACCCAACUCCUACUGAUAAUAAGCAGAUUCAAGUGACCAAAGAACUAGUCCACUCCAGUCCAGCAAAUAUAUGUCAACUCCAUUCUAAAAAGCAUGUGCAUAUCCUCACAUCAUGAGAUUUUAUAACAUUCAGAUCAUAUUUUCUACAUGUUUCUUACCCAUCUCUCUUUUAGAAAAUAAGAUUAAAUGGUAGAAGACUUUCUAAGCUGGGAUCGUGUUCGGGGAAAGUAUCUUGCGAGAAUUCUCUGUGCUCCAAUUCUGAUGUAAGUAUUUGUUGUAUAUCACUAAAUUUUUACACCAGCAUGUAUUUUGUUAAUUGGCGUGAAUCCAACCUUUAUCUGAUCUAAAUUUACUUGUAGCAAAAUGUAUAAUUAAAGGCGACAAUGUUGAUUUUUGUAAGGAAAACUGCCUGGUAGUUUUGCAUACUGAGCUGCAUGAAUGUACUAUCUCAUAUCAUGCACAUUACUAAAUUGUAGUGUUGUUCUGGUUACCCAAUCAUUCAUUGUGUCAAUGUUGCUUUCCUAUUACCUUACCUGGCUAAUGGUAGCUGUGCCAUAUUGUGUUAAUUUGGUGUAGGCUGGUGUGGUCUAGUUGCCCAAACGUUCGUUGUGUCAAUGUUGCUUUCCUAUUAUCUGACCUGGCCAAUGAUAGCAAUGCUAGCGUGUUAAUUUGGUGCAGGCUGCUGAAGAUAAGAAGACAAACUCUGAAAACAUCAAGGCAACCCCAUUGUUUCUUUCCAACAAAUCUAUGCCAGGUAAUAUGGCAAUAACUCUUGAUUAAUCUGUUCGGUUCCCCUCCUAAUUUAUGUUAUGAUGCAGUGGUCGAGACACUCUCCACUAUCAAUAAUACAAGCCUGCCAAAAUCGCCAUCUGAAUCUGUUGAGUUUCCUCUGUCUCGAAUCCAAGUGAAAAAAUGUAUGUUUGUGAACGAAUUACUGGCUGAAGCAAUCAUGCAAAUUGUAGAGGAAUCAGAGGUGCACAUUCUUGCGCAACAACAACUGAUCAAUGAUUUCGGAGACAGUGUAGCAAAGAAGGAAGAACUUGCUCACAUGCUUAUGGGCGUCAUGAGCGCUGAGGUUGCAGAUUGUGAGGUUGUAGAUCGUUAAGUUCUGCUCAUUUAUUUGCACUGGCAUCAAUCUUUGAUUGCCCAGUGGAUGUAAUUUCAUGUAAUAUAUGCUGGAUGUGCAACGUUUUUCCUUGUAUGCCGUAUGUUUGCUUAGCGUGCCUCGCAUUCUAGCUAACUCAUCGCUAGGAAGGCAAAAAAGCAAUGAAAUUAUUAGUUAGCACGAACAGCCAUGGGCCCUAUACAAAUGAAGCGGCCCACUGCCCGUAAUGGGCUUCCCUAAUGGGCUCGCAUGGGCCAAAAUUCUCAUAGGCCUUUGAUUGAUCGAUUUUUGUCCUGUCCAUAAUUGCUCGUCGUAAUGGGCUAAAAUUAUAGCUGGGCCGGAAUCGACAUUAUCUAAUUGGGCCACCUGACAUGUUCGAACUUUAGCGGGCCCAUUAAGUUAAUGGGCCGUAACCAAGCCGAAAGAACUAUUGGGCCGCUACAAUUGAAAUGAGCCAACAAUUAAUGCUUGGUCAUGUUACCUCCCGGGUCGUUAACAGGCCGACAUCGAAGCAGGUAAUAAGUGGGCCCAUUCGACUUCAAGGGCCAUUAACAGGCUGAUACUAAGGUUGGGCUAUUUAUGGCCCAACUGUAUUUUGGGCCUUUAUCAGGCCGAAAGAGACAACGGGCUCGUACUAGACCAUGAAGAGCAUGGGCCGCUAAGAGGCCGAAAGUGAGGUCGGACUUUAUAUGGCCCAACUGUUUUGUGGGCCUUUAGCAGGCCGAAAGAGAAACUGGGCUGGUAUUGGUCAUGAAGAGCAUGGGCCGUUAAGAGACCAAAACUCAGGUCCAACUGCAAAUGGCCCAACUCAUUUAUGGGCCGUUAAUGGGCUGAAAGACACACCGGGCUGGAAAUUGGCCCAACACUUAAAUGGGUCGCUAAAAGGCCGAUAGACGUACAUCCUGAAAAUUGGCCCAUCCCUUGAAUGGGCCGUUAACAGGUCGAAACCACAUGGGGCCGAUAUUGAGCCCAAAUAUAUAGCGGGCUAUUAACGGGCUCGAACGGACGAUGGGCUGCAAUGGUGUCAAAUAGUUAACGGGUCGUUGAUGGGCCGAAUUGGCACAUCUCGUAUGGGCCGUGGGCUUAAAUGGACCAGACACGAGUAGGCCCUAUAUGGGUCGGCCUGCUAAUUUUGACUGGGCCGGCCUCUUUCACCUAAAUGGGCCACUUUUGGGCCUUGCCACGUGCCAACGUAUCAUAGGUGCCUCCCGUGCAAUGAGUGGAUGACAUCUGUCCCAAUGCUGAGCCGACACGUGGAUCCUCCGGCGAAUGAGAAUUUUACACAUGGAAAAUCCCCAUUGGUUGGGGCUGUUAACGGGUUAUCAGAUCCAAACCGGAACCCGAUAGCUUAAUGGCGACCCGUUACGGUGGAUGCCACAUGUCGGUUACCCUUGACAAAAACACUUCCAUGACGCGCCAUUUAUCGUCAUGGAAGUGGACACUUCCGUGAUGAUAAUUUUGGUAAUGUCAUGGAACACUUCUACAACAGCACAGGUAUGACUAUCUUGAUUCUGUCAUAAAAUCGUCAUGGAUGUACAUGCAUGACAGAAAACGUGACUACUGUGACAAACACGUAUCAUCAUGGAAGUGUUUUUUUGUAGUGCCUUCUCUCUUUUCUCUCUUUUUUUGUUUUUUUGUUUGGGCUUCUUUGGCCUCUUUUAUUUUUUGUAAAGUCCGGAGACUCAUCCCAACUUGUGAGGGAAUCAUAGCUUCCAUCAUCCUUUCCUCACAUGGGACAAUGCUCUAAUAAUGAUGAUCAUCACACUUUUAUUUACUUACAACUCAAGAAUUACAACUCGAUACUAGAACAAAAUAUGACUAUAUGAAUGCCUCUGGCGGUGUACCGGGAUGUGCAAUGAUCAAGAGUGACAUGUAUGAAAAAUAUGAAUGGUGGCCUUGAAUACUAUGCCAACUACAUGAUCAUGCAAAGCAAUAUCACAAUGAUGAUGCGUGUCAUAAUAAACGGAACGGUGGAAGUUGCAUGGCAAUAUAUCUCGGAAUGGCUAUGGAAAUGCCAUAAUAGGUAGGUAUGGUUGCUGUUUUGAGGAAGGUAUAUGGUGGGUUUAAUGCACCAGCGAGAAUUGCAUGGUACUAGAGAGGCUAGCAAAGGUGGAAGGGUGAGAAUGCGUAUAAUCCAUGGACUCAACAUUAGUCAUAAAGAACUCACAUGCUUAUUGCAAAAAAUUAGUAGUUAUCGAAACAAAGUACUAAACGCAUGCUCCUAGGGGGGUAGAUUGGUAGGAAAAGACCAUCGCUCGUCCCCGACCGCCGCUCAUAAGGAAGACAAUAAAUAAAUAAAUCAUGCUCCGACUUCAUCACAUAACGGUUCACCAUACGUGCAUGCUACGGGAAUCACAAACUUUAACACAAGUAUUUCUACCAAUCCACAAUUAUUCACUAGCAUGACUUUAAUAUAACCAUAUUUAUAUCUCAAAACAAAUGCAAGGAAUCAAACGUCUCAUAGUAUUCAAUGCUCUUUAUAUGAAAGUUUUUAUUAUAUCCCUCUUGGAUGCCCAUCAUAUUAGGACUAAAUUCAUAAACUAAACAAAUUACCAUGCUGUUUAGAGGCUCUCAAAAUAAUAUAAGUGAAGCAUUAUAGUUCAACAAUUUCUAUAAAAUAAAGCCACCGUUGUGCUCUAAAAAUAUAUAAGUGAACUACUAGAGCAAAUUGCCUAGCUCAAAAGAUAUAAGUGAAGCACAUAGAGUAUUCUAAUAAAUUCACGAUUAAUGUGUGUCCCUCUCAAAAGGUGUGUACAGAAAGGAUGAUUGUGGCAAACUAAAAAGCAAAUACUCAUAUCAUACAAGACGCUCCAAGCAAAACACAUAUCAUGUGGUGAAUAAAAAUAUAGCCUCAAGUAAAUUUACCGAUGGAUUGAAGACGAAAGAGGGCAUGCAAUUCGGGGCAUCCCCAAGCUUUGAUGCUUGGUUGUCAUUGAAUAUUACCUUGGGGUGCCUUGGGCAUUGCCAAGCUUAGGCUCUUCCCACUCAUUAUUCCAUGGUCCAUCAAAUCUUUACCCAAAACUUGAAAACUUCACAACACAAAACUUAACAGAAAACUCAUGAGAUCCGUUAGUAUAAGAAAAUAAAUCACCACUUUUUGGUACUGUUUUGAACUCAUUCUUUAUUUGUAUCGGUGUAAUAUCUACUGUAUUCCAACUUUCCAUGGUUCAUACCCCCCAAUACUACCCAUAGAUUCAUUAAAAUAAGCAAACAACACAUAGAAAACAGAAUCUGUCAAAAACAGGACAGUCUGUAGCAAUCUGUAAACUUUGUAUACUUAUUUAACUCCAAAAAUAGGACAACAUAGGCUAUUCAUAUAUCAAUCUUGUGUAAAAAAUUCAGGAUUUUAUCACGCUUCAGUGAUUUUUAACAAUUCUGGCAAUGAGCGCAAAUUUUUUUGUUUUUCAGCAAGAUCAAAUCAACGAUAUAUCAAAGUAUCCCAAAGGCUUUACUUGGCUCACACACUAAUUAAAAACACCAAAACACAAUUACUACAGUGGUAAUAAUGUGUAUUCACAUAAAAACAGAAAAGAAAACUAUUGGGUUGUCUCCCAAUCCCAACAAGCACUUUUCUUUAAAGCCUUUUAGCUAGGCGUUGAUAAUUUUAAUGAUGCUCACAUGAAAGAUAACAAUAAAAACAUGAAGAGAGCAUCAUGUAGCAUGUGAAAAACAAGUUUUAGUCUAAAAUAUUUCCUAUGCAAAGGCAUUUUAUAGGGCAAAGAUUUAUCAAGACAAGCAAAAACUAGCAUAUGCAAGGAAGAAGAAAGAACAAUACUAAUCUCAACAUAAUGAGAGGUAAUAUAGUAACAUGAAAAUUUCUACAACCAUAUUUCCCUCUCUCAUAAUAAUUACAUGUGGGAUCAUAUUCAAAUUCAACAAUAUGUCUAUCACAUAACAUAUUUUCUACAUGGUCCACAUGCAUGCAAAGUUGACACUCUUCCAAUAUAGUGGGAUUAUCAUCAAAUAAAGUCAUGACCUCUCCAAGCCCACUUUUAUCAAAAAAAUCAUGAGCUUGAUCAUUCUCUAAAGUAGUGGGAUCAUUAUUACCUAGAGUUGAAACUCUUGCAAACCCACUUUCAAUAUUAUCACAAACAUAUUCGUCAUGAGGCUUAAAUAAAUUUUCAAGAUCAUAAGAAGCAUUAUCACCCCAAUCAUGAUCAUUACAACAAGUAGUGGACAAAUUAGCAUCCCCAAGCUUGGGGUUUUGCAUAUUAUUAGAACAAUUGACAUUAAUAGAAUUUAUAAUAACACCAUUGCAAUCAUGCUUUUCAUUCAAGGAGCUAUCGUGAAUCACUUCAUAAAUUUCUUCUUUUAGCACUUCAUCACAAUUUUCAGAUUCACGAAUUUCAAGCAAAACUCCAUAAAGAUAAUAUAGUGCACUCAACUCACUAGCAGUUGGUUCAUCAUAGUUGGAUCUUUUAAAAAGAUUAGCAAAUGGAUGAGGAUCCAUAAACUCUUUGCUUACUGAUUUUGAAUAAAUACACAAUUAUGCCAAGCAAACAAGCAAACAAACCAAGUAAGACAUAAGGGCAAACGAAAAGACGAACGAAAGAAGGGAGAAUAAGAAGGCAAAAAAAUUUGUAUUUUUUUGAAAAUGUUUUAGAAGUGUGGAAGAGGAAAACAAGAGGCAAAUGGCAAAUAAUGUAGGGAAAAUUUUGUUUUUGCCACUCUAGAUUUUGCCAAUUUUUCUUAUGCCACUCUAGAUUUUGACAUUUCACUUUUGCAACUCUUAGAUUUUGAGAAUUAUCACAAUUGCCAUUCUAUGGCAAAAGCAAAAUAAUUUUAUUUUAUAUUUGCCACUCUCAAUUUUUGACAAUUAUCACAAUUGCCAUUCUAUGGCAAAAGCAAAAUAAUUUUAUUUUAUAUUUGCCACUCUUAGUUUUUGACAAUUAUCACAAUUGGCACUCUGAAAAUUUUGCUUUUGCCAUGGGAAUGGCAAUUAUGAUAAUUGUCAAAAACUAAGAGUGGCAAAAGUGAAAUGUCAAAAUCUAGAGUGGCAUAAGGAAAAUUAGCAAAAUCUAGAGUGGCAAAAACAAAAUUUUCCCAAUAAUGUAAUGCAAGAGAUGAGAGUUUAUGGUGGGUGAGGGAGUCCUGGACUAAGGGAUCCUCGGGCGUCCGGCCUGUUAUCCAUGGGCCAGACUGAUGGGCUGUGAAGAUACGAAGGCCGAAGACAAUACCCGUGUCCGGAUUGGACUCUACUUGGCAUGGAAGGCAAGCUAGGAGACCUAUUAUGAAGAUUCUCUCCUAUGUAACCAACCUCAUGUAACCCUAGAUCUCUCCGGUGUCUAUAUAAACCGGAGAGCAUAGUCCGGAUAGGACAAAUUCAUUACCAUAUAUUCAUAGGCUAGACUUCUAGGGUUUAGCCAUUACGAUCUCAUGGUAGAUCAACUCUUGUAACACUCAUAUUCAUCAAGAUCAAUCAAGCAGGAAGUAGGGUAUUACCUCCAUAGAGAGGGCCCGAACCUGGGUAAACAUUGUGUCCCCCGUCUCCUGUUACCAUCGAUCCUAGACGCACAGUUCGGGACCCCCUACCCGAGAUCCGCCGGUUUUGACACCGACAUUGGUGCUUUCAUUGAGAGUUCCACUGUGCCGUCACCAAGAGGGUUGAUGGCUCGCCUUGUUGUCAAGGAUAAUAUCAUCUCCGGAGGAGUCCUGACCCCAGGCCAGACCCUCCGGCUCGGCAGCUUCGUUAUGACCGCCGGCUCGGCCCUUAAGCCGACGAUGACCUCUCAAGUCAUCGAAAAUCGCCUCCGCAUUGAUCCCGAAUACUCCGCCUGCAUGGAUCCAAUGGAGUUAUCCUCGUUGAACGAACUCCUAGAUCGCAUGGCCGCCUUGGGGGUCGCUACAGACUACGAUCGGGUUGGGCUUAAACCCGACCAGAGAGAAAUUAAAACUCCACCGACCACUCAUCAGAUAGCGGUAGUCGAGGAGCGGAGCAACUCUUCCACUAUAUUGAAGACGAACUAUGUUCGGAUCACCGAUCUCGAAGAGCCGGAUAAUGUCCGGCAGAAAAGUAUGUCUCUUCUUCCGAACAUAGAGUCGGAUGACGAGCCUAAAAAAUCAGUAGAUAUCCCGGGGCCCGAACUGUCCGGCACAGUAGACAUCCAAAUUUCACCCACCCACCCGGACAUAGAUACUCUGAGGAGCAUCAAACAAUAGCCUCAGGAAACAGUCCACCACUUCUAGGCCAGAUUCCUCCUUGUUAAAAGUAAGGUAAAAGACUGCCACGACGAAGACGCGAUAGCAGCAUUCUCCAACAACUGCGCGGACGAAGGUAUCCUUAACGCCAUCAAUCGCCGCCGCAUACCAAAGUUCGCUGACCUAGCGACUAUCGUACAAAAGUACAGCGCGAUGGAAAGCGCCUGGAAAGCUCAGGCGGCUUGCUGGGAACCAUCCCGGCUCCCCCUACAGGCAAAAAGGACGCGCCCCCGUGGCACGCCCAGCCGAACAGUCAAAAAACAUAAACCUAUUACGUUGCAUGGCACCGUUCUGGAGGGAUGGCUCAGUGGCCCAUGCAAAAUACACACGAGGCCGGAUACCGUGGCAACCCACAGCCAUAGAGCAUGUUGGAUACUCCGGCAGGUAGCCAAGAGCGGCGAGGACAUCCUUAUCAAGGACACCCCAGAACAACACCCUCCAGCAAAUGACGAUAAUAGAGUAUUGGCAGUCUUCGAGACAUUCGCUUCAAACAACAAGCAUAAAAGGGCCCUGCGCGAUCUCACCGAAGUUUGCCAGGUCGCUGCAAUUGACCCCUGGAAUGACACGGCCAUAACCUUCAACGCCAAUGACGAACCUAAAUACAGAACAGUCCGAGCGCCAGCUACCCUAGUCCUCAGUCCCAUCGUGGACGGCUUUCGACUUACAAAAGUCCUCAUGGACGGCGGCAACGGAUUAAACCUCAUUUACGAGGACACGCUCCACAAGAUGGAAAUAGACAGGAGCCGCAUCGAGAAAAGCAGCACAACCUUUCGAGGUAUCAUUCCCAGCCGAGAAGCUCGGUGUGCAGGAAAAAUUACACUUGAUGUGGUAUUCGGCAUGCCGGAGAAUUAUCGGUCCGAAGAAAUAACCUUCCAGGUGGCCCCUUUCAACAGUGGGCACCACGCCCUAUUAGGGCGAGAGGCCUUCAUGCGCUUUCAAGCCAUACCUCAUUAUGGGUAUAUGAAGCUAAAAAUGCCCGGGCCUAAUGGAAUAAUCACCCUCGUUAGCAAUCCGGACAUAGCCCUCCACGCCGAGAAUAAAACCGCAUCCUUGGCCCUCGAGGCAUUGUCUGAGGCCCUUGCGGCCGAAGAACUAACCGCACUACGCUCCACCAUGGAUAAGGACGAUGUGAUCCUGGACAAACGACCCAAAUCCACUUCCUUCAAGCCAGUAGAAGAAAUAGUCAAAUUUCAGGUCCAUCCAACAGACCCGAAGAAGACAGCGUCCAUCGGAGCGCAACUCAGCCCCGCAGUCGACGCCGCACUACGAGACUUCCUGCGCGAAAACUAGGAUAUAUUCGCCUGGCAUCCUUCUGAUAUGCCAGGAAUCCCGCGCAAGUUGGCCGAACAUAGCCUCAACAUACUAAAGGGAUAUAAGCCGGUCAAGCAAACUCUGCGGCGCUUUUCUGAACCCAAACAACAAGCUAUGGGGGAGGAGCUAGCCAAACUCAUCGAGGCCGGAUUCAUCAAAGAUAUCAAACAUCCGGACUGGCUGGCAAACUUGGUAAUGGUACCAAAGAAGGAUAAAUCCUGGUGCCUAUGCGUCGAUUUCAAAGACCUUAACAAGGCUUGCCUUAAGGAUCCCUUCCCUCUUCCCCGCAUCGAUCAAAUCAUUGACGCUACCACAGGUCACGACUCGCUGUGCUUCCUUGAUGCAUAUUCCGGAUACCAUCAAAUCAAAAUGAAGGAGUUCGAUCAAGCCGCAACAGCAUUUAUCACGCCAUACGGGCCGUUCUGCUUCAACACCAUGCCUUCCGGGCUCAAGAACGCCGGCGCCACCUACCAGCGCAUGAUCCAAACAUGCCUCGAGAAACAGAUCGGCAAAACAGUGGAGGCCUACGUGGACGACAUCGUCAUCAAAACUAGACACGUCGAAACACUAAUAGACGACUUGCGUCUCACAUUCAACAACCUCCGCACAUACGACAUCAAGCUUAACCCGGAAAAGUGCGUCUUCGGCGUCCCCGCCGGUAAGCUGUUGGGCUUCAUCGUUUCCAAUAGAGGAAUUGAAGCAAAUCCAGCCAAAAUCCGAGCUCUGUCACAACUGGCUACGCCAACCGAACUCAAGCAGGUCCAAAAACUCGCUGGGUGCGUGGCAGCUUUAAGCCGCUUUAUCUCCAGGUUGGGAGAAAAGGCGCUGCCGUUCUAUCGCCUUCUACGGCGCACCGAUAACUUCGAGUGGACAGAUGCGGCGACGGCCGGACUGGAAGAAAUAAAAUCCCUUCUGGCAAGCAACCCAAUCCUGGCCGCGCCAAACGCCGGCGAACCAAUGCUCUUAUACAUAUCAGCAACACACCAGGUGGUGAGCGCCGUACUCGUCGUUGAACGAGAACAGGACGGACACAAAUUCCCGCUCCAGAAGCCGGUAUACUACGUAUCCACUGUCCUCACACCAUGCAAAUCCCAGUACCCUCAUUAUCGAAAAAAGCAUAUGCAGUCUUCAUGGCAUCCCGAAAAUUGCGACACUACUUUCAGGAGUGCUCUAUCACGGUGGCCUCCGAAGUGCCCCUCAAUGAUAUAAUUAACAACAGGGAUGCAACGGGCCGGAUUACCAAAUGGGCUAUUGAGCUCCUGCCAUUCGACAUCACGUACAAACCACGUAGAGCCAUCGAAUCCCAGGUACUGGCCGACUUCGUCACCGAAUGGACAGAAGCCGAACUCCCUAAAGAGUACGGCGCGUAUUCCAACUGGGUGAUGCAUUUUGACGGCUCCAAGAUGUUGGCAGGGCUAGGGACGGGCAUCGUAUUAACGUCCUCCACAGGAGAUAUUGUCCAGUACGUACUCCAAAUAUUAUACACAGACUCCAACAACGCAGCCGAAUACGAGGCCUUGCUACAUGGCCUUCGGAUGGCCGUAUCAAUGGGCAUACAACGCCUGGAGGUGCGCGGGGACUCAAACCUCGCAAUAUCCCAAAUUAAUGGAGACUUUGACGCCAAAGAUCCAAAGAUGGCAGCUUAUCGCAAUGCCGUUUUGAAGAUGUCGGCUUGGUUCGAGGGACUCGAAUUUCAUCACAUCGCCCGCGAAAGCAACCAGGUGGCAGACGUCCUUGCUCGCAUCGGCGCUAAGCGCGACCCCGUCCCACCUAACAUCUUCCUUGAAAGACUCUUUAAGCCAUCCGUGGUAUGGCAAGGGGGAGAUAGCAACGACAGUCCCGUUCCGAACACAAACACAGAUAACGAACACGCCGAUAGCGUCGGAGGCUCAACCACCGAAGUAACACCGUCGGCCCACCUCAUUAUGGCAGUAAUUGCCCCGUGGACCGAACCUUUCUUGGCCUACUUUCAUAGGAAGGAGCUCCCAGAAGAUCAGAACGAGGCUCGCCGCAUAGUCCGGCGUUCGAAGGCCUAUAAAGUCCACGAAGGAGAGCUCUACAAGAAAAGCACUACCGGAGUCCUUCAAAGGUGUAUCUCCGAGGAGGAGGGGCGGCAAAUCUUGGCAGAAAUUCACGCCGGUCUUGGUGGGCACCACGCCGCACCACGGGCACUUGUCAGCAAGGCCUUCCGUACAGGAUUUUACUGGCCUACGGCCCGGGCAGACGCACAGGACCUCGUCCACCGCUGUGUCGGAUGCCAACUCUUCGCCAACCAAAGCCAUAUGCCCCCAACCGCUCUACAAACAAUCCCCAUUACAUGGCCCUUUGCGGUCUGGGGCUUGGACAUGGUCGGACCCCUUAAAGGGGGAAGCCAUAAGAAAAAAUAUCUGCUGGUCAUGGUGGACAAAUUCACCAAGUGGAUAGAGGCUAGACCAGUUAAAAUGGCUGAGUCCGGACCGGUGAUCGCAUUUAUAUCCGACGUGGUACACCGUUAUGGUGUACCGCACAGCAUCAUCACCGAUAACGGUUCGAAUUUCAUAGCUGAUGAGGUGAAAAACUGGUGUGCUAAUCUGGGCAUUAAGCUCGAUUACGCCUGUCUACCACCCGCAAACAAACGGUCAAGUCGAGCGAGCUAAUGGUCUUAUUAUGAGCGGCAUCAAACCCAGACUAGUGUGGUCUUUGAAAGAAUCAGACAAACACUGGGUCGAGGAGCUCGACUCCAUACUCUGGGGGCUGCGGACCACGCCCAACCGCACUACCGAAUACACACCUUUCUUCAUGGUGUACGACGCAGAGGCUGUAUUGCCCUGCGAUAUUAUACAUGACUCACCUCGAGUGCGCAUGUAUGAAGAGAAAGAGGCCGAGUUGGAUCGGCAGGACAGCCUAGACGCCCUGGAGGAGGAGCGUGACGUCGCCAAAGCUCUUUCAGCAUUUUAUCAGCAGCAGGCUCGAAGAUAUCAAAGUAGAGAAGUACGGGCCAAGACUUACAACGUCGGCGAAUUCGUUUUACGCUUGCCGGAGAAGAAAAAGGACAAACUCAAGCCCAAAUGGGAGGGUCCCUUCAUAAUUGACGAAGUUCUUACCGGAGGAGCCUACCGUCUUCGCGACGCAUCAGACAAUCGCCUAGAGCCAAACCCCUGGAACGCGGCCAGACUCCGAAGGUUCUAUGCCUAGCGCCGAACCCUUUGUUAGUCUCCUUCUCCCUUGUAGUUUCCAUAACUCUUUCCCCCUUUUUACACAAUUUUUUCGCUUUAAAGCUCUCAUUCGGCUCGACCGAACAGUGCUGACGUACACUUUUUUACAUACGUACGCCCAUUAUACCUGGGGGCUUCUUUCACAGAAGUUUGUUAAUAUUACUUUCCGAAGCAUCAAGCUUAUCAUACAUACGCGUUUUUCCCGUACGUCUUUUUCUUCACCAUUAUAUGCAUCGAUAUGACUUAAGUUUUGGCCAAGCUAGGUUGCCUAGCUCCUAUGCUUACCCCUACGUUCCCGAUUGUUCGGCUAGGUGGUAAAGGGAGCACCUCUACGAUUGUUACUGUCGGGUCAUCCGGAUGUGUACCUCAGACUGGGUGAAGCCGAAAGCUAGCGUUCUUAAGGGAAUAUUCGGUCGGUGGAUGAAAAAUAUUUUUUCAAAUCACUCCAUUGUGAACCCCCAGACGCUAUACACACUGUGAUUUUCACAUCACAAUCCAGACAUGUCUACUAAUGCAUGCGCACCCAGGGAAAGGAACCUUUAACGGAACUAUUCUCCCCGGAAGAUGUUUCUUACAAUCUCAAUGUAAUAUAACAUACCUAGCCGGAUACAACUUGUCUGUUCAAGCAACUAUGACCCCUACGCUUAGUUUUCCACGCAUACCCUGGCCUAUUCGACCGUGACGGUAUUCGGAAACACUCCGCACCUUCGGAUCCGGAGGUUGAAGCGAAAAGGUCUGCCAUGACAAAUGAUAUACAAUUCGGCUAGAAAUUCCACAUAGAGAGGAAAGUACAUAGUCACUUGGACUCACAGACUUCUGCCUCUAUACCAUCUAACAGGCAAUCUAAUUUACAAUCCUGCUGGGAAUAUCUGGCGGUCACCUCUACUUGGUCAUAUACUAAACUAACGGGAAUUUCUUCCCCAUUCGACCCUACCAGUCCGACACGCGCCAUGUGAUUAGGGUCAAGCUUGGUAUACCGAGUUUUCACCAUGGCCCAAGCCUCUCGCGCACCCUCUCGGCAGGCAGAUAUCUUCCAUAGCCGGAUACGUCGCCGCGCUCCUUUAAACAGCUCUACAAGCUCCUCCAUACUUCCUGGAGGGGAGGCGGAUGGCCAUAGAGCCUUGGCAACACUCCGCAUCGCCAGCCGCGCCUGUUCGUGCACCUGCGACAGCUUUUGCAGCAGAUCACUCGAUGAUCCGGACACCUCCUCUUCAGGACGGCCCGUUAAUAUACCUGCAGUCAUAGCUACAUCAGUUUCUCCCAUCUCUGAACUACUUUCAAAAUAGCUCAGAUACAUACUGAAUAUACCGCCUCGCAGCUUCUUGUUUUCCUUCACGGAAUCGGCUAGCUGGGCCCGCACAUCUUUCAGCUUUUCGCCUAGCUGGGUCUUGCAAUCCUGGAGCUGUUUUUUCUCAAUAAUGGCCUGCUUCAGCACACGAUCGCUUGUAGCUUGUAGCCUUUUGGCUUCUUGCUCAUUCGCUUGCGCAAUCUCCAACGCCUCUUUGAGUCCCCCUGACCAUUAUGUCAUGGUAUAAGCAAGACUGUCAAUAUUCUGGGCAUAUAAGUAUAUUUUCUCGUUGGAGGGGAAUAUUACCAGGUGACGCCUUCUUGAACUCUUUUAGUUCGGCGGUAGCAGCAUUUAGAUGCGUCCGACAUUGUUCCAGCUCUUGGGAUAGCAGGUUGUUCUUCUCUGUAAGAACCUGGUCAUACAACGGUCCAUAAAUCAGUUGUACCAACUGCUUUCAGUCCUGGGGGCUACUGGCAUAGGCUAUCCUUUUUGACAAAGUAACCUUACCUGCACAUCUGUUAGAUAUUGCCUCGUGGCUUUCCUAAGCCCGUCUCGAGCAGCUCGGAUGUAUGCGUCGCCCGAGCUAAAGGCAUUAAAUGCCUUGUCCGAGAACGUCGAGUCUCGUAAAGCAGCCCUGCAGCACCGAUGAUUCAUGGCGCUCUCUACUUCCGAGUUGGUAACGGACAUAUUGUCCGAACCCUCGGCCGAAGGGCAGUCCGGCUUUGUUUCUACAUCGGCCACCGUCUCCCCGACCGGAUCUAAAUCUUGGUGGUUGGGAACGCGGCCGGCCGGACCCCCGGACACAGUUCGGCGAACCUUUUUCCUGUAAUCGAACAGGCGCAUAAGUCACGAGGUCCCGGCGGUGCUUUCAUCGGCCCUCCUCUUCGAAGGCCUGCCCGGUGCAGGAACCGAUUUUCUCGGUAUCGUCAAACGCCUCCCCUGUAAAACGCGCGACAAUGCGGUGGGUGAAGCAGAGUAAGAACACCCUUUCAGAAAAGGUGUUUCUUGAUUACUUACCCGUGAAGCAGGAAGAAGACCAGGAUAAUCGGCGAUGAUGGCUACUUUCGUGCCAUCAUAGCUCGUCUGGUAAAACAACCCCUCCGCGAGCACCACAAAUAUAUCCGGAUCCUCUUCGAACCCGGGAUCAAGCUCCCGGUUGUGGUCCUCCGGCUGUGGGGCGGGGCUAUGGAAUCCCUCGGUGACCUUUCGCCAGUGCUGUCGUAAGCAAACAAACUAGAAAUUUAUCAAAGGCAAUUCGGAGAUGGAGGGAGUAAAAACAGAGGGAUCGGACCUUACCCAACUGGGAGGGUUAUACAUAGAGUACCCGUCUCUGAGCUUGAUGCGAAGAAAUUCCUUUUCCUCCCCUUUGAACAGUUCGGCUAAUAUCUUAGCCAAAGCGGCAGGGGUAUCCGGACCUUUCCGGCCACAGCGAGAGGCGUCAUCCUCCCCAUUGUAGUCCCACAUGGGAAGCCCUCUGUAUUGGAGCGGCUGAACCCCUCGCGCUAUGGAGAUCACCAUCACCUUGAUUACUGUGGGCCCGGACUGAGCGAGUUCUUUUAUCUUGCUCAUUAGCUGACGAACCUCCGCGUCGUCUCCUUCUUCAAGACUCCGGGGACGCCAACUGUGGCGUUUCUUCAGCGGGACGACCGCAAAUUCGGGAAGGCCCUUUCGAACCGGAUCAGGAAGCGGAACGUCCUCGAUAUAGAACCAUUAGGAGGGCCAGCCAUCGGGUGCCUUCCUUGAUGUGCCGGAUGGAUAUCCGGUAUCGGCGACGCGCCAUACUUCGGCUCUGCCCACUUCAAAAAUAGACCCUUCGUGAUUGCGCGGGACGAGGCAGAACAACUUCCUCCACAACUCGAAAUGAGCCUCGACGCCCAGGAAUAAUUCACACAAAGCGAUGUAACCCACAAUGUGGAGAAUGGAGGCUGGAGUGAAAUUGUGCAGUUGGAGGCCGUACUACUCCAGAAGCCCUCGGAGGAACGGAUGGAUUGGAAAUCCAACACCUCUUAGCAGGUAGGGGACGAAACACACUCGCUCUCCCCCAGACGGAUUGGGGAAGUCCUCUGCCUGAGCCCCCUCAUUGAAGGAAGCUAGCCCCGUCCGAACAGGGACUAGAUCUGCAGGGGGAAGGAAUCCCUGCAUUUGCAACUUCGUCAACUGGCUAUGGGGCACAGAACACCUCUCUCACUCGCCUUUCUCUGGGCUGAGAUGAGCGGAGGAGCUAGGAACGCUGGCCAUGCUGGAAUGGUCUCUCCUAAGCGGUCUCUAGAGAUUUCUUCUGCGUGGCGCUGAAUGGAUCUAGAUCUAAUCCCUUUAAAUAGGCGCCCUUCCUUACGUAGAGGGGGUGUUAUUCGCAGAAAUGCCCUGACUUUCCACAUUCGCUUGACACGUGGAGGAUGAAGAUUAUUUAAAAUGCAUGGAAGCCGAGGAGGCGACAUUGGAUCAAUGGCCGAAUACAUUACUUGGAGAUCAUCGAAGGAGGAACCCGCCUUGCAAUGCCGAAGACCAUGAGCGUGCCGAGCACCUCGCUAUUGAAGACUGGUUCGGGGGCUACUGAGGGAGUCCUGGACUAAGGGGUCCUCGGGCGUCCGGCCUGUUAUCCAUGGGCCGGACUGAUGGGCUGUGAAGAUACGAAGGCCGAAGACAAUACCCGUGUCCGGAUUGGACUCUACUUGGCGUGGAAGGCAAGCUAGGCGACCUAUUAUGAAGAUUCUCUCCUAUGUAACCGACCUCAUGUAACCCUAGAUCUCUCCGGUGUCUAUAUAAACCGGAGAGCAUAGUCCGGAUAGGACAGAUUCAUUACCAUAUACUCAUAGGCUAGACUUCUAGGGUUUAGCCAUUACGAUCUCGUGGUAGAUCAACUCUUGUAACACUCAUAUUCAUCAAGAUCAAUCAAGCAGGAAGUAGGGUAUUACCUCCAUAGGGAGGGCCUGAACCUGGGUAAACAUUGUGUCCCCCGUCUCCUGUUACCAUCGAUCCUAGAUGCACAGUUCGGGACCCCGUACCCGAGAUCCGCCGGUUUUGACACCGACAGUGGGUACUUGGUAGGCUUGAUGUAGAACCUCCCCAGCAACGGCGCCAGAAAUUCUUCCUGCUACUUCUUGAGCUUGCGUUGGUUUUUCCCUUGAAGAGGAAAGGGUGAUGCAGCAAAGUAGAGACAAGUAUUUCCCUCAGUUUGAGAAUCAAGGUAUCAAUCCAGUAGGAGGUACACGCAAGUCUCCAAUCUAUGCACCUGCACAAACAAUCAAACACUUGCACCCAACGCGAUAAAGGGGUUGUCAAUCCCUUCACAGUCACUUGCAAAGGUGAGAUCUGAUAGAGAUAGAUAUAAAAGAUUACUAAAACGUAAACCAAAAUAAAAGUAAAUAAAUUGCAGCAAGGUAUUUUUGGGUUUUUUGGUUUAUAGAUCUGAAAAUAUAUGAUGGAAAAUAGACCCGGGGGCCAGAGGUUUCACUAGAGGCUUCUCUCUUGAAACAAAAUAAUACGGUGGGUGAAAAAAUUACUGUCGGGCAACUGAUAGAAAAGCGCAAAGUUAUGACGAUAUCCAAGGCAAUGAUUAUGAAUAUAGGCAUCACGUCUGUGUCAAGUAGACCGAAACGAUUAUGCAUCUACUACUAUUACUCCACACAUCGACCGCUAUCCAGCAUGGAUCUAGAGUAUUAAGUUCAUAAGAACGGAGUAACGCCUUAAGUAAGAUGACAUGAUGUAAGAUGACAUGAUGUAGAGGGAUAAACUCAAGCAAUAUGAUGAAAACCCCAUCUUUUUACCCUUGAUGGCAAUAAUACAAAUACGUGUCUCGCUACCACUACUUUGUCACUAGGUGAGGAGAACGCAAGAUUGAACCCAAAACUAAGCACCUCUCCCAUUGCAAGAAGAACCAAUCUAGUUGGCCAAACCAAACCGAUAAUUCAAAGAGAAAUACAAAGAUAUCAAAUCAUGCAUAUAAGAAUUCAGAGAAGAUUCAAAUCAUAUUCAUAGAUAAACUGAUCAUAAAUCCACAAUUCAACGGAUCUCGACAAACACAUCGCAAAAGAAUAUUACAUCAGAUAGAUCUCCAAGAACAUCGAGGAGAACAUUGUAUUAAGGAUCAAAGAGAGAGAAGAAGCCAUCUAUCUACUAGUUAUGGACCCGUAGGUCUGUGGUAAUGACUCACCCUUCAUCGGAAGGGCGAUAGAGUUGAUGUAGAAGCCCUCCGUGAUCGAAUCCCCCUCCGACAGGGUGCCGGAAAAGGCCCCAAGAUGGGAUCUCAUGGGUACAGAAGGUUAUGGCAGCAGAAAAGUAUUUUGGUGGACGCUUCUGGUUGUUUGGGAAUAUUUGGGAAUUUAUAGAGCAAAAAUUAGGGUUGGGGUGUCCCAUGGGGCCCACAAGCCAGGGGCGCACCCUGAGGGCUUGUGGAGCCCUCGGGACUCUUCUGGCCCCCUCUCCAAGUUUGCUGGGUGUCUUCUGGUCCAAGAAAAAUCAUCGCGAAAGUUCAUUCCAUUUGGACUCCGUUUGAUAUUUCUUUUUUGUAAAACUCAAAAACAAGGAAAAAAACAGAAACUGGCACUAGGCUCUGGGUUAAUAAGUUAGUCCCAAAAUUAAUAUAAAAUAGCAUAUUAAUGCAUAUAAAACAUCCAAUACAAAUAAUAUAAUAGCAUGGAACAAUAAAAAUUUAUAGAUACAUUGGAGACGUAUCACUUCUCCACUACCAAAUGCUCCUUGAGCUCCUGGCUAUAUUGCGUGCACCAUGGCCUAGGGCGGUGAUUAUUUGGAGGAUGGGUCGGUGAUUUGGGUGCAAGGUGUCGUGCUGACGGUCGAGGCAUGUGGGAUGGAGAAGGAGGAGGAGGAUGGGGCUUGAGUGUGGAUUACCUGACUAGAUCGACGAGGCCGAGCAGUAGGAAGGAGCGUCACCGGUAAGGAGGCACCGCUGCAAGCAAGCGGUGAAGGUUUUAACUUGGAAAGGAAGGCGGAAACAGGGGAAAUGUGGCUUUUGGUGAGGAGGAGGGGGUACGUAUUUCCGUGAAUGCUGAAAUUUUUCGUUCGGUGUAGCGAAAAAUUGGUGCGCAAAGUGUCAUCAGACACGGCCCUUUAUUCAACACUGUGUACGAUAUCUGAACAUCACAAACGAUUAAUAUGGCUUACCCUGUGUGUGAUGAGUUUGAAUGAGCAAAUUUUGGUUCGAAUUUCCCUUGUUACAGUGGUCAUCCACGUCAUUGCAUAAUUUGGGUACACAAAAGAGCCUACAACACACCCACACUUCUUAAUCGAGCAAGUUUAGCAAUUAAACAGAGCUAGCUGACCUAAAAAUUACUCUAACAAAAUACCGGCACUCUAAACAAAGACUACUACUCCGCCUGGCGCUCAUCGAUCACCGUCGCCUCCUCCGUGUCUAGCUCGUUCUCGACGAUCUCCUCGGGAAGGGGCAAAAUGGCAUCCAUCCUAACAUACUCAAGCAUCUCGCCAUCUGAUGACCCACAAGUAUAGGGGAUCAAUCGUAGUCCUUUCUAUAAGUAAGAGUGUUGAACCCAACGAGGAGCACAAGGAAAUGACAAGUGGUUUUCAGCAAGCUGAUCUCUGCAAGUACUGAAAGUAGUGGUAACAAAUAGUUUUGUAGCAAGGUUAUUUAUAACAAGUAACAAUAGUAACCAAGGGGCAGCAAGGUGGCCCAAUCCUCUUUAUAGCAAAGGACAAGCCAAAAAGUUCUCUUAUAGUAAGCAAAGCAUUCUCGAGGACACAUGGGAAUUCUCGUCUAGUCACGUUCAUCAUGUUUAGUUGAUUCACGUUUGUUACUUUGAUAAUUUGAUAUGUGGGUGAACCGGUGCUAGUGUUGUUCAUACUUGAACAAGCAAACCUCUUAUCAUUACCCCCCCUCGCAAGCAUCCGCAACUAUGAAAGAAGAAUUAAGAUAAAUCUAACCAUAACAUGAAACAUAUGGAUCCAAAUCAACCCCUUACGGAAUAACGCAUAAAUUAGGAUUUAAGCUUAUGUCACUCUCGCAACCCAUAUCUACUUAUUACUCUCCAAUGCCCUCCCUUAGGCCCAAGUAUGGUGAAGUGUCAUGUAGUCUACGUUCACAUGACACCACUAAAGGAAGAAUGAUAUGUCUCCGUCGUAUCUACUUUUCCAAACACUUUUGCCCUUGUUUUGGACUCUAACUUGCAUGAUUUGAAUGGAACUAACCCGGACUGACGCUGUUUUCAGCAGACUUUCCAUGGUGUUAUUUAUGUGCAGAAACAAAAGUUCUCGGAAUGACCUGAAACUCCAUGGAACAUCUAUUUGGAAAAUAAGAAAAAUACCGGAAGAAAAAUCCACGUCAGGGGGCCCACACCCUGCCCACGAGGGUGGGGGGCGCGCCUGCCCCCUAGGGCGCGCCCCCCUACCUCGUGGGCCCCCUGACGCUCCACCGACCUCAACUCCAAUCAGAGAGAAGGAUUCAUCGCAUUUUACGAUACGGAGCCGCCGCCAAGCCCUAAAACCUCUCGGGAGGGCUGAUCUGGAGUCCGUUCGGGGCUCCGGAGAGGGGGAUUCGUCGCCGUCCUCAUCAUCAACCAUCCCCCAUCACCAAUUUCAUGAUGCUCACUGCCGUGCGUGAGUAAUUCCAUCGUAGGCUUGCUGGACGGUGAUGGGUUGGAUGAGAUCUAUCAUGUAAUCGAGUUAGUUUUGUUAGGGUUUGAUCCCUAGUAUCCACUAUGUUCUGAGAUUGAUGUUGCUAUGACUUUGCUAUGCUUAAUGCUUGUCACUAGGGCCCGAGUGCCAUGAUUUCAGAUCUGAACCUAUUGUGUUUUCAUGAAUAUAUGUGUGUUCUUGAUCCUAUCUUGCAUAGUCACCUACUAUGUGUUAUGAUCCGGCAACCCCAAAGUGACAAUAAUCGGGACCACUCCCGGUGAUGACCAUAGUUUGAGGAGUUCAUGUAUUCACUAUGUGCUAAUGCUUUGUUCCGGUACUCUAUUAAAAGGAGGCCUUAAUAUCCCUUAGUUUCUGCUAGGACCCCGCUGCCACGGGAGGGUAGGACAAAAGAUGUCAUGCAAGUUCUUUUCCAUAAGCAUGUAUGACUAUAUUCGGAAUACAUGCCUACCUUACAUUGAUGAAUUGGAGCUAGUUCUGUGUCACCCUAUGUUAUGAUUGUUACAUGAUGAAUCGCAUCCGGCAUAAUUCUCCAUCACCGAUCCAAUGCCUACGAGCUUUUCAUAUAUUGUUCUUCGCUUAUUUACUUUUCCGUUGCUGUUGUUACAAUCACUACAAAACACCAAAAAUAUUACUUUUGCUACCGUUACCACUACUAUCAUAUUACUUUGCUACUAAAUACUUUGCUGCAGAUACUAAGUUAUCCAGGUGUGGUUGAAUUGACAACUCAACUGCUAAUACUUGAGAAUAUUCUUUGGCUCCCCUUGUGUCGGAUCAAUAAAUUUGGGUUGAAUACUCUACCCUCGAAAACUGUUGCGAUCCCCUAUACUUGUGGGUUAUCAAAGAACAAUAUACAUAUCAUUAGAAUAUCGAACGAAGAGCAACUUCACAUGAUUACUUAUAACAAGACUUCUUCCAUGUCCUCAAGAACAAAAGUAACUACUCACAAACCAUAUUCAUGUUCAAGAUCAGAGGUGUAUUGAAUAUGCUUAAGGAUUUGAACAUUUAAUCUUCAACCAAAUAAACCAACUAGCAUCAACUUCAAGAUGUAAUCAACACUACUAGCAACCCACAGAUACCAAUCUGAGGUUUUGGGAAAAAGAUUGAAUACAAGAGAUGAACUAGGGUUUGAGACGAGAUGGUGUUGGUGAAGAUGUUGAUGAAGAUUGGCCCUCCCAUGAUGAGAGGAUCAUUGGUGAUGUCGAUGGAUUUGAUUUCCCACUCCCGGAGGGAAGUAUCCCCGACGGAAUCGCUCCACUAGAGAGCAAAAGUGCUCCUGCCCAGGUUCCGCCUCGAGACGACAACUCUUCGUCCCAAAAGUCUUCUUUUGAUUUUUCUCCAGGGAAAAUAGCAUCAUAUAGGAGAAGAUAGACCCCAGAGGCCUGUUGGUCGGGUUACGAGCUUACUAGACGUGCCCCGGGAGGGCGCCCUUGAGCUCGUGAUAUCUGGUGGGCCCCCUCCUGGCAUUUCUUCCUGUCAGGACCCCGAUCCUAAGUAACACUGAUCUACCAUAUAACACAUCAUAUCACUUUGCGGCAUCAUGCACGGUAACUGUCGGGGAUAUACCCCCGCGGUAUAACCCGGCCGGAUGUAUGACCCGGCCGGAGCUUGGCGACUCACUGGUGACCCGCCCGGAGCUUGGCGACUCACGGGUAACCCGCCCGAGCUUUGUGACUCAUUGGUAACCCGGCGGGCGGGUCAGAUGGGCGACAAGACCCAACGGCCCAUAAGGCGGCUCAUGGGAAGGCUGACUCAUGUUAUUGUGGGCCUGCUUAAGAGGAAAUGAUAAGGAGUAUUCCCUUACAAAGGAAGCAAGACUAGGAUUCUACUUGUAAUAGAGUAGUCCUAGUCCUACUAGGACUCCACAUGUAACCCGCCCCUCCAACUUAUAUAAGGCCAACUCCACCGCGCGACCCCAAACGGACGUCCGCUUUGCCCGGAUUCAAUCCGUUUGGAUAGGGCAAUGGGGUCGUGUCCGGGCCUGUCCUGGGAUGCGGUGGCCGUGCGCCCGGCGCGCGGCCGCAUCCUUUGGCCCCAUCCUGUCCGCCACUGCCAAAAAUGCCCAUAUAUUCAUAUCAAAACAAGUUUGCACGUCCAAAUAUUAAUUGUCUCGAAAUAAAAAUAGUUUUACAAUCUAUGCUGCUAAACAUACCUAGAAAGCCUCUAGCUGCGUUGGUCGCCAACAAUCUCUCUGUAUCAGCAGCAGUUGGCUGCCUCAAGUACUCAGGGCCAAACACUACCACCACCACCUGGCAGAACUUGUGCAGUGACAUCAGACAUGUGGUCUCACUCAUACGCACAUACUCAUCCACCAGAUCGCCUGGAAUUCCAUAUGCAAGCAUGCGGAUGGCCGCGGUGCAUUUCUGGUAAGAGGAGAAUCCAAGCUUGCCAAGGGCAUCCGUCUUGCACUUGAAGUAUGGGUCAUGAGCAACCACUCCCUCUCGGAUACGAUUGAACCCUUGCCAUACGAAAACGACGACGGAAUUUAUCUGGCUUGAAGAGCGGGGUGUUCGCAAAGUAAUCGGCAUAGAGCAGGGCGUGGCCUCUCUCCCUGUUGCAGUUCAGGUUGGGAGCACGGCCAGGGAGUGACCACCUGUACCGAGGAAGUUGUCGUUCAAUGUGGUCGUCAACGACCAGUGCAGCCACCACAAGAUCUUCAUCAUCCGACGACCAAUCGUCCGAUGAAUAAAUGAAGUGGUGGAAGAAAAAUUCAUCUCCACUGUCCAUACCUUUGUGGGCAAAGUGUCGAACACCUUGCGGUUGUGGUGGCAAAGAGGUCGUGAUGAUCACCUCGAUGCAGCAGGGAUGGUUGGCGGCCGGCUACUGGCCGCUCUGGAGCACUCGUCGGAAGCUGUCGUGGCCGCCGUGGUACGUCGCCGGCGGCUGUAUCCCCUCUGCCACUGGUUACGACGCCGACGGCCAAAUCUCCUCCAAUCGACGGCCAAAACUACGGCGAAAGCGCGAGCGUGGUGGCAGCCAUGUCGAGACGUGGUUUGGUAUGGACAGGCGGGGGGUGCGCAGUGAGGAGGCGGCCGGAGAAUAGUGGCGGCACCGGCGGCGGGGUGGGGCGGGGAGAGGAGGUGGAGGCGUUGGAAGCGAAGGGAGUGCUAGUGUCCCCGACAGGCGGGCCAUGGGGGGGACAAGGGCGUGCGGCGAGCCUGUCCGCGCGAUGUCCGUUUCACCCCAAACUCGGCGCAAGUUUGGGUCGGGGAUGGGUCGAAAACGGACGGAAUCCGGACAUUUGUCUGUUUGGGACCACGCGUUGGGCCGCGCUAUUCGUCCGUUCUACCCCAAACGGACGCACCCGGACAGGAUGGGGUCGCGCGGUGGAGUUGGCCUAAGGAGGGACAGGGCACCCCAAGAGGGACAAGUUUUCACGAGUUGGACAAGUUAGGGUUAUACAGACAAAUCUAUAGCUCUCGAGAUAGAGCACCCUUGUAAUCGUGAUCAUCAUCAUCAAUAUCAAUGAAGCAGGAUGUAGGCUUUUACCUCCACCGUGAGGGGCCGAACCUGAGUAAAAAACCUCGCGUCUCUCGUCCCACUCAACCCCUCUCAAGCUACUACGUAGAUGCAUUGGCCUCACGACUAAGUCCUCACACUAGGACAUCUGCCGUGACAAAUCCACGACAGUUGGCGCCCACCGUGGGGCCCGCGCACGGUGGUGUUGUUCUUGGAGGGAGCUCUUCAUGGAUCGAGAAGCUCGCGAUUGUUCAGAUGAAGAAAAGAUGGUUUGGCGAUCAGAAUCAUGAUUAGCUUUGAAGUUUACAACACAAGGUUUGAAAUCAAGAGGUUAGGGUUCCGUCGUCCGCGCUGCUGGAUGUGACGAAGCGAUCUGUCGAAACCGUUUCUAUGCCAAGUCCGAGGUCAAGAAGGAGUUGAUCCGCUGCACAUAUGCGUACAAAUUGUUCCAAGGUUACGGCUGGAUCCGCCAAGUUAUGAGAAGUCCAGAUAUGACGAAGCGAUCAACGAUAAUCCUCGCCGGAGGUCUCAGGAGGAAAAUGCAAGGUGCGCUGGUCAGCGAUCACCGCACUGGAGCGCAAUGGCGGGCUGGGCAUCCACGACCUUGACAAAUUCGCACGGGCGCCGCGCUUGCACUGGCUCUGGUUCUCGUGGACGCGGCCGGACCGUCCCUGGGUCGGCUCGGGCACUCCUUGCGAGGCCUCUGACCAUGCCCUAUUCGCGGCCUGCACAGCGGUCACCAUCGGUAAUGGCGCCACAGCCUCCUUCUGGCUCUCCCCCUGGCUAGGAGGUAGGCCACUUUGCCAGGCCUUUCCGGUUGUUUUCGCACGCUCCAUCAGGAAGAACCAAUUGGUUCGUGAGGCGCUGCAUGAAGACAGGUGGGUUCUGGACCUGCGCCACGGCGAUCACGCGAGCAUCAUGCACAUGGUGCUACAUCUUGCCAGGGAGAUCCGCGCAGCCAACAUCACAAUGGAAGACGGAGUGGAGGACACGAUCAGAUAGACCAUCAGCAGCUCUGGACAGUACUCGGCGCACUCAGCUUACGUCAUCCAGUUCCCAACUGAAACAGAGGCAAUCAACUUCAGAGGAUCGAUCUGGAAAAUCUGGGCGCCAGGCAAGAUCAAGAUCUUUCUCUAGCUUCUACACUUGGACAUGCUCUAGUGCUGCGACAGGUUGCAACGUCGCGGCUGGCCCAACAGCUAUUUCUACCAGUUAUGCUUCAGAAAUCUCGAGACCUCCUCACAUCUCUUCUGGGAGUGCCCAAUUGCCAUCCGGGUCUGGGACAAAGUGGCCUCAUGGUGUGGCUGCAAUGCCCUUGCUCACUCCUGCUGGAGCUCGGGAACGACCACUGGCGAUCGCGUCCAAAGGAUGAUCGACCACACCUCCCCAAGUAACCCCCGAGGGACCAAAUCACUGCUGGCCCUUGUUUGCUGGCAGAUUUGGAUUGAGCGCAACGCAUGCACAUUCAGAGGAAAGACUGCAUGCGUGAGAAGUAUCACUGAACCUUGUAGGCGAGACAUGGAGCAAUGGAGGAUUGCUGGAGCAAAAUGCAUGGAGCACCCGUUCGGGGACGUACCGUGAGAGAUCGCGUUUGUGAACACAAAUGCCUGCGCGCAGGCCUAUAAUCUCUUUUUCACCCCAUGAUCACUUGAUCAACAUCUGUUUCCGCCUUCUCUCUGCUUAAUGAAUGAAUGCCAGCCGAAUUCAGGAAUAGAAUGGGAAAGUACCAAGCCAGGGAUUUCACCCUUGACCUUGAUUACCUUGAGAUGGAAGCUGUGGAUCUCCAGGAACUAGACGCCAUAUUUACGGAGGAGGAGAUUUGGAAUGUAAUUAAAGACCUUCCGGCUGAUCGCGCGCCGGGGCCGGACGGAUUUAUUGGCAUGUUCUACCAGAAGGCAUGGCCUAUUAUCAAGCAUGAUAUUAUGGCUGCUAUCAUGAAGCUCUAUGUCGGAGACUGCCGCGGGUUUGGCAAGUUAAACAAGGCGCUGAUCACUCUCAUUCCUAAGCGCGCGGAUGCUGAUUCUGUGGGAGAUUUUCGCCCGAUUAGCCUGACGCAUAGCUUUGCGAAACUCUUUGCCAAGGCGCUGGCUCUCAGGGUGAGGAGACGAAUGAAGGAAAUUGUCCAGGCAAAUCAGUCAGCUUUCAUCGCCGGAAGAUGCUUACAUGACAAUUAUCUCCUGGUCAGACAGAUCGCGAGGAAACUUCACGCAAGAAAAACGCCCGGAGUGUUCCUAAAGCUCGACAUUACGCGGGCGUUUGAUUCCUUAUCCUGGUCGUUUUUGUUCCAAGUGUUGAGAAAGAAAGGCUUUGGGGAGGCGUGGAUCAGGUGGGUGGCUAUUCUGCUUCAGACAGCUAGCACUAAGGUGGUGGUGAACGGAUGUCCGGGACAGAGCUUUGUUCACGCUUGCGGCCUUCGCAAGGGGACCCAGUUUCACCACUACUGUUUGUCAUCACGAUGGAAGCCCUAACGGUGAUGUUCAGGAAAGGCGCUGAGGAAGGUGUGGUCAGCAACCUCACUGGGAUCUCCCCGACUCAAAGGUUAUCAAUCUACGCGGAUGACGUUGCGUUGUUCAUCAAGCCAACGGAGAUGGACUUGAUUUUUGUCAAGCAAGCGCUAGCAAGCUUUGGGCAUGCAUCAGGUUUGGAGGUGAACUAUAGGAAAUCUAAGGCGAUUCUGAUUCGGGGCUCGGAGGAUGACCAGCGCAGAGUUGCCGCGCAUCUGCCAUGUGACUUGGGGCAGUUCCCUUGCAAGUAUUUGGGCAUUCCCUUGGCGAUCCAUCAACUGUCCAGAGCGGAUUGGCAGCCUCUCGUCGAUCAAGUGAGUUUCUUACCAUCCUGGCAACAAGGUCUUAUUCAACGGCCAGGGCGUCUUGUUCUCAUCAAAUCAGUGGUGGCGGCGAGACCCAUCCAUCAACUAAUGGUGCUUAAUGCACCUGAUUGGGUGUUUGAUGAGAUUAACGCCUGGAUGCGGUCGUUUUUUUGGGCUGGGAAGGACAAGGUUAACGGCGGGCAAUGCCUUGUGGCGUGGAACAUCAUAUGUCGCCCAACAAGGUUUGGAGGCCUCGGUGUUAAGAAUCUGAAGCUGCAAGCUAUGGCACUCCGGGUGAGAUGGGAAUGGUUGAGGCGAACGGACUUGGAUAGACCAUGGCAAGGCAUACCGUUCUUGGUCGAUGAAGAAGCGAGGCAGCUCUACAACCAACUCGUGCAAAUCACGGUGGGUGCUGGCAACAGAGUGCUCUUUUGGAAGGAUCGAUGGAUGAACGGCUUGGCGGUUGCAGACAUUGCGCCGGCCAUCUUGCCUUUGGUCCCCACCAGAGUGCAAAACAAGCGAACAGUCGGUCAGGCCAUGGUGGAUAGCACGUGGGAGAUGGAUAUCAAUGGAGAGCCACCUUUCAUGACACUUAUACAGCUCAUGCAUCUCAGAGUGGCUACUAUGGAUGCUUAUCAUGACCCUCAAGCGUCGGAUACAUUUACAUGGCCUUGGGACGCUUCGGGGCAGUACACAGCUCGGUCCGUGUAUCGAGCUCUGCAUCUUGGGCUUGCGACCUCUCCAACGUAUGAGUGUAUUUGGAGGAGUGGGGCGAUCCUCAAAUGCAAAAUCUUUGCAUGGCUAGCGGUGCAAUAUAGACUUUGGACCUCGGAUCGGCGAGCUAGGCACGGCCUGCAGGAUAGUACGGCUGCUUGCUACACAUGCUUACAAGAAGAAGACACGGUCGAUCACAUACUUCUCCAUUGCCCCUACGCUCGGGAGGUGUGGCAUCUAUGCUUCACACAAAUCAGUGUCACCGUGAGGCAACCGCAACCUGGUGAUUCACUUGAGGCAUGGUGGCUUCAAGUGAGGAGUGCAAUUGUCACAAGGGAUAGAAGAGGUUUUCACACUAUUGUCAUAUUCGUCGCUUGGUCAUUAUGGAAACAAAGAAAUGCCAGAGUAUUUGGGCGGCUGGAGCAACAGAGGAGGCCGAGCCAAUUGGUGCAUCAAAUCUUUGACGAGCUUAGAGAAUGGGACGAGGCCGGAGUCGGAAGAAUACACCGUUUUGUGAGAAGUUAGAUCUUUUUGUCCUUUAGGUGUUGAGUGGGUUCUGCUAGCAUGAUGUUCGCAUCUAUGCCUAGCCUCUUGUAAUUAUGUUUGCUCUCUUCUAUAAUAAUUUGGUACGUCAUUGGCGUACUCUCAAAAAAAAAUGCCAGCCGAUCUGGAUCUUUAAAAAAAAGGUCAGCGAUAAUCCAAACCCGGCCAAUCGCCGAAUCUCCGCAGUCAACCUGGGAUUGGUUUUGUCUUAGAAAAAAAAAGGAAAGAAGGGCCACGACCCGGAGGUUGAGGCGAAGGUGGACUUGGAAAAACGCACGACCCGGAAACGGACUGGGCCGCGGGCUCCGCCGAUCGCCUCCUGCCCUUGCGCCGAGUCGCCUGAACUGCCGUUGCCGCCUUGCGGGUGUUCUUCUGCCACGGCCGCGGCCUUGCAUCGCCGGGCGCCCGUCCGAGUCGCCUAUUGCUCUGUCUUUGCUGCCACGGCGUGCUCCACUUCUGGCAAGACACCGCAUCUUCCGUCAAAGUCGUCGACGCCUCACCGCGCUCUCUUACGUGGCCUUUCAAGCUGCCGUGGCCCCUGUCGAGCCGCCGGCCUUCACCGCCAGGGACGCGCCUAUGAGCCGCCACCUCCUUCACCGUUACCUGCCGCGUCGCUCUUCUGUCGUGGCUCACUUUGCUCCGGCCAGCGCCGGCUUGCUGCUGUCGUUGGCCACCUGCGCCGACCGCCUGCUGGCUCCGUUACGCCCGCCACCCAUCUCACUCCGUUGCAACUACAGCAACGCCGAGCCGGGCCGUCUCACUGUCAUGUGGCCAAGCCGCCGUUGCCGGAUCCUCCGUAUUCGGGCAUCACUUUUGUUCCAACCUGCGCGGGGGUUGCCCGCCCGCCUGUUCAAUCUCUCCGCGGACGCGCCCGAGGCGGAGUGCGAUGAAUUCACUGCUGCCAUGGCACUUGGGGCCUGUAGCCCUUUCUGCUUUGAGCCUACAGCUCCCGCACAUGCCGGGUUAACACUGCACUGAGCCUUCGUUUCAAGCUGCCGUGGUGGCCGCUCCGUGAUUCUGCUACGCUCAAGUUGGCCCAGCCAACCGGCCUCGCCGUCCGCCUCUCAGCCGCUGCCGAGCCCUGCUACGAGCCGCCGUGUCGCGUUGUGCCGCCACGAAUCGCGAGCCGCCUCGGCUUUGACCCCGCGGCACUCGCUCCUCUGCUGAAGCUUCAGCUCACGUUGAGCUGCCGAGGCUUGGCCGCUGGGUCGCCACGCCCGCUCCCCCUGCAAGACCGGUGCUGGCUCCUUGCACUGCCACAUUCCGCUGCGAUCGGCUCUCCGAGUCUCCAACCCGCCCUCACCAUGAGCCGCCUCCGCUACGGUGGGUCAACGUCGAGCCGCUGCCGAAGCCUCGCCGACCUCUGUCAUAGCCAGCUGGUCCGCCUCCACCGUGGCCUUGCUUCGAGCUGUUUUUGUCUCAAGUCGUCGUCACUGCCGCCGCCGGCGGUUGCGACCAUGGCUAUGGCCUUGCCUCAAGUCGUCGUCUUCUACUGCUGAGCCGCCUCUGCCCGCAAGCUUCUGCUCUUCCGCGCCCUGCGUUGCAUCGUACCUGGCCAGCCUUACCUCCUCUGCCGUGGCACGGCCUCGAGCCGCCUGCUAGCCUCUAGCGCCACGGCGCAGCAGACACCGCCCCUGCAAGCGUGCCCGGUCGUCGUUUAUGGCAGAUGCACGGAUGGAAGGGUGUGUUAGUAUGGAUCCGGCUUGCCUACUCCCUCCCCAUACUCCCAUCCAUGCUCCCACUUCAUCAUACGGCUGUCUUUUUCCCUUUUUCUUUCUAAUCUAAUCAUUCCCUUGAUUUAAAGGGGGUGGGCCGGGCCUUAUUUUCUUCCAAUCAAAUCAAGCCACGUACGCAGGAGCAUGGAUGGGCGCACACGCGGGGAGCAGGCAAGUCUCAUCCAGUAUGGAUCCGGCUUGCCUGCUCCCUCCCCAUACAAUGCAAGACAGCCCUUUGGCUAGUACUGAGAAAAAUCCAUCUUUGGAGGAGGGCAAAAGCUCCGUCAGAAUUACAUCAGGGUUUUUUGAAGACAAAUUACAAGGCCUAGCUCCUGGUGGUGAAACCUGCGUUGCUGAUGUGGGAUGCUAGGCACUGCCAUGUCCACUUUCUCACAAGAAGACGGAGGCAAAAGCAACUAGUACUGUACAAUACAGCCCACGAUCAUACGGUGAGGGAGUUCUACUAGUAGUAGUAGUAGCCCAUCAAGAUUAAAAUACUGGCACAUGCACAGUGCCGUUGGACCCAAUUAAAUUCUAGCCUGGGCACAAGGAUCAUCUGUCCGAUAAAUCAGGUGAUAUCCAUCUAAGUCUAUUUUAUUAGCACAUACUGUUUUUUCAAAAACAAUUACUCUGGUCCGCAAUAUAUUUUGUGCAGGACAAUGAUUCAUUAUAAAGGUGGUGCCAUGCUGUGCCUAUGGAGUAUGCGCUAGCAUCAUCAUGCACCGACGUCCGCAUCCGCUUGUUGUUGAACAGGUGUGCGCAAGCCGCCGACUGUGCAGCUCGAUUUACAUCAACGCGGCGUGACUGACUCGCCCGUCCACGCGGCUUAUCACGCCUGCGAUUGACUCACCUGUCCGCACCGGUUUAAAACGUUGUGGCUGAUUCACCCGAGAUUGAUCUCAGCUUCACUGAAGUGAUUAUUAAACUCCACAGUGGAUAAUUUUUUCGGCCUAACAUAUCAGGUGAAAUCCAUCCAGUAUAUUUUUAUAUUACUCUGGUUUGCAAAUUCUUUAAUGCAGGACAAAUUGUCUACUGCAAAAGUGGUCGUCAUGUCACUGAGUUUGUUGAAUGACUCAUACUGGGAGUAUAUAACAAGCAUUGCGAGGAUCAUCAACUCGUUUCAAGCUUGUGGUUUACAUAAAUUCCAGCGUUCCGCUGCUCAACUGACCGGUUUACAUCACGGUCAAGUAUGAAGAAUCUCAAGCCAACUCCUCGAGUCGUCUUAAGACUUGGGGGCUAUAAUGACAUGACUCAGUCAAUUCACGACCCCGGGUCAUUGGAGGGAAAAUAACCCGGUCCCGGAGGCUGCUGCCAUAUUGAUGAAAAUUUAAAGGUCGUCAGAAAAUUUCCGGCUUAAAAUGAAGGAUACCGGUUUAAAAUCCGGCUCAAGGGAAAUUUGUCUCUCACAAAGCUUUGAAGCUCUCAAUAUACGGUUUAAAAUUCUGGUUAAAAAGAGUCCAUCUCUCGCAAGUUCGAGUUCUCAGGAAAAAUUAAAGGUUGACAAAGAGAACUUGCUGCCAUGAUGCACGGUUCAAACAUAGGUAUCCUGCCUUAUGGGCUUAUCUUAUUAUGAUCACUUGGGGGCUUCCUGCUCACUGAGCAUAGCUGUGAUUACCCUCUUGAUCCGGUUUGCACGCCUUGUUAAAAAUUACUUGGGAGCUUCCUGCUCAUUGAGCAUAGCUAUGACUACCCUACUGAUCCGGCUUGUACGCCUUGAUUGCAAAUAACUUGGGGGUUUCUGCCCAAGUUGAAUUGUUACCAAAGCGGACUUGCUAUAAUGUUCAGUUCAAACAUAGGUAACUUGCCUUGAUGGCUUGUUAAAGGUCACUUGGGGGCUUCCUGUUCAAUGAACAUAGUUAUAUUCACCCUUUUGACCGGCUUGGACGCCAGGUGUAUACACCAAAAUUUCAGUUGAUCGUGCCUUGUACGUCUGCCACUCCACCCAGGUAAUCCUGGAAUGACCCGCCGAACUCUUGACAGACAAUCUUAUUAAAACCCUGAACUUGUCAAAGUUAAAACGGCGGUUGGUCAUGUGAGGCCCGGCUUACAGGUUUGAAUGAAGGAUUACUUAGUGGCCGUGCAGCCCAUGAAAAGCACUUGAUAUUGAGGCUUGGCCACCUAUGAAAGCCUUGAUUUUUGUUAUUGGUUUUUGAACUUUGUUUGGGUUCAUAUCUUUAUAUACCAUAUUGAUAUAUGGUUUAAAAAUUGAUUCAGGCCAUAUAGCCUUGAUUCUUAUAACUCAUAUUUGAGUAUAUCCAGAGUGUUGAUAACCGGGCCUGGCUAUGGACUUUAAGUCGCCAGUAUACUUUGGAUUGCGCAAUUGGGAUUAUGCGCUUAUGAAUACUUGGGUUGUCACCCUCACUGGAUGUGGCGAUGUAAGCCGGCAAUUUGAGCCAAUUUUCCAGGUAUAUUUUUAAAUUGUUGGAUGAAUAUGCAAGGUUUGAUAACCCGCCCUGGCUUUGGAUGCUAAGUCGCCAGUAUAUUUUGGAUUGCGCCAUUGGAAUCAUGCGCUUAUAAAUCAUUAGAUUAUUACCCUCGCUGGGUAUGGUAAUAUAAGCCAGCAGUAUAGAUCAAUCCUACAGGUAUGUUUUCCUGGUUAUAUGAAUAUGCGAGGUUUGAUAACCCGCCCUGGCUUUUGACUUUAAAUCGCUGGUACAUUUUUGGCUUAGAUGGCCUUAAUUUUAGUCUUUUCCAUAAUUGCAUAAGACUAUAUUAUGUUUAGGUUGUUGCCCACCCUGGUUUUUGACGUUAAGUCGCCAGGGCAUAUGUUGUUUAAACUUUGUGUAGGAUAUGCGAAGCUUUACACAUAAAUAAGAAUACUGCUAUUGCUCAUAUGAAUCAUUGCGUUUAAACCCAUCAUCUGGCCAUCUGAGGAUAUUGCCGGGUUAGUCUGCUCCGGGCUAUAUUGCUAAAUAUUGAGUUUACUGAGGCUACAAGACGCCAAAGUGAUCUUUUCAAAAACUGGACAUGACUAUGAGCCGCCAUGGAUGGGUUAUCAGUUAUUGAUUUUUACAAAGGCUAUAAGCCGCCGGGUUACAAAAAUCCUGGAUUACAAUGGAUGCGUAUUAAGUCGCCAUCGCCAAGAGCCACCGGGUAUUUAAACUCCGGAUUUACUUGUCAACAGAUAAGGUAUUCAAAUCUUUAAUAGCCAAACUUGGCUGGAUUUUCAUUGUAAUAUUGAAUGAUUGAGGUUUUCAUACCGGAUUAUAUUAUUCAAAUAUUGAAUAACCAACAUGGCUGGAUUUUUAUUAUGGUUAUCAAUAACCAGUAUUAUGAUUGACGUUUUCAAAGUCUCUUCAGUGCAAUGGUUAUUAUUUCUUUAUCAAUAGAUAUGAUUUAUUCUACAAUGGAAGGAAUAGUCCCGAGUCACUGCAGGCACACGACCCGGCACUUGGGGGCUACAUUAUUCAAAUCAUGAUUAUAUCAAAUAUGGAAGUCCCACGUCGCUGCAAGCAUGCACCAUGACACUUGGGGGCUAAUGCAAGGUCAUUUUUAACUUCCCUUAUUGAAGACCCGACCCGUCACAUUGUGAUGAGCCGGCCCUUGGGGGCUACUAAUUGCUCCUGUCAAAGGUAACCCGAACUUGGGAACUACAUCAUUUGGUGUUAUUAGUUACUGCUCAAAUCUACAUGAUCAUAUCUACAAAGUCCCUGCUCAUUAUUGCAUAAUGACCCGGCCCUUGGGGGCUACACUGGUUGAAGUUUUUAUGAGCAUAAGGCAAUUACAAGUCCGAGGUUGCUGCAAGCAUGACAACCUAGCACUUGGGGGCUGCAUAUGUGGAAUAUUCAGUUUAUGACUAGUGACUGAGAUGAACAACCCGGAUUUCUUCAAGGUUGUGACAUUUAUAUUGAAGCAAGUCUUAAGUUGUUACUACGCUCCCUUCUAAAGACUUGGAGGCUACAAGUGAUAUGCAUAUAAGGGAGGUACAUUUUCAAGCUUGACGUUAGCAACAAUUAUGACCCGGUGCCAUCAAUAUUUACAAACCGGCAAUUUUGGCAAUGAUAAACCGGCAAGUUCUACAUCUUCAAGCCGGCUGAAAAUCAGAUGAGUAUUUCAAGACCAAUAUUUUUGUUAAGCAUUCGGAGCUGAAUCAAAUGAAUUAUUCUUCACAAUAUUUUUCUGUGAGAAACCAACAUCAGCAAAUUGAUUAUGAAGCUGGUCUAUUGACCCGGACUUUCCAGAAGAAGGAAAUGACAAGGACUUAAGGAUGAUCAGGUGCCGGUUCAGAAAAAACUUUUAACCCGGAGCACAACCUGUCAAAUAUGUUCUUGUGUUUGUGUUUGCGGGAUGAGUUUAACAUGGAUAAAUCCAAAUUAAACUGGGGGCUAAUGUCGGGGAUAUACCCCGCGGUAUAACCCGGCUGGAUGUAUGACCCGGCCGGAGCUUGGUGACUCACUGGUGACCCGCCCGGAGCUUGGCGACUCACGGGUAACCCGCCCGAGCUUUGUGACUCAUUGGUAACCCGGCGGGCGGGUCAGACGGACGACAAGACCCAAUGGCCCAUAAGGCGGCUCAUGGGAAGGCCAACUCAUGUUAUUGUGGGCCGGCUUAAGAGGAGAGGAUAGGGAGUAUCCCCUUACAAAGGAAGCAAUACUAGGAUUCUACUUGUAAUAGAGUAGUCCUAGUCCUACUAGGACUCCACAUGUAACCCAUCCCUCCAACUUAUAUAAGGAGGGACAUGGCACCCCAAGAGGGACAAGUUUUCACGAGUUGGACAAGUUAGGGUUAGACAGACAAGUAUAUAGCUCCCGAGAUAGAGCACCCUUGUAAUCGUGAUCAUCAUCAUCAAUAUCAAUGAAGCAGGAUGUAGGCUUUUACCUCCACCGUGAGGGGCCAAACCUGGGUAAAAAUCCUCGCGUCUCUCAUCCCACUCAACCCCUCUCAAGCUACUACAUAGAAAACGUUGGCCUCAUGACUAAGUCCUCACACUAGGACAUCUGCCGUGACAAAUCCACGAUAGUAACCCAUGGCUGCCACCUUUACCUUGGUCGGGACCGUUUGUGUCUUUUGGCUCACGUAUAUGAUUAUGUUGCUAACAUCCACAUGAUAGAGAACCCGGGUCGACAUGACUUGUCAUAAACCAAGGAGGCACAAACUUACAGGGACAACCAUAGGUAACCCAACAAUGCACAUGUUAGUCAGCAACGAGUGUAACCAAGUCGUAGCAAAACCACAAGGACUUUAGUAAACACCGUGUGACAUUUCCCCAUAGGGACAUACCCAGGAGCAAAGAAGGAUACAUGCCAGUCAAUCCAUGUGUUCCGGAGCAGUAGCGAACUACUAAGGCUCAGUGGAAGCACUGGGAGGUAUUUCCCUAUAGGGAAGGCUACCAAACGCAAAUAACUAGGUGUCGAAUCCCACACAUACCAAUGCAUUUCAAAACAUACACACAAUAUGCACGAUAUGUGUAGAUACAACAUGGCAUCACAACAUAACUCUACGACUCAAAGUAUUUAUUUAAUAGGCUCCGAGGAGCCAUACAUAGCAUGAUAUUACAAACAUGGGUCUCAUGACCGGACAUACAAAAGCAUACAAGCAACAGAAGCAUAAAGAUGUCUGAGUACAGACAACUACAAAAGAAAAAGGUUGAGAAGCCUGACUAUAUACAAGACCCUCCAUAGGAACCAGACCUCUAUCUGGGAUUCUCAAGCUACUCAAUCAACGUCGAACUCCAUAUGGAACUACCAGUAGACUGAAGUCUCCUCUACAAAACAUAAAUUAAGUGACCAUGAGUACAAAGGUACUCAAUAAGACUUACAUCGAUACAUACACUAGGCAGCAAAGGUCGCCACCAGUGCAUACAAACGCGCCAACAAAAGAAUAUACAAAACCAAGAGCACUUCAACACAGUUCAAGAAACGUUAGCCCUGCCCCGGAGGUGCACCACAAGCAACAGAACAAGCUGAUGAGACCUCAGUUGUCUAAACCACAUAUCCUCCAGCUCUAGCCGUGUAUCAAGAAAGCACGCAUGACUGUCCUCUGUGAUCUUCGUUAGAGAAUGGACUACAAGUCGGACCUCAGUUGAAGCAAGUCUUUCCGCUUUAAGUUGAGACAGGCGACAACUUCACCGAGGUUGUAUCACGGCUGCCGGUGAGUAGCUUGAACUCACUGUCUUCAUCAAGACAUGACCUUGGGGUCAUCUUGCUCUCUUCGAGAUGGUUUGGCUCACUAUCUUCACUAAAGUUCUGCCUGGCAUCAGAGAUAUGACUCUGAAAGAGAAAGAAGGAGAUAGAUAACAGGUUCCUCAAAUAUAUAAGCAACGAUGGCCAGUGUGCUGACAAUUCCAGCCCAUUUUUAUAUUGGCAAAUUCAAAGAUAUAAUUUAAAAUAGCAUUAACAUAAUAUGGCAUUGUCCGUAUCAUCAGCAAAAUCAGUUAAGACAAAGCAGGAAAUGAGAUGAUGCGGGCGUGGAAAGCUACACCACACCACCGUGUUAGAGAUAUAGAACACAUGCAUACAUGCAGGGCUAAAGAAAAUCAAUGGAUCUGUACUGAUUAAUGUGGAUGGUAUGAAUAAGGAACAUGUUUUUACAGCUACAGUUUGAAACUGGCAGUUGUUGCAAACAUCCAAUCUGAUGCAAACACCAAAGUAAACAGUAGUGGAGGAAAUGAUGUCUAUUUUUCAAAUCUAUACUAGAACAAAGUUUGAAGUCUUGAGAAUGAUGGACUUACAUUAAAUGUUAACACAGGCUCGACAAAGCCCUUCUCCAUGUCGAUGGAAGGAUAAUUCAAGUAAUUCCCCAAAGAAACUCCUUCACAAGUGUUGCUUUUAUUCUACAUUUUGUAAAGAGUAAAUAUAGAUCUAAUAAUAUUGGAAGAAAUAAAGGAUAAUGAAGCUCAUAUGCAGAGUGAUGAUACGCAAUCAAAUAGCUAUCAAUUAAAUACAACGUUACAAGGCAAAAGGUGCAAGAGGAAUGCAGACCUCAACUUGUGCAGUGGCACUGAUUUUAUUCAACAUUUUAGGAAGAGUAAAUGUAGAUCUGAUAAUUUGGAGAAAAUGGAGGAUAGGGCAGAUAAGAUGAACUAUCUCUCAAUGUAGUACAGUAAUAUUACCUUCGUCCGGAAUUACUUGUCGCUCAAAUGGAUGUAUCUAACACUAUUUUAGUUCUAAGUACAUCCAAUUGAGCAACAAUUAAUUCGAUAUGGACGGAGUGCAUGACAACAUGUACUUACAAGAGCAAUCCAGAACUUCAUAACCGUUGGGUUUAUUCUACAUUUAUGUAAGAUUAAAAUAUAGAUCUUAUAAUUUCGAGCAAACGGUGAAUAAGGAAGCGAACAUUUACAUUGAUACUACAUGAUCAAACAAAAAUGAGUGUAAGUGUAACGCCCCAAGACCGACGCUCCAGAUGCCUUCCUUGUUUUGCGAGUCAGUUGUGUUUUUUAUUUGUUUAUUGCAUCUCAUCAUGGCAUCAUGUGCAUUGCAUCAGCAUGUUUUCUUAAAACUUGCAUCCGCUCAUAGUUGCCGUGUCCCCCCUUGCUUUCAUUGACCGUUCUGAGACCAACCUUGUUAUUCGUUUGCCCUCCUGCCUAAACCGGAGUCUCUCUGUGCAGUGCACAAACCCCCUUGUGUGCGCGUCCGAAGCUGUCCCGAACCCAAACCGCUCAGUCAUGACCAUUGGGUCCGGAUCAUCCCCAAACAUCUAUAAAACAUCUCCGUUCUCUUAAUUGGACUUCCUAACCUAUAUUUUCUCAGCCAUCCGAUUACGAUCGGAGGGAUCCGAUAGCCCCUUACCUAACCCACUUACUAUAACCAGAUAAACUCUAGACCCUAGGCAGACAAACUCCCUCCAAUCCCGAGUGCGCCGCCGCCACUCUCUCCCUUGGGAUCCUCCCAGAUCCCCUCCUCACCAACCCACGCACAGCCAGCCACCUCAACAGAUCCACCAACCAUCCACCCAUCUGGAGCCGUCAGAUCGACAUCCAAUGGCUCCCGUGCUCCAGUUCGUCUGAUCCAGAAGCCCCGAUCCAGCCUCCCAGAACAGCCGCUCUCGAUCCAGCCUCGUGGAGCGCUCCUGAGGUCCGAGCUCCUCCAACCUCGCAACCCCGCUGCCCCGGCGAACCUCGCCGCCGGCAACCACCACCAACAGAUAAGCCCUGCGCCGCCCCUUCCUUUCCUGCUUCUCUCUUCUCCCUCUCACAUCUCUGUCUCGUUUUCUUUUUUCGUCAGAGAACCAUCAGCCGUAGCCGUCCCUGUCGCCCGAGCUCCUCCUUGCACAGCGCGCGCCCGCACGACCCCGUCGCUGGCGACCCGUCUCAGGCCAGAUCCACGUCACCUGCCUUGGGAACUGCUUCCAGCCGCGCCAUCGCCCGUCUUCUUCGUCCAUGGCGAGUACUGUUGCUGUCCUGCUCGCCCGCGCCAAGUCCAUCUUCAAAUCAAGCUGCCGCCCUCCGCCUCACCAAGUCUCGCGCCAAGCCUCCACGUCGCCGGAGCCCUGUGCAGUUGCGCCACUGCCUGCCUGCACCUCCUCUGCUCCGAGGCGCUCGCCAAGUCCCUCGCCUCGCGCCAAGUUUCUGUCGCCGGCGCUGCUUCUACAUCGUCCGCAUGCAUUGACCGCGUCGGCGCCAUGUCAGCCUGUGGGCCCCACCUCCUACCGUGUUCGCAGCCUGCCUCCUCUCCAGCGUCGCACCCAAGUCCCACGUCGCCGGCAGCCGUUCCCGCCGUCCGUCGUCCUCUUCUCGGGAUCGAGCUCUUCUUCCUCUGCAACGAGCAAAGCGCAGCUGCUCGCCCCGUUGACCGCGCCUCGCUCAAGCGCGCGCCUGGGCUGCCUCCCCUCCAGCGCCCCAAGGCCCAGCCUGCUCCAGCUCCUCACCGGUCCAACUCCAGAUCCGGCCUCUGGCCCGAUGUGAGCAGCUCCCCCCCCCCCGCGCGCCCUGGGCCAGAUCUCAGAUCCGGCCCGUAGAUGUUUUUUUACCUGGACGCAUUGCUAUUUAUCCAGGAGUUUGCUAUUUUACAAAAAAGUCCCUAGUCUUCAUGCAUAUAAUAACUCAUUAACCGUGCAUCGGAUUAAAAUACUUCAUAUAUGAAAAAUGCUUAGAAUUUCAUCUAGUUUCAUAUUAUGCAACUUUUGUCCAUGUUUAAAAUGUUUAAAUUACUGUUUGCAUUAAUUUGCUUAAAUGCCAUGUUAAAAUGAUUUAUUUCAUAACUAAAUAACAGUAGCUCCUUUUUAAAUAAACUUUAUAUGUAAAUGGGGUAGGAAAAUGCAUAGAUUAACAUGUUACACUUUAUUUUCCUGUUUAACAACAAUAAAAUAUGGUGUUAGGCAGAACAGUACCAAUUCCAAAAUAUGCAUAUGAGGAUUUUCCGGAAUUGUUAUUUGUUGUUCCGGCCUCAUUUAAACUUGCCUACAUAGUUAGUUUACUUAUGCUUCACCUCUUGUCAUGUUAAUCAACAUUUAAUAUUGUUGAGUACAUAAACGGGAGAGAACUAAAUAAGUCAUGUGGUGUUUCGUCAAUAUGCAACUCGUUACAUAUAAGCUCCACUUAACUUGUAGUGUUGUUUGUUGCACUUUGCCAUGCCAUGCCUCUUUAAACCGGACAUGCACCAUACUUGAUUGUGCAUCAUGCCAUGUUUAUGUGAUGGUUGUUUACCAUGUUGUUUGCUUCUUCGGGUUAGUUCCAAUACCGUCGCGUUUGUGAGGAUUCGUUCGACUUCGUCCGUUUGUCUUCUUCAUGGACUCGUUCUUCUCCCUUGCGGGAUCUCAGGCAAGAUGACCAUACCCUUGAAAUCACUUCUAUCUUUGCUUACUAGUUGUUCGCUCUAUUUCUAUGCCGCGCUACCUACCACUUGCUAUAUCAUGCCUCCCAUAUUGCCAUGUCAAGCCUCUAACCCACCUUUCCUAGCAAACCGUUGUUUGGCUAUGUUACCGCUUUUGCUCAGCCCCUCUUAUAGCGUUGCUAGUUGCAGGUGAAGAUGAAGUUUGUUCCAUGUUGGAACAUGGAUAUGUUGGGAUAUCACAAUAUCUCUUAUUUUAAUUAAUGCAUCUAUAUACUUGGUAAAGGGUGGAAGGCUCGGCCUUAUGCCUGGUGUUUUGUUCCACUCUUGCCGCCCUAGUUUCCGUCAUACCGGUGUUAUGUUCCUUGAUUUUGCGUUCCUUACGCGGUUGGGUGUUAUGGGAACCCCUUGACAGUUCGCUUUGAAUAAAACUCCUCCAGCAAGGCCCAACCUUGGUUUUACAUUUGCCUAACAGCCUAUUACCCUUCCCUUGGGUCGGCCAACCCAAGGGUCAUCUUUAUUUUAACCCCCCAGGCCAAUGCUUCUCUAAGUGUUGGUCCGAAACGAGCAGACUGUGGGGCCACCUCGGGGAAACUUGAGGGCUGGUUUUACUCGUAGGAUGUCUCAUCCGGUGUUGCCCUGAGAACGAGAUAUGUGCAGCUCCUAUCGGGAUUGUCGGCACAUCGGGCGGCUUUGCUGGUCUUGUUUUACCAUUGUCGAAAAGUCUUGUAACCGGGAUUCCGAGACUGAUCGGGUCUUCCCGGGAGAAGGAAUAUCCUUCGUUGACCGUGAGAGCUUGUGAUGGGCUAAGUUGGGACACCCCUGCAGGGUAUAAACUUUCGAGAGCCGUGCCCGCGGUUAUGUGGCAGAUGGGAAUUUGUUAAUGUCCGGUUGUAGAGAACUUGACACUUGACUUAAUUAAAAUACAUCAACCGCGUGUGUAGCCGUAAUGGUCUCUUUUCGGCGGAGUCCGGGAAGUGAACACAGUUCGGGUUAUGUAUGAACGUAAGUAGCUUCAGGAUCACUUCUUGAUCACUUCUAGCUUCUCGACCGUUGCGUUUCUUCUCUUCUCGCUCUUAUUUGCGUAUGUUAGCCACCAUAUUUGCUUAGUGUUUGCUGCAGCUCCACCUCAUUACCCCUUUCCUGCCCAUAAGCUUAAAUAGUCUUGAUCUCGCGGGUGUGAGAUUGCUGAGUCCUCGUGACUCACAGAUUCUACCAAAACAGUUGCAGGUGCCGUUGAUACCAGUGCAGGUGACGCAACCGAACUCAAGUGGGGAGUUUGACGAGGACCUUGGUCGUUACUAUGUUUCGUUUCCUAAUGAUCAAUAGUGGAGCCCAGUUGGGACGAUCGGGGAUCUAGCAUUUGGGGUUAUCUUCUUUUCAUUUGGAUUUGACCGUAGUCGGUCUAUGUGUGUAUUUUGAAUGAUGUAUGAUUUACUUAAGUAUUGUGUGAAGUGGCGAUUGUAAGCCAACCCUCUUUAUCCCAUUCUUGUUCAUUACAUGGGAUUGUGUGAAGAUGACCCUUCUUGCGACAAAAACCUACAAUGCGGUUAUGCCUCUAAGUCGUGCCUCGACACGUGAGAGAUAUAGCCGCACCGUGGGUGUUACAGUAAGUCUGGUGAUAAAUAACAAGAGGUACUGACAAGAGCAAUGCAGUGCCCAGUAUUGUUGUGAGAUCCUAUGAUCCCUUGAGAAUGGAUAUUCAUCUGCAAGUAGUUUUCAUACAAGAGAGAUGGUAAGGCACAUGCAAAAAUGUAGGAGUUCAAAUUUUGAUUUGAUAUCAUAGACAGUACCUGAUGCUAGGCUCUCUGCAGUUCUAAUAGGGCUUUGGCCAGUGGAGUAGGGGUAAAGUGUGCUACAGUUGGGGCCAUGUUUUCUGGGGCUGGUGAUCUAUCUGAUUUAUCAGGUAUCACUGCCUUUUCCAAAUACUUUGUUUGUACUCCUUCAGGAUCUGCACUCACCCUGUUCCUUUUGGACAUCUAUUACGAAAGAACAACACUUGACUGGAAAAACAUGGUAUGAUGACACAUGGAAUAGGUACAUAAAAUGGAUAGGCAUGUCAUAUUCUCAUAUAUGAUGUGUCAACUAAUCAGAUGGUGGUGUAACAAAGUAGAAGUAAUGAAAGACAUCAUAUGCAAGAUACGUGCGACUAAUAUAACCUUGCCAAGUUAGAGCAAGCACCUUGAUGGGUGAAUAAGAUAGGCCAUCCUCCAUCAUGCCAAGUUUGCUAGCUAGUAGAUUGUUCCGCAAUAUUCCUCCCGUGCACCAAUUAUCAUAUUCAUUAUGAUCAUGUUCAAUACCUACAUGCAUGAAAACAUAAAAAUAAGUGAGUAUCUUUGUGAUGCUUAGGGGACUCUAAUCCAAUAGUGCCUCCCUGUAAACCCCUAUGUGCUAUCUGUGUGCAAUUCUUCCGAGAGAUGCCAUGUGUGCUGUAAUUUGGUGUGUGCAUUAAUAUAAUGUGGCCUACUAAUCAAAAUAGAGGCUCCCUGUUGAGAGCUCCAGAAGUAAUGAUACUUCGCAGAUAAUGGAUCGCCUUGUCUUAAACCUCUCAUAGGCUUGAAACUUUCAGUUUCUUCAUCAUUAAUUCAAACCCUAUAAUCAAUAGUGAAGACGCAUUUCAUCAUAAGAUCUAUCCAUCCUUCCUGAAAACCAAGUUUUAACACAAUUCCCUUCAAGAAAUGCCAUUCAACUCGGUCAUAAGCUCUGUGCAUAUCAAGCUUGAUCGCGCAUAAACCCUCUUUUCCUUCCCUCUUAUUUCUAAUAGUAUAAAAGCUCUCGUAGGCCACUAAAACAUUGUCCAUAAUCAUUCUCCCGGGCACAAAAGCACUUUGGGUGGGACUAAUAAUAUGAGGCAACAAAACUUUCAAUCGCGCUACCAAUAUUUUGGAGACAACUUUAUAAACCACAUUGCAAAGACUGAUAGGUCUAAACUAGGUUACCUUCUCUCUGGUGAAUUGAUCCUAGGGAUCAACACAAUCGUAGUGUCAUUCCAUCCGGAUGGAAUUGUGCAGGUAUUCACCGCUUGCAAGACCUCAUCAACCAAAUCAUCCCGUAGCAUGGGCCAAAAUAUUUUAUAAAAAAUAGCAUGAAGUCCAUAUGUCCCUGGAGCCUUUAAUUCUCCAAUAUAAAAAAGAGCCUUACGAACAUCAUGAAAAGUAUAAGGGCCAAGCAAAACAUUAUUCAUGUCUACAAUCGCUCUACUCUGGACAAGGGACAAGACUUGCUGGUUUAGGUUUAGAACAUCCGAGGUAAAAGCACUGGAGAAGUAACUCAUAAUAUGUUCCUUCAGAUCAUCAUCCAGAAGUUUCUUAAUGUUGUUCCUUUUUUUCCUGGUAGUUGCAGCAUUAUGAAAAAGCGAUGUAUUGCGAUCCCCAUCUAACAACCAGUUUGCUCGGCCUCUCUAUAACCAGAAAAUUUCUUGUUGAUCCAAAAGAUUUUCCAUGAGUACUAAAAUUUCCUUCUCCCUCGAACGUGAUUCCCCAUUGAUAGGAACAUGCUUCAACCUCUCUAAUUCCCCAUUGAUAGGAACACGCUUCAACCUCUCUAACUAUUUUUAAACUUAUUUAUUCUCCUUUUUCGUCCCUUCAAAGUUACUCGGUCCCAAGCAUGUAAAUCCUCAUGCACUGUUCUAGUCCGUGCAGAGAGUUGAAAAAAGCUUCAUUUGGAUUGGUGCAUUGAGUACCUGUACCAGUACCCACCCCCAAACUAAAUGGUCCCACGUCGCCCCCGUACCAUUGCGGCUCCGGCCGUGUUGACCAUCCGUUAGUAAGACGACUUCACCAAGAAAGGUGCUUGGCUUGGUGAGAUUCAAUGCCAUAACUGGACGUCAGACGCUCAAGAGACACUUUACAUUGAUAGCCCAAAAGGUUUUCGAACCUAUCGAGUCUUGUAAUUUCAUGGUGCUUUCUUCAAGAAAGUUCCCAAGCGAAAUCCUGGACGGGGUGCAUGCGCACUCCUAGGUCCCAAAUGUUAAAAAUGUUAAUGUGCUUGCCAUUUCCACUCGUCGCACAUGCCUUUUAUCAUUGCACUUACUUCAAGCAUAAUAUUUUGCCGACUAGAGGAGGAGCCCUAAUUUCGUGUUUGUCUUUAUCCCAAGACCCUGUCUUUUUCUACCAUUUUUUCUUAGUGAAUGUCAUUUCUUCUCUUCUUUUAGAACAAAAUGUUAUUUCAUCUCAAAAACGCAGAAUGGUGGCCUUUUCACCUUGACCUCCUUUUCCCCGACUUAUGUGGGGAAUAGAGAGGAAACACGGAGCGCCUUUCCUUCGCACUAGUUUUGGGUCGGCCCAUAUGAGGGGCGAGGCUCCCCUAUUUUUUGUGUUUUCUUCUCUGUUUUCUUUGCUUCUUAAAAAAAAUCAGGAUUUCAACUUUUUCCAAAACUCAUAUUUUUUUUCACAACAUUUCAAAAAAUAUGAAUUUGAAAAAAAUCUUUGUAGAUUUUAAAAAUAUCCCAUAUUUCAAAAAAUCUUUAUGAUUUGAAAAAAUGUUUGGAAAUUUUCAAAAUUCCCAAAUUUCAAAAGCUAUUCAUGAAUUAAAAAAAUUCCGAAUUAAAAAAAUGCUCACAACCUUGUGUAAUGUUCCUGGAUUUAAAUAAUUGUUCAUGAUUUUGAAAACAUGUUCAUGUAUUUCAAUAAGUGUUCAUGAUUUUUCUUUAAUGUUCUGAAUCAAAUAAAUUCAGAAUUGUUUCCAGAUUUCGAAGAUUGUUUGCGAAUACAUAAAAAUAUUCAUGAUUUCUUUAGAAUUUAAAAAAUUGUCACAACUUUAAAAAUUGUUCAUAUAUUUAAAAAAUAUAAAAUAUAAAUAUAAAACCAAAAACCAAAAAUGAAAAAUCGAGAUAAAACUGACAAGGAAAAACAGAGAGAAAAAGGAAAACCUGCCCAAAACCAGAUGGGGAGUCUUCAUAAAAAUACAAGCAGUUCUACUUCACCCUAUGUGACACCAAGCAAAUAAGUGGGAGAGGAGCUAUGCGUUUGGUUGCUAUCCGCCGCCCUACGCGAGAUAUAGGAAUCAUCGUUUUCACAAGCUUCCCUGUUGGACUAGGACACAUGUGUGAGCCGCAGUUGUUAAAACGCUGGUUUUGAAGGCCCACACUAGCCCAGUCCACGUUGCAACGCGGCGUGAUCAUGGAUCUAAAUGGGCAUUACCUGAAGGACCAAAAUAUAAGAAAGCCCUCAAAUAAGUGGAACCCCAGAACCCUAACCAGGCUCUUUUCUAUCCUCUCACCACUCGCGCCUCUCUCGCCCUUCCCGCCGCCACCGCCGCCGCCGCCACUCCCCUCGCCGCCGCAGCAGCCGCAGCCAUGGGGCGCAUGCACAGCCGCGGGUAAUCCUCACCCCCUGCACUGCCACCGCAAUCCUGUGAAUUUUCUGGUCUAAUGGCGUCUCCGCGACUCUGUGACGCAGGAAGGGCAUCUCGUCGUCAGCGCUGCCGUACAAGAGGACUCCACCAAGCUGGGUCAAGACCGCCGUCGCCGAUGUAAGAAGAAGCCUCACCUUCUCUUCGCCCCCUCGAUUCGAUGUGAUAUGGCUGGCUGAUGCGUGCGUCGGGCUCGUGUGCAGGUGGACGAGUUAAUCACCAAGGCCGCGAAGAAGGGCCAGAUGCCGUCGCAGAUCGGCGUCCUGCUCCGUGACCAGCACGGCAUCCCCCUCGUCAAGAGCGUCACCGGGAGCAAGAUCCUCCGCAUCCUCAAGGCCCAUGGUGAGAAAUAGAUUAGAUCCCCCCUCGUCUUUCUCAGAGUGCUCUAUGUGUUGAUAGUGGAUUGAUUGUGUGAGUGUUGGUGCGCAGGGCUGGCGCCAGAGAUCCCGGAGGAUCUCUACUUUCUGAUCAAGAAGGCGGUGGCGAUAAGGAAGCACCUGGAGAGGAACAGGAAGGACAAGGACUCUAAGUUCAGGCUCAUCCUUGUGGAGAGCAGGAUCCACCGCCUCGCUCGCUACUACAAGCGCACCAAGAAGC